ACAGUAAAUGUUUUAUUUUUCUUUUAUUUUUAGCUUUUAUACUUAGUUUAAUACAUAAUAAAUCAUAAUUAACCUUUAAUUAUUAAACUUAAAUAUGAUUAGAAAAAAUUGGUGUAAUACAAUUGUCAUUCAGCACCUUUUGUCCAACUAGAAAAGAUCUAAUUGCUCAAUUGGUCUCUCGGUUAAUUAAAUGUAACACCAUAUAACCUAACCCGUUCGUCGGGUCUAGGUACCGCAUGUCACAACUAACCCGAUUAAUUUAACAAAUUUUCUAAAAUGAUUAUUACGUGUACUUAAACAAUGUCAAAUCCCAAAAUUUAAUUCCUACUAUAACUCAAAUAAUAUGAGAAAUAAACUCUUGAGAAUUUUAAUACCUUAUUAAACCUAUUGAUUUUUACAUAUCAUAGAUUAAGAAUUAAAUAUAGAUAUAUCUAACAUAAUCCUUGAGGCUUGGCCUCUAAGGGUGCCCCUCUAUACGCAUGUUACAACUGUCGCAAUCUUAGCGCGAUAUUGGUGAUGUCUAGCUUGGUCCCUUCUCUUGAUCCCCGAGUCUUCAUCUAUCUUGCGUACAAGUAGCAAAUUUUAUAAGUUCAAGAGAACUUAGUGAGAUCCCAUAUGACUAUGUGUUGCAACAAUCUAUAUUUUCAGGGAGAAAGAAUAAAGGCACAAAAAUUAGGACUCCCUGUGUUUCGUAGAAGAAUUUAUUAUUUCAUUGGCGUAGACAACACCCUGUUUCCUUUAAGCUAAUUGUUGGCGGACAUAACUACUGGUCUAGCCAUAAUUGUGCCUUACCAGAUAAAAAUUUCUUAUUAGUUUUAACCCUGUUUAUCCUCUUUCCAAACUUUCCUCAUACCUUUCAUGAUGCGACUUAUCACUAAUGCAUGUUUUUGUAAUUACGAAUUGUUAACAACUAAUUGUGGUAGAACCAAGAUUUCUCCAUAAUUGAAUAUCCUUACCUUGAUCCCUUUUAUCCAUAAUAAACUCUAUAAAUAUUUACCGUACUAUCACGAAGAUUAUCUGUCCUUUGACAUAGCUUAAAUGUUAAAAUAUAUUUCAUGUCUCUAUACUUUUCAUACAUUUGUAAUUUAGUUGCUACUUUUAUUUCAAACAAUUUAAUCUCUCUACUUUUUAGAUUAAGAAAACAAGUCUAAUUGCUAACAUCAUUAAAAAUCUUAUCUUAAAUGUAGUUCCAUUACAACAUCUUGUUAGAACCAUAAAACUCUGAUAUAAAACUUAAAAUCAUAAACCAUGAUCUAUCAUUUCAGAUCAUCAAGAACAAAACUUGAUGUGAAACCGUACCUUAAUACAUUAGUAUAUUGAGAUCUUGAAUCUUAGGGUUUAGAUCUUCCAAAUUAACACACAAGUAUUUUAGAGAAUGUGGGUCUGUCUUUUCUAAAGAUGAUGUUAGAAAAGUUACAUAUGAGUAAUUUGGGUACCAUAACCUUAAUAUAUAACUUUUGCACAUUAACAUUAAUUUCUAAUCAGCCCAUCAUCAAUUAGGAAUUAGUUACUAAAUAUCUACACAUAUUUGGUCUAUACUUUAUUUAAUAAAUGAAACCCAAUAAGUCUUAACCAAAUUAGAUCACUUUUAAUUUGGGCUAACCUUUUAUCAUAGUAAAUAAUAACAUGUAAUUAUCCUUAUUAUAUAUGUGAUGUCUAUAUUUUUCAAUCAAUCUACCAGUUGGACCACAUAUAUAUACUAAUUACCUUAUAAUUACAUGUCAUUAUAUAACCUUAUGGGCUCAAAACCUUACUAUCAUAUCCAAAAGGUAUUCCAAACAAUCUCUUCCUUUAAUUAUGUUAAUAUAGAACCAAUGUGACUUUUAUUACAUACAUCGUAACUAAAUCCAUCCUUGAUCACGUAUAUUAACACAACCAAAUGACAUAUAUCAAGUAUGGAUGUAUAACAUGGAAAUUACAUGCAAUAUGAUCUAAACAUGUCUAUUUUCCACUAGUCCUCCUUAACCUUAGUGAGAUCAAACUUUACCAAACUUAGAGUGUCAAUAAACCAAAUGAACUUUAUUUCUACAUAAAUAUCCUUAAUAUUCAUAAAAUGAAAUAAUUGAAAAAUGUGUAUAUAAUAGAAAAACAUGUAAAAUUACAAAUUCCCAUUAAAACUAAAUAUCUUAAAAUUAUAUUACACCUAAUUGAGCAAUGUGCUCAUAAAAAAAUCUUGGUGGUAGUCCCUUAAAAAGUGACUAUAGAGUUUGUCCCAAUAUGCUUUAUAGACACCUGACCCCUCUAAACUUUUACUUUAACAACUAGGAAUAUAAAGUCUAUGUGCUUUGACUUUGAUGCGUUUCUGUUCUUAUUGAAAUAAGGAUUGAAAUUUAUUAUCUCAAUUUGCACCUUUAUGACAAAAUUUUGCAUUCAUAUUCCAUCAAAGUCAAAGUCUGUAUACUUGAUGAACUCUAACUUAUGAGACCUCCUAUAUGUGAGCAUGUUAUGUUUUGUUUUCUGAAGAUAAUGUAUGAAUCAUUUGAUUCCUUUCCAAUUAUCCAUACUAAAAUUGCUCAAAUACCUGCACAACAUCCUAACAAUGUACACAGUAUUCAAACGCGUACAAACCAGAACAUAUAUUAGACUUCCCAUUGGUGAAAUGUGGGGAGUCUUAUGCAUUUACAUAAUCUCAAAAUCAUUCUUAGGGGGCAUUGAUUGAGACUAUGCUUACUACCCCUAAACUUGUGACAUAAAUAAUCAAUAACCAAAGCCAUCAUGAAACUGAAUGAGAUAAUCACUUGGUAAAUAUUGAAGUAACACUGCUAAGAGGAUUGCUUAAGCCCAUGAUGGAUUUCUUUAGUUUGCAAACCAUUGACUUUGCAUCACUGGAUACAAAUAUAUUUGGUUGCACCAUAUAAAUCUUCCCAUCAAUGUUACCAUUGAGAAAUGUAGUAUUGACAUCCAUCUAAUGUAAAUUAAGGUCAAAAUAAGCUACUAAAGCCAUUAUAACUCUUUCUCUAGUGGACCUUCUUAAUGAAAUUGGUUCUUGAGGUCGUAGAGUUUGUUACUUAACUGUGAGGUUCUAUGACAUUGUCUUGACCUAGAGUUGUUAUUCGAACAAUAUCAGGUAUAAUAAAUUGUUCAUGAUCUUUAUCAAUAGCAGUAAAAGAAUGUGUUUUGCAAUAUUAACAUAUUAUUUUUCAAAUACAAUGUCUUUAAUUCUCUCUCCCUCAUAAACUCAACAUCCUCAAAUAAUCGGACAUCGAUCGUCUAAAAAAUAGCCUUAGUAGUGGGAUCGUAAAAUUUGUAACCCCUACACCUUUUAGAGUAUCACAUGAAAUAAUAACUAACAGUCUUUAAGUUUAGUUUCCUUUCAUUUGGCCUAUAAGGCCUAGUGUAAUGCUGGGGUUGGUGCAAGUAUGCAUAGUUGUUAUCAAGUAAUAAGUAAAUAUAAGAGUUAUUGUCUCCACAUGGACUGUAUAUGUUAAUCAAAUAAUUGUAAAAUUAAAUAUUACAAAUUGUUAAGAAAAAACACAAUAAUUUCAAGUGAUUGAUGUAAAAAUAAAUAACUAGAUGCAAAACUAUCCUAAAUGCAAAUUAACCUAAGUGUGAUGAAUAAUUAAAAUGUAUGAGGUGGGUUUAGCAGCAAAUUCACAAGCUUCAACAACAAUAACAUGAAUAGGAUUAUUCAACAACAAUAACAAUUUAAUCACACAACUCCAAAGUUAUGCAAGGUAAUAGAGCUCUCUCGAGUUAUUACGAACCUUUAAUUUAAUCGGAUCAAUAUCUAAAUUAAGCAUGCACCUUCCAAUUAUUGCAUCCAUUAAUUGCCAUAUGGUCAGGAUUGAUCUAAUGCAUUUAAUCACAUUUUAAUGAAUGAAAUACAUGAGUGAUUUUAAUUGGAAGCAUGAAAAAUUGAGGUACAAAACAUCAUGAACAUAAAUAAAAUAAACUUUAUCAAUUUGAUGUAAUCAUUCUAACUAUCAUUGUUAAUGAAAAACAACAAAACAAAUUGCAAACAUGUUGAAUAACCAGAACAACAAUAAAUAUUAAAGAAGAAGAAACUCUGAAUAAUUUCGGUAAUCCUUCGAAAAUUGAUUGUGGUGGUUUCCUUCGAUCCUCAUAAUUUCUCCUUCGUAAAAUGCUCCUCAAGGUGGUAGGCAAAGAGAGAAUUUUCUCAAGAAAUUUCUAGCUAAGGAGAAUGGAGAGAAUGAAUAGCUUUAUGCAUGAAAAGAAAAGGAAAGGAGAUGAGAGAAUGUGAAGAAUGAAGACUGAAUGAAUGAUGAGGGAUGAUGGAUAGGUGAUGUAACACCCCAAACCCGGCCUAGACGUUAUGGCCGAAUCUAGCCUGUCACAUUGAAGUGUCUUUCGAAAAUUGGACUUGUUGGUAAAAAUUCGUUUCCAAAUUUAAAACCUCUUUGUUAGUGUUUAACAAAACAUCUAGCCAAAACGAUUGCUUCGUUGUCUGCUUUUUUUAUAAUAAGUUGAUCUAAAAAUCAUGGAAGCUUUUGAAACUCUAUUGUUUAAAUUUUGUGUAUUUGAAAACAGUAAUUAUUUUGAAAGUUUGUCCUCUCCUAAACUAUCAAUUUAAAAUAAGCAAGCAAAAACCCAAUUAAAAAAUUAAACAAACUUAAAGUCCUUAUUACAUAGACAAAACCCAACAUAAACUUACCUGUACAGUUAAAAGGAAAAAGUGAGUUUACGAAAAAUUAGUGUGUAAUCUACUAUCAGUUAAACAGUAUACAACAUGCAGUAACAGUCUGGGCCUGAGCCCUAUUCAGUAACAAUUUAAAUUUUGUGUCUUUGAAAACAGUAAUUAUUUUGAAAGUUUGUCCUCUCCUAAACUAGUAGUUUAAAAUAAGUAAGCAAAAACCCAAUUAACAAAUUAAACAAACUUAAAAGCCUUACUACAUAGACAAAACCCAACAUAAACUUACCUGUACAGUUAAAAGGAAAAAGUGAGUUUACGAAAAAUUAGUGUGUAAUCCACUAUCAGUUAAACAGUAUACAACAUGCAGUAACAGUCUGGGCUUGAGCCUUAUUCAGAAACAGUACAGUGUGGGCCUUAGCCCAAUACAGUAAUAGUGUGGGCCUUAGCCCAAUACAAUAAUAGUAUAGCAUAAUAAUGCAACCUAUCCCAAUCCAGCCAACACACCACUCCGUACCACCAACACACCAUGUGGGGAGAAAAUUUACCCACCCAGCCAACACACCAAUAUCGCAGCAAAGCUACCAGUAAUAGUAUCGUAGCAAAGCUGCCAGUAACAGUAUCGCAGCAAAGCUGCCAAUAACAGUAUCGCAGCAAAGCUACCAGUAACAGUAUACUUCCUUCUUAACAGUAUCCUAACCCCAUGCAGUAUGUCAUGUCAUAAAUCAUACGUGUAUGCAGAAUUUCAUAGUCAAUCAUAGUCAUACAUAUCAUAGAGCAAAUCAGUUAUUCAUAACAUAGGGUUAUAUCAGUCAUUUCAUCUCCUAGGGGUAUAACAAUCAUUUAACCCUAUGGGGGUAUUUCGGCCAUUUUACCCUAUAGAGGUAUUUCGGUCAUUUUAUCCUAUAUGGGUAUUUUGGUCAUUUUACCUUAUAGGGGUAUUUCGAUCAUUUAUUAACCUUUCGAAAGGUCUGUAGUCGCCUCGAAUGACUCAGAUAACCUAAAUGGUCAAAAUAGUGUAAAUGGGCCCAAGUGGGCCCACACGUUCGUGUAGCUCGUUUAGCCUAAAAUUCGACACGUCUAAGGGAUCUAUAAUGCCCAGUCCAGUAUUUGCCACAAUUCGUAGAUUUUAUUCGUGUGGGGCCCACGAGCCCAUUGAGCCCACAUGGCCCAUUUUGGCCCAACGUGGCCCAUUAUGUCCUAAGCCCAUAAAAAUGCUCAUGGAGGCCUCUAUAGUCUAUCGCCCAUGUUUUGCGGGUUGGGCUUACCACACAAGCAAUCACACGCCCGUGUGGUCUCAAACGCCGUAUUUUUAACUUUCUGUCGUUUUACGAUUGCAAUAGGGUGUUUACACACCUGUUUACGAGAAGAGCGCAAAUCUUCACGUGCCCCAACCUAGAUCCAUUCAAGACCCAAAGUUAGUCCUUUAAUCAUUAGGGUAAAACACCCUCUUAUUGACACCAUAUCCAAAACACCGUCCUUACCAUGCUUGAAAGAGGGCGACUUUACUCCUCCAAGAUCGCCAACAAAAAGUGGUCACACACUUAUCGAUUAUCUGCACCACAAACAAUGAUCUCAAACUAAGUUAGGCCAUAUAAGUGGCCUCAAAUCGCGAAUGAUAUCCUAAAAGAACAUAGUCAGCAUACGACCUAAACCCCCAAAGUGAGGUAGCAUAUUACCUUGUUUGAACGUUGAGUACAAGGAUUGCGACUACUUCAAACCACAUACAAUCCACCACUCCUCGAAAAAAACCCUAAAACUGCAACGAGUAACACCUUAAAAUGAACGAAUCACCAGUCAGUAAUCAAAGAAUAAAAAGAAAAGUAUUCGGUUUUAAGAAGAAGAAAAGAAGAGAACAAGUUUAAUCAAAAGUGAAGAGUAUAAACACUUUGCCGAUAGUCAAAAACACUUGCAGCACUAGAAACAGUAAGAAGUAGCGAAGAAAAGCUCGACGCAGAGAAUGAUACAAUCAAAAGGGAAUAUUCGGCUAGAUGAUAAAAGGAAGAAAAAGGGAUGAGAAUUAAAAGCCGAUAAACGAAAGAAAGAAAGAAAGAAUUCGAUAGAGGAGGAAACCAAAAAUACUAUUCGGCCAAAACAAAGAAAAAGAUAAAAGGGAAGAGCAGCAAAAGAAAACCCGAGAAGUAUACCAAGUCUUAGCAAAAUUCGGCACCAAAAGAAAAAAAGUAAAAAUAUUGUUGACCGAAACUGAAGCAGACAAAGAGGAAACAACCCCCAAACCCUCAAAACUGAUUAUCCUAGUGCCUAAUGACCAAAUUCAGCACACACACUCCUUAACACCCCAUUUCCAUAAUUUUCUCCUAAAAUUUCUCCCAUUAUCCCUCCUUGAAUCACUCCACCGAUUUCUCUUCAACUCCUUCAACAACUUUAUUCAAAUUCCAUUAAAACUCCCCUAAGUUGUGUUUUAGUCCAACUCCACUACCUACACAGCUCAAGCAGCAAAAUAAAUACUCCAUUGCACAACCCAGGACUUGAACCUCAAACCUCCCAGUUAUCUAACACGCCACCUUGCCACUAGACCACAAGUUAUUUUUGUGUCAUAAAACAAACACUAUUAUUUAUAAGGCCUAUAUGCCAAUGUCCAGAUUCAUUUAAGAGCAAAACUAAUAAUUCUGCAAAAGCCAAAACUUGAACUCAGGCUCCUCAAACACUCCCAUACACACCCAAAUCUCUUAGCCAUUAAAGCAAACAUUCAAUUUGUGUCAAAUCAUGCAAAAAUUAAAGACUUAGAUUUUUGGGGCAUUACAAGUCUACCCCUGUAAUGAAAUUUCGGCCUUGAAAUUUACCUGGUCAGAAAAGAUGAAGGUAUUGCCAAUGCAUCGCCUCUUCAAGUUCCCACGUGGCUUCUUCUGAACUGUGAUUACGCCAAAGCACUUUGACUAGUGGAAUAGAUUUCUUCCUCAGUACUUUAACCCUCAGGUCCAACAUCUGCACUGGCUCCUCCUCGAAGGUCAGAUCUGGCCUAAUCUCGACCUCCUCGACUGGUACAAUAUGUGUGGGAUCAGACCGAUAACGCCUCAGCAUGGAGACGUGGGACACAUCAUGAAUCCGGUCUAAUUCUGAAGACAAGUCAAGUUGAUAUGCAAAUGGUCCCACACGCUUUAGUAUACAGUAAGACCCAAUGAACCUAGUGCUAAGCUUACCCUUCCGUCCAAACCUCAGUAUCUUGUUCUAUGGGAGACCUUGAGAAAUACGAAGCCCUCCACAGAAUACUCAAUCUCUCGGUGUUUAAGAUCCACAUAAGACUUCUGCCUAUCAGAUGCUUCCUUUAAUCAGUCUUGAAUCAGUUUUACCUUCUCCUCGGUAUCAGAAACUAUCUUUAGCCCCAAAACUCGCCGCUUACCUAGCUCAAUCCAAUAGGUAGAAGUACGACACCUUCGACCAUAUAACGCCUCAUACGGUGCCAUUUAAAUAUUGGACUGGUAGCUAUUAUUAUACGCGAACUCUGCUAGGGGGAAAUAGUCUUCCCAAUUGCCUUAGAAAUCCAUUACACAGCACCUCAACAUAUCCUCCAGUACUUGAAUCACUCUUUCCAAUUGACCAUCUGUCUGGGGAUGAAACGCAGUACUAAAUUCCAGUCUUAAACCUAAAGCCUCGUGUAACUUCUUCUAGAAUCGAGACGUGAAGCGAGGAUAUCUAUCUGAUAUUAUGGAAACUGACACCCCAUGCAGUCUUACAAUCUUAGCUACAUAAGUUUAACAAACUUCUACAAGGAGUAAUCAGUACGAACUGGUAUGAAAUGGGCAGAUUUAGUCAAUCGAUCUACAAUAACCCAUACCGAAUCCUUCUUAGUAGGCGUUAAGGGUAGCCCAUUCACAAAAUUCAUGGUUACUCUUUCUCACUUCCAAAGUGGAAUUUUAACUGGCUGCAGUAACCCUGAAGGUAACUGAUGUUCAGCCUUCACUUGCUGGCAAGUUAAACACUUACUUACAAAAUCAGUAACUUCACGCUUAAGACCAGGCCACCAAUAAAACUCACGAAGGUCACGAUACAUUUUAGUCCCACCGGGAUGCAUAGUAAAAGGACUACUAUGCGCCUCUCGCAGUAUAGACUACCUCAAAACAUUAUCCCUCGGUACACAGACUCUUCCACGGAAGCACAGUACUCCUUCACUAUUCAACCCAAAAUCUAAAGUUUCCCCACUCUCAACCUGUCAGAAACAAGGAACCAGUGACUUAUCCAACAACUGUUUACCCUUAAUCUGUUCAGUCCACGUCAGUCUAACUUGCAGCUCAGCCAACAAGCUACCAUCAUCAAACAAGCUGAGACGAGCAAACAUUACUCUCAAAUCAAAUACAGCCCUACGGCUCAGUGCGUCAGCUACCACAUUAGCCUUACCAGGGUGAUACUCAAUUGAGCAAUCAUAAUCCUUAAGCAACUCUAUCCAUCUUCGCUGCCUAAGAUUCAGCUCCUUCUGAGUGAUGAGGUACUUAAGGCUCUUGUGAUUCGUGUAGAUAGUACACUUCUUACUGUAUAAAUAGUGCCUCCAAAUUUUCAAUGCGAAUACCACCUCGGCUAACUCCAAGUCAUGAGUAGGGUAGUUCACCUCGUGAGGCUUAAGUUGACGAGAACCAUAAGCAACCACCUUACCCUCCUCCAUCACUGUAGACAGUUAAUUCCUUCCCAGACUCUGGCUAUAUUAAGAUAGAGGCCUCAGUCAGAACUUUCUUCAAUUUCUCAAAACUUUCUUGUUGCUUAUUAGUCUAGUUAAACGAUACCCCUUUAUGCAACAACUUAGUCAAAGGUGCAGCAAUCAAGGAAAACCCCUCAACAAAACGCCUGUAAUACCCUGCUAGACUUAGAAAGCUUCGAAUAUCAGAUACGGUUUUAGGUGGUUUCCAAUCCAGUACGGCUUCAAUUUUUCGAGGAUCUACCCUAAUCCCCUCGGCAGAUACCACAUGACCCAGAAAUGUCACUUCUCGCAGCCAGAACUCACACUUGCUGAACUUAGCAUACAGUUGUUUCUCCAUUAAAAUCUGUAGAACAAUUCAGAGAUGUGGAUCAUGUUCAUCCUCGGUUCUCAAAUACACCAAGAUAUCGUCUAUAAACACCACAAACCAAUCCAGGUAAGGCUGGAAUACUCGGUUCAUUAAGUCCAUGAAGGUAGCUGGUGCAUUCGUCAGCCCAAAUGGCAUCACUAGGAACUCGUAAUGACCAUAACGAGUCCUAACACAGUCUUAUACACGUCAACCUCUUUAACUAUCAGCUAAUGGUACCUAGAACGAAGAUCUAUUUUAGAGAAAACCGAAGCUUUCCACAGCUGAUCAAAUAAAUCAUCUAUCCUCGGCAAAGGAUACUUAUACUUGAUAUUCAGUUUAUUCAAUUGUCAAUAGUCGAUACACAUGCGCAGGGACCCAUCCUUCUACAUUACAAACAAUACUGGUGCUCCCCAUUGAGACACACUAGGUCGAAUGAAUCCUCGAUCCAACAGUUCUUGGACUUGAGCUUUUAACUCCACUAGCUCCUUCGGUGCCAUCCUAUAAGGGGCAAUGGAACUGGAGCUGCUCCAGGCAAGAGCUCAAUACCAAAUUCAAUUUCGCGGCUCGGAGGCAACCCAGGGAGCUCAUCAGGAAAUACAUCAGAAAAAUCCAUAACCGUUAUGGUAUCUCCAACAGAAGGACCCUUAGAAUCAUAUACACCAACAUAGACUAAAAACGCCUCACAACCCUUGCAAACCAGUUUUUUGGCCCUUAAUGCAGAAAUCACAUUAGACAGAAAGUCCCUGCGCUCUCCAAUCACAACCACCUUCUCAUUCUCAGUAGUUUUUAACACUAUACGCUUAGCAGCACAAUCCAAACUUGCACGGUGUUUUACCAGCCAAUCCAUCCCCAAGAUUAGGUCAAAUUCAUCAAACUGUAGCUCCAUUAAAUCUGCUGAAAAUAUAACUCCUUGAACAUCUAAGGGCACAUCUCUAAACAACUUGUCUACCCUUACAGACUGUCCCAGUGGACUUAACACAGUCAUCUUAUUAACAGUACUCUCACACAUGAUACCCAAGGUGCUAGACACAGUGCAUGCAAUGUAUGAAUGCGUAGACCCAAUAUAAAUUAAAGUAGUGUAAGGUACGUUAUGAAUUAGAAACGUACAGAUUAUAACAUUUGGAGCGUCACCAUCCUCUUGGCGAUGAACAGCGUAGACCAAUGUUGGCUACCUCGCUUCAAUAUUACCAACACCUCUACCUUGCGCUCCACGACCUCGACCCACACCAUUUCCACCUCUGGCCUGCCCACAACCUCUCGAUGGCUACUAACCUCAUUUCACUAGUUGAACAAAACCCUGACCUACAGCUUGCAUCUGAAUAGGCCUCUGAGGACAACCCUUGACUUGAUGCUCCCUAGACCCAUAUCUGAAACAUGCCCCAAUCUUUUUUUAGCACUCACCCAGAUGAUGCCUCCCACAAUCAGCACAAGACUGUGGUCUAGCAAUAGGAACCCCAGCUCAAACUGGCCCAUCAAACCUGACCUUUUUUCUAGCCCUUCUAGAAGAACUCGAGGGCUCCAAUUCUCUCUUAUAUCUGCCCCUAUCCUUCUCACGAUUUUGGCGCUCAGAGUGCUUUACAUCCUUGCCAAUUUUUACCUUUUCUACUAAGGCAGCAAAAUCUAGUUCCCUCUGUGGAGCUAUCAAGACCCGCAACUCAUCUUAGAGGCUAUCCUCGAAUCGCACACAGCGUUCAUAUUUAGUCGCCGCUAUCCCACGAGCAUAGCGACUCAGUCGUAGGAACUUUGCCUCAUAUUCUGCCACAGUUUUAUUCCCUUGGGUCAAGCUUAGAAAUUUCCUUCUUCGGGUGUCCACAUAACUUGCGCCCACAUACUUUCCUUGGAAUACCACCUUAAAGAAAUCCCACGAUAACCAAUCAGCCUGUGUACCCUCUCUCAUGGUAAGCCACAACUUAUAGGCUUCGUCUCGCAAUAAAGACACUGCACCUUUUAGUUUUUGCUCAGAAGUACAGUCGAGGUCGUCCAUUAUUCUCUCUGUGGCUUCCAACCAAUAUUCAAUCACAUUAGGGGCUACUCCAAAAAUACCUUUGAAGAUUUCUGCUCCAUUCGACUGGAUUCAUUCUAAAAUCAACCUAUGGCCCACAGCACCAGUAUUGGUCUCUACGACCCUUUCUAGAAUACGGAGCAUAGCUUGGGAUAGUGCAUCAUUCCCAGCCGUUCGAUCGUAUGAUCUCGUCUCAAUCAUCAGUGAAGUUGGUGCCUCCCUAGCCCCAACAUUGGGCAUGUGGCCUGAAGCCGAAGACCCAGCCCUAGCACUUUCUCGGCCUCUACCGCGGCUUCGUGUACCCCUUCUGCGAGUACCUCUAGUGCUCAUAUCAAGUAACAUAUUAUCUGUUUACGAAGAUUUAUACAUUAGUUUGUAAUUCCUGUAAUUAUCAAUAGAUGUCUUAUGAAAAGCUGUAAUCAGAGUUUUAUUUUCGCAAUUCAAAGUCUCCCUACAGUUUUCAGUUUCCUAUAGUCUCAGUUUACUCUAACUGAAGAGUUUCAGUACAGUCCUAUUAUCCAUAGUAAUCUCUUAGUGUAUUUCAGUUCAAGCAGUCUACAGUAUAAAGAAAACUUAUAGAUUCGGCGCUAGAAACUCGAUGUGCCACACUUGUAAACCUUCCAAAACACUUUAAAAAUAGUUUUCCUGAAAUUCCAUAUAUUUUCAAAACCCAUUCCACAGCCGAGUUUUGUAACCUGGCUCUAAUACCACUAAAUGUAACACCCCAAACCCGACCUAGACGUUAUGGCUGAAUCUAGCUUGUCACAUUAAAGUGUCUUUUGAAAAUUAGACUUGUUGGUAAAAAUUCGUUUCCAAAUUUUAAAACCUCUUUGUUAGUGUUUAACAAAACAUCUAGCCAAAACGAUUGCUUUGUUGUCUGCUUUUGUUAUAAUAAGUUGAUCUAAAAAUCGGGUAAGCUUUUGAAACUCUAUUGUUUAAAUUUUGUGUAUUUGAAAACAAUAAUUAUUUUGAAAGUUUGUCCUCUCCUAAACUAGCAAUUUAAAAUAAGUAAGAAAAAACUCAAUUAAAAAUUUAAACAAACUUAAAGGCCUUAUUACAUAGACAAAACCCAACAUAAACUUUAAAUUUAAAUAAAAGCAAGUGUAGCACAGUUGCAGCUAUGUGGUCACCUCCGAGUCCCUCGCAACACCAAAUCGCUUAAGGCUAAGGAUUACCUAUACAGUUAAAAGGAAAAAGUGAGUUUACGAAAACUCAGUGUGUAAUCCCCUAUCAGUUAAACAGUAUACAACAUGCAGUAAUAGUUUGGGCCUGAGCCCUAUUUAGUAACAGUACAGUGUGAGCCUUAGCCCGACACAGUAACAGUGUAGGCCUUAGCUCAAUAUAGUAAUAGUACAGUGCAAUAAUGCAACCCAUCCCAAUCUAGCGAACACACCACUCUGAACCACCAACACACCAUGUGGGGAUAAAAUCAACCCACCCAGCCAACACACCAAUAUUGCAGCAAAGCUGCCAGUAACAAUAUACUUCCUCCAUAACAGUAUCCUAACCCUAUGCAGUAUGUCAUGUCAUAAAUCAUACGUGUAUGCAGAAUGUCAUAGUCAAUCAUAGUCAUACAUAUCAUAGAGCAAAUCAGUUAUUCAUAACAUAGGGUCAUAUCAAUCAUUUCAUCUCCUAGGGGUAUAAUAGUCAUUUAACCCUAUAGGGGUAUUUCAAUCAUCUUACCCUAUGGGGAUAUUUCAACCAUUUUACCCUAUGGAGGUAUUUCGGUCAUUUUACCCUAUAUGGGUAUUUUGGUCAUUUUACCUUAUAGGGGUAUUUCAGUCAUUUAUUGACCUCUCAAAAGGUCCGCAGUCGCCUCGAAUGACUCAGAUAACCUAAAUGGUCAAAAUAGUGUAAAUGGGCCCAAGUGGGCCCACACGUUCGUGCAGCUCGUUUAGCCUAGAAUUCGCCACGUCUAAGGGAUCUAUAACACCCAGUCCAGUAUUUGCCACAAUUCAUAGAUUUUAUCUGUGUGGGGCUCAUGAGCCCAUUGAGUCCACAUGGCCCAUUUCGGCCCAACGUGGGCCAUUAUGUCUUAAGCCCAUGAAAAUACUCAUGGAGGCCUUUGCAGUCUAUCGCACGUGUUUUGUGGGUUGGGCUUACCACACGAGCGAUCGUACGCCUGUGUAGUCUCAAAUGUCGUAUUUUUGACUUUUUAGCUUUCUGUCAUUUUAUGAUUGCAAUGGGGUGUUUACACACCUGUUUACGAGAAAAGCGCAAAUCUCCACGUACCCCAACCUAGAUUCAAUCAAGACCCAAAGUUAGCCCUUUAAUCUUUAGGGUAAAACACCCUCUUAUGGACACUAAAUCCAAAACACCAUCCCUACCUUGCUUGAAAGUGGGCGACUUUACUCCUUCAAGACCGCCAAUCAAAUGUGGUCACACACUUAUCGAUUAUCUGCACCACAAACAAUGAUCUCAAACUAAGUUAGGCCAUAUAAGUGGCCUCAAACCGCGAACGAUAUCCUAAAGGAACAUAGUCAGCAUACGACCUAAACCCCAAAAGUGAGGUAGCAUAUUACCUUGUUUGAACGUUGAGGACAAGGGUUGCGACUACUUCAAACCACAUAUAAUCCACCACUCCUCGAAGGAAACCCUAAAACCAUAACAAGUAACACCUUAAAAGGAACGAAUCAACUGUUAGUAAUCAAAGAAUAAAAGAAAAGUAUUCGGUUUUAAAAAGAAGAAAAGAAGAGAAUAGGUUUAAUUAAAAGUGAAGAGUAUUAACACUUUACCGAUAGUUAGAAACACUUGCAGCACUGGAAACAGCAAGAAGUAGCGGAGAAAAGCUCAGUGCAGAGAAUGAUACAAUCAAAAGAGAAUAUUCGGCUAGAUGAUAAAAGGAAGAAAAAUGGAUGGAGAAUCAAAAGUCGAUAAACGAAAGAAAGAAAGAAUUCAGCAGACGAGGAAACCCCAAAUACUAUUCGGCCAAAACAAAGAAAAAGAUAAAAAGGAAGAGCAGCAAAAUAAAACCCAAGAAGUAAACCAAGUCUUAGCAAAAUUCGGCACCAAAAGAAAAAAGUGAAAAGAUUGCUGACCGAAACCAAAGCAGACAGAGAGAAAACAACCCCAAAAACCCCAAAGAAGAUUAUCCUAGUGCCUAAUGACCAAAUUCGGCACACACACUCCUCAACACCCUAUAUCUAUGAUUUUCACCUAAAAUCUCUCCCCUUAUCCCUCAUUGAAUCACUCCACCGAUUUCUCUUCAACUCCCCCAACAACUCUAUUCAAAUUCCAUUCAAACUCCCCUUAGCUGUGUUUCAGUCCAACUCCACUACCUACAUAGCUCAAGCAGCAAAAUAAAUACUCAGUUGCACAACCCAGGACUUGAACCUCAGACCUCCCAGUUACACAACACGCCACCUUGCCACUAGACCACAAGCUAUUUUGUAUCAUAAAACAAGCACUAUUAUUUAUAAGGCCUAUAUGCAAAUGUCUAGAUUCAUUUAAGAGCAAAACUAAAAAUUCUGCAGAAGCCAAUACUUGAACCCAGGCUCUUCAAACACUCCCAUACAAACCCAAAUCACUUAGCCAUUAAAGCAAACAAUCAAUUUGUGUCAAAUCAUGAAAAGAUUAAAGAAUUAGAUUUUUGAGGCGUUACAUGUGAAGUGAAAGGUGGUAUUUAUAGUGGAUGGAUGGCUUUAGAGGUUGUUGAAGAUUGCAAGAAAAUCCCUUGAUUUUCUCAUUUCCAUGGUCGACCAUGAAUUUUGGAGAGGGAGGUUGAUGGUUGCUUGAUUCAUACUUGAUUUCAUGCAUGAAUCAAGCAAGGGUUGGAUGGUUUCUUGGGUGUUUGUUGGGAUCUGAUUUUUAAUUGUUUUACAAGUGUAAGGACCUCUGAAUAAAUCUUCAAAAAGUUGAUUUUGCGCUAUUCAUAUGCCCUUGCCAAAUUUUGAUUUUGCGCUAUUCAUAUGCCCUUGCCAAAUUGGGCUUCUUUCCCCCUUACUUGGACGGUUUUGUGACCCCAAUAAUUGUCACACUUGCUUUUUAAUUAAAUUAAAUUUAACUGGACCAAAGUGACUUUCACUUGACCAAAUUUGCUUGCCCUUUCUGUCCAAAUAAGGUGAAAUAGAGCUCAUAUCCAUGUAUAAUUAAUAAAUAAGCUUCUCAACUUAUUAAUUCCAUGGUCCCAUUGCAACAAUUAAAUAAAUUAAAUUAUUAUGUCACAUAAAUAAUUAAAUUAUGCAAAAAUUUAAUACAUAAAAGCAUAAAAUUGCAUACUUUACUAAAUCAUGGCCAUUGUCUCAAUGUAAACAAAAUUCACCUAAUUAAAUAUCAAAUAUUUAGGAUUAACAUAAUUUUUUAAGUAAAAAAGUGCCAUAAACAACUGUAAAAAUCUAUAUGAUUUAGAGUUUACACCUAACCUUAGCUAAACAUCCCCAGGUGUGCAAAUGGUUUAAGCUAGGCUUUUUACCAUUUCAAAGCGCAUAAUGAGUCUUUUCAAUUGCUUUAGUUGGAACUAUAUUGAAUAUAUAAGUUGUAGUCUUUAAUGUUUCUUCCUAGAGUAAUUCGAUCAAAGUUGAAUGACUAAUCAUACUCCUUACCAUGUCCUUAAGUGUUCUAUUUCAUCUUUCAGCAACACCAUUCGUAGUGGGUGAACCCGACAUAGUAGACUAAGGGAUGAUACCAGUUUCCUAUAGGAAUUUCACAAAUGAUCUUGGAUGUUGUUCACCUGAAUUGUUAUAUUUUUCGUAAUAUUCACUAACACGGGCAGAUCUAAUACUUUUAAUUCUUUUGUCGAGUUGAUUUUCAACUUCAGCCUUGUAAUUUUUGAACACCUCCAAUGAUUGCAAUUUCUCAUUAAUGAGAUAAAGGUAGCCAUAUCGCAAAAAGUCUUCUCUAAGCAUUAUAAAAUAUAUUGUUGGCCAUUACAAGAAACAGUAAAGAAUGGUCCACAAAUAUCUAUAUAUUUUUCUAAGACGUCUAGUUUCCUAUUGACACCAAAUCUCCUAAUAUUUGUUUGUUUCCCCUUAAUACAAUUUACACACACAUCAAAAUCCGAAAAAUCAAGGGGAUCAAGAAUACCAUUAGACACAAGUCUCUCAAUUCUCCUUUCAAAGAUAUGAUCUAAUCUUUUGUGCCAUAACAAAGUCGAAUUCUCAAUGCUUAAUUUGCGUUUCUUACCUAUUACAGUAGUAUGUAAGGAUUCAUUAAAUGAAGCAAUAAUAUCAAGUAAAUAUAGAUUAUCAUAACCUGAUAAAGAACCAGAACCAACCAAAUUUGAAUUAUGAAAUGGAUAAAAUUUUCCAUUUCCGAAUGAACAAUAAUAACCAAAUUUGUUCAAUGCUGAAACAAAAAUCAAGUUCUGCUUAAAAGAUAGUACAACAAAAGUAUCAUUCAAAUCCAAAUAAAAUCCAGUCCUUAAUAAUAAUAUAAAAAUUCCUAUUGCUUCAACUUCUACCAAAUAUUCGUCGCCUACAUAGAUGUAUCUUUCACCAUCAUUUGGCUUUUAGUAGUUCUGACAACCUUGUAUAGACAAAUUGAUGCGAGUUGUUGCAUCGGAAUCUAUCCACCAAGUGUGUCUAGGUACUGAAGUCAAGUUAACCUCAGAACAAGCAAAAGUAAGUAGUGUUCGCACCAUAAUAGAACAAUCAUCCUUAGUUAAAUCCUUUUGUUGUUUCUUUUGCGGUAUCAUAUUCACAACUUUUUUAUUUUCCUUUAUAUAUCACAUUGAAGUUAGGUUUGUUAAGAAUGUACCACAUUUUCCUUUAUCCUAUUUCAUUCUUGACAAUCCUCAUUUCAAUGUCGGCCAUGAAUUCUUAGCAAUGGUAGUCUUAUCGGAUAAAAUGCCCCCUAAAUGUUUUAAUUCAUGCAACGAUGUUGGCAAGUAUAAUAGUAGCUGAACCAAACAAAAUAAGCUCACGUAAGACUUCAAAAUAUAAACCAAAAUAAUAAAUUUGAAUAAAGGUAAACCCAUCUCAAGAUAUCAAACACUAUUAAUAUUUCAUCUUUGGACAAACUAUUAACUUGUAAGUGAUAUCUUGUUGUAGUAAUAAAACAUUGACUAUAAGAACAUGUCAAACAAUAAAUAUUCCAAAUAAUUGUCACAUGUUUAUUACCACAAUUGCACAUGUAAUUUCGUUAAAUAUUAACCCUCUUUUGGGUUGAUCAAUAUUAACACGACUUAAGUUACAUGCACACAACCUUUUAUAUUUUAAAAUAAAAUAAUUUCAACAACAGAGAUCACUUUGGCAACUUAUUAUUUCAAUUAAGUUAUUUUAAAUAUAUAUAAAUAUACAAAUAUUCAAAUUGAAUAUUUCCAUAAUAGUCAAAGGUUAAAACUAAAAUUUUUUUAUCACCCUACCAUUUUUAAACUACCCAAAAUAAAAUUAUGUAAAUGACAAUCAAAAUCGGAACUUUAAUCUUUGACUAAUUUGAAUUUAAUUAAUUCAUUCAAUUCUAUAUAAUAAUAUAAUAAUAUAUUCAUAAAAUAACAAUACGAAAGCAUUAAACUUGAAUUAUGUGUACACCAAACCACUAAAGUAAUUCUUAUGGAUAAAUAUAAAUUGCACCAAAGCAGUUGUUUCCUAUAUGAAAGAACAUAUAUAUAUAUUGAAUUUAACAGUCUUUCUUUAUGUAUUGAAUUUAAUAUAAAUCUCAAAGCAUAAUAUUAUAGUUACUAACUUCGCAAAUUCGCAUGAAACCCCUUAUGCACAUGAGUAUUUUGAAAAAUUGGUGAUGGCACAUUAAAAAUUUUACAUUAUUAACUUGAAAUUUUUUAACUUAUAAAAUUUUAAUAACAAAUCAAUUCAAAUAUAAUAAAAAACCAAUUUCAUUUUCAAUGAUUUGAUAUGACAAGAUCCGGAUUCAACUUGUUAAAACCUUAAAACUCUUAUAUGAAACUUAUAAUCAUAAACCAAGAUCUAUCAUAUCAAAUCAUCAAGAACAAAACUAGGUGCAGAAGUGUACCUUAAUCCAUUGAUAUGUUGAGAUUUUAAAUCUUGUGGUUUAGAUCUUCCAAAUGAACACACAAGUAUUUUAGAGAAGGUGACCCUCUCUUUUCUAGAGAUGGGAUGUAAAAAAAGUUAUAUAUGUGUAACAGGAGCCAUAACCUUAAUAUAUAAUUUUUGUGCAUUAACCUUAAUUUCUAAUCAACCAAUCAUCAAUUAGAAAUUACUUACUAGAGCAUCUACAAAUAUUUAGUCCAUACUUUAUUUAUUAACUGAAGCUCAAUAAGUAUUAACCAAAUUAAAUCACUUUUAAUUUGGGUUAACCUUUUAUGAUAGUAAAUAAUAACAUGUAAUUAUUCUUAUUAUAUAUGUGAUGUUCAUAUUUUUCCAACACAAUUUUUUUUAUUACAUGGUUAUCAAGUGAGUAUUUUUUUUAUUUCAAAAUGUCACACUGGUGAAUUUAACAGAAGAAUUUUAAUAGUGUUAACUAUUGAACUUGAAUUUUGAAAUAUGAUAAAGUAAAUGUACUAAAUUCCUAGAAUUAAAAGUAAAGGGACUAAAUUCUAUAUAUAUGAAGUGUAUAAGGACUUAGAGCAUAUUUUAACCUUUUUUAAAAUAAAUAUUUUUUUUCAAAAAAGAUAUUGUAUAAAACUAUUAAAGCGAUAAAUAUCGCUUUAAUAAUAUUUAUUAAUUAAUUUAAAAUUUGAUUUUAAUAUUUUUGUAUUGAGUUGUUAUCAAGUUGGCUCUUAACACCAACUCAAUCGGGUUGAUAUCACGAGUCAACUAAAAUCAACUCAGUUGGGAAAUGACUAAAAAGUUAUUCUUUUUAGGCUUAAUUCAUAAAUGGACCCUGAACUAUAUUGUUUUUCCCACUUUUGUAAUGAAAUAUUUUUUGUCUCAUUUUGGUACUUGAACUAUCAUUUUUGUCCCAUUUUAUUGUAAAAAUUAUUGGAGUCUAAUAAGAAAAUACCAUGGGUCAUGUUCUUAUUAGCAACCUUUUUAUUUUGAGGGAAAAUUGAGACGAAAAUGAUAGUUUAGAUGCCAAAGUAAGAUGAAAAAAAUCCAAUGUCAAGAAAUGGGUAUAAUUUAGGGGCUAAAAUUACGACUUAAGCUUUUUUUUUCACAAAGUAAAUUAUAUUAUUAUAAUGCUAUUUUUAUUUUUAUAUUUUAUACAAAAUGGCACUACAAACAAAUUAUCAUAUACUGACAGCUCAAAAAUCGUUACUAAAAGAAUUUGUCGCUAUAAGUAUAAAAAUCCUAUACUGAUGGCCAAAAGGGCAAUUUCAACAAAAAGCUUACCGUUGAUAGAUGUAACAUCGAUAUACAUUCAUGCCCAUUGAAAACAUGAUCAUUGAAAUAGGUGCAAAAGCCUAUAGUGUCGCUAAAGUAGCAAAUGUCGAUACAGAUAUUGUUUGCAAACGUUAGUAUGCUCAUACAUAUAGCGGUGUGCAUUUCGGUUGGUAUAGGUAUAAACUCAAGUUCUAAUCUUCUCUCUAAUCAUAUAGUGACAAUAUAAACCAUCGAUAAAAAGUUGUAUUAAUAUAAAUUUACUAAUAAACUUUCUGCCAUUCGUAUAGAGUGAAAUUCCAAUUAUAUCCUUGAACAUAUGGGGACAACAUAAGAUGUUGAUAUAAGGUCCAAGUGUAAAAUUUUCAAUUUUAAUUUUAUAAUAUUAAUUUAUGUAUGAUCUUAAUUUAAGAUUGUUACACCCUUAACCUGUCAAGAAGACAUAACGUAUAUCAAUCAUCCAAACAAACUGCUCAACGGAUCAGGGCCUUAUUGAUAGACUCAAAUCCUUUGGCUUAAUUUAAAUCCUUAAGAAAUCAGUUGUAAGGGUUAUCCUUUUAGUUAAAGAUCAUUAUUCUUGGUUAAUUUAGCAAAACAUCUUUAAAGAAAAUAAUAGGAAUUAAUAAACGUAAUCUUAAAAACAUGUGCUGUCAUGUAUAAAGAAUAAACUUAAUAGAAAAGGGCAAGUUUAUAAAUUGCGAAUCAAUGGAGUUUGGCAUACACGUGAAAAAAAAGGGGCAAUUCCAUUUUAAGACAGGACAAUACAAUUGUGGGGGUAAAAACAAAAGUCAAGUACAAAACAUAUACAUACGUCAUCCACCAACUAGCUAUGCAUGAUACGAAAUAGAUAAGUGGCUCACUAGCAGACGCAAAUUUGAUGUAGUCCCCUUCUAUUGGUCUUCUUCUACUACUCAAAAGCCUAAGAAAAAAAAGUAACAAAGUUAAAAUUGAACUUAGUAAAUUUCAGGUAGGCACAUACUGUUUAUCAAAUUACCAAUAAUCGACCAAAAAAUAAAGACAUUUUCAAGACUCAAUCUUAAACACAUUACGCCAAGUUGCAAGUUCAGUUUGCAAUCGACCCAACCUUGUGCUAGCCUCGGGCCCAUUUUUAAAAUCCAAAAUCGCAUAUCAACCAAAUCAUAUUUGUUUUCAUAUUCCUUGUUAGAUUGAACACGUGUUCUCCCGCAAGGUUGAGCCAUGACUUGCCAGUUCAGUUUGUAAUAAAGCUGCCCUACCGAAUACAUCACAAUUAAAGCUUCUUUCCACAUUUCAACUAUCACAAACAGUAUGGCACUGGGCUCGCACACAAAGUGGUUAUUUUUACCUCGACCAUAGCCAUGCUCGCGCACAUAACACAAACUUAUUACACACUCGUCAAUACAAGACACAUCGACCCAUAUUUAGUAAGGAAAACUUACCUUUCAUAACUCACAUAUCAUAGAAUUUUCAUUACUCAAAGGAAGCACGAAGGAACUCACUAGGAAACUCAGGAAAGAAUCUACUCUAUUGGUCUCAUGCCUCGAUUGCUAGGACCUUCACUAGCUUCUUGAGCUAAAUAAGAAAUAAUCAUAAUCAUCAAACCAUUUAUCUACAAACAAUUGAUCAUGCAUGCACUAACGCAAAGACGUAAAUUCCCUCGACAUCAUCCUAAGGGUUUCCCAAAAAUUUACCAGUCGGCUGGUACUUAUCAAUGACAUUUUGACAAGCUUCUGAAAAUUUCCUCGUCUCCUCUAGCAAAGAUAACUAAAAGUUUUACAAUGUAUAGAAGAACACAGAAAAACAAAAGUAAAACAUGGUAGCUAUAGGCAUCCUUAUAUAGUACAGACAGUGGAAAAUAAGCUUAGAGGGAAGGUCAGACAUCCCACUAUCACCCUUGAAAACUGAGGCUAAACUUACCUAACAAGAUUUGAUGUCUAAUUUUUUUACUAAACGCAACUACCACCACUAAUUAGAGUGGUAAAACAUUGCUUGUACACUUAAGCAACCAACUAAACAGGUCAUUUGACUACCUAAACAUAUCAAGUUGUCAUCUGAAGUACUUUAGUUCAAUUCCAAAUAGGUCUCAACUAAACUCUAACAAUACUCACCGAGCUAUUGUUUCCACAUAAAACAACCUUAUCACUCCGCGAACUAACAAGUUCACUCAGAACAACUAGGGUUGGCGGAUCAUCUCAUAAAAGAGUCCGUCAAACCCUAGAGUUCACCAAAUGACGAAUUCCAAUAAGGCGUCCCUUACAAGGGCAUACUGAUAAAUUCAUGCAACAUGCUAACCCAACACUUUAAUUGAUAAUUCACCCCAUUACUACACUAGCUUACUCAAUUAUACGCCAACAACAUAUCGGUAUGAUCUACAUCAGACGGGCUAUUACAAAGAUAAUUUAAAAGUAAAAAUAGUUCGAACAUAAUCUCAAACAAAAUUCAAUUAAACCAUAUGCACACAACAUAGUCCAAAUACAAUAAAAAAAAUUCCAAAUAAAGCAAUGAGAAAUUAAACAACCAAUUGGAACACAUAGUAAAUUAUUUAUGAUCUUAAAAAAAGUAAGCUGAAAUAUAGGAAGCUCAUAUAUGUGUAAAGAAAUCUUGAAUUCUAAUAUCUAAUUUUUGCACAUAUCAUCCAUCUUGCUUGAGCCCUAAUGCCAGUUAGUAAUUACAAACACAUACUUGAACUUGUAAAUAAUAAACACAAUUACAACUCAUUGAGUUCUUCAAAUCAAGCAGAAAAAAAAGUCAUAACAAUUCGAUCCAUAACAUCUACCCUUUCUAAUGAAUAAAUUUUGAAUUACAAAAGAUUCAAUAAGGCAAGUUAAAUAUUCUAAAUAAAAAUCUAUAUUUUGGUAGCUACUAGUCCAUUCUCUUAAUUUAUUUUGGUUCAAUAAAUAAAGCUAACAUUAUAGAAGUGUUAAAUCAAACUAGGCUUGUUUUACAUUUGAUUCAAAAUUAGAUUUAAUUAGGAAAACUCAUUGCUUUUGUUUUUGUUUUUUACUUUGUUCAGUGUAAUGCCAUACCUUAUUAAAAUUUAUGAAAUGGUGAAAACAUAUUUCUUCAACUUAGUAGAGUAUAUAAGCUAACAAGUAUUAGAUCAAACUAUUUAUUUGAGUUCUAGAAAUAAAUAGAACUACACCAACUUAUCUAAUUAUUGUAAAUAACUUUAUUUUGGAGGAUAAUCCUCAUACAUUAAAAAAAGAAGCCACUUCCCAACUUUCGUCACUAGAAAAGGUAACUCUUGCAAGUAGAAAAUUAAAAAAAAUGGAACAAUAAUCCUAGUCAUAAUCCUAUCAACUAAUAAUUUCCAAUUGCAAAAUUAUGUAAGGUUGGCACUUAGAAUUACUUAACAAAAAGAUAAACUUUAUUGUUAUUAUGAGAGAAAAGAAAGUUUCCAAGUUAUUUUUAUCCGCCUUUCCUAGUGGGGGAGAUAAAUAAUUGAAAAUUGAUGACUAAGAAGUAGUGGUUAUUAAGUUAUCGUGAGAAUAAGUGAUUUAAUCAUAGAGAUUUUGUGAAUUGUAUGGCACAAUCGAUAAAACGAAUGAUGAUACUCUCUUGAGUCUCUUAAAGAGUUAUAAAUUCCUAUAUGUGUAGAUUAAGCUCAUAUAAGAAAUAUCGGUUAAGAGCCAUCAAGGUUAACUAAUGAUGUUAUAAGAACAUGAAUUCUAAAUACAAUCAUCAAUAAGAGGCGAGAUGUAAUGUAAGGUUUGGUAGGACUUUGGACAUGUUUGAAUAGAACUUGGAUAAGAAUCUGAAUAAUUUUUGAAUCUACUUAAGCAAUUAUGGAAACAACAAGCGUGGAAUUAAUGUAACAACCUGUUUUCAGUGGUAUUAGAAAUGGUGGUUUUGAAAUUUCAUUUUUCGAUGAUCGAGUCAGUAAAAUAUUAUUUAUUAGUAUUUAUGAGUCUAUUAUAGUGUUACAUUAUAUUUUGGUCUUAUAAUUUUGGUGAUUUGAUGAUUAAUUAGGAUACGAUGACUAAAUUGUAAAAAUUGUAAAAACUAAUCACUAUUGAUUUUAUUAGUUAAAAUGCUUAAUUAAUAUUUGUUUGAGGGUUUAAGUGGUAAUUAAACCACUCUCAAGGGGAUGGACGGUUAGUGCCUUAAAUUUUAAAGGUUUUAUAUGUUAAAAUUUUAUUAAGUUAAGAUUAUUAUAUGUUAAAAUAAAGAAAACAACAUUUUGUACUUUCAUUCUUCUUCUUCCUCACCCGAAAUCACCAUUAUUGAGUUAAGGAGUUUUCAGCUAAGCUUUUUCUUAUUGCAUGGCAUGAAAAUCAAGCACAUUUUUUUUUUUGUAAAUUUUAUGUUUUUGAGAUCGUUGUAGCUUAAUCUAGCUAACCCAAAUACUAAUUUGUAAAACUAUCAAAUAUUAUAAAUGCUACCCUUGGUUGCCAAUUAGGCCUCAUUAGAUUGAUGUUGCGACACCCUAUAACUGGUGUCGCAACAUUGAAGGUCGUAUAUUCCCCUUUUUGGGUUUGAAUUAGAUGUCGUGACAUGGGCUUCUGGAUGUCGUGACAUUAAUGGUUGUAUGCUCCCCCCUUUAGUUCGAAGUUGGAUGUUGCGACUUUGGCUUAUGGGUUUCGUGGCAUUGAUGGAUGUAUGCUCCCCCUCUUGGUUCAAAGUUGGAUGUCACAACAUGGGAUGGUGGUUUUCACAACAUCGAUGGAUGUAUAUUCCCCAUCUAGGUUUGAAGUUGGGUGUCAUGACAUUCCCUUUUAAUGUUGCGACAUCCGGGGUAGUCUUCUAACUCAUUGACCUACAAUAUCGUCCUACACACUUAACCAACAUGUUAGUUCUUCUUAAGGCCCCGAAUCGCCUAAUAGGUCAUAAAACAACACUAAAAGCUCAUUUUAUUGAAUUCAAAUGCAAAACUAAGUAUAAAAACUAAAUACCAGCUCAUUAAGUGUUAAAAAGAGCUUAAUUUGCCACAAAAAAUUGUGGUAGCUCAAUUAUCGAUUUAUAAAGAGAAUUUAUUUUCCUACUGAAAGUAAAUAUUUUAUUUUCAUUCCGUGACUUGGUUCAUGUUACUCGAGCCCACACUCGAGGCAAUUUGUGGUUUGAGGAUAGCAGAGAAGACCAUUUAAUUGAAAGCUAGGAUCGACUUAAGUUUAACUCGCAUAAAGUACAUGUACAUCUUAAUUUUGGUUUAUUGCUAUAAAUAACACAGCAUGCUCGAUUUUAAGAAAAAGUUUUAAACUUCCACUAGAAUUCAAAAUAACUUCUUUCUUAAUCGGAUUUUUCCAAUACUUUAAAGCUAAAAUGUGAUUCCGGGGAGGCAUGUCUUGAGACAUGGCUUCAUUGUCUCCAAACACCGAUAUGCAACUAAACUUUCCAACCCAAGAUUCGUAACCUCAGACCCUAUACUUUCGUAUGUAGGCCUCAUAAAUCAUGUUUGUAUAAAUUUAUAUAUGCAUAUUAUUUCAUGAUGGAUUUCUAUUGCUUGAUAACUGUUUGUUUAAACUGCUUUGACAAUGAAAGUGGUGUCUUGCAUUUUGAUCUGCCCGAGUUAGGUGUAGAGUGUUACAUAACUUCCCUUAAAACUCUUAAUGGUGAUAUCUCAACUUCAACUGAUAAAACCGCUUUCAUCUCAUUACCAUUGAAAAAGGUGUUGCCCUUGUUGAAGUCUUCACAAUUGUAUAAUAAGCAUAAAAUACAAAUGUGAGUUUUUAAUUCCAAUCCUUGUAAGCAUUCGUGCUUUUAGAGAUGAUCCUUCUAAGGUUCAUUUUAGUUGACUCUACCGCCCUAUUUAUCUUAGGUUUGUAUGGCAUAGAAUUACGAUGCUCUAAUUCAUACUGACCAUAAACUUCAAAUAUCAUUGUAUUAUUCAAAUUAUUGGUGUUAUCUGAAAUGAUUCUUUCUAGAAAUCCGUAUCAUCACACUAGGUUAAUAAGCUACUUCUACCCAUUUUGUGAGGUAAUCGGUUACCAUAAAUAUGAAAUUUUGUUCAUUAGAUGCCUUGGAAGAAAUUGGACCAAUCACAUCCAUGCCCUACAUCAAAAAUGGCUAUGGUGUUGCUAAUACAUACAAGUUACUCGCAGCGAUAUUAAUACUAUCAGCAUAAAUUUGAUACUUAUGACAUUUUUUAGCAUAAUCAAUGCAAUCUCUAUCCAUGGUCGUCUAGAAGUACACAACCCUCAUAAUUUGUCUAUCCAUCAUAUGUCCAUUUGUGGGUGCACUAUAGACCCCAUCAUGUAAUUCUUCUAAUAUUCUUUGAGCUUCCUUAGAAUGUACACAUCUUAAUAGGAUACGAUCUCGAUUUUUUUAUAUAUAACACCUCACCAUCUAAGAAAAAACUGAUAGAUAGUCUUUUAAUAAUCCGUUUAUCAUUUUCAUAAACAUGUUUAGGGAAUUUCUGAAAUUUCAAGUACUUCACAAUAUAAUAAUACUAUGGUCGUCCAUCUACUUCUUCAAUGUCGAGGUAAUGAACAAACAUUCUCUUAAUUUCCAAUUUGGAUGGUCGCACCCCUACUUCACAGUUCAAUUUGUGUGCUCUUUCUAACUUAUCUCAUUUUAUUGUCGUGCGCCGCAUCGCAUUGAUCUCCCGAACACCACUAAUUAUAAGAUCAAGACCUUCCACAUAGAGUAGGGAUUAAAAUUGGUGGCUUAGAUAAGUAUUUCUUAACUUUCUUCAGCCCACUCACCAAUAUCAUCCUUUUGAAGUAAUUUAAAUAAUGGAUCACAAUUUAACGUUAAUUGUCGAAUGAAAUGAGAAAUAUAAUUUAAUUUUUUUUUAAAAAAACCCUACUCAUAAACGAACUAAAAUUUUAAAAUCUUACUAUAGUACUAUGGGGAGCGGUCAUAUUUAAGCAGAUUUAGUUGAACCUUUCCCCACUAGCCAAAAUUCCCUCUAAAAUUUCACCUAGAAUGAAUUUGUGAAAUUGCGAUCUCCUACAAACCCACCAAGAAACCCAACAGCUCCACUCAUUUUCCCUCAAAAUUGGUAUUUUCUCUCACCCCAGACUCUAUUCUCGUGUCCAUUCUCUCUAUGCUAACCCCAACACCAGCAACCUCCUCUACGCUUGCUCCACUUUCGAUGGAAUCGAACACCCCUUGUUGGUUCUCUAGAAUAUCAUCCUGAAAUGCUACAUACAAAACCAACAAUCCCACGAAGCUAUCUCCCUGUUCAUCCUUCUACUUGGUAACUUUUCGCCUGAUCAAUUCACGUUUCCUUGUGUGAUUAAGGCAUGUACUAAGUUAACUACUUCGAAAGAAGGGAAAUAAAUGCAUGUUUGCAUACAUUUAGAUUUUUUUGCACUAUAAUUCAAGAUAACUUCUUUCUUAAUAGGAUUUUUCCAAUACUUCGAAGCAAAAAUGUGAUUCAGGGGAGGCAUGUCUCGAGACAUGGCUUCAUUGUCUUGAGACAUUGAUGUGUAACUCAACUUUUCAACCCAGGAUUAGUAAGCUUUGACCCUAGACUUUCGUUUGUGGGCCACGUAAAUUAUGUUUGCAUAAAGUUAUAUUUGCUUUUUUUUCAUGAUAGAUUUCUGUUGCUUGAUGAUUGUUUGUUUAAGCUGCUUUGAAAAUGGAAGUGGUGUCUUGCAUUUAGAUCUACUUAAGUUAGGUGUAGAUUGUUACAUAACUUCCCUCAAAAAUCUUAAAGGCGUUAUCUCAACUUCAACCGGUAAACUCGCUUCCAUCUCAUUACCACUGAAAAGGGUGUUGCCCCUGUUGAAGUCCUCACAAUUGUAUGAUAAGCAUAAAAUGUAAAGGUGAUUUUUUUCAUGCCAAUCCUUGUAAAUUUUACUGGUUUUAGAGAUGAUUCUUCUAAGGUUCUUUUUAGUUGACUCUACCGCCCUAUUUAUCUUAGGUUCGUAUGGCAUAGAAUUAUGAUGCUCUAAUUCAUACUAACCACAAACUUCAAAUAUAAUUAUAUUAUUCAAAUUAUUGGUGUUGUAUGAAAUGAUUCUUUCUAGCAAUUCGUAUCAGCUAAUAACUUCGUUUUUCAAAAAUCUGCACAUUAUUAACCUUGUCACACUAGCAUGAGAAGCUACUUCUACCCAUUUUGUGAAGUAAUCGAUUAUCAUAAAUAUGAACUUAUGUUCAUUAGAAGCCUUCGAAGAAUUGGACCAAUCACAUCCAUGCCCUACAUCAAAAAUGGCUAUGACAUUUAUUUGACACUUAUGACAUUUUUGAGACUUUUUUACUUAAAUAAUAUAAAAAAUAAAAAAUUCCAAAAUGGUAUACAAGAUUAGUUAUUUACGAAAAUGGCAUAACAGGGGUGAUGGAGGGUGGUGCAUAGGCGGCACCACCCCUAUUUUCUAACACCUAUUACUUUCAUCUAAAAAAACAAGAAAAAAACAAUUUUUUUAGUGGUGCAACCUUCUUGAUAGGCGACACCAAAGUAUUUUACCCCAACCUAAAUACAACCAACCCCAACCUGAAUACUACCCCAACGAAACUUGAGGAGGCUAGUUGAUAGGUAGGAUUGGUGAAGGGUACCCUACAGGCAGCACUAGCUUGCUACUUCUGCCCUCAUCUGCUUCUCUGUGCGUGAUUAGACGAGACUCUUUAAGGGUCUCAUGAAAAAUAGUUUUUGGGUACAUUAUAAUGGUCCCCUAAUUGAAAAAAAUGGAAGGAGAAGAUUUAGAGAAGAGAACGGGAAGAAAAAAAAUAAAGAAAAAGAGAGUAGCAAAAUAAAGAAGAAAAGAGAAUGAGAAGGGGAAAAAAAUAGAAUAGAAGAGAAGGGGAAAGGAAAAAAAGAGAAUAAAAGAGAAGGAAAGAAGAAAGGGAAAAAUAUUUGGGUUUAGGUAGUUAAGUUUAAGGUUUAGUUUGGGUUUGGGUUUGAAAAAAAAGACUAGUGGAUUUUGUUUAAGGUUUGGAAAAAAGGGAUUAAGGUAUUUAGUUUGGGUUAUAAGAGUUUAGGGUUAAAAAAAUUCAAAAGAGGUGUUUUUUUUAGUAUUUAUACCUUAUUUGUUAGUUUAGUGAAUUUUUUUAUUUAUAGGUUAUAAAUGUUUUUGAUUUGUUUAACCAUGUUAUUUUAGAAAUGUUUUUGAUUAAUUUAUAUUCUGAUUAAUUCUUUUUUUAUUUUUAUAAGGAAAUAUUUCGGUAAGAAAGGAAGGUUUUUGAUAGGUAGUAUUAUGGUAAGGUAUGUUUCUAUUUUAUUUUUUGAUUCGUAUGUUUUUUUUAUAUUUUUUAUUAGAUUCAAAUAACAACAUUAGUCUUAUUAGGUUUAUUACGUUGAGAUAAUUUUUGUUGUUUUAACUUUUUUUUUGUUUUUUUAUGUAGGUACAAGAUGACACCAUUGAGUUAGAAAUUUAUGAGAUAUUUUUUAUGUUCUUUAUUAUCUUAAGUAGUAUAAAAGCAUUUAUUAUAUACUAAAAUAGUAUGACAAAAAAUGUGAUGUGCACCAAACUCUUUAGUAUUUUUGUAAUUAUAUUAUUAGUGUACUAUAUUUGUUGUAUAAUAUUAAUCUGUUUUGAUAAUUAUUUAAAAUGUGAUAAUUAUUUUUUGUUAGGGUGUCCUAUUUCUAUAUUUUAAUAUUUCUUCUCUUAUUAUUGGGAUAAAAAGGCCCAAAUAGAAAUUAAUUACUUAUCGAAAUGUGUUUUUUGCAAAAAAACUAAUUGAAUUCAAUUUUUUUUAGGUUGCAGAUAUCAAAAUAGGUUCUUUGAUUAAAGAUGAUAAUCACAUAUCAAAAACGGUUAAUAUGAUGAUAAUAAAAUUGUUAUUUCUUACCUUAUAAAAAUUUCCAAGUCAUUUACAGAUUUAAACUAGGUUAUAUUAACCAUUUUUGUAAUUUAAUAGUAUCAGGGCCCGUACUGCACAUUAAGGAGUCAUGUGAACGGUUUAGGAUAUCUGCCGGAUGAACGACUAAGGCCAUACUUUGAGUUAGCCGGAUUCAGAUCAGCGGUAUUGAUCUGGACGUUUGAUUUACGGUACGACUUAAUAUCUGCUUUGGUCAAGCGAUGGCGCCCAGAGACCCACACUUUACAUUUGUCGUGUGGGGAGUGCACCAUCACUCUGGAGGAUGUUGCACUACAACUUGGGCUCCCACUCGACAGGAGUGCGGAACGGGCGUAAGUGCGAUCUCUGAGCCGGUCGCCCUUUGCUAUAACCUACUAGGAGUCUUGCUCGAUGAUGUUGAGUCGAAAUUUUUGGGUUUGAGGUUUUCAUGGCUAAAGGUCAAUUUCAAACAUUUAUCGAUUAAUACCACUGAGCGAGAGGUGAUGUGCACCGCUCGAGCGUACAUUAUGCACAUAUAGGGGGUGUACUCAUGCCAGAUACAAACAACAAAAAGGUUCAUUUGAUGUACUUACCUUGUUAACUUAUUUGCAUAACGUUUGUUCGUAUAGUUAGGGUUUCGCAGUACUAGCUAUGUUGCAUCACAAGCUUUCUUAGAUGAAAAAUCCUUCUGCUGUAGACAUAGAUGGAUGCCUCAUAUUGGUGCAGUCUUGGGCGCUUUACCGGAUGCCAUUCCAGGAAUCGGUUAGUCAUGAAGCAUAUGUCUUUCCACUUGUGAAUAGGUGACAAAAAUUUGUCUUAUUAUAGCAAUUAUUUGACAUUUCUUUUUUAAUGAUAUUAUUCUAACAAGUUUUUGUUUCCGUAGAUGGAGUACUAAUUCGGGUAUCGAGAGGUUAUACACGGUUCUGAUAUACCAUCUAAUGAUUGAGACACAUGCUGGGGAAAGGUUAAGCUAUUCUAAUAUUUGUGACAUGUAAUUAUUUUAUCUAUCUUACUCGAACCGUGUUAAUAUAGCCAUGUUAUUAAUUCUGUAGUUCAUCUAGAUGCCCUAUUCCUUCCUGCAAACUGCGGCUGUGAUUCCCUUGUCUACCCAUAUCCAUUCACACGUGUGGUGCAUUAAUGCACCCAUUAUAAAUUUCCAGACAAUGGAGUGGUAUAACAAGGAUUGAGUACUCCAGUAGUUCGGAUGCAUAUAAUAUAUCUCGGCACCACUAGUGUAAUUGAGGAAGAUCCACGAGAUUAGCAAGAGGGGAAAAUAGGGAAAUAAUUGGACAGUAGUGCAUCAACAAUAUAUUGCAGUAUGGAACAACUGGAUGGGGCAGGGACCUCAGAUGGAUCUUUCUUUCGAUUUGCAUCCUUUGUUACAGUACAUACAGUGGUACUCCAAAAAGGGGAAACUGUAUUUAUUUGGUGGGCAAUCGAUUGUAGUCCCCCCACACAUGUCAUGACUUCGGCAAUUCGCCCAUCCCCUUCCACAUCUGCCUCCUGCACCUGAGCUAGAGCCCUCAUUCAAACCCGAGUUGACAUUCGAACCCAAGCGGUCUCAUACACAGUUUGGGGAUAGUUCUUAUCAUCCAAACCUGGGGGUCAGUGACUAUUUCCCGUGCUCGUUAGGCCAUAAAUAUCAUUCAGAGUUUUAAAAUCCAGUUCUGGUAUACUUGAUCUGAUGUCAUCGAUGAUGUUUGAUAUCUUCAGCCCAUUACCACCGCAGUACUUCACUCCUCUUGGGAAAACGUUUGGGUUAUACAAUUUUUCCACUAUGUUAUGCACACCCACAGGUCCGGGUCAGGACCGCAUUGAUCACCGCGAGUAUUAGCAAAGUGAACGCUGACCACCACAACAAUUUACCCCUAGGACAACACCAUCAAACCAUCAAUUUUAGAAGUUUCUGUCAUUUCAAUGGUCAAGUUUGUAUGUAUUUAAUUGUAGUAAAAUUUGAGCAUUUAAAUUUAUUUUUUUACUUAACUUUCAGGUUUUUUUGGUACUAAAUUUAAAUGAAAUGGUGUUUAAGGUAUAGAUUAUCGACUUAUAUACAUACAAAAUACAAACUUUGUAAUAUAAAUGCAAAAAUAUAAACUUUGAAAUAUAAAUGCAAAAAUACAAACGUUGUAAUAUAAAUUAGAUUCAUUAGAGUACAUUGGCUCAAUUUCCACCUGACCACGACGACUAACCAAUAUGGUAGGUUUGUUACGGGCAUUUACUUCGAUUGUGCCCAGCUAAUCUGUACACGCCACAAAGCUUCCCACUAGUUUUCUCUCUAAUGUCCAUUUCGUUACGGAUUCUAGUUGAUUGUAGACUCCUAUGCAACUUUUUGUCUGGGACAAGCUCAAAAGUCAUUGUAAGCGCCUCCCAUGUAGACAAAUCAGGUAGGACGGGGAACUCAUUUUCCCAAACACACAACAUGUGCUCGAUAGUAUUCACCUCAGUUAUAAACUAUUCAACAUUGAGCGAGGUGCGAGCACAGACUGUCACGACAUGCACACAGGGAUAAUGAAGGGUCUGGAACCUUCCGCAAUCGCAUCGUCUGUUUCAGAGAUCAACUCCGUAGGACCUAGAUGGGAUACCGAGUCGACGACCAAUGGUCUCUGUAACUCGAAAUGUUUCAAACUGUUGUGAAUAUAUUUCUAUAUUCAUCGACCUCGCCUUUCAACGGUUCGCAUCCAUUGCAUCUCUGACAUCUUUAACAAACACGUGGCCCAUAUUAAUCUGGUUGACUUGUUUCAGCCCCAUUCUUGGCAUCAAGGUAGCCAACCAGUAGAACGCAAUCGAGAACACAGAUAAAAUCAGAAGAUGUCGUGUGUUCUUCAACACAGAGUUAAUUGCCUUUGCCAGGUUGGUGGUCAUAGGACCAUAUCGAAAUUCGUCAUUGAAACUUUUAGCCCAUUGCCACGGCUUUGUGGUACCCAACCACUGUCAGAAAGGAGUGUUAGUUUCACCUUGCAUUCUACCCUCUAGUCUGGUCAUCUUUUGUCAAAAAAUGUGUUGUUCUAGCUCGUACGUUGUGUAUGUAUUAAGAAAAAACAACUUACAGUCUCGAAUUAAUUUGUUCUAGUAUUGAUAAUAUUAAAACAUAUAUUGAAAAUAAAUUUUACCCAUUUUCACAACUUGUCUCCGUAAGUCUGCAUUAUUGUACUCUCGGUGAAAGUUAGUCGCGAUGUGUCAUAUACAGCAAACUAAUCUCCAUGGUACACCAAAAUGCCUAAUGGUGACAAUUAUUCUCUUCCCUCUAUCAGAAAUGAUGCAAAUAUUAUUUUCACUAAUAACAUACCUUAGUAGGUUCGUGAGGAAGAAUUCUUAUGAUUCGAUGUUCUCCUUGUCCACAAUGGAAAAUGCUAUCAGGCGCAUGUUCUUGUUCUUGUCUUGAGCAAUCGCAAUAAGUAGGAUUUGCAUAUAUUUCCCGUAUGGUUAGGUCCCAUCUACCUGCACAAGCAGUUUGUAAUGGGAAAUGCCCGCACGCAUAUAUCAAAUGUCCAAAACAUCUAAUGGAAAAUUCUUCUUCCCAGUUCUAGUUGAUCAUCCAGGCCGUAAGAAGGUUGUAUCUCCAACUACCUAGCAUGUACUCCUGCAUAGGAGCUAUCUACCCCUGUAGCUCAUUGUACGACGCAUCGUAAUCCCCGUACAAUUGUUUUAUUGCCAUCUGUUUAGUUAUCCAUGCUUUCCAGUACGAUACUCGAUAUUGGAAUCGUCCUUACAUUUUUCCAAUCAAUACCGAAACUUUAAUGGUUGGCAUAUCAUUCACCAUUGGCAUGAUGCAUGUGCAAAUAGUUUUGGAAUCAAGUUUUCAAUGGUCUUUUGUCAUACAUGUUGAAAUGCAUGUGUAAGGCCCAACAAAUUUUAGUAUCUCCCACAUCUGUGAGUUCUGGAUAAAUAUGGCUCGUACCCACCAAUUGCAGCCUUCCGUCGACCUCCAACACUCCCCAAUAUACAAUGUCAGUUUAAACACAUCGACUUUGUAGUCUACUGACACAGUCAUGCUAUACUGCUUAAUGGCAAAUAUACACUUUUCCUUGGUUUCGAAUUUUUGACCCACGAAAAACUCCUCAGGUUCAAAAUCUAUGGCCAACUAUUGAGUAGGCAGUAUAUCAGGAUACUCCGAGAACUUGACUGGAUGCGUCGCAUCGAGGUUUAUUAACAACAUGUGUCCCCCAGGAUCAUUACAUAUCACAAUGCAUCGAACCAGGUUCUCGAUUGAAGACUUGUUAACAUUUCCAUCGUCAUUUGCGCCUUCAUCGUCUAUAUCAUUCGGGACUUUAUACACAUUGGGAUCACUAUCACCAUCGACCUCAUGAUCAGAAGGAUCACUACUAUCAUAUCCAUCAUCAGCAUCCGCAUCAGUCUUAGGUGCAACACUAAGAUCGAUGUCAAACUCGCAUAAAAUUUAUUGGCAAUCAACAUAGGAUAUCGGAACCACCAUACACGAAUGUUGAACUCUAUGUUUUUCACGUAAUGGAGUGGGAUCUUCAGCUGGCUCUACAUCAGCUAACUCAGCAAAUAACUGAAUCAGUGUAUUUUGGUGGUUCUAAUUCCCACAAUAAAGAGUGGUCAUUGUCUCCACAUCUUCAUCGUUUACAAGUUCUAUCUCGGUGAAUUUGAUGGGAUCUGUCAAAACUGGAAACUUGUAGAAAGGUUUCGAGAUCGUUCUCCCACAACAUUUAACAAUUUUUGCACUAAUCAUUUCUUCAUAUCAUCAACUGAGACAUUUCUAUUAAAUCUCAUUGCUAUUUGUUGGUGACAUUCAAAUAUACAUCCAACUAUUAUUAUAAAAAUUACUCCAUCAAAAUAAACACAUAUGAAAAGUUGAUUAUCUAUCUUCAAUAUUAGAUCUGUUAAAAAAGAAAUAAAAAUUCUCAAUACAGUUUCAAGCAAAAUAAUUACUGUAAUAUAAAACAUGAAUUUCAUAUCUACUAACCUAGUGAAUUAUUCUUUGUUCAUUUACUAUUCUUCUACAUAAUUAUUUUUUGUUGUUAUUUGAAUUCUCAAAACUUUAUUCCCAAACACUGCUUAAAUAAGGCUGAGAACUGGUGCUACCCACAACAUUGACACCACUGGUGCCGCCUAUAACAUUGGAACCAUACUUUGGUGUCACUUUCCCAUGGGCACCACUCAUUGGUGUCGCCUUUCUCAUGGGCACCACCACCAAAACUUGUCCCCAAGCCCGUAUUUAACCCAUGUAUUGGAACUGUAUGGGAAAAUACUUUGGUGCCAUCUAUUGUAACGCCCAGAAUUUAGGCUUAGAAGUAUUGGGCCUUGAGUAAGGGAACGGUUAGGAAACUUUGCAUAAAUGAAUGUCUGCUUCAAUAGUUAAGUGAUUUAGGAGUGUUUUGAAGUGUUUGAGAAGUCUUGGGUUCAAACCUGGGCCUUAGCAAAAAUUUUGGUUUUAAGCAGAUAAAACCCUAGAUGCUUGGAUAUAGGCCUUUUAAAUUAUUGUGUUAAAAAAAUGUCAUAAAGAAGCUUGUGGUCUAGUGGUUGUGGCAUCAUUAAGGUUGCAAGGGAGCCUGGGUUCAAGUCUUGGCUUUUGCAAUUUAUUUUGGAUUUCUUUUAAAGGAACCUAAACUUUGGCCUUUAGACCUUUUUAUUAAUUGAAGAUAAAAUGUGACACAAAAAGAGUUUGUGGUGUAGUGGCAAGGUAGCGACACAGGUGUGGCUAGGAGGUGGCGUCACAGGUGUGAUAAGGAGGUCAGAGGUUCAAGUCUCACUGCAUGCAAAUGGGAUUAUUUAUUUUUCUCAUGAGGAGGCAAGAGUUGGUGUUGGAUUUAAACUCUGUAUUGGAGAGUUUGAAUGGGUCAAAUGAGUGAUUUAAGGAGUGGAUUAUGGAGGAAAUCAAGGGAAGUUGGGUAGGUGAAAGUUAGUGCCGAAAUAGGGUCUUUACUUUUGGAAAUUCGGCUAGUGUGUUGUAGGGAUGCUAUUUUUCUUUUACCAUUUCGGCUUUUGGCUCAUUUUUUUCGGUUUUGAAAUAGUGAUAUGGGUGGUGGCUGAUUUUACUCUAGUCACUCCUUUCAUUUUAGUUCUUUUUGCCUUUUGCCAAAAUCGAGCAAUACCCCUUGUCUGUGCUAUUUUCUUUUCAACAAUUGCUGCUUGUGCCAAUUCUCCCUAUAUUCUCCUCCUCCUGGCACUUUUUUGCUCUUUUUGCUUCUCAAUUUGACCGAACCAAUCCCUUCUCUCCAUCCUUUCUUACUCAUUCGAAGUUUUUCUUCUCACUUAUCUAAAACCGAAUUCUCCUUCUCUUUAUUUCUUUUUCUACAACUUUUCAUCUCUGUCAACCUUAAGUAUUCUUUCUUAAUCUGAAAUUAGGCCGAAUAUUAGUUAUCAUUUCUUCUUCUUCUCUUCUAAUUCGGUUGACUUUUGAUUGUUGCUCGUGACCGAUUCUCUUCCUUCCCAUCUGCUUUAAUCCGCAUCGCCAAAGGUUUGUUGGUUCUGUGGCCGAAUGCUAGUUCUCUUGUUGGCCAUGUGUUUUCCUUAGGUAAGUAUUUGAUUAACCUUGGUUUGGAUAUUGAUGCUUACUAGAGGUUGUGGUAUAGAUAAACCACAGGGAGAUGAGAUCGAUUCAUAAUCAUACGGCUUAGGAAGUAUAAACCGAUUCAAUUAAGGAAGGUAUUAAUCUUGGGUUCGGUUUCUGUAUUAAAAAGGCUUGUUAAAUCUUAUUAAUGGAAUGGCUAACCGAGUACCUUAAUCGAAUAUAGGUUCAACGCUCGUGGGCUACUGCGUUUUUCUUCAACAAGGUGUGUACACACACCACUUCAAUUGUAGAUCGGCAAAUGCCAAAAUCCUGAAAUGCCGAAAAGUCGAAAAGUUGAAAGUACGGCUACGGCUAUCACACGAGCGCACGAACGCGCGUGUGGAUAAGUUGAUACAACGAUAGAGGUCACCACGAGCGAUCUCGUGGUCUUAGGCUAUUUUUGGCCCAAAUGGAUCGGACUAGGCCGAGUAGGCCCAACGGGCCAUGGGCCCUACGCGAGUAAAUUUUCCUGGAUGGAUAGGAAAUAAUGAGCCGGCCAUGACGAUCGCAUGACCAAGGGCAGUUUUAGGUUUAAUGGGCCACACGAGCGAGUGGGCCCACUUAGACCCAUCUACACUAUUAGGACCAUUUAGGUUAUCUGUGUCGCUCGAGGCGACUAUAGACCUUCGAAAAGGUUGUUAAAUUACCGUAGUACCCCUAUAAGUAAAAUAAUCGUAAUGCCCUUAGAGGGUAAAUGACUAUUUUGCCCCUCGUGGGUAAAUGACUAAUUUGUGCUAUGGUUUGAUUGACUUAACUAUUAACGAUAUGACUGAUUCUGAGCAUGGCAUACUGCAUACACGACAUACUGCAUGGGGUUGGGAUCUUGUAUUGGAGGAAGUGAUUGAUAUGUGAGGGUCACACGGGUCGCAUGUGACGACUGUGGACCCACCGAGGGCUAUAAGCCGAUUAUGUGAUUGGCAGCUCUGCUGCAAUAUUGGUUAGUGUCGCAACCGGUGCUACAUAAGGAGUGUAGGGAUGGGUGGGUCGAUUUAAUCCCCACAUGAAUGUAGGGUUGGACAGGAGAUGGAGUGCAGGGUUGGUAUGGGUAUUUAUGCAUUGCAUAUACUGAUUCUGAUAUUGAGAUGGGCUUAGGCCCAGAUAUAUGUGUUAUGUGCCAUUUGAUAUGGGCUCAGGCCCAACCGAGGCUGAUGGGGGUUAAGGCCAUUUGCCACCGUUACCAUAUUGGGCUAAGGCCCACACUGAUACUGUUAUUGUUAAGGGCUCAGGCCUAGACUGAUUUUGUUUCUUUAAUAAGGGGAUUACACACUGAGUUUUCGUAAACUCACCCCAUUUUUAACCUUUCAGGUAAUCCCCAGCGUUAGACGGUUCAGAGCUGUGAGGGACUCGGAGGUGGCCAGACAACUGCACUUGUUUUAUUCUAUUUUGCUGAUUUACUUAAGCAAUUUGAUUUUGAUUCAGGUUGUAAUAAGGCCUCUAUACUUUCUGGAUUUUAAAUUUGGGAUUUGAUGUGAUUGUGAUUUAUAUCUGCUAGAAGUAGAACACAGUUUUCCAAAACAAUAAUUGUUUUCUAACACUACGUUUCCGCACCUCAAUUUUUAAAUAUCAUGUUUUCAUAAAUCAUUUGCUUUAACUUAAGCUUCUGCAACAAUAAGGUUUUGAAGGUAAUAACUUUUUAAUUAACCUCGAUUGAAAAUAAACAAACGCAAACUGAGGUUUUAUACAAGUUUUAAAUGACAAGAAGUUUGAAAUUUCAAAAAGGGUUUUUAAUGAAAACAUGGUUUUCAAAAAACACUUCAAUGUGACACGCCAGAUUUGAGCCUAACUUUUAGGCCGGAUUUGGGGUGUUACAUCUAUCAACAAGGCUGCACCAUUAAAAUUUUGAUUUUUUUAGUUAAAAGUGAUGGGUGUCAAAAUAUAGGGGUGGUGCCGCCUAUGCACCACCCUCCACCACCCAUAGUAUACCAUUUCCGUAAAUAAUUUAGAUGGUAUACCAUUUUGGAACUUUUAAUUUUUUAUAUUAUUUAAGAAAAAAAAAUCCAUUUUUGAGCAUAAUCAAUGCAAUCUCUUUCCAUGGUAGCCUAGAAGUACACAACCCUCAUGAUUUGUCUAGCCAUCAUAUGUUCAUUUGCAGGUGCACCAUAUACCCUAUCAUGUACUUCUAAUAUUCUUUGAGCUUCCUUAAAAUCUACACAUAUUAAUAAGAUAUGAUCUCGAUUUUUUUUAUAACGCCUCAACAUCUAAGAAGAAACUGAUAGAUAGUCUUUUGAUAAUCUGCUUAUCAUUUUCAUAAGUAUGUUUAGGGAAUUUCCGAAAUUUCAAGUAUUUCACAAUAUAAUAAUACUAUGGUCGUCCAUCUACUUCUUCAUCAAUGUCAAGGCAAUGAACAAACAUUCUUUUAAUUUCCAAUUCGGAUGGUCACACCUUUACUUCACAGUUCAAUUUGUGUGUUUUUUCUUACUUAUUUCAUUUUGCUGUCGUGCGCUGCAUCGCAUUGAUCUCCCGAACACCAAUAAUUAUAAGAUCAAGACCUUCCUCACAUAGGAAGGAUUAAAAUUGGUGGCUUAGAUAAGUAUUUGUUAACUUUCUUCAGCCACUCACCACUAUCAUCCUUUCCAAGUAAUUUAAAUAAUGAAUCACAUUUCAACGUUAAUUGUGGACUAAAAUAAGAGAGAUAAUUUAAAAGUUAAAAAAAAAAAAGAAAGCCCUACUCAUAAACAAACUAAAAUUUUCAAAUUUUACUGGAGUACUAUGGGAAGCAUACCUAUUUAAGGGUAGGUUUGGAUGGGCGAUUAGGUGCGGUGCGGUGCGGUUAACUUACUUUUUAUCUCACGCUACAAUAUCGAUACAGUAUCUAAUCUCACCACAUCAAGUUUUUCACUAACCGCAAUUAAAAGGUUUUUUACUAACCGCAAUUAAAAGGCACCGCCUAUCCAAAUUCACUCUAAGCAUAUUUAGUUAACACUGCCAGCCAAAAUUCCCUCCAAAAUUUCACCUAGAAUGAAUUUGUGAAAUUGCGAUUCUCUUCCCUUGGCAUCCCAAAAUGCAAACUCUAACCCUUUCCAACAUGCUCCACCAGCACUUCCCUGAUGCUCUCCAUUUUUCGCUUCUCAAAUCCUCCAAAACCCACCAAGAAACCCAACAGCUCCACGCAUUUUCCCUCAAAACCGGCGUUUUCUCUCACCCCUCACUCUCUUCUCGUCUCCUUUCUCUCUAUGCCGACCCCAACAUCAACAACCUCCGCUACGCUCGCUCCGUUUUCGAUCGAAUCCAACACCCCUCGUUGGUUCUCUGGAAUAUCAUCCUCAAAUGCUACAUACAAAACCAGCAAUCCCAUGAAGCUAUCUCCCUGUUCGUCCUUCUGCUUGGUCAUUUUCCGCCAGAUGAAUUCACGUUUCCUUGCGUGAUUAAGGCAUGUGCUAAGUUAACUGCUUUGAAAGAAGGCAAACAAAUACAUGGGUUGGUUUUGAAGCUUGGCUUCGGAUUAGAUAAAUUUGUGCAGGCUAGUUUGGUUAAUUUGUAUUCCAAGUGCGGCGAGAUUGGUUCUGGUUACACAGUGUUUGAUCAAAUGGAUGAGAAAGAUUUGGUUUCAUGGAAUUCUUUGCUUGAUGGGUAUGCAAGGUGUGGAGAAGUUAAGGCUGCCAUGAAGGUGUUUGAUGAAAUGCCUGAAAAGGAUUGUUUUUCAUGGACGGUUUUGAUUGAUGGGUUGGCGAAAUGUGGGGAGGUUGAGACUGCUAGAAAGAUAUUCGAGAACAUGCCAAAUAGGAAUUUAGUUUCGUGGAAUACUAUGAUUAAUGGGUUUAUGAAAGCUGGAGAUACUAAUUCCGCUUGUAAAUUGUUUGAUCAAAUGCCCACAAGAAAUUUGAUCACGUGGAAUUCAAUGAUAGGAGGAUUCAAAUUGAACUUGCGCUUUUUGGAAGCUUUGGAAAUGUUUGAGAGAAUGUUGGAGGAGGAAUUUAGGCCCACUCACGCUACGUUAGUUAGUGUGAUUUCUGCUGUCUCUGGAUUAGCUAGUCUUGGCACGGGAAGAUUGAUACAUUCGUAUAUUGUUAAAAAUGGAAUCGAAUUAGAUGGGGUGGUUGGGACAGUGCUGAUCGAAAUGUAUUCCAAGUGCGGAGGCAUUGAUAGUGCGGUAACUGUUUUUCGGACAAUAAGCCACAAAAAGUUGGGGCAUUGGACUGCUAUAAUUGUAGGCUUGAGUAUUCAUGGCAUGGCUGACCAUGCUCUGAAGCUAUUUCUUGAAAUGCGCAGAAUUGGUGUGAAGCCUAAUGCUAUAACUUUUGUUGGUGUGCUUAAUGCUUGUAGUCAUGUUGGAUUGAUUAACGAUGGUUACAAAUAUUUUAAUAUGAUGAUAAAUGAAUAUGGAAUUAAACCUGCUAUAGAACAUUAUGGUUGUUUGGUGGACAUAUUAUGCCGAGCUGGUUGUCUUGAAGAAGCAAAAGAUAUCAUUGAAGAAAUGCCCAUGAGACCAAACAAAGUAAUCUGGAUGACAUUGCUUAGUGGUGCUAGGAACCAUAGAAACACAAAAAUAGGUGAAUAUGCUGCUCAAUAUUUGAUUGAAUUGGCUCCAGAGACUACUGGUGGUUAUGUUGUCCUUUCCAAUAUGUAUGCUGUAGCAGGUGAGUGGGAGAAAGUUUCUAAGGUAAGAGAAAUGAUGAAGAAGAGAGGAUUAAGAAAAGAUCCCGGCUGCAGUUCAAUAGAGCAUAAAGGGGUGGUUCAUAACUUUAUUGUGGGAGAUAAAUCACAUCCGCAAACAAAAGAAAUUUAUUCCAAAUUGGCUGAGAUGAGAGAGAAGUUGAAACUGGCAGGACAUGUUCCUGACACAAGCCAAGUGUUGUUGUAUAUCGAAGAGGAGGAAGAGAAAGAAGCAGAAUUGGAAAACCAUAGUGAGAGGUUGGCUAUUGCCUUUGGUCUCAACAAUACUGAAGCUGGAUGUCCCAUUCGCAUCAUGAAGAACCUUCGUGUUUGUAGUGAUUGCCAUUCCGUCACUAAACUGCUUUCUAAAAUCUAUAGUCGUGAGAUUAUUGUGAGAGAUAAUAGCCGGUUUCAUCAUUUUAAAGAUGGAUUGUGUUCUUGCAAAGAUUUUUGGUGAUUACCUCAGAUGUUGGCUGGUAUUAUUGCCUUCUUUCAACGGAACUGAAAGGGAAGACCCUCAUGAUAACUUUAAGGUCUUCAGGCUGUGUUUUGUCAUCACGUUUGAGGGUUUACAGAAAUGGCUAGAUAUGUUUCUUGCGCUUUAUUUAUAUCAACUAACUGAACCAGCCUCUUACUACAAAAUAAAACAUUUGCUUUAUGAUCUCAUCUCAUUUCAAGAAAGGUGCUAUUUCAGGGAAAAAGGAUAUGGAUUUAAUGAUACAACAGCUCAAAAGACUAGCAGUGAAUUACAUCAGUACACAGCAACAGAUGCUACAUAGCAGUUAAUGUUACAGCUUUCAGAGACAUAUCUAUAAUCUAAGUUCAUUUUCCGGGGACAAAGUUAGUGGCAUAAGCCCAUGCGUUGUUGGCCACCGGAUCGGCAAGGUGGUCAAGGAGGUUCUCAAUGGGACCCUUUCCUGUGACAAUAGCCUGGACAAAGAAUCCAAACAUGGAGAACAUUGCAAGGCGGCCAUUCUUGAUCUCCUUAACCUUCAAUUCUGCGAACGCAUCAGGAUCAUCAGCCAGUCCAAGUGGGUCGAAAGCACCACCUGGGUAAAUUGGGUCCAGUCCUUCACCAAGUGGUCCCCCUCCAACUCUGUAUCCUUCAACAAAUCCCAUGAGCACAACUUGGCAAGCCCAGAUUGCAAGAAUGCUCUGAGCAUGGAUAAGGUUUGGGUUGCCAAGAUAGUCAAGGCCACCCUCGGAGAAUAUUUGAGAUCCAGCUUUGAACCAAACUGCCUCUCCGAACUUAACUCCAUUCUUUGAAAGAAUUUCAGGGAAGACACAACCAAGGGCACCAAGCAUUGCCCAUCUGCAGUGGAUCACUUCAAGCUCACGGUUCUUAGCAAAUGUCUCUGGGUCAGCUGAUAACCCAGCAGUGUCCCACCCAUAGUCACCAGGGAAUUCACCUGUCAGGUAUGAUGGGAUUUGGUCUGAGAAUGGACCCAAGUACUUUGGGCGGUCAGGGCCAUACCUGUUUUUAAAACCAAACCGUAGGUAAUCAGAUCAAGAAGCAGAAAUAUAGUUCCGUUGCAUGAUUUCGCUUGUACAUGUUAUUUCUCUUUAAAUGUAUGGCUUAAAAUAAGGCAGAUUGCUGCUAGAAUGUACUGUACAAAUUGAAAUUUUUAGUCUGUUGUUUCACAAUAUUUGGGUUAACCAUCAAUGAUUAGACUAAAAAGAUCCUUAUAACAAAAUGCUACUAGUUAGUACUAGGAAGUAGUAACAAAAGUAUACCAGAUGCUGGUAGGGGCACUUUUCACAGUUCUGCGCAUGGUAACACGACCACCAUGGAAAGCUCCGACUUUGCGUAAGAGCUCAUUGGACUGCUUCAAAGCGGUCUGGCCAACGAAAGCAGAUUGUUGGAUAGCAGAGGUUGCCAUGGUGCCUAAGGCUUUAGGUUGACUUGGUUUGUUUGCCGAUGGUUAUUGUAGUCUAUUUUGGUUUGGAGGAGAGAAGGGGUUAUAAUGGAAAUGAGAAGAUGUUGUGGAUCAGGAAAUGUACAUGUCAGCAGCAGUCUAUUGGUUGCUGCAUUGGUGUGGAUUUGCAAUUGGAUUUUUUGGAGAGUUGUAUAGGUUGAUUUUAUGCCGCGUGGAUUUGGAAAAAUCUUCUUGAUGUUUUUGGUGGUGAAGCUAAAGCCAUAUAUAUAGCCACUUAACUCUGCUAAUAUUUCUCAUGUUCUAGUAUCUCUUGUAUCAUCCGUAUAGAUAUAAGCAGCUAUUAGUGAAUAAUAAAAAUAUCUUUUAAAAGGUUAAAAUAAAUAAAAUUAUUCAAUUUAAAUAUAUAUAAACAUAUAUAUUUAUUUAGAUUUAAAUUAAUAAAUAUGUAAGAAUAGAGUUUGGCAUAAUAAUUUUAUUAAUUUAUUUAAAUAUAAAUGGACUAAAUAUACAAAAAAAAAAUAAAGUUGGUUAAUAUUAAAUUUUGAACCUUUUAAUUGAUUUUUUUAAUAAAAUUUACUAAUUUAUAGAUAAAACUAUAAUAAAUUAAUAUAUAAUAGAAAAUUUAUAUAUAACUUUUAAAAGUUGUACACUUAAAAACAUAAUCAUCUUUCUUUAGGAUACCACUAUUAAUACAUAUUUGAGUUUGAAAUUAUGAUAACUUAAUAGGGUGACUCACAAUCAUGUCUACAUUAUAUUUUUUAAAAUAAAAAGAUGUUUAUCAAAAUAGAAUUAUAACUAACAUUUGUAUAAAAUUAAAUUAAAUUAUUGACAACGUAAUAAUAAAUUUCAUAGUUAGAAUUAUAUAAAUUAUAUAAUCUAUUAGUAAAAAAAUAAGUAACUUCUAUAUUUGCAAAUAUCAUUUUUUUUGUAAUAUGAUAUUUUAAUUAUACUUUUAAGUUUUGAAAUUAUUUUAAUUUACAUGUUAAAGCACAAUUCACUUAACGUCCUAAAUAAUUAAUAUUACAAAUAAUAUAUAAAAUAGUCAAUAACAAUUCAUGAUAAAUUAGCAAAUUAUGAUAGACAAGACAAUGAUCACAAGUUUCUUCUUCAAAAUUUCACUAUUUUCAUACAUAUAAGCAGCUAUUAGUGAACGAUAAAAAAAUAUCUUUUAAAAUUUUAAAAUAAAUUAAAUUAUUCUAUUUAAAUAUAUAUUUUUUAAAUUUAAAGAAAUAUUUAAUAAUAGACUUGACAUAAUAAUUCACUUUAAAGAUAAAAUAAUAUAAAUAUGAAAUCUUAUUAAUUUAUUUAAAUAUAAAGGAAUUAAAUAUAUGAAAAAUAAAAUUCCUUAAUUUAAUUAAUAUCUAGUAGGUUAACUUACAAUUAACUAAUUAAAUUUUAAAAUUUUUAGAUUAAAUUCUUAAUAAAAUUCAUUACAAGAAAGUUUUAACAUUUAAUAAUUUAUAGAUAUUGGUGGAGCAUAUGGAGCCUGUGACGGUUGCUAGAUAUGGGAACGGGGUGGAGGAUAGGUACUGGCGAAGCAGUCUCAAUUUGGCAAGAUAAGUGAUAAUGUGCUUGAUCAAUAUAUUUUUAUUAUUUAUUGUAACAUCUCAUGCUCGGUUCGGUAACCGGAGUCGAACAAAAUAAUGUUAUUACCAAAUAUUUAAAUGAUUUUGAAACAUUCAGCUAAUUGGAAUAUGCAACAACAUGAGUUGAUAGCUUAUUUUGUUUUUGGCACUUACUUAAAAGUUUACAAAAUAUAUAUUUAAUCCAACCGUACAUACUGCCUUGUGUUUAAAAGAGUUUCGACUAAAUAUAGUAAAAUCAGAUUCUUAGUUUACUAGCGUGUGGACUACCACGAUAUGUACAUGUUACAAAAAUACAAUUAAAAGGCUCACAACUAAAACUUCAGCUUUUGGCUUAGUCCUUUUCCUAUCGUUCAAAACGGCUAUUGAUACCUGAAGAGAUAAAUCAAGAAGCAUGGUAAGUUCAAAAUGAUCUUAGUGAGUUCCCAUGAUGUUUACUUGCCCCCACAUACAACUUGCGUGGAAUAUAAGAAACGCAUAAGGACAACUAAUACGUUAAACAUUUCACGAAAGAAUAUAAGCAACAAGCAUACAAUACACUUCGCUCAAAUAAACAGUUCACUUUCACUCUCUGCAAACAUAUGUGUUACGGUAAGUAUAGUUGAAUUUACCCAAUGCAACCUAUACAGGUGAAAGAUCUUAGUGGAGUCAUACUCUGCUAAUACACACCAGACACAUGCCUGUGGAUUCAUGUCCACGGAUACAUACCUGCAGACUCAGGUUUGUGGAUUCAUACCUGCCCUCGUAUAUACAAAUCUAUUCUUAAAGAUAAUUCUUGCGGGCUUACGUCCGAUGAAUAUUUCUCAUGCAAUUGUGCUUGGAGAACUUAGACUCCCAGACUCACACUAUGCGAAUUGUUCGUGCAGACUUAUUUUCAUUAAUUUUCAUAUAACGGAGUCCCAGAAGACCGACUUAGCCUAGGAGCUUGAGGACAAGUCCUACAGACUAUCUUAGAUUGUAUUAUAGUCCUUAUGGACUCAUACUUGCAGUUGAUCCGGUGAACUCAUACUUGGAUGGUAAUCCAGGCGGACUCUUGUUUGAAUGAUGGUCUUGGUGGACUCACAACCAAGGAUUCUCUUUUAGAGAAACCAUUUGCGAAUACAUACUUAGUGAAUUUGUACACGUAGAUUCAUUCUGGUGCAGACACAUGCUUGUACACUUAAAGACAAGUCCUGGGGACUAUCAUAAACCUGUAUAUGUAAGGACAACUCCCAACGGAUUGUCAUAACUUGUGACUUGGAGACAAAUCCCACCACAACGCCACUCAUCUUUCAAUUAACAUCCUUCCACAACACCGAAACUUCUCUUUCAAUUAAAAUCUUGCCACAACGCUGAUACUUCUUUCAAUUAACGUCCCGCCACAACACCGAUACUUCAUGUAACACCCCUCACCCAAUCUGAUCGCUGGAUCCAAGUUUCAGGAUGCUACUACAAUUAUCUGAACAUUCACACGCAAAUCAUAACAUUGAAUUCAAUUUAAGUCAACAAGUUGUCACUACAACAAAACAGGUUUUUAGCGGCAUUUUUUUGGCCCUUUAAGCGUUGCUAUAAUUUUGUGGCGUUUAUGUGGACAAAAGCCGCUAUAGAAUAUGAUAUUUAGCGGCUCUUUUUUUACAAACGCCGCUAAAAAGCAUGACCUUUAGCGACGAUUUUCCCAAAAACGCAGCUAAAAAAUAUGACCUUCAGUGGCACUUCUCUCGAAAACGCAGCUAAAGAACAUAUGCUAAAAAAUAUAACCUUCAGCGGCGUUUUUGGGUGAAAAAUAAAAAAAAUCAAAAUAUCAUAAAAACGCCACAAAUCCAUUCCUAUCCCUUUACCUGCUUUAAGCAAAUCCUUUAGAAAUGUUGUUAUUAUUACAUACAUCACUCCAUUCUUUGGUUAGAGAAUGUAGCAGAAGUGGAAUUCCACCAAUUUAGAAAUGCAUAAUUUAAUUUGAAGACGUAUUAAAAUGGAAAUUCAUGAACAAGAAGAUCAAUGUUUUUCACUAUAUCUCAUGUAACGAGUCAAACUGCCUUUGAUUACAUAAGAUUCCUUUAAAAUUAAAAAAAAUUCAAACUAGUUCAUAUCAACUUGCUCAAGUUGUAUGUAUGACUUGCAGAUCAACACCUUAUUUGAACUUACAAUUCUAGGAAAGCAUAAAAUGUAGUUCCAUGAGCAUGCAUUUAAAGUGGCAAAAAAAAAUUUACUGAUUACAGUGACAGUCUAAGCUCCAAAUCUAGCUCUUGUGUGUCACUUGAUUCUGAAUUCUGACUGCCCGAUCCCAAUGAGUUGCUGCAAUGUUUCUUGCUCCUUGAAUGUGAAUCCUAUAAGAAUGUAAGGAACUAAAACAAGUCAAAUUUUAAAACACAAUCAUCACAUGGCACAUAAACUAAAAAAAGGAAGGAUAAUAAUUUAGAAGAUAAAUUAAAUAAUUUAGGAGAUAUUAAAAAUUUAGACUUAAACCAUGAGUCUAAAGAAAUAUUAACUAGUGUUAAUAAUAAAUUAGAUCAGGUUAUUAAUAAUAAUAAUAUGGAGUCUGAUAUAGAUUUAGGUCAUUUAUAUUAUGGUAAUGGUAAGGAUAAUAUUUUAAUUUUAUCUGAAGAAGAAAACACUUCUUUUGAUGAGUCGUCAUCUCUGUUAAAAAAUUAUAAAAAAACAUAAAAUAAAAAAAAGAUGAUAAACAAAAAGAAUAUGAUUUCCAGCCCUAUAAAACCCUUAUAGAACAUUGGAAAGAAAAAUUUACUACUACUAAUGAUCAACUAGAAAGAGUUGAAUAUUUAAAAUUAAUUAAAGAACUUUAUGAAAAACAUAAAGAUUUUUUUAGUAUGUUUAAUUAUCAUUAUAUGUUAAAAUAUGAUGAUAGUAGCAGUUCAAGUAAUUCUGAAAAAACAGAAUUAUUUAAGAAACAAUCUGAUGAAGAAAAAACUUCAACCGAUCAGGACGAAGACAUAAAAGUCUCAACUUAUAAUUCUGAUGAAGAAACCACUUCAUUUGAAGAUGUAGACGAAGUAAUAAAUAUUCCUGAACCAAUGGAUACUGAACCAACAGAUCCUUAUGGAAAAAGAAAAAUUGAGUCAGAUAUUCAAACAAAUGAUUAUCUGAUUAAAGAUUUAAGUAAAGUUCAAUAUACAACCAGUAUGUUGACUAGUAAUAUAAAAAAAAUUAAUUGAUGAGAAAGAUCCUAAAAAUAUAAGAGAAUUUAUUAAUAGAACUUUACUAGGACGGUUAGGUGUAAAACGUAAUACUCAUCAUAGGCAUAAAAAGAAAAAAUAUAAUAAACAAGUCAAAGGGAAACUAGAAAAUAAAAAAUUUUCUGGUCAUAUUAAGAGUCAGUUUUCUAGAAGAAAAACUUCUAAAGAACUUAAAGAUAUUUUAGAUAUUAAGAUAGGUCAUAUAGUCAAAAACUUUUCUAACAAAAGAAAAGAAGUUAGAAAAAGAAUUAAUAGUCUUGAAAAACAAGAUUUAGAAGUAUGUUUUCAAAAGAAAAUAAAUCCUGAAGAAAUGUUAUAUGAGUUAAUAUCAGAAACAGAUUCUGAUAAUAAUGAUGAAUAUAUAUUAAUGUUUAAUAUAGGAAGAAGUUCUAAUAAUUAAUUAGAAGAAAUUCCGAAUUCUGAAAAACAGGAUAUUAAAUUAGGUAAUUUAAUCGCAGAAGAAAAAGACUUUUCUGAUGAAAUUAUAGAAAAAAUUAAUAAAAAUCAUAUUUCUAAAGAGGAAAUAUAUAAGAUCUCUAAGUUUAAAUAUGGACUCAGAGACAUAUAGAAAAAAUUAGCGGUAACACUGACGCUAAGGAUACAAGAGAAGGAUUAACAGAAAUCCCUCUCUUUACUAAAGAGAAAAUUAAGAGGAUUAGAAAGAAAUAUCCUCAGGUUAGAUAUAUACAUUUAGGUAUAAUCAUGAUUACUAUUAGAGCCUUAUUUAGAAGAGGUCAUGAUAUUCCUAUAAUAGCUGUCCUUUUAGGUAAAAGAUUUGAAAAUCCAAUAAAAGCACUUAUUGGAGGUAUUCAGUCUAAUUUACAUACAGGUGUAAUAGGAUUUAAAGUUAAACCAAAUUAUUUUAUUUCCAUUUCAGACCCUCUAAUAGAAGAGUGUCUUUGCCUUAGGAUUCAGACAAAAAAUUCUGAUAUCAAUGAUUUAGUAGAAGAUCUAGCAAUUAGUUGGAUUUCUAUUAAUGAAUAUACAAAUACAGCAGAAGUAGAAAUAAAAGAGAUUAAUAACAAAAUUAUUGAAAUCUUUGAACCAAACAAGUUCACUACUGAAAUUCAGCCGAAAUUAUUAGAUCUAAGAGAUCUGUCAAUUCCAAGAGAUCGGAUGAUGGAAAGAAUCAAUAGUUCUAGUACUUCUAAACCAGUUAGUACUAUAGAAUAUAUGUCAUCAGGCAAUAAAUUGUAUUUUAAAAAUAAUUGUAUAACAAAUACAAAUGAAAAUUUAGUUUUACCCUCUAGUUCUCAACCAGAAGAAGAAGAAGAUAAUAUUAGUUCAAAUAGUACACCAAUAGGAAUUAAAACUGUUCAAAUUCCUAAAUUUCCUACUGAACCUAGUAAUAAUUCUAGAAAAACUAGACUGGAAGAAAUUCAAACUUCAACAAUUGAUAAAAAGUCAAAAGUUGGAAUAAAUAUCAAAGUUACAUUUCAGUUUAGAAAAUAUAAAAAAACAUUCUCUAAAUGUUUUGAUUGAUACUGGAGCUACAAUCUGUAGUUGUAGAGAAAAUGCGAUUCUUGUAGAAAAAUGAGAAAUAAUGAAAAAACCCAUAAAAAUAAUGGGACUAGAUGGUAGUAAAACUAUUAUAAAACAUAAAGCUAAAAAUAUACCAAUCUACAUAAACAAUGUUAGAUUUGUGAUUCCUAAAAUAGUAUGUUUUCCUAACAUGAAGGGAGAUAUAUUAUUAGGUAAUAAUUUUAUAUGUAAGUAUUUACCUUUUACUAUUGAAAAACAUUCUAUUUGGUUAUCAGUAAAAAAAGAUUUUUUAGAAAUACCUCUUGAUAAUAAUAAUAAGAUUGUGUGUAAUAAAAAUUUUACACCAAUUAAACUACUAGAUAAUUAAUAAUUAUUACUAAUGAUUGUUGAUUAUCUUAAUAAGUUCUAUGGAUAGAGGUAAACAGCCUCUAAAAGAAAUACUCGAUGAAUGGACUACUGCUCACAAAAAACCCAACAAAGGGAAAGCAGUAUCGAACUCCAAAAAAGAAUUUGUACCUGCACAACUACCAUUUUAUCCUAAUCAAGGAUAUUAUGUGUCAUAUCCAAUGGUAAACCAACCACUUGGACCAAAUGUUUUAAAAUAUUCAAUGGUAAACCAACCAGUUGGAACCUCUUUUUCAAACAUGGUGUAUCAAUCACCAAUGUUUCAUGAUAUGAAUUUAGCAUCACCAACCAAUUAUACUGAAAUCAUCAAAAGUUCGGAAAAUUUGUUGAAAAAACAACAAAUUGAAGAAGAAAAAAAUCUUUCAAAAAUAAAAGAUUUUUAUAAUCCUGGUUUAUCACCAGAAAAUUAUGACUUUAUAAACGAGAUAUGGAAAACUCAUAUUUCUAAUCAAAGAGUCAAUUUCAGAAGAGCUCUUACCAGAUAUUCAUUAUUUUUAGUUGAAAAAACAACUAAAGAAAAUGAAGCUGAAGAUUUAUUAUUAAAAUCUAUUUUAUACAGAGAUUGGGAUGAAUUCCAACUCUUUGUUAUGGAUAUUAAGGAGAUAAACAAUCUUCUUGAUAUUAUUCAAUAUUUUAUUCAUAAAAAGAAAAACAAUUCUAUUAUGAAUAAAGUAUUUAGAAUAUGUAUGUUUAAUAAAGCUAGGAAAUUUUUACCGGUAGAAAUAUUCACAAAAAUAAAUGAAAUAAUUUGCAGACAGCAAAUUCAAUUUCAAAAAGCUUUUUCAGAAUAUUUUCUACAAGCAUAUGUUUUUAAUGAUUAUUUAGAUAAUGAAUUUCCUACUUUAAAAUACAGAUUAGAUCAUGAACCAUUUGAUAUAACCAAUAUUGAAUGGGGUUUUACUAAAGAAAUAGUUGUGCAAAAUCUCUCUUUUCAUCUUUUAAAAGAUUUUCCAGCUAUUGUAAAGUCAGUUUUACAAAACAUCAUAAACAAUGAUGAUUUUUAUUACUAUUUUUAUAUUGAAAUUAGUAGUCUAAUAGGUAUAGCUGAAUAAGAAAAAAAUUAUCAACCGUAUCAAAUUUGGGUUAUUAAAAAGAUGAUUGGAACCCCCCAAUUAUCUGCUGUUAAUGAAGAUAAAGAACAUUUGUCAAAAACUAUUGAUAAAUGUUAUAAUAAAUUUGAUCAUUAUCAAGUCCAAACAGGAAUUGAUUUAUUAUCACAAGCCCAUUAUCUUCUCCAUGAUGAUGUUUAUAAAUUAUGGACGGAUGGAAGGAGGAUAUUGGCAUUUCCCAAUGGAAACAUCCAGGAGGAAAGAGAUGAAGAAUCUGUGAAGCUGUUAAGAAAGAUUGUUGAAAUGGAGAUAGAAGAAUUUCCAUCUCAUAUUACAGAAAAAAUAAAAAAUAUAUGGGAGACUUGGAACUCACCACCAAGACUUUCAUCAGAUUUUUUACAUUUGGACGAGAUUGAAGAAAUGAAUCUCAAUAAUAUGCAAGAAGGUUGAAGUCAAAAAAGAUGGCAACCUGAAAGAAAGGCAAUCCACAUACCAACAAAAAAGUUUGGCAACGUGGAUAUCAUGAUGACAUAAGCCAUGAUGGAAGCAACCAUGAAGGCUAAUCAAUGACACCCAGAUGCAGACAAAAAGUCUUGCAACGUGGAAGAUUUCAUCAAACCAAUGAUGAUGCAAGCAAUGAUAAAAGCUACAUGACACAAGCAAGUGAUGGAAGCGGUCAUUAAUUCAAGCAUGCAACGUGGAAACAACCAUGACCAUGCAAUUAAAAUUACAAGAAGACAAAUGAGACGUGGAAGCAGCCACAUCCAUUUGAAGCCGAAUCCUUAUCAGAAACACUGUUCGGGAUUCAAAAUACAAUUGUAUAGAAUUUUUAAUCUCCUUUAUAAAUAGGGAGGAAAGUUCAAUUGUAUAGGCAUCAUUUGUUUAUAGUUUACUCUUUAGUUUUCUUCUAGUUUUCUUCUUUGUAAACAUUUUCUUUUUUGUUAAUAAAAGAGUCUAUAUUCCCUUCCGCUCAUACUCUUUAAGUCCCUUCUCCCCCUAGAAUUGGUAUCAGAGGUGCCGGUGUAACGACUUUCUGGAGAAAUAAUAUCGUAAUAUUCAUUGUAUGUUUUUGUCUUUGAUUUACAUUUCUGUUUGUUUCACUGUUGUUUGUUUCAAAACUCAUAUAUCUAUUAUUAUGUCUUCUUGUUGCCGUUGAGUCCAGGGAGGACGUUAAGCGUUGUGUGAAGACGAUAUAGAUAAUAGACGGUCUUAGGUACCCGAGACAAACAUUAUGGAGCAAAUUGAGUGUCAAUUUCAAGAUAAAACUUGUAAUCAUAUUACGCAUAUAGACUCUAGAAAUGAAAACAACAUUUCAUCUCUGAGUAAGGGUAUAAAUAGUCUUGUUGAUAUGACUUCUUUUUAUUUUUCUAAGUUAUGUAAAAAGGUCAGUAAAGUAGAAGAAAAGAUAAAUAAUUUAGGAGAUAUAAAAAAUUUAGACUUAAACCAUGAGUCUAAAGAAAUAUUAACUAAUAUUAAUAAUAAAUUAGAACAAGUUUUUAAUAAUAAUACUGAGUUUGAUGUAGAUCUAGGUCCUUUAUAUUAUGGCAAUGGUAAGGAUAACAUUUUAGUUUUAUCUAAAGAAGAAAAUACUUAUUCUGAUGAGUCAUCAUCUCUGUUAAAAAAUUAUAAAAAAACAUAAAAAAACGUAAAAAAAGAUGAUAAACAAAAAUAAUAUGAUUUCCAGUCCUAUAAAACCCUUAUAGAACAUUGGAAAGAAAAAUUUACUACUACUAAUGAUCAACUAGAAAGAGUUGAAUAUUUAAAAUUAAUUGAAGAGCUUUAUGAAAAAUAUAAAGAUUUUUUUAGUAUUUUUAGUUAUCAUUAUAUGUUAAAAUAUGAUGAUAGUAGCAAUUCAAGUAAUUCUGAAAAAACAGAAUUAUUUAAGAAACAAUCUGAUGAAGAAAAACUUCAAUAGAUCAGGAUGAAGACAUAAAAGUCUCAACUUAUAAUUCUGAUGAAGAAACCACUUUAUCUGAAGAUGUAGACGAAGAAAUAAAUAUUCCUGAACCAAUAGAUACUGAACCAACAGAUCCUUAUGGAAAAAGAAAAAUAGAGUCAGAUAGUCAAACAGAUGAUUAUCUUAGGUCUUUAAAUAAACAGAUGAAAUUUUGGUAAUAAAAUCGAUAAUAUAGCAACUAAUGAAGUAAAACCUGAAUAUCCAGGAGAAACUUCUAACCAACCUGUUCAACAAAGAAUAGAUGAUUUAAAUAAAAGAAAUGUGGCCCAAGGAGGAAUUUAUUUAGAUCUAACUAAUACUCCUAUUUCAAAUUAUGAAAAAACUAUUGAUGAUUGGGCACAAUCUAUGACUAUUGUUGUAAACAGCAACACGUGGUCAAAAGAAAAUUUUUUAAAUUACUUUGUUGGAACAUUUCAAGGAGAUGUUCUACAAUUUUUUAGACGUUGAGAAGAGUCUAAGAAAGGUAAAGAACAAAAGGGGCAAUUAAUCAACCAAAUAGGAACCCCUAAGGAUCUUUUAAAAGGAUUAACCUUAAUUCUAAAAAUAGAAUUUUGUGGAUAUUUUGAUAAAAAAGAUCAAGAUAGUACAUCUAGUUAUAUCCUUUCUAAGAUUAAAUUAUGUGAUAUUAGACAUUUAGAAGAUUUUUCUAAAAAAUUUCUUCAUGAAUAUCAAAAGUUAAAAAUGAAAAUAUAGAAUUUUGGAAAAACCAAUAUUUUCAUAAAUUACCCCCACCCUGGGAUGAGAUAUGUAUAAACAAAUAUGUCUUAUUUAGAGAAGCACAGUAAAACAUCUGGACUUCCAGCAGAAAAUUUGGAUACUAUAGGAAAUAGGAUAAACUUUGCACGUGAAAGAAUAACUUUACAUUGUUUGCAAAGUAAAGCUGCUAAACAAGUCAAACAUAAAUUAAGUGAUAAAUAUUGUAAUAAAAUACUAGAAAAUGAAUGUGAAUUUGGAUGUAAACAAAUAUAUCCUAAAAAGCAGAAAAAAUAUAAAUUAAGAAAAUGGAAACCAGGUAAUAAAAAGUUUUUUGGUAAUAAUAAAACAGUGGUUAGGAAAAAGACUUCUGAACAAAGAAACAAAUUUGUAAAUGUUUUAUUUGUGAUGAAGAAGGUCAUAUAGCUAGCAAUUAUCCUAACAAAGGAAAAAAUGCUAGAAAAAUGAUAAAAAGUCUUGAAAAACAAGAUUUAAAAAUAUGUUUUCAAAAGGAAAUAAAUCCUGAAGAAAUAUUAUAUGAGUUAGUUUCAGAAACAGAUUCUGAUAAUAACGAUGAAUAUAUAUUUAUGUUUAAUAUAGAAUAUAUGUCAUCAGGCAAUAAAUUGUAUUUUAAAAAUAAUUGUAUAACAAAUACAAAUAAAAAUUUAGUUUUACUCUCUAGUUCUCAACCAGAAGAAGAAGAUAAUAUUAGUUCAAAUAGUACACCAAUAGGAAUUAAAACAGUUCAAAUUCCUAUAUUUCCUACUGAACCUAGUAAUAAUUCUAGAAAAACUAGAAUGAAAGAAAUUCAAACUUCAACAAUUGAUAAAAAGUCAAAAGUUGGAAUAAAUAUCAAAGUUACAUUUCAAUUUAGAAAAUAUAAAAAAUAUUCUCUAAAUGCCUUGAUUGAUACUGGAGCUACAAUCUGUAGUUGCAGAGAAAAUGCGAUUCCUGUAGAAAAAUGGGAAUUAAUGAAAAAACCCAUAAAAAUAAUGAGACUAGAUGGUAGUAAAACUAUUAUAAAACAUAAAGCUAAAAAUAUACCAAUCUACAUAAGCAAUGUUAGAUUUGUGAUUCUUAAAAUAGUAUGUUUUCCUAACAUGAAGGGAGAUAUAUUAUUAGGUAAUAAUUUUAUAUGUAAGUAUUUACCUUUUACUAUUGAUAAACAUUCUAUUUGGUUAUCAGUAAAAAAAAGAUUUUUUAGAAAUACCUCUUGAUAAUAAUAAUAAGAUUGUGUGUAAUAAAAAUUUUACACCAAUUAAACUACUAGAUAAUUAAUAAUUAUUAUUAAUGAUUGUUGAUUAUCUUAGCAGGUUCUAUGGAUAGAAGUAAACAGCCUCUAAACGAAAUAGUCAGUGAAUGGACUACUGUUCACAAAAAACCCAACAAAGGGAAAGCAGUAUCAAACUCCAAAAAAGGAUUUGUACCUGCACAAAUAUCAUUUUAUCCUAAUUAAGGAUAUUAUGUGUCAUAUCCAAUGGUAAACCAACCACUUGGACCAAAUGUUUUAAAAUAUCCAACGGUAAACCAACCAGUUGGAACCUCUUUUUCAAACAUGGUGUAUCAAUCACAAAUGUUUCAAGAUAUGAAUUUAGCAUCACAAACAAGUUAUGCUGAAAUCAUCAAAAGUUCAGAAAAUUUGUUGAAAAAAUAAAAAAUUGAAGAAGAAAAAGAUCUUUCAAAAAUAAAAGAUUUUUAUAAUCCUGAUUUAUCACCAGAAAAUUAUGAUUUUAUAAACGAGAUAUGGAAAACCCAUAUUUCUAAUCAAAGAGCCAAUUUCAGAAGAGCUCUUACCAGAUAUUCAUUAUUUUUAGUUGAAAAAAUAACUAAAGAAAAUGAAGCUGAAGAUUUAUUAUUAAAAUCUAUUUUAUACAAAGAUUGAGAUGAAUUCCAACUCUUUGUUAUGGAUAUUAAUGAGAUAAACAAUCUUCUUGAUAUUAUUCAAUAUUUUAUUCAUAAAGAGAAAAACAACUCUAUUAUGAAUAAAGUAUUUAGAAUAUGUAUGUUUAAUAAAGCUAGGAAAUUUUUACCGGUAGAAAUAUUCACAAAAAUAAAUGAAAUAAUUUGCAGACAGCAAAUUCAAUUUCAAAAAGCUUUUUCAGAAUAUUUUCUACAAGUAUAUGUUUUAAUGAUUAUUUAGAUAAUGAAUUUCCUACUUUAAAAUACAGAUUAAAUCAUGAACCAUUUGAUAUAACCAAUAUUAAAUGGGGUUUUACUAAAGAAAUAGUUGUGCAAAAUCUCUCUUUUCAUCUUUUAAAAGAUUUUUCAGCUAUUGUAAAGACAGUUUUACAAAACAUCAUAAACAAUGAUGAUUUUUAUUACUAUUUUUAUAUUGAAAUUAGUAGUCUAAUUGGUAUAGCUGAACAAGAAAAAUUUUACCAGCCGUAUCAAAUUUGGAUUAUUAAAAAGAUGAUUGGAACCCCCCCAAUUAUCUGCUUGUUGAUAUGACUUCUUUUUAUUUUUCUAAGUUAUGUAAAAAGGUCAGUAAAGUAGAAGAAAAGAUAAAUAAUUUAGGAUUUAUAAAAAGUUUAGACUUAAACCAUGAGUCUAAAGAAAUAUUAACUAAUAUUAAUAAUAAUAUUGAGUCUGAUGUAGAUCUAGGUCCUUUAUAUUAUGGUAAUGGUAAAAAAAAUAUUUUAGUUUUAUCUGAAGAAGAAAACACUUCUGAUGAGUCAUCUCUGUUAAAAAAUUAUAAAAAACAUAAAAAACGUAAAAAAGAUGAUAAACAAAAAGAAUAUGAUUUCCAGUCCUAUAAAACCCUUAUAGAACAUUGGAAAGAAAAAUUUACUACUACUAAUGAUCAACUAGAAAGAGUUGAAUAGUUAAAAUUAAUUGAAGAACUUUAUGAAAAACAUAAAGAUCUUUUUAGUAUGUUUAAUUAUCAUUAUAUGUUAAAAUAUGAUGAUAGUAGCAGUUCAAGUAAUUCUGAAAAAACAAAAUUAUUUAAGAAACAAUCUGAUGAAGAAAAAACUUCAACCGAUCAGGACGAAGACAUAAAAGUCUCAACUUAUAAUUCUGAUGAAGAAACCACUUCAUCUGAAAAUGUAGACGAAGAAAUAAAUAUUCCUGAACCAAUGGAUACUGAACCAACAGAUCCUUAUGGAAAAAGAAAAAUUGAGUCAGAUAUUCAAACAAAUGAUUAUCUGAUUAAAGAUUUAGGUAAAGUUCAAUAUACAACCAGUAUGUUGACUAGUAAUAUAAAAAAAUUUAACUAUUGAUGAGAAAGAUCCUAAAAAUAUAAGAGAAUUUAUUAAUAGAACUUUACUAGGACAGUUAGGUGUAAAACCUAAUACUCAUAAUAGGCAUAAAAAGAAAAAAUAUAAUAAACAAGUCAAAGGAAAAUUAGAAAAUAAAAAAUUUUCUGGUCAUAUUAAGAGUCAGUUUUCUAGAAGAAAAACUUCUAAAGAACUUAAAGAUAUUUUAGAUAUUAAGAUAGGUCAUAUAGUCAAAAACUUUUCUAACAAAAGAAAAGAAUCUAGAAAAAGAAUUAAUAGUCUUGAAAAACUAGAUUUGGAAAUAAGUUAUAAAAAGGAAAUAAAUCCUUAUAAAAUUGAAUCUGAUAAAAAUGAAAAAAUAUUUUUAUUAGAAAAUUCUAGAAAUACUAGAAUUGAAAAAUUAAAAACAGUUCUUCAGCAAAUAAAAAUUGGGAAAAAUGAUAUAAUCACAUUUUCAAAUUUUCAAGCUAAGAAAUAUUAUACUCAUAUUGAAAUCACAUUUCAGUUUAGAGAAUAUAAAAAAAUAUUCUUUACACGCUUUGCUUGACACUGGAGCUACAACAAGUAGUUGCAAAAAAAAAUGCUAUUCUUAUAGAAAAAUAGGAAUUAAUGAAAAAUCCUAUUAAUGCAAUUGGAAUAGAUGGUAAUGAAACUAUAAUCCAAUAUAAUGCAAGAAAUAUACCAAUCUACAUAAACAAUGUUAGAUUUGUAAUUCCUAAGAUGUUAUGUUUCUCUGAAAUGCAUGGAGAUAUAUUACUAGAAAAUAAUUUUAUAUAUCAUCAUCUACCAUUUUCUAUAGAUAAAUAUUUGGUUACUUUGUCUGUAGAAAAAUUCUCUAUGGAAAUACCACUGGUAGAAAACCAUAAGUUUGUGUGUAAUAAAAACUUUACACCAACUAGAAAAGAACAAAUUAAACAAAUAGAAACUAAUCAUUGGUUGUUUAAAAUAUUAGAAAACAAUUUUAGUGAUGAACCACUAAAGUUAUGAAAAAAUAGUCCAAGAUAUUGUGAAAUAAAAUUAAAUAAUCCUAAUAAAAUAAUUAGGGUUAAGCCUAUGAUCUAUACUAAACAAGAUAUGGAUGAGUUUGAUGUUCAAAUAAAUGAACUAUUAGAAAAAAAGAUUAAUAGAAAAAACUAAUAGUCCUCAUUCAAGUCCUGCUUUUAUGGUAAAAAAUCAUGCUGAAAUUAAAAGAGGAAAAGCUAGGAUGGUUAUUAAUUAUAAGAGAUUAAAUCAAAACACUAUUUUUGAUGGAUAUUUUAUCCCAAAAAAAGAAGUAUUGAUCAAUCAGGCUAAACAAGCCAAAUAUUUUAGUAAAUUAGAUUGUAAAUCGGGAUUCUGACAAAUCAUGCUAAUCGAUGAGUCAAAACCUUUAACUGCUUUUAGUGCCCCUAAUGGUCAUUAUCAAUAGAGGAUAAUGCCAUUUGAAUUAUGCAAUACUCCACAAAUCUUUCAAAGAUGGAUGGAUUCCAUCUUUAAUAAGUAUAAAAAGUUUUGUGUAGUAUAUAUAGAUGAUAUUCUAGUCUUUUCAGAAACACUAGAAAAGCAUAGAAAACAUCUAAAUAUUUUUUCUCAAAAAUUCCUAAAACAUGGAAUUAUAUUAAGCCCUAAAAAGAUAGAGCUAGAAAAAAUGGGAAUAGAAUUUUUAGGUUUAAAGUUAUCUACAGAUGGUCUUAAACUCCAAGAUCAUAUUAUUGUAAAAAUAAAAGAAUUUCCUGAAAAAAUAGAAGAAUUUCCUGAAAAAAUAGAAGAUAAAAAACAUCUUCAACAAUUUUUAGGAAUUGUUAAUUAUGGGAGAAACUUUUUUCCAAAAUAAUCUGAAAAAAUAGGUAUAUUAUAUGGAAAAUUAAAAAAGAAUAUUUCUUUUUGCUGGUCUAAGAAAUUAUAAAAAAUAUAAAAGCAGAAAUAACUUACAAUCUAAAAGUUUAUUUACCUAAAAAAUGUGAUAAACUAAUUUUAGAAACUGAUGCAUCACAAUGUUAUUGGGGAUGUAUUCUAAAAGCUAAAACAACUAAUAAUAAUGAAGAACUAAUAUGUGGAUAUAAUUCAAGAAAAUUUAAGCCUAAUGAGGUUAAUUAUAUUAUUUAUGAAAAAGAACUUUUAGCUAUUAAAAAAGGAAUAAAAACUUUCUUAUUUAUUUAGCACCUGAAAGGUUCAUCAUAAGAACUGAUAAUCAGGCAGUUAAACAGUUUUUAACUAACAACAGUUUGGAAACUGUACCAAGAAGAAUUAGGUGGUAGAAUGAUUUAUGCACUUUUAAUUUUGAAGUUAUUUAUAUAAAAAGUGAUGAAAGUCUUCUUGCUGAUUAUCUUAGCAGGCCUCAUGGAUAGAGGUAAACAACCUCUAAAAGAAAUAGUCGGUGAAUGGACUACUAUUCACAAAAAACCCAACAAAGGGAAAGCAGAAGCAAACUCCAAAAAAAGAUUUGUAUCUGCACAAAUACCAUUUUAUCCUAAUUAAGGAUAUUAUGUAUCAUAUCCAAUGGUAAACCAACCACUUGGACCAAAUGUUUUAAAAUAUCCAAUGGUAAACCAACCAGUUGGAACCUCUUUUUCAAACAUGGUGUAUCAAUCACCAAUGUCUCAAGAUAUAAAUUUGGCAUCACAAACCAGUUAUACUGAAAUCAUUAAAAGUUCAGAAAAUUUGUUGAAAAAACAACAAAUUGAAGAAAAAAAGAUCUUUCAAAAAUAAAAGAUUUUUUAUAAUCCUGAUUUAUCACCAGAAAAUUAUGAUUUUAUAAACGAGAUAUGAAAAACCUAUAUUUCUAAUCAAAGAGCCAAUUUCAGAAGAGCUCUUACCAGAUUUUCAUUAUUUUUAGUUGAAAAAACAACUAAAGAAAAUGAAGCUGAAGAUUUAUUGUUAAAAUCUAUUUUAUAUAGAGAAUGGGAUGAAUUCCAAUUAGAAUUCAUGGAUAUUGAGGAGAUAAACAAUCUUUUUAAUAUUUUUCAAUAUUUUAUUCAUAAAGGAAAAACCAGUCCUAUCAUGAAUAAGGUAUUUAGAAUCUGUUUAUAUAACAAAUCUAGACAGAUUUUACCAAUGAAAAUAUUCAACAAAAUUAAUGGACUUAUUUGUAAUCAACAGAUUAAAUUCCAAAAAGCUUUUUCUGAAUAUUUUCUACAAUCUUAUGUUUUUACUAAUUUUAUUGGUAAAAUUUAUCCAACUAUAAAAUUUAGAUUGGAUCAUGAACCAUUCGAUAUAACAAGUAUUGAAUGGGGUUUUGUUAGAGAAAUAGUAAUACAAAAUUUCUCUUUUCACCUUUUAAUGGAUUUUCCAGCAAUAGUAAAAUCUUUUUUACAAUCCAUCAUAAACAAUGAUGAUUUUUUCUAUUACUUUUAUAUCCAAAUUAGUACUCUUAUUGGUAUUCCUGAAAAAGAAAAAAUUUUUCAGCCAUAUCAAAUUUGGUAUAUUCAUACUAUGAUCGACAGCCCUCGAUUAUCAGCCUUAAAUGAAGAUAAGGAACACUUGGCAACAACAAUUGACAAGUGUCAGAAAGAUUUUAGCUAUUAUCAAAUCCAAACUGGAAUUGAUUUAAUGGCUAAAGCAAGAUAUCUUCUUCAAGAAAAAAAUUAUCGACUUAGAACUGAUGGAAGAAGAAUAAUGGCGUACUAUUCAAGAAUUAGUGAUAAAGAUGAAGAAUCCAUUUGUCUACUAAAAAAGAUAGCAAAAAUAGAUAUAGAAGAUUUCCCAUCUCAUAUUUUGCAACAAAUCAAAAAUAUAUGGGAAAAUUGUCAUCAAGAUAUAUCUACAAUUCAUCACUAGGGAUGAUGCCAACAAAGAUGGCAACCUGAAAGAAAGGCAAUCCACAUACCAACAAAAACGUUUGGCAAUGUGGAUAUCAUGAUGAUAGUAGCAGUUCAAGUAAUUCUGAAAAAACAGAAUUAUUUAAGAAACAAUCUGAUGAAGAAAAAACUUCAACAAAUCAAGAUGAAGACAUAAAAGUCUCAACUUAUAAUUCUAAUGAAGAAACCACUUCAUCUGAAGAUAUAGACGAAGAAAUAAAUAUUCUUGAACCAAUGGAUACUGAACCAACAGAUCUUUAUGGAAAAAGAAAAAUUAAGUCAGAUAUUCAAACAAAUGAUUAUCUGAUUAAAGAUUUAAGUAAAGUUCAAUAUACAACCAAUAUGUUGACCAGUAAUAUAAAAAAUUUAACUAUUGAUGAGAAAGAUCCUAAAAAAUAUAAGAAAAUUUAUUAAUAGAACUUUACUAGGACGGUUAGGUGUAAAACCUAAUACUCAUCAUAGGCAUAAAAAGAAAAAAUAUAAUAAACAAGUCAAAGAGAAAUUAAAAAAUAAAAAAUUUUCUGGUCAUAUUAAGAAUCAGUUUUCUAGAAGAAAAACUUCUAAAGAAUUUAAAAAUAUUUUAGAUAUUAAAAUAGGACAUAUAGUCAAAAACUUUUCUAACAGAAGAAAAGAAGUUGAAAAGAAUUAAUAGUCUUGAAAAACAAGAUUUAGAAAUAAGUUAUAAAAAGGAAAUAAAUCCUUAUAAAAUUGAAUCUGAUAAAAAUGAAAAAAUAUUUUUAUUAGAAAAUUCUAGAAAUAUUAGAAUUGAAAAAUUAAAAACAGUUCUUCAGCAAAUAAAAAUUGGGAAAAAUGAUAUAAUUAUAUUUUCAAAUUUUCAAGUUAAAAAAUAUUAUACUUAUAUUAAAAUCACAUUUCAGUUUAGAGAAUAUAAAAAAUAUUUUUUAUACGCUUUACUUGACACUGGAGCUACAACAAGUAAAAUUUUAUCAGCCGUAUAUAGUAAUUUGUUACUUGAUUAGAUAAGCUAUGUCACUGCAGCUUGAGUUUUGUCCUUUCAAACUCACAUAUCAUAUACAGUCAAAAAGUUGAUGAACAAAAGGCUAUUACUUUUACAACUUAAGAUAUUGACUUUAUCUUUAUUGACAAAGCCCUCUUAGUUUCCAUUAGCAUUUGUUCCUGCAUUUAAAAGCCGGUUAGUAUUUUAGAACAUGUAAAAACUUUAGCAGUAUUUUUUUUUCUUUUUUGUUACCCAAAAUUCAGUUUAUUACCUUAUUCUGAAGUUCAGAAAGCUGGUCAAGCAUAUAUUGGGUCUGCAAAAGAAGAUUGAAAUAAAACAAAGUGCUAGAAUUUGUGAAAGUUGAAAAUAUUAGGAGCUAAAAGAGAAAUCAAGAAAGAGGUGGACUGGCAAGUUAAUUAUACCAUAAAAUUACUACAGGUAUGAUUAAUCUUUUCAUGGAAAAAAAAACCCACUAUAACUGCUCUAUGAUAUCUCUUAAAGCCUAACAAAAUGGAUUAUGAUUUUGCUUCCACUAGUAGAUAUAACUUGCUGUUAAGUUUCAUCUUCUCCUGGAAACCUCUAAUCCAUAAGGAUUUAAAUGGCAAAUUCAACCAAAAACUCAUCUACAACCACAAUCUAAAUCCUUAAUUCAUGUGUACUUAUCAUCUAAAAUGAAUGCUAUGACCAGUAAAAAGAUUGAGGCUGCAAGCUUUAGGGUUUUUCUUAAUAGUUGAAAUGGGAAGAGGAAACCCACCGACAAGAAAAGGUAUUAAACUGACCAAAACAGUAUAGCCUACUUUCACAUUUUUUUUAUCCUGGUUUAAUAUUGAAUUUUAUCCCUCUAUUUUAAUAAAAUUUAAAAGUUAAUCCCUAUAAUUUGUCAAAUUUUGAUCAUCAUACUUUAUAAAAAUUGAAAAAUUAGUCCAAUUGGAUAACAUUGUUAAAUAGCUAAUAUGAAAAUUAGUAAUUUUCAAUUUAUAUCAACUGUCUAAUAAUUUAUAGGCAAUAAAUUAGCAACGGUUAAUAAUUUAAAUUUAUAUGUUUACCAACUAAAUCAAAUUUAAAUAAAUUAGAAAAAAAAAGGACUAAUUUUUCAGUAUUAUUAAAGUAGAAAUGAAAUUAUUCUAAUAAAGAUGUUAUUAUAUAGUACUGUUUCCCUAAUUCCUCUAGCCACUUCUAAUAUUAUUUGUGGUUAAUGAGCUUCAAUAGACAGUUUUUAACCCCCUCCAUUAGAUUUUAAGCAAAGCUAAUAAUAAUAAAUUGUAAUUUAAAUAAAUUACUGAUGAAGAAAAACUCUUCUAAAAAGAACACAACUUUUGUAAAAGAUAGAUUUGCUGACAAGUUGGGUCUGGUUAAAUUGGAUGGGAUUAAAUCAGAAAAAAAAAGUUUAUUUACCAUAACAUUCUAGUUUCAUAUUUAUUCCUAGCUAUCUUAAAAAUUCAGAAUAUAACAGAUGUGCAACAAAUGAUAAAAAAUAAAUAUACUAUGCUGAACAAUUGUAUGAAAUUCUCACUUGUAUAAACUCAAACAUAUCAAAGAUAUAUGUAAGCAGUAAUCAAAACUUACCCUUGGUGGAGCGGACAUGUUUCAGGGAUGACUCUAGUUGAUGCUCAAGCUGCUCAAGCUCCUUUGAGUUCAAUGGACCCAAGUCUUCACCAAGGAGAUUCCUGUUGAAUCAAAGGACCAAACCAGAUAGCACAUAAAAUUGCUCUUAUUCAAAUACUUUUAGUAAUUACAAUCAAAUUAAUAUACACUUCUAAAUGGACUAAUAGCCUAUCAAAUUAAUAUGGAAGUCCAAAGCUAUGGUAUGGUUGUAAGACUAAACACCUCUGAGUUCGAUUUAGUUCCUCAUAUCUAGCUUUCAGUUUUAGGUACUGUAAUAACCCAAAUUCGCCCGGCCCAAAUUAAAUAAUAAAUACAAAAAACAAAUAAAAAUUAAAAGUCCAUUUUUAAGGUCCAUUUACAUCCAGCCUAAUAAUAACUAACACGUUUAGCCCAAGACCCAACUACAAUAUGACCCAAACUGUUUUAACCUAAACUAUCCAAAUUUAACAGACCCUAAACCCAACUUUCUAAACUCGGAUCUCCUAGGCCCAAAACUCGGCCCAAAUCAAUGGAGCACCCUAGAGGCUUCUAGGGUUUUCACCAGCGCGCAGCCACCGAAGCCACCCUCCGCGCGUGCCAAGCCACUCCCCACGCAUGCAGCGCCUCCACGCCACGUUGGCCUCCAUACCACCAGCUAGAAUCCUCCGUACCUGCACACAAGCAGACAAACAAAAAAACAAGCAGAAAACGACAGCAAAGAAAAAAGAAAAAAAGGAUAUUAGUUGUAUUUUGGAUUCAUUUUUUUUAUCUUUAUCUUCGGCUAUAAAGCCAUUUUCCAAAUUUUGUAAACGUUACACACGCAUUUGAUAUUCAUUACGAAUACAAAAAUCAGAGAAAAAGGUGAUUUCCCCAGUUUUCCUCCUGUUUUGAUUUCAGUUUUCCUUUUCUUUUCUGCAUUCAAUCGUUAGAUUUUUAGGCGAGAAAGUAAUAAAGAAAAGAGGAAAGCGUACCUGACGUUAGGAUUUCGGCCUCCUCCGUCGUCAUCGGAGAGCAGGUCAGAAUCGGAGACUAUUCGCCUGCCUUUAGUACGCAGAACGGCGCAGAGUCUCCCUUAGAUUAGGUUUUUUCUUUUUACUAAAAUGAUAGGUGUUAGGGUUAUCUUAGUUUAAAGAGUAAGAAUCAAAACGUCGCCGUUCAGAGCCAAUACAAUGGCAUUGAAACUGUGUUGUUUCGAAGACUCGAUCCGAGCGGUGACCCGAUCCGGGAAGGAUCCGUGCUCCAUGGAUCGUUUGGUUUAUUUAUUCACCAAGCCCCUCUUAGUUUUGAUUAGUCUCAAUUUGGUUACUUUAGUUUUUUUUUUAAAAUUUAUACUGCGUAUUUAACUUUGUUUGCAUGUCGAUCCAAGGUUAAGCGACACCGUUUUACACCUGAUUGCUAAUGAAAUUGCUGAUUGAGUCCCAUAAGAUUAAAAAAGAUUUCAUGUUGGUACAAAUUUAGUUUUUUUUUUAAAUUCAAUAAUAUUUGUAAAUGCAAAUUAACCAUACUUACAUGUAUUAUAAAACUUAAUACUGUAUUUAAUUUUAAUAGUAUCUAAUUUUAUUAUAGUUUAAAAUAUAACAAAUCAUUAUUUUAACUUGUAUUUUAUGUCUUAAAUUCGUUGCACUAAUACUUGGGGUUUAUUGUUUUCUUUUAUUUUAUUUUUAUCAUUCUAAGUUUUACUUAAACUUUGAUUUAAAAUCCAUUAAUUAUUGUUUUCAAUUAUAAAAAAGGUCUUUACAUAAUAAAUUUUGAUUUCAAAAGUUUUUUUAAUAAAUCGAUUUUAUAUUCAUUAUUUUUAAUAUUAUUUUAAUAUUUAGCUUAAUACUAUUUUCGAAUUUGCUUUUAAUAUAUUUUUUAGAAAUGAUACCUAAAUUCCUUCAAAUUAUUAUAUUUUAAAUACGUUUUAAAUUCACUAAAUAUUAUUUCAAUUUUUUUAUAAUUAUACUUUUUUUAAUUUGAUAUAUUAUUAUAAAUUUCAUCAUUUAUUAAUACACAUUGUGGUAGAUUAAACAUAAUUAUAUAUUUAGAUGUUGUAUACUGUGAGUAAAAUUAUUGUUGCUAUUGUAUUUGUAUUUAUUUAUUGCUUAUUUGGCUACAUCUUAGUUUAGGUUUGAAUUAUCAUUUAUCGUUUUACAUUACGUUUUUUAAAACUUUGCACCUUUAUCAUACUAUUUCAUAUUAAAAAAGCCUAGCAUUUAUAAUCUUCGAAAAAAUUGAGCCCUAAUGUAUUGGGUUCCAAUUUUCCUCGUUGAAUCCAAAUAAUCGAAAUUUUUCUUUAAUCAAGAUAUAUAAAACUCACUCUCGGGAAUUCGAUAAGUCGUGUCCUAAUGUAUUGGCUGUGAUGCAUCGAUUUCUCGAAAUAAGGUUUUUUUUAAAAAAAAUAAGAGCAAUAUUCAAUGCUCAGAACUUUGAGAAAUCGUGCCCUAACGUAUUGGGUUUCAAUUUUUUUAUCGGACUUAAAGCAAUUGAAUAUCCUUUUAAAUCUCACCACGCAAAUUUUGAAAAUCAAAAGAUAAACUUAUUCUCGAGGACUAAAAAUGUCGUGCCCUAAUGUAUUGGAUGUGUCAUUUUAUUACUCUAAGAUAAGGAGGUUUUUGGUAUUCGCAUCGAUUUAUCCAUGCAUCUUUUAUGAAAUUAAUAAGAAGAAUCGUAUUUUAAAGCUUUCUAAAGUUUUAACACUAAGACAUAAAAUGAUCAAUUCAGUACCAUUUUUUUGGGUGUUUCGAAAGUGCUAACCCUUCCUCGAGCAUAACCGACUCCCGAACCUGUUUUCUCAAAAUUCACAGACCUAAAAUUAUUUUCUAAGUGAUCCGAUCACACCUUAAUAAAAGAUCGGUGGCGACUCCCGUUUUUUAUUUCCAAAGUCAAUUCUUUUUUUUUUCAAAUUUAAAAAUGGUUUUCUUUUCAAAUUUAAAAAUAGUUUCGACAGGUACUCCCUGUAGCUGCUCCGUGGCAACAAAGAUUCUUGCAUAGAGCAUGUUCACAUAUUCAAUUCUCCACUAUGCCAUCUUCUCUUUUACUUGACAUUCCCCAACAUCAAACACGUUCAGUUUCUUCCCCCCACAUACACAUCUUUAUAAACAUUUUUGUUAUGGGAUUUAAUUUGUUAAUUAAGUGAGUUUGGGGGGGAGAUUCUUGUGUUUUUAUUUUAAUGAAGGUAUAUAUUAAAAGGUGUUUUUAACGUCCCAUCCAUGGCCAUGGGACCUUUUGGGGGGGGGGGGGGGGUUAGAACAAAGUCUGAAACACUGCAAUAAAACUGGCAAAAGAUUGUGUCCUUCUCUGCAAUAGUGCCAUGUUAAUAACCACUCCUAACUUGUUCUCUGCUCCCCCAUCUUCCAUUUUUUGCUUUUCAAUUUCUUUUUUUAUUUUUUCAAGUACCAAAUAUAAAAGAAAAUUAAUAAAGCAUGCGAUUAUGAGAGAUUGAGAUUAUGUACUAAGUAAAUAUAAAGAGAAUGAUAAAAGCUUGAAGAUGAAGAGGGAUUAAAACAGGUAAUUAUAAAAUACUGAAUAAAAUAAUAAUAAUAAUAUGUUGAGUUGGAAGAAGAGUUUGGCAAAAUGUAGGUUUGAAAGAAAUUAAUGCAAGUGGGAGAAAAUAUUGCAGCCUUUGCAUUUGCAUGCCACGUUUUAGUUGGACUUGGAAUGACUCUCCAAUAUGGAUCCUUUGAUGAUGAAUUUAUGAUCAUCAUCACAUGUUACUAUGACUAACUUACAAAACCCUUAAUUACUUCAUCAGCUUGAGUUUUUUUCCCCUUGAUCUCCUUGCAACAGUAAAAAGUGCAGUUUUUUUCGUUUGUCACAGAGAAUUGGAAGUAUAUAUAUGUAAGAGAUGAAGAGAUGGAUUAUAGCAUUAAUUAGUGAAAAAAAAUCAAAAAAAACCUGCAGUUAGCAACAAUGUACUCAUCAGAAACUUUCAGAUCAUAUCAUCAUCAUCAUCCUACACUGAUCGGCAUUGAUAAUAAUACCAUAAACUAAAUCAAAAUCAGAAUAUUGAAAAAAACAAUCCAUUGGAAGUUAAUAUGAGCUCUAUGCAUGAGGUGAGAGAUCAUAAACAGUGUUUGAGAGACGCAAGGCCUAGAAAUACCAAUCAAUCACGAUGUUUAGUUAUCACAUUCUUUUUUACUUCUAAAAUGAACAAUUAUUUUAUAGGUACUCAGAAAUUUGAAGGGAGUGUAAGUGCUGGCAGAGUAUUUAUUUCUUUUGCAGUUAGAAAAGUGAAUCAGAUAUAAGCAGAAAGUAGCCAACUCUUGUGUCAUAAGAAAGAAGAGUGGACUCCUAAUUAGCAUCCAACAACAAAAGCUCGUUAUACUACGUGUUGUGCUUUUUUGAACAUGAUAAGUAUAUAUUGUUACAGUCAGUACAAUCUAAUUCAAUUCCAUAACAUGUGACCAUUGACCAACACGCAUCUAUACCAGUGCAUGAUAAUGAAUAAACACAAGAAAACACAACAUGAAUGAAUAAACAUACAGCAUAGAAGGUAGAAACAUUGAACUCUGAAUCUGGAUGACUCAAAGGGAGAAGGUCAAUUGAGAUUCCAAGGACUCAUCUAUUUGAUGGAAACUUGUCCAAGUUUUACCAAUGUCAACUGGUCGGAAUAAACACACAGAAAUAAGUACAAUCUCCGCAAAUAGACAAGUCCUUUAAUAAACAUAUAGAAAAUAAGUCCAAUCCCUGCAAAUAGAUGUGGUAUAUUUUGCUAGUAAACCCAAUUUACUAGUUGACGUUGGUAUAGAAAAUAUAGCAAACUAGGAGUAGUUAUCCCACAUUGAUGGAAACUAUUGACCAACAAAGGCAGCUACUUGGUGUUCUAUGUGCAUUCCUACCUAUUCUUUUGAUUCCAUGUGUGAUUGUGGCAAAACCAAAUUGAGAUAUACAAAUGAAAAUGCUUUUUAUUUGAAAACUUACAGUGUUAAAGAAGCAAAUUGAUCAUACGAUCUACUAAUGAUUUGAGUCUUGAGUGAUCCAGCAAUACAGCUGACAGCGGCGUGGAAAUGAGUUUCAUCCUUUUGGUCAUUCUGUCAAUAUUUAAAAAUAAAAAAUAAAAACCAACAGCUAGUCAGUACAUUUCAAAUAGAAAAAGAAGAAGAAAAACAUGUUAAUCAAAAAACAUAUCCAUUACGAAAAAGCUUAAUUACGGUAUUAAUCCAUGAAAGAAAAAAGAAAACCAAUUACUGAAAAAACUGUAAAGAAAAGGAAAUGGGUAUCCUUUAUCUGUUUUGAUUAUACAUAAAAACUUACACCAGGACAUGUCGUGUUGAACAUUUUCGGAGAAGCAUCGACCAAGUAAACAACAUACUCUUUGGAACUCUCACUUUGCUGCAAAUAUUGGAUAAAAACAACACAAUUACAUCUCUCGUUUCUUAACCAUGGAGAAGAAUAUAGAAGAAAAGAAAGAGAAAGAGAGGAAACCUAUUUUGAUAAUGAAACUGUAAGUACCAUAAGAUUCAAACAUUUUCAGAACUUUAUAACACCUAAAGAAAAAAUAGGUAAAAGAAGACAAACCUAUUUUGUUCUGCUUGGACUUUGGCAUCUUCGACGAUUAAGGUUUGUCUAAAAGAAGAAGAAAAAACGCCAAAAAAGCGACUGCGUUGCUCUGCUUAUGCAACUCCAAAAAGGGGUUUUCAAUGUUACUCCGGUUCUAGAUUUGUUAGGAUUUUGAACUUUAUAUAGGGGCGGUUUUUAUUUUUAAGGAUAGAAUCGGGUCUGGCUUUUAUUUUUAACCAAAGUUAAUGAAUGCAAUUAAAACCACGCGAUUUUAAUAAAAGUAAAAAAAAAUUUGCCGCCUUUAUAGAAAAAACAACGCUAUUAUUUUACUUUUAGCGGUGUUUAUGAGAAUUAGUUAAGUGAUUUUAUAAAAUAUUUAUUAUUAUUAUUUUUUAUAAAUUGAAUUUUUAUAAUAGAAAAACUCAAUACUCUCAAAAUAAAUAUCGUAUAUUUUAAUAAGAAACCAAAUGAUUAAAUGGCUGUAAUUAAUUAUUAAGUUAGAAUUAUUCAAUGUAAGCAAUCAAUCUCUCACAUAUCAAAUUUCUAUUAAAGAUUGAGAUGUUAAUCAUGAUUUUAUAUUAUUCUUUUCCGAUCUAAUCUCUAUUUUAUUAUAGAUAUUUCUUCCUAACUAAAAUAUAACUAUUUUGCUAGAUGUUCGAUCUGAAAUAAUUUUAGUUUUUGUAUUUAAUUUUUAUUUGUUAUCAUUUGGUCCUAUCCAAAAUAGAUAGUUUACCUAUCCAUAUCUAUAUGUUACUUUUUUUUAUUUAUUUAUCAAUGUUUUUUUAAAUCUAAUAUUUAAAUAUAUCAAAUGGUUUAGAUUAAAUAUUUUUAAAUAUAAAAGUAUUAAUUAUAAAAUUUUAUCAUUUAACAAAUAUCAAGUAAACCUUAACUCCUAAACCAUUUAAUAUAUAUAAAGUUUAUCUAUUAAAUUAAUUAUCUCUUAAAUAAUUUAAACUAUAAUCAUAAUUUUAAUAUAUUAAAAUUAAUAUUAUCUCUUUUACAAUUAUAUAAGAAAUUAUUUAAUAUAUAAAUUAAAAAACACUAAUUAAUCUAAACCUUAAACUCCUAACCUCUAUCCUUUAAACCCUAAAUCAUAAAACAUAAACCCUAAACCCUUAAACCUUAAACCUCAACCCUUAAACCAUAAACAAUAAUCCCUAAACCCAUGAUCCAUAAACCUUAAAAUAGUAACUCUUAAACCUUAAACCUUAAACCAUAUACCCUAAACCAUAAACCCUAAACUAUAAUGCUAAUUAAUUCAAUAUUUUAAAAUUAAUACUAUCUCUUUUACGAUUAUAUAAGAAAUUAUUUAAUAUAUAAAUUAAAAACAAUCAGUCAUGUACUCAAAAAACUUUAAAAUUAUUUUAAAUAAUAGUAUUUUAAUUUUUUUCAUUUUUAACAAAUAUUUUUCUAUGUUUUUACUUUCAAAUUUUUUCUACGUGUCAUUAUUUUUUUUGAAGAAUUUAAAUAUUCAAUUAAAAAUAAAUUGUAUUUUAAUUAAUAUAAAUAAACAAGUUAAAAUAGAUAAAAAAAUUUUGCGGCGUUUCUGAUAAAGCGCCGCUAAUGCUCAAUCUAUAGCGGUAUUUUUCAAAAAGCACCACUAAUGCUACUAAAGCUCAACAUAAAACGACGCGCUUAAUUUUUUUGCGGCGUUUCUCAAAAAGCGUCACUAAAGGUUGACGGUGCUUUUCAAAAAAUCACAGUUAAUGCUCGAUCUAUAGCGGCGUUUUCCAAAAGUCACCGCUAAUGCUCGAUCUGUAGCUGCGUUUUUCAAAAAGCGCCGCUAAUGAUCGAUCUGUAGUGGCAUUUUUCAAAAAAAGUCGUUAAUGUUUGAUCUGUAGCGGCGUUUUCUAUCCAAACGCAACUAAAAGUGCCGCUAAAAACCUGUUUUGUUGUAGUGUGUACAUGUAUAAUAGAAGUUAUGAACCAAACAGAGACUAAAUAGAGCAUACAAACAUAGUUUUACCAAUCAAUACAAUCAACAACAUUUUUAAUCACCUUCCAUUGUUAUACCAAUAUGCCACAUAUGACACCCAAUUCAAUCAACAUUCAAUUGAGCAUGUUAUACUAAUCAGCUAUCACUUUGUAACUAACCAAAAUGAUACCAACCAUCUAAUAACCACCUUUUUAGCAUUAUAACAAAGCAAUACCUUCUAUUCAAAUAUUCAUCAUCAUUCACUAUCACCAUUUUGCUUAACCAUUCUUUGACCACCACAUCAUAGGUACAUGUUCAUUUCAAACUUAUGUACAUAUCAUAUAAGCACUAAGAUCAACCAUUUCAUAUGUUCCUUUAAUGUCAAAGGUUCAAGAUUAUUAAGAUUUAACUCAACGACACUUACUAAACAACCCUAUAUACAUUUAAACUCUAAAAACAUGCCAAAAUAUCAUAUAUCACUCUUUCAAACCAUCUAAUACAACCCUUCCACAAUUCGACAUCAAAACAUAUCAAAAUAACUUAAAUAAACACAACCUCACCAGCCAAUUCUUUUAUCCAUAACAUGAUAUCAUAUUAUCUAAUUGCAUACUCAAAAUGCUAUUUCAUGAGUCAUUUGCACAAUUCAAAUCAUCUACUAAAUGCAUAUGGUUUCAACUAUGUAUAUUCUUUGCCAUAAAUCAUGUUAACAUAGAUUUCAAACCAUAUCACUAUACAAAGAAACCAAAACAACUCUUAAGUACAUGUCACACAUAACUGAGCCUUAAUACGAUUAAAAGACUACCAAAUCAAUAACGAAAUAGUGUGAGUUUUUUGUCGAUUAGCCUGACAUGUUCCGCAAAUUGACAAUCUACAGGAAAAAGGGAGUAAGCAUUACAAAUGCUUAGUAAGUUCAUAGCUAUUAAAACAACAACUUACCUCAUUUUAUGAAUUUAUGCAAUAAGUUAUUCAACUUGACGAUUUUGCCUAAAUCCAACAACCCUAUAUCAACAAGGUGAGUUCAUCUCGCAACCCAUUCAUAUAAUAAUAUGAACAUUUAAUAUUUCAAAUAAUUUUAAUACCAAUCGCAUGGAAAUCAACAACCCAGUACCAUUCAUAACAUUCUAAUUAACAUUUCAAUUCACAAAUACAACUAAAAAUCUCAGUGGUACACAUGUAUCAAUAUAUUUAAGCUUUAAUCGAUCAAUCUAAAGAUUAUAUUGUAUCAUUUCAUUUUGUUGUCAACCAUACAUCCAAUUUCAAUAUAAUGGCAAUCAUUAUUUCAUUUUAUUGUUUGAAUUCUCAAUCCAAUUCAUAUUAAUCCAUAUGAAUUUUAUUCCCGUGUCAUAUAAAUUAAUCUUUAUACCAAAUAGAUAUUUAAUGUCAAUUUAAUGUCAAUCACUACUUUGUUUCAUAGUACGAAUUCUAAAUCACACUCAUUGAUUUGUCACGUAUUCAUAUUAACCUUCUGUGCUUGUAUAAUUGAUUCUUAAUAUAUAUAUGUAUCAUCCGAUCAUCAUAUCAACUUAAUUUGAAUAUUAUUUAUUCCAUUUACAAUAUACAUGCCCCUAUUAACCUGACUCAGACACGGAUGGAUACAUGGAUCCACCCAACACACCAAAUUGACACCCAGUGCCUAUUGGAUAAAUCCAAAAAUAAUAAGUUACACCCUAUGCUGGUCAGUAAAAUAAAAAAAAUAGAUGUGCUCAACAUUGGUCAGUAAAAUCAACAAAUGGGGUUCCCAACACUCCCCGACACGUAGUCAUAUAACCCUGAACUCUUCCUAUCCUAUGACAUGCCAACUAUAUCCAGUUAUGCCCGACUAAUUAAUAGGGUAACAAUUUCUCGAUUUCAUUACAUAAUUUCAUCAACCAAACAAUCAAUUCUCAAAUAUAAUAGCACAUCACAUAAUCAUACUGAUUCAAUUUCAUGUUUACAACAUUAUAUCAUUCUUUCACAUAUAUUCACUUGGUCCUUAUCACUAUCAACCUGUCUAAAUCGAAUCAAUUCAACUCAUUUCAUUGCAUCAUUACAUAACAUAUCUCAUUUUAGUUCAAUUUAUGGUCAAUUCCAUAAUUAUUUCAAUUUGUAAUUCAUUGUAUUCAAUUUAAUCCUAUAUCUCACCUUUUUGUACCAAAUCGUAAAGAAUUAAAAUUUCAAUUAAAUAUAAUUAAAAUUAUAAUUCUAAAUGCAUAAAAAAUUUAACACAAACAUACCGUAUAAACUUACCAAGCCAAGACAAAAAAAAACCUCUCUAAGCACUAAUCAACAACUUUUGCCAUUUCCUUGAUUAUCUUCAAUUUGGUCUAAUUUUCGAUAUAUUCAACAGUUCGAUUCAAUUUAUCAAUUCUAAACAUCUUAUAUAAUUCUAUUAUAAUUACACAUCAAUUUAAGUUUAUUAUUUAAAUGCCCCUAAACUUUUACAUUUUAUUCAAUUUAGUCCAUAAAAUCGAACUUAUCAUAUCUUCCGAAUUUGAACUCCAAAUUUUAAACUCACUUCAAUUAUGUCCAUAUACAACCUCAUAUUAUCACAAUUUAUAAAAAUUUCAUACAUAUUUCAAGAUAUUCACAAUUUAAUCCUUAAACUCAAAACUAACAUAAUUUACUUAACAAAUUAAUCCUAUUUCAUUUCUAAGCUUCAAAAUAUACCUUAAACAUUCAAAAAAUUCAAAUAAUCAAUGGGAACUUUUUAAAUAUUUGGAAGUUUUGAAAACGGAGAUACGAGUUAGAUAAACCUAGUUGUAACUAUCUUAAAAACAUAAAAAAUCAUGAAAAAACUGGCUUAGAAAACAUUACGAUGCAAGAGAAACAUGUUGUUGAACCAUGAAGCUUCUCCCAUAGUGGUUUUUGAGUUUCUUAUUUGGUGAAGAAAACAAAUGAAAGUGAAAACUUUCAUUUUUUUUAUGUUUUAACUAUUAUAAUAUUAAUUUAACCUUAAAAUUAAAUAAAAAUUUAAUUAUAAAAUUCAAAUAAAACAUUUAACAACCGACCACCAAAAAAUAAAAGGGUAAUUUGUAACUUAAAACUCUUAUCAUUAAUUAAUUUUGCCUUUUAGCUAAUAAAAACCAAUACCGAUUAAAUUUUACUAUUUUUAUGAUUUAGUCCUUUUUCCUUAUUUAACCAUCCAAUCACUAAAAUUUUUGGACCAAAUUUCAAUUCACCUAUAUAACAGAUCCGUAAAUAUUUAAUAAAAAUAUUCAUGGGUUAGAGUUUCAAAAAUUUGGUCUCGAAACCUUAUUUUCCAAAACCACUUGACUUUUGGUAUGCACCACUUGUACCUUGACUAACUGAUCAAUUAAUAAAAUCUAUUAAAUCACAAUUUCCUAUUAUACUAUAUUUAACUCAUGAAUAUUAAUUAAAUAUAUCUAUGGACUCUCUUGUCAAAAUUGUGUUCUUGAAACCACUACUUCUGACACCAUUGAAAAACGAGAUAUUACACUUCAUUCAUUUAACGUCCCACCAUAACACUAAUACUUCUUUCAAUUAAUAUCAAGAAGGCAUAUGCAUUUCUACAUUAACAUGCAAUCCACUUCGACUUUUAUGGCUCAUCAACACAAGAGCAAUUCAUAUACCAUUUAACCAUAUUCAUUCAAUAACCAUGGACUCACAAAUAAAUAAUAGUUCACUACUAAUUAAUACUUCAACGGCUUAUGCAGAAAACAAUUAUAUACAUAAUUAGUCUUAAAUUUAGACCACAUAUUCACACUCAAAUAGAACAACAUUGACAACAGUUUCACACAACAAUGACAAAGUUAAACAUCUCCAGAUUAUAGAGUAAAUUUUCGAGCAAAACAUAACCCUGUAGCAUAUAGAUGAAAAUAAAAGUUGGAGUUCAAAAAUCACUCGCAAAACACCCAAAUGCUAGAACCCUACACUUGUUUUUUCCUUUCCUUUGUCACUUUGGCCUCAUCCUUGGUUAGUUAAAUAAAAUAACCAUUCGUCAAUAAAAAUGACAACAUUCAUAAGCAAGACAAUCGAAAUCCAUUAACAUGCAAAAUAUUUUUGUAAGCUAUCUAAGAUCUUAUGUUCACAGCCAUGAAGUUUACCAUAACUUACAAGUUUCUUACCUCUUCCUUUCAGUCAAAAGGUGUAGAAGGGUUAGAAAGGUUACCGGCUCACUAGAUUCUUAAUUUCUCAAGCUAACACGUCUAGUUUUCCUUCAUACAAACUACUUCUUACUUCCUUACAAUUCCAAAAAAAGAAAAGGAAAAAUUAAGAAGACAAAUACCAGGACAUGAGAAUCGAAGAAUAGCAUAUUUAGUUCUUCUACUUAUACUCCUCUUACCUCCGUUCACCAAUUCCAACAUUCAAUAUAAAAUUAUUUAAGCUAUAAUCAUGUUGUUCCCCACUUAAUCAUCUAGAUCUAAUGUAAUGGGACCAAAAUUGAAAUUCAAUUUGUCUACCAAUUGGUUCACAAGAUUUAGUAAUCCAGACAAAAGCCCUCAUGAACUAAGUGUUUCUUAAUUAAAUACCUCUACUUACCGUGGAUUUUUCAAAAAAUCAUUUUAAUAAAUUUCUUAUCUACAAUCAAGACCAAACUUUAAUUUAACAGUUUCGGGUGUGAUAACUCUCCACCCUUAAGAAAAAUUUAGUCCCCGAAAUUUUUUUACUUUUCAAAUAAGUGCAAGUAUUUUUCCAUCAUGGAACUUUUUCUUUUCGCAAAUGCAUCACCCCAAUAUCAGUUUAUACAUAAAUAGCUAGCAUUAAACAAAUAAGAGAUACCUGCAAUAGCGCCUAGACUCUCUGUAUCUCCCUUGGCUCGCAUCACGUAUUUGCUUCUAUCAGCUCGUUAUGGAUAGUCCCUCUUAAAGUGACCCUAUUCUCCACAUUUGAAGCAAACACCUAACACCUUCCAGUAUUACCUUUAUGGUUCUUCCCACACUGUUCGCAAGUGGGGCUGGACAUCCUCCCCGACCCUCCAAUGCUAGCUACUGACGUGGUUUGGCAUCUAUCACGAUCCUGCCUAACAAUGUGGUUUGGAAUCCCCUAUUAUCCCAAGUCCUCUUAAUUCCAGGGCCUAGAAAUGGGCUUGUAGCUCCUUGUUUACCUUUUUCUUGAUCUUCAGCUUUGUUCUUUUCUUGUAUCAUCAUCUUCAUCCACUAGGCUUUAGCUAUCAAAGCAACCAAGUCUAAGAUUUCAAGCGCUGCCAAUAACAUACGAAUCGCUUCAAUUAAACCUCACUCAAAUCGGACCCAAAGGUCCUCCUCCAUUGGUGCCAACUCCCAAGCGUACUUGCUUAGUUUAAUAAAUUCAUGCUCGUAUUCAAACACUAUCAUCUGCCCUUGAUUAAGGUUUAAGAACUCUCUUUUCAUCUGUUUAAUGAAGAAUUAGCUAAUAUAUUUUUCUUGAAACUUCUACAAAAAGAAAUCCUAGUUAAUUUUCGCAUGUGGGUAGAGUAUGCCACCACUUGUAACACCUUGUACCUGACCUGAUUGUCAGGUCCAGGCUAUAGGAUGCUACACUUAAAUUUAAAAUUUAACUUAGACCUUGAGCAUUGUUAUCCACAAAUAAUAAAAGAAUGAAGACAAUAAUAUAUUUAAUAUUGCUACUAAGUAAAUUCAAAACUUCCAAGAAUCUAUGUCAACAAUAAAACUUUAACUUAAUAUACAACAAUUUCACCAAUUAAUCUUUAACAUGUUUAAAGUAUUCAGUUUGUGCUAAAAUUUAUAUUCUAACCAUUUAUUUCUUCUACAGCAAAGACCCUGAUACUCUGCCUCUGGGUUGCCCCAUUGUAUGCAAGUUACAACUAAUAAACAUAUCUGCCGAUGUAUGGCGAACUCUGGCCUGGUCCCUUCUCGAACUUCCAAAAUCCCCUAUUCACCUACAAUGCAUAACAACACAAGUUCUAAAGAACUUAAUGAGUUUCCAUACCUUACUAACACAAUGCUAUUACGAUUGCACUUCGUGACUGGGACUUCACAACGAUUUUUGCCUGUAUUAAGACAAUACGACAUCCUCUUUUUUUUACAAUAGAUGAUUCUUUGGUGGUUUUCACUUACCAAUUCCAUUUUUAUUUAUUGCCUUCAUGACCUAUAUGCAUUUAUCUCCUCGAGAGGGAAAUCCUUGUGUAUUCCUACUUACGAACGGUAAAAGAUAAAGUGUAAACAAUACUCAUGACACUCCUUGCAUCAAUGGCUACAAAUCUUCACAUAAGACCAUUCUUGGCGAAUAGUGUCUAUCGCGAGCUAUUAAUAAUAUUUUGUCUUACCGAACUAAGACUCAUAUUAUGAUCGUUUUGGAUCAUUAAGGGAAACACCCUUACGGCAUAAUAUAGAAAGUCUACUCAUUCCUAUCAAAUGGAUAGAUCGGAGAAUACAUCAUCUUACUCUUGUUCCAUAAUCAAGUAGUCCACUCCUGGUGGUUAUCUCUUUGAAAUAGAUAACAUGUAGGCAGAUUCUUAACAGUGAAUCCUCUAUUUGCGGAAUCAUACAUAUGGGACAUUCAUGUGGACUACCGUAUCUUUCAUAUAUAAGUUCUUCAUUUUGGAAGUAUAGGAGAAUACCUUGUAUCGUCCCCAAAAGAAACUAGUGGACUGUCAUAUAUGUAUGAUAUAACUUCUAUACAAUUUGCAUGUACAGUGAGCUUGAGCUUAGGAUUUGCCACUAGCACAUGGAUUCAUUCUUGGCAGACUUGUAAAGUUAAAUUUGAAUCCUCGAAUUCUCCUGCGACUCUUACCAAAGUGAAUUCUAUAACUACUGUAGGUGCAAAUCUGUAAGAAUAAGUCAGUGGACCAUCAUAACUUAUAUCCGCUUCACCUUAUUUGCUAGCAUAUGCAUCAUAGCCUUCUCAUAAUAAUAGAUAACCCAUUUUUUAGACUCAUACCAGUGGACAUAUUGUGGAAUCAUAUUCACAAGAUAGUUUUGGUGAACUUUCCUCACAACAAUAGUCCUAAAGUGCUUUCCCCAUAUUAGAUAGUCCUCAUGGACCUCCAAAAGAUAGUCCUUAUGGACCUCCCACAUUAGAUAGUCUUUAUAGGCUUUCCACAUAUGAUAAUCCUAAUGGACUUUCCACGUUAGGUAGUCCUGAUGAACUUCCCACAUAAGAUAGUCUUGAUGGACUUUCCACAUUAGAUAAUACUGAGGACUUUCUACAUUAGACAGUUCUAACGAACUUCCCACAUAUACGGUAAUGUAAUGGCCAUGGAGUUCCAUUCGUCCCACUAAGGGCUUUCGUACAUCCCUCAUAAGGGGCUCUCAAUCUUCCUAUAAAAGGAUCUCACAUUGGUGCACACCGUUUUUUGUAUAAUUUCAAAUCUCCUUUCUUGGCUUAAUCCAACCGAACCUCCCUCAAAGCCACAUACGUAAAAUGCAUAUGCAACCAUGCAUGACCAUCCGAACCUCUGCAAAACCAUAGAAAUAAAAGGCAUAUCAUACAUACAUUCCGCCUAUAAGAACUAUGAAUCAUAUGACAUAUAUCUCGCCAAAUAUUUCAUUGAUAUGUCAUAAUAAUUCUUACCACCAACCAAUCAUAUCACUUUAAUAUAAAAUAAUACAAUACGCCAAACACUUUAUUUACUCAACAUAACUAGUUCACAACCAUCUGUAUAUUUACAUACUACACUGCUUGCAACCACCAUACACCAUUACUUUGCCAUAACAUUUUCAUAGUUCAACUAUAGAAGAAUUCAUCAUUCACAUAACACUGAAGUAAGCCUAUUCUACUCGUGAAACUGAACAAAACAUUUAUUUACUAGUUGAGUUCUGAAACUCACCUGGAAGUUGAUGCCAAAUCCACCCAUUAAAAUUUUUCCUUUGCUACAUGAGCCUCUAGUAGCUUGAUCAAUACAACUUGAUAAAUCAUCAAUUAUUUGUCCACAAUUGAUCUGUUGUAAUUCAGUGAAGUAGACUAAACUAGUUUUCAUACUUAAGGAGCUUGAAGGCGAGCAAUUUUAUCAUGUUUUAGUUAGUUUUUCUAUCUUAUCUUUAAAUUCAAUAAAAAGUUUAUAUUGAUUCAUUUUAUGACCUUAGGGGCCAAAAGAGGCCGAAAAGUACGCUAACGUACUUAAAUACUGUGCAUGAUAUCAUUCAAAGGCAUAAUAGUUCAAGACUGGUCGCUGUGUUACAACACGGGAAGUGUAAUGUCGUAACAUAGAGAGUAGAAUACAAGAAUUCCAAUACUACCUUUAGUGUCGUAACACAUGCACUGGGUGUCGUGACACCGACUCUAUAUGGGAGAAAUUACAAGUGAAGGGUGUUUUGGUCCGCACAAUAUAUUUUUAUAUAAAAACAUCAGCCAACCUAGGGUUAAGGAUGACAACCAACUCUAACUCUAUAAAUACACUUAUUAGGCACUUGUUUAGGGACAACUUUCAUAGUUUAGAAUUUCUCUGUAAUUAGUUUUUAGUUUUUCUUUUUUUAGGCUUUAGAUUUAUUUUCAUUUAUUCCCGUUCGUGUUCUUUGGAGAAUCUGAUUUGUAGAUUCGAUUAAAAUUUUGUGGAUUAUGCGCUUCAUCAAUCAAUACAAACUCAGGAUUCUUCUUAAACUAUAUUCUUGAUCUGUUAUUAAUUUUUAAUUAUUUUAUCAAGUAUAUGUUGUUUAUGGAUUCCAUGAGGAACUAAUCCUCUUAUGAGGGGUUAGAGAGUGGAAGUGGGAUUAACUAAUUGAUAUUUAAGGUUUUCUUAGACGAUCAACUAUUUAGAGAGGAAGAACUUAAACCCUAAACCUGAAAACCCUAGGAAGUCAUUUAGGUGGGAAUUCACCCAAAAUUGGUAUGACAUAUCCCUAAACACCUUAGCCUCGAAUCGAUCUGGACUAUAAGGUCAAAAGAUAAGUAGUUCUUACAGACUCGUUAGUUUAGUAGAAGAUCGAGAGAUCCUGCUAGGGUGACCAUUAGUUGAUUGAAUAGAAACCCAAAAUAGGAAUUAAUUAUAACCAUCAAAGCGAUCUAAUCACCCAUGUUUAGGUUUGGUUAAGUUUAGAUUUCAGUAUCCGAAGCUAAUUUUAUUUAUGCAGUUUUUAUUUCUUUAUUAUAAAAACCUGAAAUAUUUUAUUUAUGUUUAAAUGUAAUAUAAUUGAUUUAAAGUACUAAUUAGAUCUAUAUUCAUUUAAGUUAAAGUUAAUUUAGUAUUAGCCUCCCUUGGGUUUGACCCUUGGAGUACUCACCUACUUCAUUGUAAAAACUAUAUUCUAACCUGACUCGUAUACUUGCAGACAACAACUCAAUUCCAUUCAUUUAGUUGCAAUAUUUACACUCUUGAUGUUAGUAUGUCCGGAGGCGGUCAAAUAUUUCGUGCCAUUGCCGAGGAGGCAACGCCACUAAAUUGAUUUUAAUUUUUGAGUUUUAUAGGAUAAUUUGGAAAUUUAUAAAUUGUAUAUACAAUUUUUUUAUUGUUACUAACAUAUUUUAUUUUCUUUUUAGUUUCAAUGUAUGACUCGUAGUAGUAGAACAAUUAUAGAGCGAGUCACUGAUCUAGAGAAUAUAAUCUGUAGGAAUCGUCAAUAGCCAUAGCAGAUGCAAAACCAAUCACCUGUUGCAAGCAAUCUACCAUGCGAUAACUCGUUGUUUGAUGAGGUAAACGAACUUAACAUCCAAGACUUACCACCACUACCGCAAUUACCAGCAAACCCUUCGAUGGCAUGAGAAGAGCGAAACCUAAGGGAUUACGCACUACCAAAUCUGGUGAUGGUUCAAGGUAGCAUUACAAGGCCAACCAUUAUGGAAAAUAAUUUUGAAAUAAAAUCGACCAUGAUAUAGAUGAUCCAAAAUAAUCUGUAAUUCAGAGGCACCAUGACGGAUGACCCAAAUCAACAUCUAAAACGGCUCCUUCAAUUUUGUGAUACAUUUAAAUAUAACGGGGUCAUUGAUGAAGCUAUUGAUCUUCGGUUGUUUCCCUUAUCCUUGAUCGAUAUUCGUUUAAGUUAAAGUUAAAGUUAAUUUAGUAUCAGCCUUCCUUGGGUUUGAUCCUUGGAGUACUCACCUACUUCAUUGUAAAAACUAUAUUACAACCUGACUCGUAUACUUGCAGACACCACCUCAAUUCCAUUGAUUUAGUUGCAAUAUUUACACUCUGGAUGUUAGUAUGUCCGGAGGCGGUCAAGUGUUUGGUGCCAUUGCCGAGGAGGCAACGCUACUAAAUUGAUUUUAAUUUUUGAGUUUUAUAGGAUAAUUUUGAAAUUUAUAAAUUGUAGAUACAAUUUUUUUAUUGUUAAUAACAUCUUUUAUUUUCUUUUUAGUUUCAGUGUAUGGCUCGUAGUAGUGGAACAGUUAUAGAGCGAGUCACUGAUCUAAAGAGAAUAAUCUGUAGGAAUCGUCAAUAGCCAUAGCAGAUGCAAAACCAAUCACCUGUACUAAUUAGAUCUAUAUUCGUUGAAGUUCAAGUUAAUUUAGUAUUAGCCUCCAUUGGGUUUGAUCCUUGGAGUACUCACCUACUUCGUUGUAAAAACUAUAUUACAACCAGACUCGUAUACUUGCAGACACCACCUCAAUUCCAUUCAUUUAGUUGCAAUAUUUACACUCUAAAUGUUAGUAUGUCCGGAGGAGGUCAAGUGUUUGGUGCCAUUGCCGAGGAGGCAAUGCUACUAAAUUGAUUUUAAUUUUUGAGUUUUAUAGGAUAAUUUGGAAAUUUAUAAAUUGUAGAUACAAUUUUUUUUAUUGUUACUAACAUCUUUUAUUUUCUUUUUAGUUUCAGUGUAUGUCUUGCAGUAGUGGAACAGUUAUAGAGCGAGUCACUGAUCUAGGGAGAAUAAUCUGUAGGAAUCGUCAAUAGCCAUAGCAGAUGCAAAACCAAUCACUUGUACUAAUUAGAUCUAUAUUCGUUUAAGUUAAAGUUAAUUUAGAAUUAGCCUCCCUUGGGUUUGAUCCUUCGAGUACUCACCUACUUCGUUGUAAAAACUAUAUUACAACCUGACUCAUCAACUUGCAGACACCACCUCAAUUCCAUUCAUUUAGUUGCAAUAUUUACGCUCUGGAUGUUAGUAUGUUCGGAGGCGGUCAAGUGUUUGGAGCCAUUGCCGAGGAGGCAACGCUACUAAAUUGAUUUUAAUUUUUGAGUUUUAUAGGAUAAUUUGGAAAUUUAUAAAUUGUAGAUACAAUUUUUUUAUUGUUACUAACAUCUUUUAUUUUCUUUUUAGUUUCAGUGUAGGACUCGUAGUAGUGGAACAAUUAUAGAGCGAGUCACUGAUCUAGAGAGAAUAAUCUGUAGGAAUCGUCGAUAGCCAUAGCAGAUGCAAAACCAAUCACCUGUUGCAAGCAAUCUACCAUGCGAUAACGCGUUGUUUGAUGAGGAAAACGAACUUAACAUCCAAGACUUACCACCACCACCGCAAUUACCAGCAAACCCUUCGAUGGCAUGAGAAGAGCGAAACCUAAGGGAUUACGCACUACCAAAUCUGGUGAUGGUUCAAGGUAGCAUUACAAGGCCAACCAUUAUGGAAAAUAAUUUUGAAAUAAAAUUGACCAUGAUCUAGAUGAUCCAAAAUAAUCAUCAAUUCAGAGGAACCAUGACGGAUGACACAAAUCAACAUCUAAAACAGGACCUUCAAUUUUGUGAUACAUUCUAAUAUAACGGGGUUAUUGAUGAAGCUAUUCAUCUUCGGUUGUUUCCCUUAUCCUUAAUCCAUAUUCGUUUAAGUUAAAGUUAAAGUUAACUUAGUAUUAGCCUUCCUUGGGUUUGAUCCUUGGAGUACUCACCUACUUCGUUGUAAAAACUAUAUUACAACCUGACUCGUAUACUUGCAGACACCACCUCAAUUCCAUUGAUUUAGUUGCCAUAUUUACACUCUAGAUGUUAGUAUGUCUGGAGGCGGUCAAGUGUUUGGUGCCAUUGCCGAGGAGGCACCGCUACUAAAUUGAUUUUAAUUUUUGAGUUUUAUAGGAUAAUUUGGAAAUUUAAAAAUUGUAGGUACAAUUUUUUUAUUGUUACUAACAUAUUUUAUUUUCCUUUUAGUUUCAGUGUAUGUCUUGCAGUAGUGGAACAGUUAUAGAGUGAGUCACUGAUCUAGAGAGAAUAAUCUGUAGGAAUCGUCAAUAGCCAUAGCAGAUGCAAAACCAAUCACUUGUACUAAUUAGAUCUAUAUUCGUUUAAGUUAAAGUUAAUUUAGUAUUAGCCUCCCUUGGGUUUGAUCCUUGGAGUACUCACCUACUUUGUUGUAAAAAGUAUAUUACAACCUGACUCGUCUACUUGCAGACACCACCUCAAUUCCAUUCAUUUAGUUUCAAUAUUUACACUCUGGAUGGUAGUAUGUCCGGAGGCGGUCAAGUGAUUGGAGCCAUUGCCGAGGAGGCAACGCUACUAAAUUGAUUUUAACUUUUGAGUUUUAUAGGAUAAUUUGGAAAUUUAUAAAUUGUAGAUACAAUUUUUUUUAUUGUUACUAACAUAUUUUAUUUUCUUUUUAGUUUCAGUGUAUGUCUUGCAGUAGUGGAACAGUUAUAGAGCGUGUCACUGAUCUAGGGAGAAUAAUCUGUAGGAAUCGUCAAUAGCCAUAGCAGAUGCAAAACCAAUCACCUGUUGCAAGCAAUCUACCAUGCGAUAACUCGUUGUUUGAUGAGGAAAACGAACUUAACAUCCAAGACUUACCACCACCACCGCAAUUACCAGCAAACCCUUCGAUGGCAUGAGAAGAGCGAAACCUAAGGGAUUACGCACUACCAAAUCUGGUGAUGGUUCAAGGUAGCAUUACAAGGCCAACCAUUAUGGAAAAUAAUUUUGAAAUAAAAUCGACCAUGAUCUAGAUGAUCCAAAAUAAUUAUCAAUUCAGAGGAACCAUGACGGAUGACACAAAUCAACAUCUAAAACGGGACCUUCAAUUUUGUGAUACAUUCUAAUAUAACGGGGUUAUUGAUGAAGCUAUUCAUCUUCGGUUGUUUCCCUUAUCCUUGAUCGAUAUUCGUUUAAGUUAAAGUUAAAGUUAACUUAGUAUUAGCCUUCCUUGGGUUUGAUCCUUGGAGUACUCACCUACUUCGUUGUAAAAACUAUAUUACAACCUGACUCGUAUUCUUGCAGACACCACCUCAAUUCCAUUGAUUUAGUUGCAAUAUUUACACUCUGGAUGUUAGUAUGUCCGGAGGCGGUCAAGUGUUUGGUGCCAUAGCCGAGGAGGCAACGCUAGUAAAUUGAUUUUAAUUUUUGAGUUUUAUAGGAUAAUUUGGAAAUUUAUAAAUUGUAGAUACAAUUUUUUUUAUUGUUACUAACAUCUUUUAUUUUCCUUUUAGUUUCAGUGUAUGUCUUGCAGUAGUGGAACAGUUAUAGAGCGAGUCACUGAUCUAGAGAGAAUAAUCUGUAGGAAUUGUCAAUAGCCAUAGCAGAUGCAAAACCAAUCACUUGUACUAAUUAGAUCUAUAUUCGUUUAAGUUAAAGUUAAUUUAGUAUUAGCCUCCCUUGGGUUUGAUCCUUGGAGUACUCACCUACUUUGUUGUAAAAACUAUAUUACAACCUGACUCGUCCACUUGCAGACACCACCUCAAUUCCAUUCAUUUAGUUUCAAUAUUUACACUCUGGAUGUUAGUAUGUCCGGAGGCGGUCAAGUGAUUGGAGCCAUUGCCGAGGAGGCAACGCUACUAAAUUGAUUUUAACUUUUGAGUUUUAUAGGAUAAUUUGGAAAUUUAUAAAUUGUAGAUACAAUUUUUUUAUUGUUACUAACAUCUUUAUUUUCUUUUUAGUUUCAGUGUAGGACUCGUAGUAGUGGAACAAUUAUAGAGCGAGUCACGGAUCUAGAGAGAAUAAUCUGUAGGAAUCGUCACUAGCCAUAGCAGAUGCAAAACCAAUCACCUGUUGCAAGCAAUCUACCAUGCGAUAACUCGUUGUUUGAUGAGGAAAACGAACUUAACAUCCAAGACUUACCACCACCACCGCAAUUACCAGCAAACCCUUCGAUGGCAUGAGAAGAGCGAAACCUAAGGGAUUACGCACUACCAAAUCUGGUGAUGGUUCAACGUAGCAUUACAAGGCCAACCAUAAUGGAAAAUAAUUUUGAAAUAAAAUCGACCAUGAUCUAGAUGAUCCAAAAUAAUCAUCAAUUCAGAGGAACCAUGACGGAUGACACAAAUCAACAUCUAAAAUGGGACCUUCAAUUUUGUGAUACAUUCUAAUAUAACGGGGUUAUUGAUGAAGCUAUUCAUCUUCGGUUGUUUCCCUUAUCCUUGAUCGAUAUUCGUUAAAGUUAAAGUUAAAGUUAACUUAGUAUUAGCCUUCCUUGGGUUUGAUCCUUGGAGUACUCACCUACUUCGUUGUAAAAACUAUAUUACAACCUGACUCGUAUACUUGCAGACACCACCUCAAUUCUAUUGAUUUAGGUGCCAUAUUUACACUCUAGAUGUUAGUAUGUCUGGAGGCGGUCAAGUGUUUGGUGCCAUUUUCGAGUAGGCAACGCUACUAAAUUGAUUUUAAUUUUUGAGUUUUAUAGGAUAAUUUUGAAAUUUAAAAAUUGUAGGUACAAUUUUUUUUAUUGUUACUAACAUCUUUUAUUUUCCUUUUAGUUUCAGUGUAUGUCUUGCAGAAGUGGAACUGUUAUAGAGCGAGUCACUGAUCGAGAGAGAAUAAUCUGUAGGAAUCGUCAAUAGCCAUAGCAGAUGCAAAACCAAUCACUUGUACUAAUUAGAUCUAUAUUCGUUUAAGUUAAAGUUAAUUUAGUAUUAGCCUCCCUUGGGUUUGAUCCUUGGAGUACUCAACUACUUUGUUGUAAAAACUAUUUUACAACCUGACUCGUCUACUUGCAGACACCACCUCAAUUCCAUUCAUUUAGUUUCAAUAUUUACACUCUGGAUGUUAGUAUGUCCGGAGGCGGUCAAGUGAUUGGAGCCAUUGCCGAGGAGGCAACGCUACUAAAUUGAUUUUAACUUUUGAGUUUUGUAGGAUAAUUUGGAAAUUUAUAAAUUGUAGAUACAAUUUUUUUAUUGUUACUAACGUCUUUAUUUUCUUUUUAGUUUCAGUGUAGGACUCGUAGUAGUGGAACAAUUAUAGAGCGAGUCACUGAUCUAGAGAGAAUAAUCUCUAGGAAUCGUCAAUAGCCAUAGCAGAUGCAAAACCAAUCAUCUGUUGCAAGCAAUCUACCAUGCAAUAAAUCGUUGUUUGAUGAGGUAAACGAACUUAACAUCCAAGACAUACCACCACCACCGCAAUUACCAGCAAACCCUUCGAUGGCAUUAGAAGAGCGAAACCUAAGGGAUUACGCACUACCAAAUCUGGUGAUGGUUCAAGGUAGCAUUACAAGGCCAACCAUUAUGGAAAAUUAUUUUGAAAUAAAAUAGACCAUGAUCUAAAUGAUCCAAAAUAAUCUGCAAUUCAGAGACACCAUGACGGAUGUCCCAAAUCAACAUCUAAAACGGGUCCUUCAAUUUUGGGAUACAUUUAAAUAUAACGGGGUCAUUGAUGAAGCUAUUAAUCUUCGAUUGUUUCCCUUAUCCUUGAUCGAUAUUCAUUUAAGUUAAAGUUAAAGUUAAUUUAGUAUUAGCCUUCCUUGGGUUUGAUCCUUGGAGUACUCACCUACUUUGUUGUAAAAACUAUAUUACAACCUGACUCGUAUACUUGCAGACACCACCUCAAUUCCAUUCAUUUAGUUUCAAUAUUUACACUCUGGAUGUUAGUAUGUCCGGAGGCGGUCAAGUGAUUGGAGCCAUUGCCGAGGAGGCAACGCUACUAAAUUGAUUUUAACUUUUGAGUUUUGUAGGAUAAUUUGGAAAUUUAUAAAUUGUAGAUACAAUUUUUUUGUUGUUACUAACAUCUUUAUUUUCUUUUUAGUUUCAGUGUAGGACUCGUAGUAGUGGAACAAUUAUAGAGUGAGUCACUGAUCUAGAGAGAAUAAUCUGUAGGAAUCGUCAAUAGCCAUAGCAGAUGCAAAACUAUUCACCUGUUGCAAGCAAUCUACCAUGCGAUAACUCGUUGUUUGAUGGGGAAAACGAACUUAACAUCCAAGACUUACCACCACCACCGCAAUUACCAGCAAACCCUUCGAUGGCAUGAGAAGAGCGAAACCUAAGGGAUUACGCACUACCAAAUCUGGUGAUGGUUCAAGGUAGCAUUACAAGGCCAACCAUUAUGGAAAAUAAUUUUGAAAUAAAAUCGACCAUGAUCUAGAUGAUCCAAAAUAAUCAUCAAUUCAGAGGAACCAUGACGGAUGACACAAAUCAACAUCUAAAACGGGACCUUCAAUUUUGUGAUACAUUCUAAUAUAACGGGGUUAUUGAUGAAGCUAUUCAUCUUCGGUUGUUUCCCUUAUCCUUGAUCGAUAUUCGUUUAAGUUAAAGUUAAAGUUAACUUAAUAUUAGCCUUCCUUGGGUUUGAUCCUUGGAGUACUCACCUACUUCGUUGUAAAAACUAUAUUACAACCUGACUCGUAUACUUGCAGACACCACCUCAAUUCCAUUCAUUUAGUUGCAAUAUUUACACUCUGGAUGUUAGUAUGUCCGGAGGCGGUCAAGUGUUUGGUGCCAUUGCCGAGGAGGCAACGCUACUAAAUUGAUUUUAAUUUUUGAGUUUUAUAGGAUAAUUUGGUAAUUUAUAAAUUGUAGAUACAAUUUUUUUAUUGUUACUAACAUCUUUUAUUUUCCUUUUAGUUUCAGUGUAUGUCUUGUAGUAGUGGAACUGUUAUAGAGCGAGUCGCUGAUCUAGAGAGAAUAAUCUGUAGGAAUCGUCAAUAGCCAUAGCAGAUGCAAAACCAAUCACUUGUACUAAUUAGAUCUAUAUUCGUUUAAGUUAAAGUUAAUUUAGUAUUAGCCUCCCUUGGGUUUGAUCCUUGGAGUACUCACCUACUUUGUUGUAAAAAGUAUAUUACAACCUGACUCGUCUACUUGCAGACACCACCUCAAUUCCAUUCAUUUAGUUUCAAUAUUUACACUCUGGAUGUUAGUAUGUCCGGAGGCGGUCAAGUGAUUGGAGCCAUUGCCGAGGAGGCAACGCUACUAAAUUGAUUUUAACUUUUGAGUUUUAUAGGAUAAUUUGGAAAUUUAUAAAUUGUAGAUAGAAUUUUUUUAUUGUCACUAACAUCUUUUAUUUUCUUUUUAGUUUAAGUGUAGGACUCGUAGUAGUGGAACAAUUAUAGAGCGAGUCACUGAUCUAGAGAGAAUAAUCUGUAGGAAUCGUCAAUAGCCAUAGCAGAUGCAAAACCAAUCACCUGUUGCAAGCAAUCUACCAUGCGAUAACUCGUUGUUUGAUGAGGAAAACGAACUUAACAUCCAAGACUUACCACCACCACCGCAAUUACCAGCAAACCCUUCGAUGGCAUGAGAAGAGCGAAACCUAAGGGAUUACGCACUACCAAAUCUGGUGAUGGUUCAAGGUAGCAUUACAAGGCCAACCAUUAUGGAAAAUAAUUUUGAAAUAAAAUCGACCAUGAUCUAGAUGAUCCAAAAUAAUCAUCAAUUCAGAGGAACCAUGACGGAUGACACAAAUCAACAUCUAAAACGGGACCUUCAAUUUUGUGAUACAUUCUAAUAUAACGGGGUUAUUGAUGAAGCUAUUCAUCUUCGGUUGUUUCCCUUAUCCUUGAUCGAUAUUCGUUUAAGUUAAAGUUAAAGUUAACUUAGUAUUAGCCUUCCUUGGGUUUGAUCCUUGGAGUACUCACCUACUUCGUUGUAAAAACUAUAUUACAACCUGACUCGUAUACUUGCAGACACCACCUCAAUUCCAUUGAUUUAGUUGCAAUAUUUACACUCUGGAUGUUAGUAUGUCCGGAGGCGGUCAAGUGUUUGGUGCCAUAGCCGAGGAGGCAACGCUAGUAAAUUGAUUUUAAUUUUUGAGUUUUAUAGGAUAAUUUGGAAAUUUAUAGAUUGUAGAUACAAUUUUUUUUAUUGUUACUAACAUCUUUUAUUUUCCUUUUAGUUUCAGUGUAUGUCUUGCAGUAGUGGAACAGUUAUAGAGCGAGUCACUGAUCUGGAGAGAAUAAUCUGUAGGAAUCGUCAAUAGCCAUAGCAGAUGCAAAACCAAUCACUUGUACUAAUUAGAUCUAUAUUCGUUUAAGUUAAAGUUAAUUUAGUAUUAGCCUCCCUUGGGUUUGAUCCUUGGAGUACUCACCUACUUUGUUGUAAAAACUAUAUUACAACCUGACUCGUCUACUUGCAGACACCACCUCAAUUCCAUUCAUUUAGUUUCAAUAUUUACACUCUGGAUGUUAGUAUGUCCGGAGGCGGUCAAGUGAUUGGAGCCAUUGCCGAGGAGGCAACGCUACUAAAUUGAUUUUAACUUUUGAGUUUUAUAGGAUAAUUUGGAAAUUUAUAAAUUGUAGAUACAAUUUUUUUAUUGUUACUAACAUCUUUAUUUUCUUUUUAGUUUCAGUGUAGGACUCGUAGUAGUGGAACAAUUAUAGAGCGAGUCACGGAUCUAGAGAGAAUAAUCUGUAGGAAUCGUCACUAGCCAUAGCAGAUGCAAAACCAAUCACCUGUUGCAAGCAAUCUACCAUGCGAUAACUCGUUGUUUGAUGAGGAAAACGAACUUAACAUCCAAGACUUACCACCACCACCGCAAUUACCAGCAAACCCUUCGAUGGCAUGAGAAGAGCGAAACCUAAGGGAUUACGCACUACCAAAUCUGGUGAUGGUUCAAGGUAGCAUUACAAGGCCAACCAUAAUGGAAAAUAAUUUUGAAAUAAAAUCGACCAUGAUCUAGAUGAUCCAAAAUAAUCAUCAAUUCAGAGGAACCAUGACGGAUGACACAAAUCAACAUCUAAAAUGGGACCUUCAAUUUUGUGAUACAUUCUAAUAUAACGGGGUUAUUGAUGAAGCUAUUCAUCUUCGGUUGUUUCCCUUAUCCUUGAUCGAUAUUCGUUAAAGUUAAAGUUAAAGUUAACUUAGUAUUAGCCUUCCUUGGGUUUGAUCCUUGGAGUACUCACCUACUUCGUUGUAAAAACUAUAUUACAACCUGACUCGUAUACUUGCAGACACCACCUCAAUUCUAUUGAUUUAGGUGCCAUAUUUACACUCUAGAUGUUAGUAUGUCUGGAGGCGGUCAAGUGUUUGGUGCCAUUUUCGAGUAGGCAACGCUACUAAAUUGAUUUUAAUUUUUGAGUUUUAUAGGAUAAUUUGGAAAUUUAAAAAUUGUAGGUACAAUUUUUUUUAUUGUUACUAACAUAUUUUAUUUUCCUUUUAGUUUCAGUGUAUGUCUUGCAGUAGUGGAACAGUUAUAGAGCGAGUCACUGAUCUAGAGAGAAUAAUCUGUAGGAAUCGUCAAUAGCCAUAGCAGAUGCAAAACCAAUCACUUGUACUAAUUAGAUCUAUAUUCGUUUAAGUUAAAGUUAAUUUAGUAUUAGCCUCCCUUGGGUUUGAUCCUUGGAGUACUCACCUACUUUGUUGUAAAAACUAUAUUACAACCUGACUCGUCUACUUGCAGACACCACCUCAAUUCCAUUCAUUUACUUUCAAUAUUUACACUCUGGAUGUUAGUAUGUCCGGAGGCGGUCAAGUGAUUGGAGCCAUUGCCGAGGAGGCAACGCUACUAAAUUGAUUUUAACUUUUGAGUUUUGUAGGAUAAUUUGGAAAUUUAUAAAUUGUAGAUACAAUUUUUUUAUUGUUACUAACAUCUUUAUUUUCUUUUUAGUUUCAGUGUAGGACUCGUAGUAGUGGAACAAUUAUAGAGCGAGUCACUGAUCUAGAGAGAAUAAUCUGUAGGAAUCGUCAAUAGCCAUAGCAGAUGCAAAACCAAUCAUCUGUUGCAAGCAAUCUACCAUGCGAUAAAUCGUUGUUUGAUGAGGUAAACGAACUUAACAUCCAAGACAUACCACCACCACCGCAAUUACCAGCAAACCCUUCGAUGGCAUUAGAAGAGCGAAACCUAAGGGAUUACGCACUACCAAAUCUGGUGAUGGUUCAAGGUAGCAUUACAAGGCCAACCAUUAUGGAAAAUUAUUUUGAAAUAAAAUAGACCAUGAUCUAAAUGAUCCAAAAUAAUCUGCAAUUCAGAGACACCAUGACGGAUGUCCCAAAUCAACAUCUAAAACGGGUCCUUCAAUUUUGGGAUACAUUUAAAUAUAACGGGGUCAUUGAUGAAGCUAUUAAUCUUCGGUUGUUUCCCUUAUCCUUGAUCGAUAUUCAUUUAAGUUAAAGUUAAAGUUAAUUUAGUAUUAGCCUUCCUUGGGUUUGAUCCUUGGAGUACUCACCUACUUUGUUGUAAAAACUAUAUUACAACCUGACUCGUAUACUUGCAGACACCACCUCAAUUCCAUUCAUUUAGUUUCAAUAUUUACACUCUGGAUGUUAGUAUGUCCGGAGGCGGUCAAGUGAUUGGAGCCAUUGCCGAGGAGGCAACGCUACUAAAUUGAUUUUAACUUUUGAGUUUUGUAGGAUAAUUUGGAAAUUUAUAAAUUGUAGAUACAAUUUUUUUGUUGUUACUAACAUCUUUAUUUUCUUUUUAGUUUCAGUGUAGGACUCGUAGUACUGGAACAAUUAUAGAGUGAGUCACGGAUCUAGAGAGAAUAAUCUGUAGGAAUCGUCAAUAGCCAUAGCAGAUGCAAAACUAUUCACCUGUUGCAAGCAAUCUACCAUGCGAUAACUCGUUGUUUGAUGGGGAAAACGAACUUAACAUCCAAGACUUACCACCACCACCGCAAUUACCAGCAAACCCUUCGAUGGCAUGAGAAGAGCGAAACCUAAGGGAUUACGCACUACCAAAUCUGGUGAUGGUUCAAGGUAGCAUUACAAGGCCAACCAUUAUGGAAAAUAAUUUUGAAAUAAAAUCGACCAUGAUCUAGAUGAUCCAAAAUAAUCAUCAAUUCAGAGGAACCAUGACGGAUGACACAAAUCAACAUCUAAAACGGGACCUUCAAUUUUGUGAUACAUUCUAAUAUAACGGGGUUAUUGAUGAAGCUAUUCAUCUUCGGUUGUUUCCCUUAUCCUUGAUCGAUAUUCGUUUAAGUUAAAGUUAAAGUUAACUUAAUAUUAGCCUUCCUUGGGUUUGAUCCUUGGAGUACUCACCUACUUCGUUGUAAAAACUAUAUUACAACCUGACUCGUAUACUUGCAGACACCACCUCAAUUCCAUUCAUUUAGUUGCAAUAUUUACACUCUGGAUGUUAGUAUGUCCGGAGGCGGUCAAGUGUUUGGUGCCAUUGCCGAGGAGGCAACGCUACUAAAUUGAUUUUAAUUUUUGAGUUUUAUAGGAUAAUUUGGUAAUUUAUAAAUUGUAGAUACAAUUUUUUUAUUGUUACUAACAUCUUUUAUUUUCCUUUUAGUUUCAGUGUAUGUCUUGUAGUAGUGGAACUGUUAUAGAGCGAGUCGCUGAUCUAGAAAGAAUAAUCUGUAGGAAUCGUCAAUAGCCAUAGCAGAUGCAAAACCAAUCACUUGUACUAAUUAGAUCUAUAUUCGUUUAAGUUAAAGUUAAUUUAGUAUUAGCCUCCCUUGGGUUUGAUCCUUGGAGUACUCACCUACUUUGUUGUAAAAAGUAUAUUACAACCUGACUCGUCUACUUGCAGACACCACCUCAAUUCCAUUCAUUUAGUUUCAAUAUUUACACUCUGGAUGUUAGUAUGUCCGGAGGCGGUCAAGUGAUUGGAGCCAUUGCCGAGGAGGCAACGCUACUAAAUUGAUUUUAACUUUUGAGUUUUAUAGGAUAAUUUGGAAAUUUAUAAAUUGUAGAUAGAAUUUUUUUAUUGUCACUAACAUCUUUUAUUUUCUUUUUAGUUUAAGUGUAGGACUCGUAGUAGUGGAACAAUUAUAGAGCGAGUCACUGAUCUAGAGAGAAUAAUCUGUAGGAAUCGUCAAUAGCCAUAGCAGAUGCAAAACCAAUCACCUGUUGCAAGCAAUCUACCAUGCGAUAACUCGUUGUUUGAUGAGGAAAACGAACUUAACAUCCAAGACUUACCACCACCACCGCAAUUACCAGCAAACCCUUCGAUGGCAUGAGAAGAGCGAAACCUAAGGGAUUACACACUACCAAAUCUGGUGAUGGUUCAAGGUAGCAUUACAAGGCCAACCAUUAUGGAAAAUAAUUUUGAAAUAAAAUCGACCAUGAUCUAGAUGAUCCAAAAUAAUCAUCAAUUCAGAGGAACCAUGACGGAUGACACAAAUCAACAUCUAAAACGGGACCUUCAAUUUUGUGAUACAUUCUAAUAUAACGGGGUUAUUGAUGAAGCUAUUCAUCUUCGGUUGUUUCCCUUAUCCUUGAUCGAUAUUCGUUUAAGUUAAAGUUAAAGUUAACUUAGUAUUAGCCUUCCUUGGGUUUGAUCCUUGGAGUACUCACCUACUUCGUUGUAAAAACUAUAUUACAACCUGACUCGUAUACUUGCAGACACCACCUCAAUUCCAUUGAUUUAGUUGCAAUAUUUACACUCUGGAUGUUAGUAUGUCCGGAGGCGGUCAAGUGUUUGGUGCCAUAGCCGAGGAGGCAACGCUAGUAAAUUGAUUUUAAUUUUUGAGUUUUAUAGGAUAAUUUGGAAAUUUAUAAAUUGUAGAUACAAUUUUUUUAUUGUUACUAACAUCUUUUAUUUUCCUUUUAGUUUCAGUGUAUGUCUUGCAGUAGUGGAACAGUUAUAGAGCGAGUCACUGAUCUAGAGAGAAUAAUCUGUAGGAAUCGUCAAUAGCCAUAGCAGAUGCAAAACCAAUCACUUGUACUAAUUAGAUCUAUAUUCGUUUAAGUUAAAGUUAAUUUAGUAUUAGCCUCCCUUGGGUUUGAUCCUUGGAGUACUCACCUACUUUGUUGUAAAAACUAUAUUACAACCUGACUCGUCUACUUGCAGACACCACCUCAAUUCCAUUCAUUUAGUUUCAAUAUUUACACUCUGGAUGUUAGUAUGUCCGGAGGCGGUCAAGUGAUUGGAGCCAUUGCCGAGGAGGCAACGCUACUAAAUUGAUUUUAACUUUUGAGUUUUAUAGGAUAAUUUGGAAAUUUAUAAAUUGUAGAUACAAUUUUUUUAUUGUUACUAACAUCUUUAUUUUCUUUUUAGUUUCAGUGUAGGACUCGUAGUAGUGGAACAAUUAUAGAGCGAGUCACGGAUCUAGAGAGAAUAAUCUGUAGGAAUCGUCACUAGCCAUAGCAGAUGCAAAACCAAUCACCUGUUGCAAGCAAUCUACCAUGCGAUAACUCGUUGUUUGAUGAGGAAAACGAACUUAACUUCCAAGACUUACCACCACCACCGCAAUUACCAGCAAACCCUUCGAUGGCAUGAGAAGAGCGAAACCUAAGGGAUUACGCACUACCAAAUCUGGUGAUGGUUCAAGGUAGCAUUACAAGGCCAACCAUAAUGGAAAAUAAUUUUGAAAUAAAAUCGACCAUGAUCUAGAUGAUCCAAAAUAAUCAUCAAUUCAGAGGAACCAUGACGGAUGACACAAAUCAACAUCUAAAAUGGGACCUUCAAUUUUGUGAUACAUUCUAAUAUAACGGGGUUAUUGAUGAAGCUAUUCAUCUUCGGUUGUUUCCCUUAUCCUUGAUCGAUAUUCGUUUAAGUUAAAGUUAAAGUUAACUUAGUAUUAGCCUUCCUUAGGUUUGAUCCUUGGAGUACUCACCUACUUCGUUGUAAAAACUAUAUUACAACCUGACUCGUAUACUUGCAGACACCACCUCAAUUCCAUUCAUUAAGUUGCAAUAUUUACACUCUGGAUGUUAGUAUGUCCGGAGGCGGUCAAAUGUUUGGUGCCAUUGCCAAGGAGGCAACACUACUAAAUUGAUUUUAAUUUUUGAGUUUUAUAGGAUAAUUUGGAAAUUUAUAAAUUGUAGAUACAAUUUUUUUAUUGUUACUAACAUCUUUAUUUUCUUUUUAGUUUCAGUGUAGGACUCGUAGUAGUGGAACAAUUAUAGAGCGAGUCACGGAUCUAGAGAGAAUAAUUUGUAGGAAUCGUCACUAGCCAUAGCAGAUGCAAAACCAAUCAUCUGUUGCAAGCAAUCUACCAUGCGAUAAAUCGUUGUUUGAUGAGGUAAACGAACUUAACAUCCAAGACAUACCACCACCACCGCAAUUACCAGCAAACCCUUCGAUGGCAUUAGAAGAGCGAAACCUAAGGGAUUACGCACUACCAAAUCUGGUGAUGGUUCAAGGUAGCAUUACAAGGCCAACCAUUAUGGAAAAUUAUUUUGAAAUAAAAUAGACCAUGAUCUAAAUGAUCCAAAAUAAUCUGCAAUUCAGAGGACACCAUGACGGAUGUACCCAAAUCAACAUCUAAAACGAGUCCUUCAAUUUUGGGAUACAUUUAAAUAUAACGGGGUCAUUGAUGAAGCUAUUCAUCUUCGGUUGUUUCCCUUAUCCUUGAUCGAUAUUCAUUUAAGUUAAAGUUAAAGUUAAUUUAGUAUUAGCCUUCCUUGGGUUUGAUCCUUGGAGUACUCACCUACUUUGUUGUAAAAACUAUAUUACAACCUGACUCGUAUACUUGCAGACACCACCUCAAUUCCAUUACAUUUAGUUUCAAUAUUUACACUCUGGAUGUUAGUAUGUCCGGAGGCGGUCAAGUGAUUUGGUAGCCAUUGCCGAAGGAGGCAACGCUACUAAAUUGAUUUUAACUUUUGAGUUUUAUAGGAUAAUUUAGAAAUUUAUAAAUUGUAGAUACAAUUUUUUUAGUUGUUACUAACAUCUUUUAUUUUCUUUUUAGUUUCAGUGUAUGGACUCGUAGUAGUGGAACAGUUAUAGAGCGAGUCACUGAUCUAGAGAGAAUAAUCUGUAGGAAUCGUCAAUAGCCAUAGCAGAUGCAAAACAAUCACCUGUUGCAAGCAAUCUACCAUGCAAUAACUCGUUGUUUGAUGAGGUAAACGAACUUAACAUCCAAGACUUACCACCACCACCGCAAUUACCAGCAAACCCUUCGAUGGCAUGAGAAGAGCGAAACCUAAGGGAUUACGCACUACCAAAUAUGGUGAUGGUUCAAGGUAGCAUUACAAGGCCAACCAUUAUGGAAAAUAAUUUUGAAAUAAAAUCGACCAUGAUCUAGAUGAUCCAAAAUAAUCAUCAAUUUAGAGGAACCAUGACGGAUGACACCAAAUCAACAUCUAAAACGGGACCUUCAAUUUUGUGAUACAUUCUAAUAUAACGGGGUUAUUGAUGAAGCUAUUCAUCUUCGGUUGUUUCCCUUAUCCUUGAUCGAUAUUCGUUUAAGUUAAAGUUAAAGUUAAUUAAGUAUUAGCCUUCCUUGGGUUUGAUCCUUGGAGUACUCACCUACUUCGUUGUAAAAACUAUAUUACAACCUGACCUCGUAUACUUGCAGACACCACCUCAAUUCCAUUCAUUUAGUUGCAAUAUUUACACUCUGGAUGUUAGUAUGUCCGGAGGCGGUCAAGUGUUUGGUGCCAUUGCCGAGGAGGCAACGCUACUAAAUUGAUUUUAAUUUUUGAGUUUUAUAGGAUAAUUUGGAAAUUUAUAAAUUGUAGAUACAAUUUUUUUAUUGUUACUAACAUCUUUUAUUUUCCUUUUAGUUUCAGUGUAUGUCUUGUAGUAGUGGAACAUGUUAUAGAGCGAGUCACUGAUCUAGAGAGAAUAAUCUGUAGGAAUCGUCAAUAGCCAUAGCAGAUGCAAAACCAAUCACCUGUACUAAUUAGAUCUAUAUUCGUUUAAGUUCAAGUUAAUUUAGUAUUAGCCUCCCUGGGUUUGAUCCUUGGAGUACUCACCUACUUUGUUGUAAAAACUAUAUUACAACCUGACUCGUCUACUUGCAGACACCACCUCAAUUCCAUUCAUUUAGUUUCAAUAUUUACACUCUGGAUGUUAGUAUGUUCGGAGGCGGUCAAGUGUUUGGAGCCAUUGCCGAGGAGGCAACGCUACUAAAUUGAUUUUAAUUUUUGAGUUUUAUAGGAUAAUUUGGAAAUUUAUAAAUUGUAGAUACAAUUUUUUUAUUGUUACUAACAUCUUUUAUUUUCUUUUUAGUUUCAGUGUAGGACUCGUAGUAGUGGAACAAUUAUAGAGCGAGUCACUGAUCUAGAGAGAAUAAUCUGUAGGAAUCGUCAAUAGCCAUAGCAGAUGCAAAACCAAUCACCUGUUGCAAGCAAUCUACCAUGCGAUAACCCGUUGUUUGAUGAGGUAAACGAACUUAACAUCCAAGACAUUACCACCACCACCGCAAUUACCAGCAAACCCUUCGAUGGCAUGAGAAGAGCGAAACCUAAGGGAUUACGCACUACCAAAUAUGGUGAUGGUUCAAGGUAGCAUUACAAGGCCAACCAUUAUGGAAAAUUAUUUUGAAAUAAAAUCGACCAUGAUCUAGAUGAUCCAAAAUAAUCUGCAAUUCAGAGGACACCAUGACGGAUGUCCCAAAUCAACAUCUAAAACGGGUCCUUCAAUUUUGUGAUACAUUUAAAUAUAACGGGGUCAUUGAUGAAGCUAUUGAUCUUCGGUUGUUUCCCUUAUCCUUGAUCGAUAUUCAGUUUAAGUUAAAGUUAAAGUUAAUUUAGUAUUAGCCUUCCUUGGGUUUGAUCCUUGGAGUACUCACCUACUUUAUUGUAAAAACUAUAUUACAACCUGACUCGUAUACUUGCAGACACCACCUCAAUUCCAUUCAUUUAGUUGACAAUAUUUACACUCUGGAUGUUAGUAUGUCCUGGAGGCAGGUCAAGUGUUUGGUGCCAUUACCGAGGAGGCAGCGCUACUAAAUUGAUUUUAAUUUUUGAGUUUUAUAGGAUAAUUUGGAAAUUUAUAAAUUGUAGAUACAAUUUUUUUAUUGUUACUAACAUCUUUUAUUUCUUUUUAGUUUCAGUGUAGGACUCGUAGUAGUGGAACCAGUUAUAGAGCGAGUCAUUGAUCUAAAGAGAAUAAUCUGUAGGAAUCAUCAAUAGCCAUAGCAGAUGCAAAACCAAUCACCUGUACCAAUUAGAUCUAUAUUCGUUGAAUUUCAAGUUAAUUUAGUAUUAGCCUCCAUUGGGUUUGAUCCUUGGAGUACUCACCUACUUCGUUGUAAAAACUACAUUACAACCUGACUCGUAUACUUGCAGACACCACCUCAAUUCCAUUCAUUUAGUUGCAAUAUUUACACUCUAAAUGUUAGUAUGUCCGGAGGAGGUCAAGUGUUUGGUGCCAUUGCUGAGGAGGCAACGCUACUAAAUUGAUUAUAAUUUUUGAGUUUUAUAGGAUAAUUUGGAAAUUUAUAAAUUGUAGAUACAAUUUUUUUAUUGUUACUAACAUCUUUUAUUUUCUUUUUAGUUUCAGUGUAUGGCUCGUAGUAGUGAACAGUUAUAGAGCGAGUCACUGAUCUAAAGAGAAUAAUCUGUAGGAAUCGUCAAUAGCCAUAGCAGAUGAAAACCAAUCACUUGUACUAAUUAGAUCUAUAUUCGUUUAAGUUAAAGUUAAUUUAGUAUUAGCCUUCCUUGGGUUGAUCCCUGGAGUACUCACCUACUUCGUUAUAAAAACUAUAUUACAAACUGACUCGUCUACUUGCAGACACCACCUCAAUUCCAUUCAUUUAGUUGCAAUAUUUACACUCUGGUUGUUAGUAUGUCGGAGGCGGUCAAGUGUUUGGAGCCAUUGCCGAGGAGGCAACGCUACUAAAUUGAUUUAAUUUUUGAGUUUUAUAGGAUAAUUUGGAAAUUUAUAAAUUGUAGAUACAAUUUUUUUAUUGUUACUAACAUCUUUUAUUUUCUUUUUAUUUUCAGUGUAGGACUCGUAGUAGUGGAACAAUUAUAGAGCGAGUCACUGAUCUGAGAGAAUAAUCUGUAGGAAUCGUCAAUAGCCAUAGCAGUUGCAAAACCAAUCACCUAUUGCAAGCAAUCUACCAUGCGAUAACUCGUUGUUUGAUGAGGUAAACGAACUUAACAUCCAAGACUUACCACCCCCACCGCAAUUGCCAGCAAACCCUUCGAUGGCAUGAGAAGGGCGAAACCUAAGGGAUUACGCACUACCAAAUAUGGUGAUGGUUCAAGGUAGCAUUACAAGGCCAACCAUUACGGAAAAUAAUUUUGAAAUAAAAUCGACCAUGAUCUAGAUGAUCCAAAAUAAUCUGCAAUUCAGAGGCACCAUGACGGAUGACCCAAAUCAACAUCUAAAACGGGUCCUUCAAUUUUGUGAAUCAUUUAAAUAUAACGGGGUUAUUGAUGAAGCUAUUCAUCUUCGGUUGUUUCCCUUACCUUGAUCGAUAUUUAGUUUAAGUUAAAGUUAAAGUUAAUUUAGUAUUAGCCUUCCUUGGGUUUGAUCCUUGGAGUACUCACCUACUUCAUUGUAAAAACUAUAUUUCAACCUGACUCGUAUACUUGUAGACACCACCUCAAUUCCAUUCAUUUAGUUGCAAUAUUUACACUCUGGAUGUUAGUAUGUCCGGAGGCGGUGAAGUGUUUGGUGCCAUUGCCGAGGAGGCAAUGCUACUAAAUUGAUUUUAAUUUUUGAGUUUUAUAGGAUAAGUUGGAAAUUUAUAAAUUGUAGAUACAAUUUUUUUAUUGUUACUAACAUCUUUUAUUUUCUUUUUAGUUUCAGUGUAUGGCUCGUAGUAGUGGAACAGUGAUAGAGCGAGUCACUGAUCUAGAGAGAAUAAUCUCUAGGAAUCGUCAAUAGCCAUAGCAGAUGCAAAACCAAUCACCUGUACUAAUUAGAUCUAUAUUCGUUUAAGUUCAAGUUAAUUUAGUAUUAGCCUCCCUUGGGUUUGAUCCUUGGAGUACUCACCUACUUCAGUUGUAAAAACUAUAUUACAACCUGACUCGUGUACUUGCAGACACCACCUCAAUUCCAUUCAUUUAGUUUCAAUAUUUACACUCUGGAUGUUAGUAUGUUCGGAGGCGGUCAAGUGUUUGGAGCCAUUGCCGAGGAGGCAACACUACUAAAUUGAUUUUAAUUUUUGAGUUUUAUAGGAUAAUUUGGAAAUUUAUAAAUUGUAGAUACAAUUUUUUUAUUGUUACUAACAUCUUUUAUUUUCUUUUUAGUUUCAGUGUAGGACUCGUAGUAGUGGAACAAUUAUAAAGCGAGUCACUGAUCUAGAGAGAAUAAUCUGUAGGAAUCGUCAAUAGCCAUAGCAGUUGCAAAACCAAUCACCUGUUGCAAGCAAUCUACCAUGCGAUAACCCGUUGUUUGAUGAGGUAAACGAACUUAAUAUCCAAGACUUACCACCACCACCGUAAAUUACCAGCAAACCCUUCGAUGGCAUGAGAAGGGCGAAACCUAAGGGAUUACGCACUACCAAAUAUGGUGAUGGUUCAAGGUAGCAUUACAAGGCCAACCAUUAUGGAAAAUAAUUUUGAAAUAAAAUCGACCAUGAUCUAGAUGAUCCAAAAUAAUCUGCAAUUCAGAGGAACCAUGACGGAUGACACAAAUCAACAUCUAAAAUGGGGCCUUCAAUUUUGUGAUACAUUCUAAUAUAACGGGGUCAUUGAUGAAGCUAUUCAUCUUCGGUUGUUUCCCUUAUCCUGAUCGAUAUUCGUUAAGUUAAAGUUAAAGUUAAUUUAGUAUUAGCCUUCCUUGGGUUUGAUCCUUGGAGUACUCACCUACUUCGUUGUAAAAACUAUAUUACAACCUGACUCGUAUACUUGCAGACACCACCUCAAUUCCAUUCAUUAGUUGCAAUAUUUACACUCUGGAUGUUAGUAUGUCCGGAGGCGGUCAAUUGUUUGGUGCCAUUGCCGAGGACGCAACGCUACUGAAUUGAUUUUAAUUUUUAGUUUAUAGGAUAAUUUGGAAAUUUAUGAAUUGUAGAUACAAUUUUUUUAUUGUUACUAACAUCUUUUAUUUUCUUUUUAGUUUUCAGUGUAUGGCUCGUAGUAGUGGAACAGUUAUAGAGUGAGUCACUGAUCUAAAGAGAAUAAUCUGUAGGAAUCGUCAAUAGCCAUAGCAGAUGCAAAACCAAUCACCUGUACUAAUUAGAUAUAUAUUCGUUAAGUUCAAGUUAAUUUAGUAUUAGCCUUCCUUGGGUUUGAUCCUUGGAGUACUCACCUACUUCGUAAAAACUAUAUUACAACCUGACGUUAUACUUGCAGACACCACCUCAAUUCCAUUCAUUUAGUUGCAAUAUUUACACUCUGGAUGUUAGUAUGUCCGGAGGCGGUCAAGUGUUUGGUGCCAUUGCGAGGAGGCAACGCUACUAAAUGAUUUUAAUUUUUGAGUUUUAUAGGAUAAGUUGGAAAUUUAUUAAAUUGUAGAUACACUUUUUUUAUUGUUACUAACAUCUUUAUUUUCUUUUUAGUUUCAGUGUNNNNNNNNNNNNNNNNNNNNNNNNNNNNNNNNNNNNNNNNNNNNNNNNNNNNNNNNNNNNNNNNNNNNNNNNNNNNNNNNNNNNNNNNNNNNNNNNNNNNNNNNNNNNNNNNNNNNNNNNNNNNNNNNNNNNNNNNNNNNNNNNNNNNNNNNNNNNNNNNNNNNNNNNNNNNNNNNNNNNNNNNNNNNNNNNNNNNNNNNNNNNNNNNNNNNNNNNNNNNNNNNNNNNNNNNNNNNNNNNNNNNNNNNNNNNNNNNNNNNNNNNNNNNNNNNNNNNNNNNNNNNNNNNNNNNNNNNNNNNNNNNNNNNNNNNNNNNNNNNNNNNNNNNNNNNNNNNNNNNNNNNNNNNNNNNNNNNNNNNNNNNNNNNNNNNNNNNNNNNNNNNNNNNNNNNNNNNNNNNNNNNNNNNNNNNNNNNNNNNNNNNNNNNNNNNNNNNNNNNNNNNNNNNNNNNNNNNNNNNNNNNNNNNNNNNNNNNNNNNNNNNNNNNNNNNNNNNNNNNUUCCAUUCAUUUAGUUGCAAUACUUACACUCUGGAUGUUAGUAUGCCCGGAGGCGGUCAAGAGUUUGGUGCCAUUGCCGAGGAGGCAACGCUACUAAAUUGAUUUUAAUUUUUGAGUUUUAUAGGAUAAUUUGGAAAUUUAUAAAUUGUAGAUACAAUUUUUUUAUUGUUACUAACAUCUUUUAUUUUCUUUUUAGUUUCAGUGUAUGACUCGUAGUAGUGGAACAGUUAUAGAGCGAGUCACUGAUCUAGAGAGAAUAAUCUGUAGGAAUCGUCAAUAGCCAUAGCAGAUGCAAAACCAAUCACCUGUUGCAAGCAAUCUACUAUGCGAUAACCCGUUGUUUGGUGAGGUAAACGAACUUAACAUCCAAGACUUACCACCACCACCGCUAUUACCAGCAAACCCUUCGAUGGCAUGAGAAGGGCGAAACCUAAGGGAUUCCGCACUACCAAAUAUGGUGAUGGUUCAAGGUAGCAUUACAAGGCAAACCAUUAUGGAAAAUAAUUUUGAAAUAAAAUCGACCAUGAUCUAGAUGAUCCAAACUAAUCUUCAAUUCAGAGGAACCAUGACGGAUGACCCAAAUCAACAUCUAAAACGGGUCCUUCAAUUUUGUGAUGCAUUUAAAUAUAACGGGGUCAUUAAUGAAGCUAUUCAUCUUCAGUUGUUUCCCAUAUCCUUGAUCGAUAUUCGUUUAAGUUAAAGUUAAAGUUAAUUUAGUAUUAGCCUUCCUUGUGUUUGAUCCUUGGAGUACUCACCUACUUCAUUGUAAAAACUAUAUUACAACCUGACUCGUAUACUUGCAGACACCACCUCAAUUCCAUUCAUUUAGUUGCAAUAUUUACACUCUGGAUGUUAGUAUGUCCGGAGGCGGUCAAGUGUUUGGUGCCAUUGCCGAGGAGGCAACGCUACUGAAUUGAUUUUAAUUUUUUAGUUUUAUAGAAUAAUUUGGAAAUUUAUAAAUUGUAGAUACAAUUUUCUUAUUGUUACUAGCAUCUUUUAUUUUCUUUUUAGUUUCAGUGUAUGGCUCGUAGCAGUGGAACAGUUAUAGAGCGAGUCACUGAUCUAAAGAGAAUAAUCUGUAGGAAUCGUCAAUAGCCAUAGCAGAUGCAAAACCAAUCACCUGUACUAAUUAGAUCUAUAUUCAUUUAAGUUCAAGUUAAUUUAGUAUUAGCCUCCCUUGGGUUUGAUCCUUGGAGUACUCACCUACUUCGUUGUAAAAACUAUAUUACAACCUGACUCUUGUACUUGCAGACACCACCACAAUUCCAUUCAUUUAGUUUCAAUAUUUACACUCUGGAUGUUAGUAUGUUCGGAGGCGGUCAAGUGUUUGGAGCCAUUGCCGAGGAGGCAACACUACUAAAUUGAUUUUAAUUUUUGAGUUUAAAAGGAUAAUUUGGAAAUUUAUAAAUUGUAGAUAAAUUUUUUUAUUGUUACUAACAUCUUUUAUUUUCUUUUUAGUUUCAGUGUAGGACUCGUAGUAGUGGAACAAUUAUAAAGCGAGUCACUGAUCUAGAGAGAAUAAUCUGUAGGAAUCGUCAAUAGCCAUAGCAGUUGCAAAACCAAUCACCUGUUGCAAGCAAUCUACCAUGCGAUAACCCGUUGUUUGAUGAGGUAAACGAAUUUAAUAUCCAAGACUUACCACCACCACCGCAAUUACCAGCAAACCCUUCGAUGGCAUGAGAAGGGCGAAACCUAAGGGAUUACGCACUACCAAAUAUGUUGAUGGUUCAAGGUAGCAUUACAAGGCCAGCCAUUAUGGAAAAUAAUUUUGAAAUAAAAUCGACCAUGAUCUAGAUGAUCCAAAAUAAUCUGCAAUUCAGAGGCACCAUGACGGAUGACCCAAAUCAACAUCUAAAACGGGUCCUUCAAUUUUGUGAUGCAUUUAAAUAUAACAGGGUCAUUAAUGAAGCUAUUCAUCUUCGGUUGUUUCCCUUAUCCUUGAUCGAUAUUCGUUUAAGUUAAAGUUAAAGUUAAUUUAGUAUUAGCCUUCCUUGGGUUUGAUCCUUGGAGUACUCACCUACUUCAUUGUAAAAACUAUAUUACAACCUGACUCGUAUACUUGUAGACACCACCUCAAUUCCAUUCAUUUAGUUGCAAUAUUUACACUCUGGAUGUUAGUAUGUCCGGAGGCGGUCAAGUGUUUGGUGCCAUUGCCGAGGAGGCAACGCUACUAAAUUGAUUUUAAUUUUUGAGUUUUAUAGGAUAGUUUGGAAAUUUAUAAAUUGUAGAUACAAUUUUUUUAUUGUUACUAACAUCUUUCAUUUUCUUUUUAGUUUCAGUGUAUGACUCGUAGUAGUGGAAGAGUUAUAGUGCGAGUCACUGAUCUAGAGAGAAUAAUCUGUAGGAAUCGUCAAUAGCCAUAGCAGAUGCAAAACCAAUCACCUGUUGCAAGCAAUCUACCAUGCGAUAACCCGUUGUUUGAUGAGGUAAACGAACUUAAUAUCCAAGACUUACCACCACCACCGCAAUUACCAGCAAACCCUUCGAUGGCAUGAGAAGGGCGAAACCUAAGGGAUUACGCACUACCAAAUAUGGUGAUGGUUCAAGGUAGCAUUACAAGGCCAACCAUUAUGGAAAAUAAUUUUGAAAUAAAAUCGACCAUGAUCUAGAUGAUCCAAACUAAUCUUCAAUUCAGAGGCACCAUGACGGAUGACCCAAAUCAACAUCUAAAACGGGUCCUUCAAUUUUGUGAUGCAUUUAAAUAUAACGGGGUUAUUGAUGAAGCUAUUCAUCUUCGGUUGUUUCCCUUAUCCUUGAUCGAUAUUCGAUUAAGUUAAAGUUAAAGUUAAUUUAGUAUUAGCCUUCCUUGGGUUUGAGCCUUGGAGUACUCACCUACUUCAUUGUAAAAACUAUAUUACAACCUGACUCGUAUACUUGCAGACACCACCUCAAUUCCAUUCAUUUAGUUGCAAUAUUUACACUCUGGAUGUUAGUAUGCCCGGAGGCGGUCAAGAGUUUGGUGCCAUUGCCGAGGAGGCAACGCUACUAAAUUGAUUUUAAUUUUUGAGUUUUAUAGGAUAAUUUGGAAAUUUAUAAAUUGUAGAUACAAUUUUUUUUAUUGUUACUAACAUCUUUUAUUUUCUUUUUAGUUUCAGUGUAUGACUCGUAGUAGUGGAACAGUUAUAGAGCGAGUCACUGAUCUAGAGAGAAUAAUCUGUAGGAAUCGUCAAUAGCCAUAGCAGAUGCAAAACCAAUCACCUGUUGCAAGCAAUCUACUAUGCGAUAACCCGUUGUUUGAUGAGGUAAACGAACUUAACAUCCAAGACUUACCACCACCACCGCUAUUACCAGCAAACCCUUCGAUGGGAUGAGAAGGGUGAAACCUAAGGGAUUACGCACUACCAAAUAUGGUGAUGGUUCAAGGUAGCAUUACAAGGCAAACCAUUAUGGAAAAUAAUUUUGAAAUAAAAUCGACCAUGAUCUAGAUGAUCCAAACUAAUCUUCAAUUCAGAGGAACCAUGACGGAUGACCCAAAUCAACAUCUAAAACGGGUCCUUCAAUUUUGUGAUGCAUUUAAAUAUAACGGGGUCAUUAAUGAAGCUAUUCAUCUUCAGUUGUUUCCCAUAUCCUUGAUCGAUAUUCGUUUAAGUUAAAGUUAAUGUUAAUUUAGUAUUAGCCUUCCUUGUGUUUGAUCCUUGGAGUACUCACCUACUUCAUUGUAAAAACUAUAUUACAACCUGACUCGUAUACUUGCAGACACUACCUCAAUUCCAUUCAUUUAGUUGCAAUAUUUACACUCUGGAUGUUAGUAUGUCCGGAGGCGGUCAAGUGUUUGGUGCCAUUGCCGAGGAGGCAACGCUACUGAAUUGAUUUUAAUAUUUUAGUUUUAUAUAAUAAUUUGGAAAUUUAUAAAUUGUAGAUACAAUUUUCUUAUUGUUACUAGCAUCUUUUAUUUUCUUUUUAGUUUCAGUGUAUGGCUCGUAGCAGUGGAACAGUUAUAGAGCGAGUCACUGAUCUAAAGAGAAUAAUCUGUAGGAAUCGUCAAUAGCCAUAGCAGAUGCAAAACCAAUCACCUGUACUAAUUAGAUCUAUAUUCAUUUAAGUUCAAGUUAAUUUAGUAUUAGCCUCCCUUGGGUUUGAUCCUUGGAGUACUCACCUACUUCGUUGUAAAAACUAUAUUACAACCUGACUCUUGUACUUGCAGACACCACCACAAUUCCAUUCAUUUAGUUUCAAUAUUUACACUCUGGAUGUUAGUAUGUUCGGAGGCGGUCAAGUGUUUGGAGCCAUUGCCGAGGAGGCAACACUACUAAAUUGAUUUUAAUUUUUGAGUUUAAAAGGAUAAUUUGGAAAUUUAUAAAUUGUAGAUAAAAUUUUUUUAUUGUUACUAACAUCUUUUAUUUUCUUUUUAGUUUCAGUGUAGGACUCGUAGUAGUGGAACAAUUAUAAAGCGAGUCACUGAUCUAGAGAGAAUAAUCUGUAGGAAUCGUCAAUAGCCAUAGCAGUUGCAAAACCAAUCACCUGUUGCAAGCAAUCUACCAUGCGAUAACCCGUUGUUUGAUGAGGUAAACGAAUUUAAUAUCCAAGACUUACCACCACCACCGUAAUUACCAGCAAACCCUUCGAUGGCAUGAGAAGGGCGAAACCUAAGGGAUUACGCACUACCAAAUAUGUUGAUGGUUCAAGGUAGCAUUACAAGGCCAGCCAUUAUGGAAAAUAAUUUUGAAAUAAAAUCGACCAUGAUCUAGAUGAUCCAAACUAAUCUUCAAUUCAGAGGCACCAUGACGGAUGACCCAAAUCAACAUCUAAAACGGGUCCUUCAAUUUUGUGAUGCAUUUAAAUAUAACGGGGUUAUUGAUGAAGCUAUUCAUCUUCGGUUGUUUCCCUUAUCCUUGAUCGAUAUUCGAUUAAGUUAAAGUUAAAGUUAAUUUAGUAUUAGCCUUCCUUGGGUUUGAGCCUUGGAGUACUCACCUACUUCAUUGUAAAAACUAUAUUACAACCUGACUCGUAUACUUGUAGACACCACCUCAAUUCCAUUCAUUUAGUUGCAAUAUUUACACUCUGGAUGUUAGUAUGUCCGGAGGCGGUCAAGUGUUUGGUGCCAUUGCCGAGGAGGCAACGCUACUAAAUUGAUUUUAAUUUUUGAGUUUUAUAGGAUAGUUUGGAAAUUUAUAAAUUGUAGAUACAAUUUUUUUAUUGUUACUAACAUCUUUCAUUUUUUUUUUAGUUUCAGUGUAUGACUCGUAGUAGUGGAACAGUUAUAGUGCGAGUCACUGAUCUUGAGAGAAUAAUCUAUAGGAAUCGUCAAUAGCCAUAGCAGAUGCAAAACGAAUCACCUGUUGCAAGCAAUCUACUAUGCGAUAACCCGUUGUUUGAUGAGGUAAACGAACUUAACAUCCAAGACUUACCACCACCACCGCUAUUACCAGCAAACCCUUCGAUGGCAUGAGAAGAGCGAAACCUAAGGGAUUAUGCACUACCAAAUCUGGUGAUGGUUCAAGGUAGCAUUACAAGGCCAACCAUUAUGGAAAAUAAUUUUGAAAUAAAAUCGACCAUGAUCUAGAUGAUCCAAAAUAAUCUGCAAUUCAGAGGAACCAUGACGGAUGACACAAAUCAACAUCUAAAACGGGGCCUUCAAUUUUGUGAUACAUUCUAAUAUAACGGGGUCAUUGAUGAAGCUAUUCAUCUUCGGUUGUUUCCCUUAUCCUUGAUCGAUAUUCGUUUAAGUUAAAGUUAAAGUUAAUUUAGUAUUAUCCUUCCUUGGGUUUGAUCCUUGGAGUACUCACCUACUUCGUUGUAAAAAGUAUAUUACAACCUGACUCGUAUACUUGCAGACACCACCUCAAUUCCAUUCAUUUAGUUGCAAUAUUUACACUCUGGAUGUUAGUAUGUCCGGAGGCGGUCAAGUGUUUGGUGCCAUUGCCGAGGAGGCAACGCUACUGAAUUGAUUUUAAUUUUUUAGUUUUAUAGGAUAAUUUGGAAAUUUAUAAAUUGUAGAUACAAUUUUUUUAUUGUUACUAACAUCUUUUAUUUUCUUUUUAGUUUCAGUGUAUGGCUCGUAGUAGUGGAAUAGUUAUAGAGCGAGUCACUGAUCUAAAGAGAAUAAUCUGUAGGAAUCGUCAAUAGCCAUAGCAGAUGAAAAAACCAAUCACCUGUACUAAUUAGAUAUAUAUUCGUUUAAGUUCAAGUUAAUUUAGUAUUAGCCUUCCUUGGGUUUGAUCCUUGGAGUACUCACCUACUUCGUUGUAAAAACUAUAUUACAACCUGACUCGUAUACUUGCAGACACCACCUCAAUUCCAUUCAUUAAGUUUCAAUAUUUACACUCUGGAUGUUAGUAUGUCCGGAGGCGGUCAAAUGUUUGGUGCCAUUGCCGAGGAGGCAACGCUACUAAAUUGAUUUUAAUUUUUGAGUUUUAUAGGAUAAUUUGGAAAUUUAUAAAUUGUAGAUACAAUUUUUUUAUUGUUACUAACAUCUUUUAUUUUCUUUUUAGUUUCAGUGUAUGUCUUGCAGUAGUGGAACAAUUAUAGAGUGAGUCACUGAUCUAGAGAGAAUAAUCUGUAGGAAUCGUCAAUAGCCAUAGCAGAUGCAAAACCAAUCACCUGUACUAAUUAGAUCUAUAUUCGUUUAAGUUCAAGUUAAUUUAGUAUUAGCCUCCCUUGGGUUUGAUCCUUGGAGUACUCACCUACUUCGUUGUUAAAACUAUAUUACAACCUGACUCGUAUACUUGCAGACACCACCUCAAUUCCAUUCAUUUAGUUGCAAUAUUUACACUCUGGAUGUUAGUAUGUCCGGAGGCGGUCAAGUGUUUGGUGCCAUUGCCGAGAAGGCAACGCUACUGAAUUGAUUUUAAUUUUUUAGUUUUAUAGGAUAAUUUGGAAAUUUAUAAAUUGCAGAUACAAUUUUUUUAUUGUUACUAACAUCUUUUAUUUUCUUUUUAGUUUCAGUGUAUGUCUUGCAGUAGUGGAACAAUUAUAGAGCGAGUCACUGAUCUAGAGAGAAUAAUCUGUAGGAAUCGUCAAUAGCCAUAGCAGAUGCAGAACCAAUCACCUGUACUAAUUAGAUCUAUAUUCGUUUAAGUUCAAGUUAAUUUAGUAUUAGCCUCCCUUGGGUUUGAUCCUUGUAGUACUCACCUACUUUGUUGUAAAAACUAUAUUACAACCUGACUCGUGUACUUGCAGACACCACCUCAAUUCCAUUCAUUUAGUUUCAAUAUUUACACUCUGGAUGUUAGUAUGUUCGGAGGCGGUCAAGUGUUUGGAGCCAUUGCCGAGGAGGCAACACUACUAAAUUGAUUUUAAUUUUUGAGUUUUAUAGGAUAAUUUGGAAAUUUAUAAAUUGUAGAUACAAUUUUUUUAUUGUUACUAACAUCUUUUAUUUUUUUUUUAGUUUCAGUGUAUGACUCGUAGUAGUGGAACAGUUAUAGAGCGAGUCACUGAUCUAGAGAGAAUAAUCUGUAGGAAUCGUCAAUAGCCAUAGCAGAUGCAAAACCAAUCACCUGUUACAAGCAAUCUACUAUGCGAUAACCCGUUGUUUGAUGAGGUAAACGAACUUAACAUCCAAGACAUACCACCACCACCGCCAUUACCAGCAAACCCUUCGAUGGCAUGAGAAGAGCGAAACCUAAGGGAUUAUGCACUACCAAAUCUGGUGAUGGUUCAAGGUAGCAUUACAAGGCCAACCAUUAUGGAAAAUAAUUUUGAAAUAAAAUCGACCAUGAUCUAGAUGAUCCAAAAUAAUCUGCAAUUCAGAGGAACCAUGACGGAUGACACAAAUCAACAUCUAAAACAGGGCCUUCAAUUUUGUGAUACAUUCUAAUAUAACGGGGUCAUUGAUGAAGCUAUUCAUCUUCGGUUGUUUCCCUUAUCUUUGAUCGAUAUUCGUUUAAGUUAAAGUUAAAGUUAAUUUAGUAUUAGCCUUCUUUGGGUUUGAUCCUUGGAGUACUCACCUACUUCGUUUUAAAAACUAUAUCACAACCUGACUCGUAUACUUGCACACACCACCUCAAUUCCAUUCAUUUAGUUGCAAUAUUUACACUCUGGAUGUUAGUAUGUCUGGAGGCGGUUAAGUGUUUGGUGCCAUUGCCGAGGAGGCAACGCUACUGAAUUGAUUUUAAUUUUUUAGUUUUAUAGGAUAAUUUGGAAAUUUAUAAAUUGUAGAUACAAUUUUCUUAUUGUUACUAACAUCUUUUAUUUUCUUUUUAGUUUCAGUGUAUGGCUCGUAGUAGUGGAAUAGUUAUAGAGCGAGUCACUGAUCUAAAGAGAAUAAUCUGUAGGAAUCGUCAAUAGCCAUAGCAGAUGCAAAACCAAUCACCUGUACUAAUUAGAUCUAUAUUCGUUUAAGUUCAAGUUAAUUUAGUAUUAGCAUUCCUUGGGUUUGAUCCUUGGAGUACUCACCUACUUCGUUGUAAAAACUAUAUUACAACCUGACUCGUGUACUUGCAGACACCACCUCAAUUCCAUUCAUUUAGUUGCAAUAUUUACACUCUAGAUGUUAGUAUGUCCGGAGGCGGUCAAAUGUUUGGUGCCAUUGCCGUGGAGGCAACGCUACUAAAUUGAUUUUAAUUUUUGAGUUUUAUAGGAUAAUUUGGAAUUUAUAAAUUGUAGAUACAAUUUUUUUAUUGUUACUAACACCUUUUAUUUUCUUUUUAGUUUCAGUGUAUGUCUUGCAGUAGUGGAACAAUUAUAGAGCGAGUCACUGAUCUAGAGAGAAUAAUCUGUAGGAAUCGUCAAUAGCCAUAGCAGAUGCAAAACCAAUCACCUGUACUAAUUAGAUCUAUAUUCGUUUAAGUUCAAGUUAAUUUAGUAUUUGCCUUCCUUGGGUUUGAUCCUUGGAGUACUCACCUACUUCGUUGUAAAAACUAUAUUACAACCUGACUCGUGUACUUGCAGACACCACCUCAAUUCCAUUCAUUUAGUUGCAAUAUUUACACUCUAGAUGUUAGUAUGUCUGGAGGCGGUCAAAUGUUUGGUGCCAUUGCCGAGGAGGCAACGCUACUAAAUUGAUUUUAAUUUUUGAGUUUUAUAGGAUAAUUUGGAAAUUUAUAAAUUGUAGAUACAAUUUUUUUAUUGUUACUAACACCUUUUAUUUUCUUUUUAGUUUCAGUGUAUGUCUUGCAGUAGUGGAACAAUUAUAGAGCGAGUCACUGAUCUGGAGAGAAUAAUCUGUAGGAAUCGUCAAUAGCCAUAGCAGAUGCAAAACCAAUCACCUGUACUAAUUAGAUCUAUAUUCGUUUAAGUUCAAGUUAAUUUAGUAUUAUCCCUCCUUGGGUUUGAUCCUUGGAGUACUCACCUACUUCGUUGUAAAAACUAUAUUACAACCUGACUCGUGUACUUGCAGACACCACCUCAAUUCCAUUCAUUUAGUUGCAAUAUUUACACUCUAGAUGUUAGUAUGUCCGGAGGCGGUCAAAUGUUUGGUGCCAUUGCCGUGGAGGCAACGCUACUAAAUUGAUUUUAAUUUUUGAGUUUUAUAGGAUAAUUUGGAAAUUUAUAAAUUGUAGAUACAAUUUUUUUAUUGUUACUAACACCUUUUAUUUUCUUUUUAGUUUCAGUGUAUGUCUUGCAGUAGUGGAACAAUUAUAGAGCGAGUCACUGAUCUAGAGAGAAUAAUCUGUAGGAAUCGUCAAUAGCCAUAGCAGAUGCAAAACCAAUCACCUGUACUAAUUAGAUCUAUAUUCGUUUAAGUUCAAGUUAAUUUAGUAUUAGCCUCCCUUGGGUUUGAUCCUUGGAGUACGCACCUACUUCGUUGUAAAAACUAUAUUACAACCUGACUCGUGUACUUGCAGACACCACCUCAAUUCCAUUCAUUUAGUUGCAAUAUUUACACUCUGGAUGUUAGUAUGUCCGGAGGCGGUCAAGUGUUUGGUGCCAUUGCCGAGGAGGCAACGCUACUAAAUUGAUUUUAAUUUUUGAGUUUUAUAGGAUAAUUUGGAAAUUUAUAAAUUGUAGAUACAAUUUUUUUAUUGUUACUAACAUCUUUUAUUUUCUUUUUAGUUUCAGUGUAUGACUCGUAGUAGUGGAGCAGUUAUAGAGCGAGUCACUGAUCUAGAGAGAAUAAUCUGUAGGAAUCGUCAAUAGCCAUAGCAGAUGCAAAACCAAUCACCUGUUGCAAGCAAUCUACUAUGCGAUAACCCGUUGUUUGAUGAGGUAAACGAACUUAACAUCCAAGACUUACCACCACCACCGCUAUUACCAGCAAACCCUUCGAUGGCAUGAGAAGAGCGAAACCUAAGGGAUUAUGCACUACCAAAUCAGGUGAUGGUUCAAGGUAGCAUUACAAGGCCAACCAUUAUGGAAAAUAAUUUUGAAAUAAAAUCGACCAUGAUCUAGAUGAUCCAAAAUAAUCUGCAAUUCAGGGGAACCAUGACGGAUGACCCAAAUCAACAUCUAAAACGGGUCCUUCAAUUUUCUGAUGCAUUUAAAUAAAACGGGGUCAUUAAUGAAGCUAUUCAUCUUCGGUUGUUUCCCGUAUCCUUGAUCGAUAUUCGUUUAAGUUAAAGUUAAAGUUAAUUUAGUAUUAGCCUUCCUUGGGUUUGAUCCUUGGAGUACUCACCUACUUCGUUGUAAAAACUAUAUUACAACCUGACUCGUAUACUUGCAGACACCACCUCAAUUCCAUUCAUUUAGUUGCAAUAUUUACACUCUGGAUGUUAGUAUGUCCGGAGGCGGUCAAAUGUUUGGUGCCAUUGCCGAGGAGGCAACGCUACUAAAUUGAUUUUAAUUUUUGAUUUUUAUAGGAUAAUUUGGAAAUUUAUAAAUUGUAGAUACAAUUUUUUUAUUGUUACUAACAUCUUUUAUUUUUUUUUAGUUUCAGUGUAUGACUCGUAGUAGUGGAACAGUUAUAGAGCGAGUCACUGAUCUAGAGAGAAUAAUCUGUAGGAAUCGUCAAUAGCCAUAGCAGAUGCAAAACCAAUCACCUGUUACAAGCAAUCUACUAUGCGAUAACCCGUUGUUUGAUGAGGUAAACGAACUUAACAUCCAAGACAUACCACCACCAUCGCCAUUACCAGCAAACCCUUCGAUGGCAUGAGAAGAGCGAAACCUAAGGGAUUAUGCACUACCAAAUCUGGUGAUGGUUCAAGGUAGCAUUACAAGGCCAACCAUUAUGGAAAAUAAUUUUGAAAUAAAAUCGACCAUGAUCUAGAUGAUCCAAAAUAAUCUGCAAUUCAGAGGAACCAUGACGGAUGACACAAAUCAACAUCUAAAACAGGGCCUUCAAUUUUGUGAUACAUUCUAAUAUAACGGGGUCAUUGAUGAAGCUAUUCAUCUUCGGUUGUUUCCCUUAUCUUUGAUCGAUAUUCGUUUAAGUUAAAGUUAAAGUUAAUUUAGUAUUAGCCUUCUUUGGGUUUGAUCCUUGGAGUACUCACCUACUUCGUUUUAAAAACUAUAUCACAACCUGACUCGUAUACUUGCAGACACCACCUCAAUUCCAUUCAUUUAGUUGCAAUAUUUACACUCUGGAUGUUAGUAUGUCUGGAGGCGGUCAAGUGUUUGGUGCCAUUGCCGAGGAGGCAACGCUACUGAAUUGAUUUUAAUUUUUUAGUUUUAUAGGAUAAUUUGGAAAUUUAUAAAUUGUAGAUACAAUUUUCUUAUUGUUACUAACAUCUUUUAUUUUCUUUUUAGUUUCAGUGUAUGGCUCGUAGUAGUGGAACAGUUAUAGAGCGAGUCACUGAUCUAAAGAGAAUAAUCUGUAGGAAUCGUCAAUAGCCAUAGCAGAUGCAAAACCAAUCACCUGUACUAAUUAGAUCUAUAUUCGUUUAAGUUCAAGUUAAUUUAGUAUUAGCAUUCCUUGGGUUUGAUCCUUGGAGUACUCACCUACUUCGUUGUAAAAACUAUAUUACAACCUGACUCGUGUACUUGCAGACACCACCUCAAUUCCAUUCAUUUAGUUGCAAUAUUUACACUCUAGAUGUUAGUAUGUCCGGAGGCGGUCAAAUGUUUGGUGCCAUUGCCGUGGAGGCAACGCUACUAAAUUGAUUUUAAUUUUUGAGUUUUAUAGGAUAAUUUGGAAUUUAUAAAUUGUAGAUACAAUUUUUUUAUUGUUACUAACACCUUUUAUUUUCUUUUUAGUUUCAGUGUAUGUCUUGCAGUAGUGGAACAAUUAUAGAGCGAGUCACUGAUCUAGAGAGAAUAAUCUGUAGGAAUCGUCAAUAGCCAUAGCAGAUGCAAAACCAAUCACCUGUACUAAUUAGAUCUAUAUUCGUUUAAGUUCAAGUUAAUUUAGUAUUAGCCUUCCUUGGGUUUGAUCCUUGGAGUACUCACCUACUUCGUUGUAAAAACUAUAUUACAACCUGACUCGUGUACUUGCAGACACCACCUCAAUUCCAUUCAUUUAGUUGCAAUAUUUACACUCUAGAUGUUAGUAUGUCUGGAGGCGGUCAAAUGUUUGGUGCCAUUGCCGAGGAGGCAACGCUACUAAAUUGAUUUUAAUUUUUGAGUUUUAUAGGAUAAUUUGGAAAUUUAUAAAUUGUAGAUACAAUUUUUUUAUUGUUACUAACACCUUUUAUUUUCUUUUUAGUUUCAGUGUAUGUCUUGCAGUAGUGGAACAAUUAUAGAGCGAGUCACUGAUCUGGAGAGAAUAAUCUGUAGGAAUCGUCAAUAGCCAUAGCAGAUGCAAAACCAAUCACCUGUACUAAUUAGAUCUAUAUUCGUUUAAGUUCAAGUUAAUUUAGUAUUAUCCCUCCUUGGGUUUGAUCCUUGGAGUACUCACCUACUUCGUUGUAAAAACUAUAUUACAACCUGACUCGUGUACUUGCAGACACCACCUCAAUUCCAUUCAUUUAGUUGCAAUAUUUACACUCUAGAUGUUAGUAUGUCCGGAGGCGGUCAAAUGUUUGGUGCCAUUGCCGUGGAGGCAACGCUACUAAAUUGAUUUUAAUUUUUGAGUUUUAUAGGAUAAUUUGGAAAUUUAUAAAUUGUAGAUACAAUUUUUUUAUUGUUACUAACACCUUUUAUUUUCUUUUUAGUUUCAGUGUAUGUCUUGCAGUAGUGGAACAAUUAUAGAGCGAGUCACUGAUCUAGAGAGAAUAAUCUGUAGGAAUCGUCAAUAGCCAUAGCAGAUGCAAAACCAAUCACCUGUACUAAUUAGAUCUAUAUUCGUUUAAGUUCAAGUUAAUUUAGUAUUAGCCUCCCUUGGGUUUGAUCCUUGGAGUACGCACCUACUUCGUUGUAAAAACUAUAUUACAACCUGACUCGUGUACUUGCAGACACCACCUCAAUUCCAUUCAUUUAGUUGCAAUAUUUACACUCUGGAUGUUAGUAUGUCCGGAGGCGGUCAAGUGUUUGGUGCCAUUGCCGAGGAGGCAACGCUACUAAAUUGAUUUUAAUUUUUGAGUUUUAUAGGAUAAUUUGGAAAUUUAUAAAUUGUAGAUACAAUUUUUUUAUUGUUACUAACAUCUUUUAUUUUCUUUUUAGUUUCAGUGUAUGACUCGUAGUAGUGGAGCAGUUAUAGAGCGAGUCACUGAUCUAGAGAGAAUAAUCUGUAGGAAUCGUCAAUAGCCAUAGCAGAUGCAAAACCAAUCACCUGUUGCAAGCAAUCUACUAUGCGAUAACCCGUUGUUUGAUGAGGUAAACGAACUUAACAUCCAAGACUUACCACCACCACCGCUAUUACCAGCAAACCCUUCGAUGGCAUGAGAAGAGCGAAACCUAAGGGAUUAUGCACUACCAAAUCAGGUGAUGGUUCAAGGUAGCAUUACAAGGCCAACCAUUAUGGAAAAUAAUUUUGAAAUAAAAUCGACCAUGAUCUAGAUGAUCCAAAAUAAUCUGCAAUUCAGGGGAACCAUGACGGAUGACCCAAAUCAACAUCUAAAACGGGUCCUUCAAUUUUCUGAUGCAUUUAAAUAAAACGGGGUCAUUAAUGAAGCUAUUCAUCUUCGGUUGUUUCCCGUAUCCUUGAUCGAUAUUCGUUUAAGUUAAAGUUAAAGUUAAUUUAGUAUUAGCCUUCCUUGGGUUUGAUCCUUGGAGUACUCACCUACUUCGUUGUAAAAACUAUAUUACAACCUGACUCGUAUACUUGCAGACACCACCUCAAUUCCAUUCAUUUAGUUGCAAUAUUUACACUCUGGAUGUUAGUAUGUCCGGAGGCGGUCAAAUGUUUGGUGCCAUUGCCGAGGAGGCAACGCUACUAAAUUGAUUUUAAUUUUUGAUUUUUAUAGGAUAAUUUGGAAAUUUAUAAAUUGUAGAUACAAUUUUUUUAUUGUUACUAACAUCUUUUAUUUUCUUUUUAGUUUCAGUGUAUGUCUUGCAGUAGUGGAACAAUUAUAGAGUGAGUCACUGAUCUAGAGAGAAUAAUCUGUAGGAAUCGUCAAUAGCCAUAGCAGAUGCAAAACCAAUCACCUGUACUAAUUAGAUCUAUAUUCGUGUAAGUUCAAGUUAAUUUAGUAUUGGCCUCCCUUGGGUUUGAUCCUUGGAGUACUCACCUACUUCGUUGUAAAAACUAUAUUACAACCUGAGUCGUAUACUUGCAGACACCACCUCAAUUCCAUUCAUUUAGUUGCAAUAUUUACACUCUGGAUGUUAGUAUGUCCGGAGGCGGUCAAGUGUUUGGUGCCAUUGCCGAGGAGGCAACGCUACUAAAUUGAUUUUAAUUUUUGAGUUUUAUAGGAUAAUUUGGAAAUUUAUAAAUUGUAGAUACAAUUUUUUUAUUGUUACUAAAAUCUUUUAUUUUCUUUUUAGUUUCAGUGUAUGUCUUGUAGUAGUGGAACAGUUAUAGAGCGGGUCACUGAUCUAGAGAGAAUAAUCUCUAGGAAUCGUCAAUAGCCAUAGCAGAUGCAAAACCAAUCACCUGUACUAAUUAGAUCUAUAUUCGUUUAAGUUAAAGUUAAUUUAGUAUUAGCCUUCCUUGGGUUUGUUCCUUGGAGUACUCACCUACUUCGUUGUAAAAACUAUAUUACAACCUGACUCGUGUACUUGCAGACACCACCUCAAUUCCAUUCAUUUAGUUGCAAUAUUUACACUCUGGAUGUUAGUAUGUCCGGAGGCGGUCAAGUGUUUGGAGCCAUUGCCGAGGAGAGAACGCUACUAAAUUGAUUUUAAUUUUUGAGUUUUAUAGGAUAAUUUGGAAAUUUAUAAAUUGUAGAUACAAUUUUUUUAUUGUUACUAACAUCUUUUAUUUUCUUUUUAGUUUCAGUGUAGGACUCGUAGUAGUGGAACAAUUAUAGAGCGAGUCACUGAUCUGGAGAGAAUAAUCUGUAGGAAUCGUCAAUAGCCAUAGCAGAUGCAAAACCAAUCACCUGUUGCAAGCAAUCUACCAUGCGAUAACUCAUUGUUAGAUGAGGUAAACUAACUUAACAUCCAAGACUUACCACCACCACCGCAAUUACCAGCAAACCCUUCGAUGGCAUGAGAAGAGCGAAACCUAAGGGAUUACGCACUACCAAAUCUGGUGAUGGUUCAAGGUAGCAUUACAAGGCCAACCAUUAUGGAAAAUAAUUUUGAAAUAAAAUCGACCAUGAUCUAGAUGAUCCAAAAUAAUCUGCAAUUCAGAGGAACCAUGACGGAUGACACAAAUCAACAUCUAAAACGGGGCCUUCAAUUUUGUGAUGCAUUUAAAUAUAACGGGGUCAUUGAUGAAGCUAUUCAUCUUCGGUUGUUUCCCUUAUCCUUGAUCGAUAUUCGUUUAAGUUAAAGUUAAAGUUAAUUUAGUAUUAGCCUUCCUUGGGUUUGAUCCUUGGAGUACUCACCUACUUCGUUGUAAAAACUAUAUUACAGCCUGACUCGUAUACUUGCAGACACCACCUCAAUUCCAUUCAUUUAGUUGCAAUAUUUACACUCUGGAUGUUAGUAUGUCCGGAGGCGGUCAAGUGUUUGGUGCCAUUGCCGAGGAGGCAACGCUACUGAAUUGAUUUUAAUUUUUUAGUUUUAUAGGAUAAUUUGGAAAUUUAUAAAUUGUAGAUACAAUUUUUUUAUUGUUACUAACAUCUUUUAUUUUCUUUUUAGUUUCAGUGUAUGGCUCGUAGUAGUGGAACAGUUAUAGAGCGAGUCACUGAUCUAAAGAGAAUAAUCUGUAGGAAUCGUCAAUAGCCAUAGCAGAUGCAAAACCAAUCUCCUGUACUAAUUAGAUAUAUAUUCGUUUAUGUUCAAGUUAAUUUAGUAUUAGCCUUCCUUGGGUUUGAUCCUUGGAUUACUCACCUACUUCGUUGUAAAAACUAUAUUACAACCUGACUAGUAUACUUGCAGACACCACCUCAAUUCCAUUCAUUUAGUUGCAAUAUUUACACUCUGGAUGUUAGUAUGUCCGGAGGCGGUCAAAUGUUUGGUGCCAUUGCCCUGGUGGCAACGCUACUAAAUUGAUUUUAAUUUUUGAUUUUUAUAGGAUAAUUUGGAAAAUUAUAAAUUGUAGAUACAAUUUUUUUAUUGUUACUAACAUCUUUUAUUUUCUUUUUAGUUUCAGUGUAUGUCUUGCAGUAGUGGAACAAUUAUAGAGUGAGUCACUGAUCUAGAGAGAAUAAUCUGUAGGAAUCGUCAAUAGCCAUAGCAGAUGCAAAACCAAUCACCUGUACUAAUUAGAUCUAUAUUCGUUUAAGUUCAAGUUAAUUUAGUAUUGGCCUCCCUUGGGUUUGAUCCUUGGAGUACUCACCUACUUCGUUGUAAAAACUAUAUUACAACCUGACUCGUAUACUUGCAGACACCACCUCAAUUCCAUUCAUUUAGUUGCAAUAUUUACACUCUGGAUGUUAGUAUGUCCGGAGGCGGUCAAGUGUUUGGUGCCAUUGCCGAGGAGGCAACGCUACUAAAUUGAUUUUAAUUUUUGAGUUUUAUAGGAUAAUUUGGAAAUUUAUAAAUUGUAGAUACAAUUUUUUUAUUGUUACUAACAUCUUUUAUUUUCUUUUUAGUUUCAGUGUAUGUCUUGUAGUAGUGGAACAGUUAUAGAGCGAGUCACUGAUCUAGAGAGAAUAAUCUCUAGGAAUCGUCAAUAGCCAUAGCAGAUGCAAAACGAAUCACUUGUACUAAUUAGAUCUAUAUUCGUUUAAGUUAAAGUUAAUUUAGUAUUAGCGCAAGCAAUCUACCAUGCGAUAACUCGUUAUUAGAUGAGGUAAACUAACUUAACAUCCAAGACUUACCACCACCACCGCAAUUACCAGCAAACCCUUCGAUGGCAUGAGAAGAGCGAAACCUAAGGGAUUACGCACUACCAAAUCUGGUGAUGGUUCAAGGUAGCAUUACAAGGCCAACCAUUAUGGAAAAUAAUUUUGAAAUAAAAUCGACCAUGAUCUAGAUGAUCCAAAAUAAUUUGCAAUUCAGAGGCACCAUGACGGAUGACCCAAAUCAACAUCUAAAAUGGGUCCUUCAAUUUUGUGAUACAUUUAAAUAUAACGGGGUCAUUGAUGAAGCUAUUCAUCUUUGGUUGUUUCCCUUUUCCUUGAUCAAUAAAAUUUUUUCUUGGUUAGAUUCGUAGGCUUUAGGAUCAAUCACGACAGGGAACGAACUUGCGAAAAAAUUUCUACAAAAGUUCUUUCCUAUUAGCAAAACUGUCCUACUAAGAAGAGAGAUCGCCACAUUCAAAAUAUUAGAAGGAGAAAGCUUUCACGAAGCUUAGGAACGCUUUAAAAUUUUGAUACAAAGAUGCCUACAUCAUGGUCUACCUGAAUGGUUAAAGCUGCAGAUAUUUUACAAUGAGUUGGAUGCACACACACGCUCAAGACUUGGUGGAGCCACAUGAGUAGCCUUAAUGAAUAAAAUAGAUGAAGACACGUAUAACCAGAUAGAAAACAUGGCGAUGGAUUCCUGCUAGUGGCUAAAUGAAAGAUAUACUUAUGACCAGAUACCAUCUAUGGUAAAAGUUGUCCAAGAGGAUGACUAAUAUCAAAAGAUUUUUGACAGACUCAACUAUAUAAAGUCCUCAUCUAGUAUGUCUUCAAUAUUUGGUAGAGAUAAACCUCAUAGCCAUUAUCUAAAUAAUCCAACCUAGGACGUGAACUAUAUUGAAAAUAGGGUCGAAACCCUUAUUCAAAUACUUAUAACCCCGAUGGAGAGAUCACCCAAACUUGAGAUGGGGUGGAAACCAGGGAGAAUGUAAUAGUUCUAACCUUGUUAAAAAUACUAAUUAUCAACCUAUAUAUCUAUAGAAGCCUCAAGAACGGGCUAGCUUGAAUGACCAUACUGUAUGUGGUCAAUGCCUGGAUCGAAUUGAGGGGGAGAUGCAAUCAAUGAAGAUAGAAGUAAAACUAGUGCAAUAUGAGUACACCAAUAAAAAAAACAUUGACCAAGCUUGAAGAUCAAAUGAGUGAAUUAAUGAGCAUGAUGGGAGACAUCAAAAAGUAAAUUGGCACCGACAUCCCAAGCAACACUGAGAAUAAUCUUAAGAGGGAAGGGAAAUAACACGUGAAAGUAAUUAUGCUCUAAUCGGGAAAAAUACUGAGUAGCCUAGAGAAUCCAAGUCAAAAGGAAAAUGAAGGGGGUAUCGAUGAUCUUCAAAAGGAAAGCCAUCAAGGAGCUAAUAAUGAGCCUGAACCAGAGAACGUAGCUGAGUCGGAAGCUCAGCCAACCAAAGAACACGAACUAACCAAGGUACCAUUCCUCUCAAGGUUAGAAGAUAAGCAAAAACAAGAUGACACAGAGUUUGUAAGUUUUCUAAACUUAUUCAAAUCUCUAAAUUUUAAUUUGUCCCUAAUUGAAUUGAUUGAAAAAGUUCCUAAAUAUGCUAAGCAUCUAAAAAAAUUAUGUCUAAGCGUAGGAAAAUUAAAAUAGGAGAGCAGGUUAACAUAGACGCAUCUUGUAGUGCGAUAAUAUCUAAACAUAUUCCGCCAAAACUAAAAGACCCAAGGAGUUUUACGAUUCUUGUAGAGAUAGGGGACAUUCACUUUAGUAAAGCUUUAUUUGAUUUAGGAGCUAGCAUCAAUUUAUGACCUUAUCAAUAUAUGAAAAACUCGGGUCAUGAGAACUUAAAAAUACACAAAUAACACUACAAUUAGCCAACAGGUCUUUAGUACAACCAGAGGGAGUACUCGAAUAUGUGUUGGUUAAGGUGCGUAACUUCAUCAUCCUAGCUGAUUUCGAUAUUUUAAAUUUUAAAGAGGACCGUGCCCAUUCUGUUGGGUAGACCGCUUUUAGAUACAUCGAGAUCCACCAUUGACUUAAAAAAUAAUGAGUUAAUAAUGAUGAUUAAUUGUGAGACUGAAAUUUUCAAAUGUGGUCACCAAAAUAAUGAGGUAAAUAGGGAAAGAUUAGGAAAGAAAUAUUUUGAAGUAUCUAAAAAAAUCCCUAACUACCUUGAGCCAGAAAAUGUGUUUUCUAUUAUAAAUGCAGGUUGAAAGUACAAAUUUAAAGAGUGUGAAAAACAUAGCAAGGUGGAGUGGCACGACGGAUGCUGGAUGAAUACCGAUAGAACAUGAACCAAAUAUGCAUCCAUAUAUAACUUGACGGAGCUGACGAAUGAAUCCGGCAGCAAAGCCUCACAUCUCUAGAACUGAUAUAAAUUUUGUAUAUUAUUGUACUUUAUUAGACCAACAAUUAGUUUAGAAUUUAAUUUGAUUCAAAUUAUCUUUAAUCUUAAACUGAGCACUUUGAAAAUUGAGAAGAGAGGUCAAAAUAGAUUCAGUGUUGUAACACGAAACCUUCAUGUCGCAACACUGAAACAAGAUUCAAUAAAUCGAGCAGUUCAGCUUGAUGUCGCAACACAACACCUCUGUGUCACAACAAAGAAGUCAGUAUAAGGCAAGAUAAAAAAUUUCAAAAAGCGUCGCAAUAUCGAACCCCGAUGCCACGACUUUGGCAUCUUGCCAGAGGUGUCGCGACAUGAAACCCCUAUGUAGCGACAUCGCUACAAUUUUUUGCAGGGUCAAACUUGACCCAUUACGCGACCUAGUAGCUUAAACUUAGUUUUAACCUAGAAUUUAACCUUAAAAUACCCUGAUUUUAAAACCUAAAAACACUUUUUGAAACCCUAAACCUCCUCUAAUUCCUAAACCUUUCAAAAACUUAAAAAUCUCUUAAACCCUAAAACCCUCUAUUCAGUAAUUUUUAUAUCUCUUCUUCUUUUUGUGAUUUCAUUUGGGUGCAAGAAAUAAAAAUAAAGUACCGACAAGACAAUCGCAACAAAAUCCCUUCGAGGAUUUUGAAAUUCUUUAUUAGGUUCAAGGUUCCAAACCAUAUUUUUACUGUUCUAUUGAAUUGUUCCAAUUUAUUGUGAAAUAAAUUGCUUGAUAGUAGUUGUCUAGUUAGGAAAUUUAUUGAAAAUGCCUCCAAGAAAAACUAGGAGAACUAACAAACUUGAAUAAUCAACGGUUACAAAGCCCUCUAAUUUCCUAAAUCAAAACGUUGAAAAAUAUUUUCUAGAACUUCGAGGGAAGACAUUUCUUCAAGAAUGGGAGUUUGAAUUAUCGAUGAGUCUAUGUCAGGAAAUAAAACCUCUGAUCUGAUAUCAUAGAUAGGAAAAAUUUUGCGUAAUCCCUAAAGACUCUGUUGUGGUUCUGGUAGUGCAAGAAUUUAAUGCAUAUUUAAAGGACCAAUAUUCUAGGAGACCAGAGGGUGCCACAUGGGAAACGAUCUCUGUACGUAGGAAGAAGGUAAGAGUCACCCUCGACCUACUUGUGAAUUUUAUAACGCUCUAUAUUACGAAAAUGAUUUUGUGGAAGAAAAUGAUUUAGAAUAUUUUAAAUAUAUAAAUAUGGAUAAUGCUAUAAAUCACUUAAUAUAGGGUAGGGGUGAAUGUAAAUGUUGCCUCGGUACUGAGAUUCCCACAUCCUUUAAUUAGGAAAUAAUGUUUCCUAUUGCAAAAAUAUGGAUACAGUUCUUAUGCACUCGAAUUGCUCGUGCACUAAAUGUCUUUAAUGUCAAUACCUUUCGAGCAGUUUUCUUGUAUGUUGUUUUGUAGAAGAAACAAGUGUUUAUUGGGACAUGGAUCUAUCAUUGCAUGAAACGAUGCAUUAGUGGUAAAAAGUCAGGGUUUUCUUCCCUAAUUAGUGACAACCUUGUGCAAGAGAGUCGACGUUCCAAUGACGACCAUUGAACAAUUUAUGAAUCCAUCCAGAAGUAUUAUAGGAGACACCUUUUACAUGCAGUACACAAAGCUUCAACAAAACCAGAUAAGGGAUUGGAACAAAAGAGAAGAUGGAUGUCCUGGCUUUGCUUAAAUGGUAAGAAAAAUUGACAUCUCAAUAAUAAAUUAGCGAGAGUAGCAAUUCAAAAUUGGAUUAGAUGAUAAAAUGGAUGCAAGAGACAAACCUAGUUUUUCAAGAAUUUGCGUGGCAGAAUAACAUGAGAGUACCAAACUACCCAUUGGAUAUGUUCGGCCCAAAGCACCCCAAGCCGGAAGGAAAUGAGGAAAGGGAAGAAAGUAAGGAUGAGGAAGGAGAAGAGGAAGGAAAUGAGAUGGAUUUUAGGAGGAGAAUGAUUGAACUCAAAACUUUUAAUUUCAUUUUUUUGGAUUGUAAUUAAAUUUGGAUAAUUUUUAGUUUAUUGUUUUAGGAGUAGGAUUAACAAUAGAUUUUUUUAUACUUGUUUUCUUUUUUGUUUCAAGUUUUCUUUGUAGGAACCCCACAUGAAAGAAGCACGACAAUUUCGAGCUUUUAAUGAACGAGGAAGGAAGCAACCCACCAUUAGACUACAAUAAUGUCACGAUCAAUCAAGUAACUUCUUUCCUUAUCAAUUCAGGGUUGCACAUUAGGGACAAUGUGCUAUCUAAAGUGUAAAGAAUAACAUAGGAAAUUUGUUUUUGAGUUUGAUGCUUUUCUUUUAAUUUUUCUUGUCAAAGUGUGCUUUAGCUUGUCAAAAUACAAGUGAUUGGUUAGGAGCAUGGACAUAAGUUGAUUGUGUUUACAAUAAAUUAGGCAUGAUAGUGGAUGAUUUUAAAAUUUCAAUUAUUAGACUACUAAGUUCUAUAUAUUACACUGUAAAUAGGGAUUGAGUAAUUGAAUAUACCAAAUUAUAUAGAAAAUACAAGAAAAUGAGCAUGUUAGUAUGUAUGAUAAAUAGUUGAAAUUUUGAUUGCUUGAUUGAUUAAAUUUAUGAAUAUUGAGAUAUUUAGGAUGAGCUAAGGCAUUCUUUGGUAUAAAUUCAGAGCCAAAAAACUAACCAUGUUUAUCAAUCCUUAGUACCUAUGCUGAGUUAGUAAACACUUCUUCAUGAACCUUAAUGCAAAACCUGAGCAAAAAGUAUUAAUUUGUAUUUACUCAUUUUAUUUGGUCUUGAAAUGCACGAAUUUAGACAUCCAAGCAUACGUAUUAAGGGUUAAGUAGAUAUAUCACGGUGGAUUUUGUAAAAACAGAGUGAAAUAGGAAAAACAAAUAUGAUAUAGUGACUAUAGGUUAGCCUAUAUGUGUGAAACAAAAGAAAAAAUUAGAAAGAAAAUCAUUACGAGUAGAAAAAAGUAUGUGAAAAACAAAAGCAUUUUGAGUGAGAUGUAUUGAAAAGGAUCAAAGGUGACAAAGUAACAAAAGUAGAAAAUCUCAAUCAUUAGUGCAUAAAAACUUGUGAGCUAGUUCUAGUGCUAUUAUGUUGUAACUUCCUAUGUGGAGAAAUAAGGAAGGUGAGAGAAGGAGAAAUAAGGUGAAAAAUGGGAAAAGGUUACUAAAGGAGGAGAAUAGGGAACAAUAUGAUGUCCCAAACUACUUUCGUGCUUGAAACUAUUUUGAUGCUUCCUGUUCUUGAAUUCCAUACCUACCCUAAGCCUCAGAAUGUUACAAGCCAAAAAUCUCUAUGUGACCUAGGUAAACCUAUUCAUGAAUUGACAUUGUAUUAAAUAAUUUGAAUAACGACUGUUUGUAUUUUGCUAGGAUAAUCAAAUUACUUGUAUGAUUUAUUGAUGGAUCCUUAUAUUUGAGGACCUUAUUGUUUGCAUACUUUGUAAUAUACUGAACUUAGGUGUUUGAUAUUGAAAGUGGUAAGUCCUUUACAUAUCGUGCCAGGAUUAUGUGUAGAUAUGAAUAUGCCUAAUUAUGUAAUCCAAAACCAAUCUUUGUAUCAUUUUUAGUUUUCCUUACUUGAGGACAAACGAUGAUUUAAGUGUUGGGGAGUUUGAUCUACUGUAAUUCGGUGUAGCAGAUUAAACUAGUUUUCAUGCUUAAGGAGCUUGAAGGUGAACAACUUUAUUAUGUUUUUAUUUAGUUUUUCUAUCUUAGCUUUAAAUUCAAUAAAAAAGUGCAUUUUGAGUCAUUUUAUGACAUUAGGGGCUGAAAGAGUCCUAAGGGUGGGCUAAUGUACUUAGUGAGUGUGUACUGUAGGACAUCAUUCAAAGGCAUAAUAGUUCAAGGUUGUUCGUCGUGCUACAGCAGGGGAAGUCUAAUGUCACAACAUAGGGAGCAGAAUACAAGAUUUCCAAUACUACCAUCGGUGUAGUGACACAACCAGAGUAUGUCGUGACACGUCCCUGAAGCCAAACCUAAAGCCCAAAGUAUACUGCCUUUAGUGUCUCAACACUAGCUCUGUUUGGGAGAAAUUACAAGUGAAGGCUGUUUUGGUCCAUACAACAUAUUUUUAUGUAAAAAUGGCAGUCAACCUACGGUAAGGAUGACGACCAACCCUAACUCUAUAAAUAGGCUAUUAGGCACUUGUUUAGGGAAAAAAUUCAUGGUUCAGAAUUUUCUCUGUAAUUAGUUUUCAGUUUUUCUUUCUUUUAGGCUUUAGAUUUAUUUUCAGUUAUUUUUGUUCGUGUUCUUCAAAGAAUCUAAUUUGUAGAUUCGACCAAACUCUUGUGGAUUUUGUGCUUCAUCAAUCAAUACAGAUUCAAGAUUCUUCUUAAACUAUAUUCUUGAUCUGUUAUUAAUGUUUAUUUAUUUUAUCAAGUAUAUGUUGUUUAUUGAUUUCAUGGGGAACUAACCCUUUUAUGGGAGGUUAGUGCGUGGAAGUGAGAUUAACUAAUUAUUAUAUAGGGUUUUCUUAGUGGGUUAGAUAUUUGGGAGAAGAAGAACUUAAACCCUGAGCCUGACUGUAACACCCCUAACCAAUAUUCGUCUCCAAAAUAGGGUUACAGAGCAUUACCGAAAGUUUACAUAUCAAACAAUCAAUUAUUCAAAAGAUUCAAAUCAUAUCAGAAAUUAUUGCGAAAUCAAUCAAUCAAUCUCAUACAUAUUGUCCCUUAUACAAUCCUUCGAGGCCCUAAAAACACUUUAGAAAUUAAUCAGGACUAAAUCGGGCACAUGUAGAAUUUUUGGGAAAAAGUUGAAAAUUUUCCAUACUGCAGGGGUCACACGGCCUUGUGGCCAAGCCGUGUGACUCACACGGCUGAGAGACACUCCCGUGUCUUAAGCUGUGUGGACAUUCGAAGUAGGGACACAUGGCCGUGUCCUAACCAGUGUAACUCUCUAGCUUGGGUCACACGGCCAAGCCACACGCCCGUGUGUCGGGCCGUGUAGCUCUCGAGAAAUUACACCAUGAGUAUUUCACAUUUUCCAAUUUAAUCCCUAAUUGACAUUUUCAACAAAAUUCACUUUACAAAAGUUGUUUAUCUAACUACAAAAGUUCAUUUUUUCCCAUUAAACAUCAAAACAACAUGUAUUCAUUCAUGGAAAAACCCUAGACCUUUAAUAGUUUUGCAAACUAGUCCCUGAGCUAGCUAGAUUAAGUUACAACGACUCUAAAAACAUAGAAAUCAUUACAAACGAGACGAAAAAUCAUACCAUGCAAGCUAUCAGAGAUGGCCGAAUGUUAAAGCUUAUUCAAUGGCUUUUCUUAAGCCUAAUUUCAGUUCAAGAUGAAAAUAGAAAGAUGAUGAUGACCUUUGUUUUUUUAAUUAUUUUACUAACAUGUAUUUAUUAAUUUACUAAAAUAACCUUAUAAUUAAACCUUUAAAAUUUCAUUUUUAAUGGCCAUAAUUGUCCACUAAAAAUAUAAAUGGUCUAGUUACAACAUAAACCAUUUAAACAUAUAAUUUCAUAGCUAUUAAAUCAUUUUAGCUUAUAGAACUGACGUUUUGCAACUUUUGCAAAUUAGUCCUUUUUACCGAAUUAAGCAUGCAAAUGGUAAAAUUUCUUAACGAAAUUUUUAUACAAUAAUACUAGCAUGUUGUAGACAUUAAAAUAAUAAUAAAGUAAAUAUUUUCACGUUGUAUUUGUGAUCUCGAAACCACUAUUCUAAUUUCACUAAAAACAGGCUGUUACAACUAUCCCCCUAAAGGAAUUUUCAUCCUCGAAAAUCUUACCAGAAAAGAGGUUCGGAUAUUGUUUUCUCAUAGCUUCUUUCGGUUCCCAGGUGGCCUCCUCUAUACUGUAUCGUUGCCAAAGAACCUUUACGAAAGCUACUUUUUAGUUAUCAAUUCUUUAAUCUCUCGAGCUAAGAUUCUGAUCGGUUCUUCACUAUACAACAAAUCAGGCUAAAUCUAAUAUCUACUGGUGAAAUAACAUGCGAAGGGUUUGAUCGAUAUUGUCGUAACAUUGAUACGUGAAACACAUUAUGAAUCUUUUCUAAAUCCGACGGAAAAGUUAAAUCAUAAGCUUCUGGAUCGAUUAUUUCAAUAAUCUCAUACGACCUGAUAAAUCACAGACUUAACUUUUCUUUACGAUCGAAAUAAAGAACUUUCUUCUAAGGCGAUACUUUCAAGAACACUUUACCGCCGACUUGAAAUUUAAAUUCUUUACAUUUUAAAUCCUCAUUUAAUCGAUCUGAAGUUGCUUUCAAACUAUCACAGAUUACUUUAAAUUUUUCUUCCGUCUCUCGAAUCAAAUCAACCCAGUGAAUCUUUUUCUCAGUGAGCUUAGUCCAAUACAAUGAAGUUCAACACUUACGACCAUACAAAGCUUCUUAUGGUGCCAUCUUUAUGCUUGAUUGAUAAUUGUUAUUGUAUGCAAAUUCAAUUAGCAAUAAAUAUUUUUCCCAAUUACCUUCCAAUUCUAACACAGAACAUUGAAACAUAUCAUUGAGUAUCUGAAUUACUCGCUCGGACUGAGCAUCGGUCUGGGAUAAAAUGAAAUGCUAAAAUGUAAACACGUACCUAGAGCCUUCUGUAACUUGCUCUAGAAUCGUGAAGUAAAACACAUAUCUUUUUUUGAAAUAAUGAAAACUAGCACCUCGUGCAAUCUGAUAAUCUCAGCAACAUAUAGUUCGACUAAUCUCUCAAGAGAAUGAUCUGUAGAAUCGAAAUAAAAUGUGCAGACUUCAUCAGACAGUCAACAACAACCCAAAUUGCAUCUUUCUUUCUCAGAGAUAAGGGUAAUCCAGAUACAAAAUCUAUCGUGACUAGCUCCCAUUUCCAUUCCAGUAUCAUCACAGGCUGUAACAAACUAGAAGGUACCUAGUGUUCAGCGUUAACUUGCUGACAGAUUAAACAUCUCAAUACAAAGUUAGAAAUCUCUCAUUUUAUACCCAGCCACCAGUACAUUAGUUUCAAAUAACUGUACAUCUUAUUGAUACUAGGAUGAACAGACAAGUUAACACUAUGAGCUUCAUGCAAAAUCUUCUGAGCGAUCUCUGAAUUCCUCGGUACGCAAAUUCUACCUUUGAAAAGUAAAUAAUCAUCGGAUCCAAUCUGAAAAUAUUAAUCAGGAGUUGACUCAAUCUGUUUCGAUUUAGUUAAUAACACAUCAUCACAUUUCUGAGCCUCACAAAACUAUUGUAAAAACAUCGAUGUAGCUUUCAACUCAGGUAAAAUCGAACCAUCAUCGGACAACAUUAAUGGCAUAUUCAAUACUGGCAAAGCAAAUAAAAAAUUUCUACUCAGAGCAUCAGCAACUACAUUCGCUUUACUCGGAUGAUAAUCAAUGAUCAAGUCAUAGUUUUCAAUAGCUCGAGCCACCUGCGUUGUCUUAGGUUCAAAUCUCUUUGCGACAGUAAAUACUUCAAACUUUUAUGAUCUGGAAAGAUGUGACAUUUUUCGCCAUAGAAAUGGUGUUGCCAAAUCUUCAACGCAAACACAAUAGCUGCCAAUUCUAAAUCGUACGUCGGAUAAUUCUUUUCGUACGGCUUUAACUGUCUAGAAGCAUAAGCUAUCACUUUGCCUUCCUGCAUCAAAACACAGCCUAAACCUUUAAAAGAUGCACUGCUGAAAAUCACAAAUUCUUUACCUGAUUCAGGUUGAACUAACACCGGUGCCUCGAUCAACAAUGAUUUUAACUGAUUGAAACUUGUCUGGCAUUUCUCAGACCACUCAAAUUUCAUAUCUUUUUGCAAUAAUCUCUUCAUUAGCGUAGCAAUCAUUGAGAAGUCCUUGACGAAUUUUCUGUAAUACCCGACUAAUCCUAGAAAACUUCUAACUCCAGACGCGUUUCUUGGAGGUUUUUAGUCAACAAUAGUUGAAAUUUUUCUCGGAUCGACUCUGAUGCACUCAAUUGAUACAAUAUAUCCCAGAAAACUGACUUUCCGAAGCCGAAAUUCACAUUUGCUAAACUUGGCAAAUAACUGUUUUUCACACAAGGUUUGUAAUACAAUUCUCAAAUGCUCAGCAUGCUCAAUCUCAUCUCUAGAGUAAAUCAAGAUAUUACAAAAAUUCAAAAUGUUUGUACCUGGUCGUGAAUACAGUUUUCGACAUAGCAAAGUCUUUAACUCGCAGCUGAUGAUAACCAGAACGAAGAUCAAUUUUCGAAAAUACUGUUGCACCUUUCAAUUGAUAAAAUAGAUUAUCAAUUCGCGGUAAUGUAUACUUAUUCUUGAUCGUAACUUUCUUGAGCUGGCGGUAGUCAAUACAUAAUCUCAUUGAUCUGUCGUUUUUUUUAACGAAUAAAACAGGUGCACCCUAAGGUGAAAAACUAGGUCAAGCAAAACCCUUAUCUGGCAACUCUUGCAACUACACUUUCAACUCUUUCAACUCAGUAGGAGCCAUUUUGUAAGGAGCUAUUGAUAUCGGUGAGGUUCCUGGUACUAACUCAAUGGAAAAUUCAAUUUCUCUAAUCGGUGAUAACUCGGGUAACUCCUCUGGAAACAUAUCUAGAUACUUGCAUACCACUAGAACCGAUUCUAUCUUCAACUUAGAAACUCUAGAACCAAAUACAUAUGCAAGGUAUGCAUCACAGCCUUCUCUUAGGCAUCUUUGUGUUGAUAUAGCCAAAAUAAUAAUAGGCAACCCACUCAAACUAUUCGAUUCAAGCUGAAGCUUUUCACCGUUCUGACACUUUAAUACAAUAAGCUUUCGUCUACAGUUCACAAUAUCAUCAUGCAGAGUUAGCCAAUCAAUGCCAAAAAUCACCUCAAACUCAUCAAAUGGUAAUAGCAUCAAAUUAGCCAGAAAUUUAUAACCUCGAAUCAUCAAAGGACAAUUCUUGCAAACCACAAAUUUAGUGGACUCAAUAGGUAAAUUCUUACUUGAUACUACAUUCGUGCAUAUAUACGAAUGGGUUGAUCCCGGAUCAAUCAAAGCAGUAACAUCAAUAUCAAAGAUAGAAAAAGUAUCAGUAAUAAAUCUGACGCUGAAGCUUCCUCUCGUGCACAGAUAGCGUAAGCUCUAGUUGGUGCUCGUGCCUCAGAUCUCACAGUAGAGUCUUUUAUUCCAACAUGCCUAUUACUCGUAUUUCAAGGAUUACGAGGUGGUCUACCUCUCGUAGCAGUGUUACUCGGUCAAUUAGUUUGAACCUUUUCUUUCUCUGACUUCUCUAGACAAUCUCUUAGAUAAUGUUUAAAUGAACCACGCCUGAAACAUGCCCCGUUCUUCAAUCUACAAUCACUGAAGUGUCAUGCAUUACAUUGCUUACAUUCAGGCCUGUUGUCCUUGACACUACCCACACUCACUAUAGACUAGCCUGAGCUUUGGACUCGAAUGCUAUUUACCUCUAUCACUUGUAGAACACACCACUGAAGGUGUGGAAUGGUUGUGAUGUUCCUUCGAUCUCUUUGAUGAUGACUGAUAUUACUUUCCAGUUGAUAUCUUUCUCAAAUCUCUAGCUUCAAAAUCAGCUUUUCUCUUUUCUUUGCUAAGCUCAUCGGCUUUAUGUGCUCGAUCAACUAAAAACAACAAUUUCUUUCAAUUCAAGUAUCCUGACUAAAAGCUUUGUAUCUUCAUUUAACCCUUCCUUGAACCGCUUACACAUAGCAACCUCGGUUGGAAUACAUUCUCGGGCAUAUUUGCUCAAUCUGACAAAUUCUCUUUUGUAUUCAGAAACUAACAUACGACCUUAUUUAAGCUCAAGAAAUUCUUUGCGUUUCUGAUCAAGAAAUCUUUGACUCAUAUAUUUCUUUUGGAACUUGAUUUGGAAGAAUUCCAAACCAUACGCUCUCUGGGCACAAUUGAAAUCAAUGUGCUCCACCAUUGGUAAGCUGAGUCUUUAAAUAGAGAUAAAACACAUUUAACACACUCUGCUGGUGAAUAAGAUAACUUGUCAAAAACCUGAAUCGUAUUUUCUAACCAAAAUUUUCCUCUCUCAGGAUCAUCUUCAGCGGUAGCUUUAAAUUCUUUAGCCCCAUAUUUACAAAUUUUUUGUCCAUACAAACUCGGUAAACCAUUCGUUCAUCAUCUAGAAGAAGGCUUUCUUAGCCUCUCCUCCUUAGCCCUCAAAUAAGGGCCUUGUACCGUUCGACGCUGCUCUAUGAACGGAGGCUAGUGCAUUACUCUCAACUUCAUCGGAGUCAGUUCGGUUGGAUGACAUUACUAUAUGAAAACAUAUUUCAAAACGAGUUAGGAGUUAUCACACUAUCACAAGUUAUAUAAUGACAUGUAUUUCUAGACUCACACACGCUAUGUUCAGUUUGAGAAUCGACUAAAUCGUAGCUCUGAUAGCAAUAAAUGUAACACCCCUAACCCGUAUCUGUCGCCAAAAUAGGGUUACAGAGCAUUACUGAAAGUUUACAUAUCAAAACAAUAAAUUAUUGAAAAUAUUCAAAUCAUAUAAGAAAUUAUUGCAAAAUUAAUCAAUCCCAUAUUCAAAAGAUUCAAAUCAUAUAAUAAAUUAUUGCAAAAUCAAUCAAUCUCAUGCAUAUUUUACCUUAUAUGAGCCUUCAAGGCCCUAAAAACACUUUAAAAAUGAAUCAGGACUAAAUAAAAAACAUAUAGAAUUUCUGGGAAAAAGUUGAAAAUUUUUCAUACUGUAGGGGUCACAUGGCUGAGACACAUGCCUGUGUCUUAGGUCAUGUGGACAUUCAAAGUAGGGACACACGGCUGUGUCCUAGCCCGUGUUUGUCCCCAUGUAACUCUCUAACUUGGGUCACAUGGCCAAGCCAAACGCUCAUGUACCUCUCAAAAUGGCCUCACACGCCCGAGUGCUAGGCUGUGUAACAGCCUGGCUUACAACCCUUUGUAACCUACAAGGGACACACGGCCAUGCCGCAUGGCCGUGUGUCAUACGCGACUGAGACACAUGCCCGUAUCUUAGGCUGUGUGAACGAAAAAUAGGCCAUUUUCAAGCCAUUUUCCUCACCCAAAACAUGACCACUUAUACAAGCCAUAAGCAUCUAUUUUCAAGCAUCCAAAAUGCUAAAAUAUCAACAAUUAUAAGACCACAUAUACAUGACAACAUAACAACUAAUCCAUUACCUAAAAUACCUUAUUUACAAACUAAACAUAAUGGCUAUUUCAUCAAGCACAAAACACAUAUACACACAAUUAUAACCAUGACUUAAAAACAUCAAAAGCUAUCGAUAUAGCUGAUGGAUAGUGUGAUAGGUCUCCGACAAGUUUCCAACCCGAACGAGCUUCUGAUUCACUAUAAGACAUGUAAAGUAACACGAAGUAAGCAUACAAUGCUUAGUAAGUUUGUAUAUCAUAAAACUUAACUUUCCAUGUCUUAACAUAACAUUAAAAUUUUGCAUGGCAGAACCCAACCAAAAGCUUGCUCGAAGCCUAAGCAUCAACACAAACAUGUUAGCAUACUUGAACAUAAAUCAUAGGAAAUUUAACAUGGAUGACCAUUAAACUUAAACAUGAAUCAAUUGGAUUUUUCAUCCAUCUCAACAUAACAUAAUUUCCAUGUAUCACCAUUUCAGUGAAUUUCAUUUAUACAUGCUUUAGUUCAUAUUGAACUCUUACCAUUUCCUUUCAAACUCAUGCCCGUUGAACUGAUUAGAAUACCAUUGGGUAGAUGGGAUAGCUCACACAAAGUGUGCAAACAUAUAACCGUAGUUCGUACUUUCCUUUACAUGCUUACACGAGCUAUGAAAAGAGUAUGCUCACACGAGUCAUCACACGAGCUGUGAAAAUGGGUCUACUGACUCGAGUCAGAAUAUAGCUACAUGGUGCUGCUUCACAAGCUUUCGAGUAUUCGCAAAAAAUGCCGAAACUUAGCCACCGAUAGGACAUUCAAGACCAACAAGAAACAUGUAAACCUUUAUGACAUGUCAUUUGUAUCCUAUGAAUUCUUAAGGUUCAAACGGGGCUCAAUAAUCAUCGUAACAUCGUUGGAUAUGCAAAAAUUAUUUACAUGGCAGUCCACAGCACAUAUAUAUUUCAAUAAUAAGCAUAUAAGCAUUAUGCAUUACAUGAAAUUACCUCGACGAUAAAAUGUAGAUACGGAGUCAAUUAGUUCGAAACUUUAUCUUUGGCCCGAUCGUUGCCAAAGAACCUGUACUAAAGCUAUGUUUUUAUUUCACAAUUCUUUAACCUCUCGAGCUAAGAUUCUGAUCAGUUCUUUGCUAUACGACAUAUCAGGCUGAAUUUAAACAUCUACUGGUGAAAUAACAUGUGAAGGGUCUGAUCGGUAUCGUUGUAACAUCGAUAUGCGAAAUACAUUAUGAAUCAUUUCUAACUCUGGCGACAAAGUUAAACGAUAAGCUACUGGCUUGAUUCUUUCAAUAAUCUCAUGCGAUCAAAUAAAUCAUGGACUUAGCUUUCCUUUACUACCGAAACGAAGAACUUUCUUCCAGGGCAAUACUUUCAAGAACACUUUAUCGCCGACUUGAAAUUCAAUGUCUUUACAUUUUAAAUUCAUAUACGAUUUCUGUCGAUCUGAAGCUGCUUUCAAACUAUCAUAGAUUACUUUAACUUUUUCUUCCAUAUCUCAAAUCAAAUCGACCCCGUGAAUCUUUUUCUCACUGAGCUCAGUAAAGUACAAUGGAGUUCAGCACUUACGACCAUACAAAGCUUCAUACGGUGCCAUCUUUAUGCUUGAUUGAUAACUGUUAUUGUACGUGAAUUCAACUAGUGAUAAAUAUUUUUCCCAGUUACCCUCCAAUUAUAACACACAACAUCAAAGCAUAUCCUCUAGUAUCUAAAUUACUCGCUUAGACUGACCAUCGUUCUGUGGAUGAAAUGUAGUGCUAAAAUGUAUAUGCGUACCUAGAGCCUCCUGUAACUUGCUCCAGAAUAGUGAUGUAAAAUGUAGAUCUCUAUUUGAAAUAAUGGAAACUAGCACCCCGUGCAAUCUAACAAUCACAGCAACAUAUAGUUCGGCUAAUCUCUCAAGAGAAUGAUCUGUAGGAAUUGGGAAUAAAAUAUGCAGACUUCGUCAGACGACUAGAAACAACUCAAAUUGCAUCUUUCCUUCUCGGAGACAAGGGUAAACCCGAUACAAAAUCCGUCAUGACUCGCUCUGAUUUUCAUUCCGGUAUCAUCACUGGCUAUAACAAACCAGAAGGUACUUGAUGUUCAAUUUUAACUUGCUGACAUAUUAAACAUCUAGAUACAAAGUAAAAAAUCUCUCGUUUCAUACCCGGCCACCAAUGCAUUAGUUUCAAAUCACUAUACAUCUUAUUGCUAUCAGGAUGAACAGACAAGUUACCACUACGAGAUUCAUGCAUAAUCUUCCGAACAAUCUCUGAAUUCCUCGGUACGCAAAUUCUGCCUCUAAAAAGUAAACAAUCAUCGAAUCCAAUUUGAAAAUUUGAAUUAGGAGUCUACUCACUCUAUUUGAAAGACUAAUAUGUUGUCUAUCAAGUACAAUUGAGGAGAUUCUUUUUCAUGGGCAUCAGAGUGGAUGACUCCUAGAAAAUAGAGACAUAGAUGUGACUGACUGGACUUAUAAUACAAUGGCCUAGACCGAAGAAGGAUAGAUUCUGAUUUUGUUUAUGGAUUUAUUCACUUGUGACAUUUAUAGUGUGACAUACCUAAAUUUUGAGUAGAUGAAGGAUUAUGUACAUGUGACUUGUACACUUUAAUGUAAGGAAAAGUUUGAGUUCGAAUAGAUAAGGAACCAAAAGUUGAUGUGUUGGGUGUAAAAAUUCUUUAGUAUGUAGCGUAAAUCAUAACAGUGGAAUUCAUAGCCCAAAACAUGUGUCAAUGAUAUCCUUUCAUUAGCAUUACAUGGUUUAUGAAAAGUAAAUGUGGCCACGGGUCAUCUGUCUUUAUGAUGGAUGACUUGAUCAAUAUUUGAUGGUGAUUGACUUUUCAUGAAAGAAGAUGUAAUGGUUAAUUACCAUGAGAUAAAAUAGGAUCAUAUUGGUAGAUUGGAUAUUAUCCCAAAGAGAUCAAGGAUAUCCUACGAGGGUAACAUACUUAUGACAAGGUUAUUAGACAAGCAAUGAGUAGAUGAUUUCGUAAUGAUAUGUCGUUAGGGAGAGUUCAGUCACAAUACUAUAGUGGGAUGACUUCGUGACUAAAUGAGUUUAUAAUUAAUAGGUGAAAAGUCAGAACUUAAUUAUAAAUAAUUUGAAACCUAAUUACAUAUGUCCUAUUGGUCCCUCUGCAAGCUCGUUGGAACUAGAAAUGAAUUGAGAGUUUGAAUAGAAAUGAACAAAAUGAAUAAGAAAAGAAAAGAAGAAAACGUUUAGGAAUGAUUAUAGUUUUUUCCAAAAUGAAAAAUGGAAUCAUAUUGAAAUGAAUGUAGGUUUUCAAAAAUAGAAAUGGAAAUAAAAAUGAUCCAUUUGUAAUUCUCUAUGAAUUACUUAAAACUGAUCGAAAGAAUGAGUUUAUGUUUUAGAGUUGUUUUGAAGCCCAAAAAUAAAAAUAAAUUAUUCAGUCAUAGUGAACAUGUUGAGUUUUGAAAUAUUAAACAUAUUUUCUCAAAAUUUUACCAGGGGUAAAAUCAUCAAAAUUUUACUGGGGGUAAAAUCGUCAAAAUUUACCGAGGGUAAAAUUGUCAAAAUAUUAUUGGGGGUAAAAUAGGGAUGAAAAAAUUGUUUAAUAUAGAAUAGUAAUGUUUAUUUUAGAAAAUAGAUAAAUAUGUAUUGGGUUAGAUUAAAUUUUAAAGUAUCGGGUUGAAAGUCCAUAAAUCACAUAUAAUUAGGCCCAAUACAAUGAGAGGCCCGAAUCCCAUCAUAAUACAUACAAUGAGAGGCCCGAAUCCCCACUCCCUCUCUUAGUUGGACUAGGAAGUUGGUUUUCUAUUUGAAAUAGACCUUUACAAUUCAAGAAGGGUUCUAUAUUCACUCCUUAUAAAUAGAUGACAUUGGUAGAGCUAUUUAAAUAAUUUUGAGAGAUUGUUAAUCUGCCGAAAAAUAGAGAGAAUUUAUUCUCAACUAUUAAAAUUAUUUGUUGAAAAUAACAAUUCUACCAAUUUCUAUUAAAGAAGAGAGAAUUUCAUUUUCACCCCAGAUAAAAGAGAGAAAACUUUUUCUAGUUCUGUUUUCAAUUCAAUUGGUUCGAAUCCACACUUAAAGCAGUUCAUGGUACGAGAAUAGUGGAGAAUAUCGUUUGGUUGAAAUUCGGGAAUGAAUGUCCGCCUAGCUGAAAACACAUGUAUGAAUUAAAUUAUGGUUUAUUGCUAUAAAUAUCACAAACCCGGUCGAUUUUUAAAAUUUUAAUUUUUCAAUGUGUAAGAAAACCAUUUUCAAACUGGAUUUUUUUUCCAAAAUUUGGUAUCAGAGUCAGGUUGUGCUAUGUUUAUGGUGUAAACCGAGACCAAAUUUCUCUUUUAAUCUUAUUUGAUUAAUAUUUGAUAAGAUGUGACAUUCUUGUAAUUAUUCACAUGUUUAGGAGAAUGUAUGUGAAUGAAUGUGAUUAUAUAUAUUUUUAUAUAAUAAUUAUUUUUUUGCCAAGGUUGUGGUUAUUAGGAAAUAGACUAUGGACUAUCAUUUCUAUGUAGGAUUAUUUUUUUAUAUAGAUUUUUUGUGAGCCGAAAAUGGACAUAGGAUAUAAAUGUUUUUUUUUUCAAAAAAGAGUCAAUGACGAGAAAAAGAUGGAGUGAUGGCGGUUGAAGACCCAAGAAAUUUCUUGUGGUGAAAAAUUGUGUAAUCUUGUUUUUCAUUUAUUUUCUAUAAAUAGAACUGUGGAAACCUUUGCUGGCAAUUUUAUUUUAUUACUCAUCUCCUUAUAUAUCUACUUAAUAAUUGUUAAUUUGUAUGAGCUGAUCCACAAUUGAUCAAUUAAAGAUAAGAAGUAUGGUAAUUAGAAGAUGGAUGUCUAGGAUUAGAUUUGGCAAUGAAAGGCUUGACUUUUAAGCGGUCGAAUACGAUUCACCUCCCUUUGUUGGGACCCAACCUAGUGCACGAUUCACAUUCACUUCUUCAUUUUUUCCCUUAAAAGGAAAAUUAUGGAAAAUCAAAAUUGUUAAUUCUUAUGAAAAAAUAAAUGUGCAUAUAUUGUAAAAUUGUCAUAACAUGUCAUAUAUGAGAUAAUCAUGCCAUAUAGUUUAGGAAAGAAUGCCACAUAUACUUGUCAUGCAUAUAUUGAUCAUUCAUGAUUGAAACAGGAAAUAAAAAAUCUUGCAUGUUUUUAAAAUAUUGAGUGGGAGAAGGUCCCUAAACAAGAACCACGACCUUCUUCAAUGGUCUCUUGUGAUGACAUGAAAUGGACCUACCUUAAUGUAGACAUUGUCAUGCGAAUUUCACUAAGGAGACUUCCUGAAAGUAAGAGAAAUUUUCUUAUCAUCAUAUGAUAAUUGGAUCGACCCCUGUGGUAGGUAUUAUCAUGUAAUACAUUAAGAAAUUCAUUUUUCAAAGAGGACUGCUAGUCACAGCAUGCUACUCAGUGAGGUUGUCCCGAGAGGACUCAUUUGUGGUGCAUGAUGCGAUAGGUGUUGAGUUGAUGGUUAUACACUCAAGAUCAUCUAGUUAAGUAACUCCGCAAAGAGCUAUGCUUAGGUUAGAAUGAUGGCCAAACAUUACAUGAUUAUUAGUACGUAUGAAUGCCUAAGGAAUUAGGUUCAUGUACUAAUUGGAUGAAAAGUCAUGUUCUUACUAGUUGAUCAUGAUCACUCCAAGGUGGCCUGAUUCAAUGGGUGUAGGGAUUAUCGUUGCAAGGACUUACAAAUGUUUUCAAGGUUUAAUGUAAGACGCAUACAUCAUCUUAAUACAUAUCGUAAUGUUGGAAAACAUUUUCAAACAUUUGUUUAAUACAAAGAUAUUAACAUAUGAAUGUUUUAUUUCCAGUUCAUAAAUGACACCAACUCCCUUAUUGAACAUACUCACCAAAAACAAACUGAAUGGAAACAAAUAUAGGAAUGGAAAAGGAACUUGAUAAUUGUCCUGAGCUAUGACAAACUUAAAACAAUUCUUGAUAAUAAGUGUCCACCGACCACUCAAGCUGAGGCUAGAAAAUGUCAGGAGGAGUCUAAUGAGAUAACUCAUUGCUAUAUGUUGACAAGCCUGACCAACACCCUAUAUAAGUAACUAGAGAGUUGUAAGACUACCGAAGUGAUUCUGGAUAAGCUAGAAGACAUGUUCAGAGGCCAAGUUGCCUUGGCUCAAUAUUCUGCUAUAACUAGCUUGAUGAAUACCCAACAAAAUCCUGACAUUCCAGUCAAAGACCAUAUGAUUACUCUUAUGGGAUACUUUGUCGAGCCCGCGGAUAAUGAGGCCAAUUUGGACUAAAACACUUAGAUUGAGAUGGUGUUUGACUGUUUCUAGAUGUACUAAUGUCUAAAGUGUUAAUACUACUACCAAAUAUAUAAGUUAGGCAACUUCCGCAAUUAUACGGGGUAUGUUGUAAUAUAGUUUGUUUACAACGAAACCUUUGGUAAGUAUUUCAAGGAUCAUACCCUAAGGAUUGCAGUUUGGGGAAAACGGCUAUUAAGUCAAUUACCGAAAAUAACUACUAAUCUACCCGAGUCACAAAUUAGUAGUGUUAAUCUGGAAGCAAGAUGAUAAUAAUAACACUAAAUUAAAUGAAUUGAACUAAACCUAAAUCUACUCCUAAGUUCAUGUAUCGGUUUCGCCUAUUCCUUUUUUCGACUAUACGAGUUCCUUUAGCCUAGAUCCAAGUGUUUUACCCAAUUAACUAUUGAUGAAAGGUUCAAAAUAAUUGGUAACUUAUUAACCUAGCAGGGCGUCUCAGCCUUCUACUAACCUAACUAGUCGAUAAGAACUACUCACGUCUUGAUGACACAGUUUAGACUAAGGAAGGGUAAGCUUUUCACGGAUAGACAAUAACGAUUUUAGGUUAAUUCCCACGUAUAUGAUUUCUUAGGGUUGUCAAGCCUAUGGUUUAAGUUCGUCAUUCCUUAACCAUUGAUCUACUAAGUGAUGCUUGGUAGGAAAUACUGAUUUCGGGUUAAUUCCUACAUAGAUGACUUCCUAGGGUCAUCAGUUCUAGGGUUUAAUUACUCUCAACUAGAUCCAACCAAUCCAAAUUGAACUCUAAUUGUCAAUCAAUUAAUUAGAUAAAAAUAGUUGAAACAUGCAAAAUAUGUAUAAAGCAUCAAUUGAUUCUAAUCUUUACACAAACAUUAAAUUACAAUGUUAAAGAAAGAAAUAUAAAUAAUAGAAUAAAUGAAAGAGAUGCUCAUGGAUUUAUCGAUGAAAGCGUGGCUUCGAAACAAUCUUCGCUCACGAAAGUCUCACUUCAGAAUGGAAUCUUCCAAUUAUAAGAACAUAUAAUAAACUAAGUAAAAACUAAAAACGAAAUAAAAAAUUAAGAAUCAAUCCCUCAAAAAAUGUGUGCUUAAUCUGAUUACAAUAGCCAUUAUAUAGGCUAUCCUUGGAAUAUUAAAGUGCCUAAAAUAUUCUUGAAGUACUUAGAUUUCAACUAGGAAAAAGAUUCCUAAUUGGUCUAAAAACGCAGAUUUCAUGUGCAACAUAGGUCUGUGGUGUUGCAACAUCAGACCUAGUGUCGUGAUAUAGCAGGGACAUGUAGUGACAUAGUAGGGACAUGUCACGACAUAGCAUGCAGUUCUGCUCUAGAACUUGUUUUUGCUUCUGUCUUUGAUGUUGCGACAUCGAUGUCUUGGUGCCGUGACAUAGGUAGUAGUUUUGGCCUGAAUAUGCGUCUUUAACUUCUGAUUUUUCCUACAAGACCAUGUAACCUUAUUUAGAUAUCUAAGAUGUAACAAAAACUACUUUAAGCAUGAAAACCUAAAUAUAUACUAAGAUGCUUUGAUUUACUAUUAAACAAGCUACAAUUAUGUGUAAAAGGGGAUAUAAAUAAUUGUGUAAUUCAUGGCAGAUCAGUGUUCAAGAGCUUGUCCAAUGAGUUUCCAAGCUUUUAGGCCGCAUAUAACCUUGGGAACAAGAACUUGACACUUACACAACUCAUGAAAGAGAUAUAAUCCUAUGAGUUGAUGUUCAAUUGUGGUCAGCUCAUCUAAAAAGUAGAAGCGAACAUAUCCAUCACUUUUUCCUCAAAAGGCAAGGGAAAGUGUGCUAAGGAAGGAAAUGUUAAGGUCUCUAGGCCACCACAAGUGAAAAGGAAAGAACUAGGAAGCCUAAAUACUUAUCUAAAUCCAAAUGCUUCUUUUUUAGUAAGAAAGGGCACUUCAAGGUGAAUUGCAAAGAGUGGAAAGAAUACCUAGCAACCAAAGGCAAAUAUUUGGAACUCUUUAUGAUAGAAGCUUGUUUAGUGGAGGAUUCAAUAGACCACUAGGUCAUUGAUUUAGGAGACACUUAUCAUGUUGUUGUUUCUCUACAGGGGUUCGAGGGGAAAAAAAAUCUUAGACAUAAAAGCUUAUUGUUACAGACUAGGAAUGGGACAAGCGUGGCUGUAACCCCUAUACUUGGCAUGGUCGCCAAGCCCAAAUAGGGGAUGCCACACCACCAUCUUAUAUCAUAUACAACAACUAAAUGUUCAUUUUAAACGAAGCAUCUUCUAUUUUAGUAUUCGUGAAGGUUUUAAGCCACUCAAACUUGAUAGUUAUCAUUGUUUCAUGCAAAUCUUACAAUAAUUAAUCUUAUAAAAAUUUUAUAAUAUGCACAAGGUCCAUUUAGUAGAAUUUCCAAAACAUGUUCGUAGGUAUCGGUACUGGCACUAGGGUAUUCUUUAUUUUCUCUAAGUGGUAUUGAUACCACCUAGAAAAACGAUACCAAACUUGUGUUCUAUUUGUCGAUUAAAAAUCCAAAGUCUCAAAAAUUAUCGAUACCUAUCAUGAAAUAUCAAUAUUUUAACCCUGAGUAUCGAUACUCGAGCAUAUGUGUCAAUAUCAAAUCUCUAUUCUAACUUCCUACAUGUUUCAAGCAUAAAAGUAUCAAUUUUUAAAACUCGAUUAUCGAUACCUCUGCUUCAGACUUCAAAAAUGCAGAAUAAAUAUGCAAUUAAUCCAUUCCACUUUAGUUCCUAAACAUCAUACAUCAAUUACUUCAACAAAUAAUCAUUUAAUGACCUAAUUAACAUUUCAAUAUCACAGAAUUAUGUUUGAGCAAGAAACAUCAGUCCAUCCUCAUAUUCAUGAACCCAAGCAUAUCAAUAACAUGUAAUCCUUAUAAACUGAACCAAAAACCAGUAUAAUGUCUAAAAGUUAACAUGUAAUAAAUAAGUCUACCACAUUGCCUUUUUCCCAAAAUGUAAAUAAAUAAAGAACACCUACAGAAUAAUACCAACUGGGUUGGAUCACCUCUCAAAAAACCACACCGCUCAUACCAGUACUUUACUACUCUCCAAAGGUUUUAAGAAAGGAGUUGGUGAGCUUAACAAGCUCAGUGAAUUCCUAGAACAAACUACCAUGCAAACAAUUCAUCAAGCAUCAACGAAACAAUCAUAUAGCACAACCUCAUCAGUUCCAGCUCUAGUGUCAUAUUAUACUUACUUAUGCAUUAUUUACUAGUUCAUUUACGUAGUAAUCAUAUUCACUUUUAAACAUGUAUCACAUUACACAUAUAAUUACAUAACAUUUAAAAAUAUAUCACAAUACUAAAAAAUGUGUUUAUAGAUAAAUUGCAUAAUGGUCGCGUAUCAUAUAAACAUAUAACACAAUACAUACAUAUUCAUAAUUGAAGUUAAUUUGGCAUUUGAGCUAUGACACAUAAAAGUGAGCUCUACCAUCACUCGUCUAAUACACAGAUCUCUAGCACACCACAUAAACUCAUAAAGUCAAACAUGUCCCAAAAGUGAAGCAUAAAGCUAACACUCUUCCAUUGAAUGGAGCUUAGCUCCCAUUCCCUUAUCCUUCCAACAUGUCCCAGGGCCUCAACACCCAAAACCACUGUACAUAUAGAUGAGUACUCAUAAUUCUAUGGCAUGUCAACUAUAUCCAACGGUUUUAAGAUCACAAGGCUAAAAUAUUCGAAAUCAAACACGUCAUUUAUCGAUUAUCCGUGCACUUUCACUGUAGAUUUGCAUCUUUAGCAAAACACUGUCAUUGACAUUUAAAAUAUACAUAACAUGUACAUAUUUGCACUUUCACAACGGUUAUUAUAACCACAUAUAACAUGUUAUAACAUCUCAUCUCAAUUCAUAUAUUCACAAUCAUAUAAGCAUAUAGUUCACAAGAUAACAUAGGUAUGAGAAAGCUUGCACUCGAAAUUUAGAGUAGGGAUUUAGGCUACUACCAAAUUCUCUAAUAACACAUUAAAUCAUGUCUACAAGAAAUUAUUCCAAAAACUCACCAAUUACGCUUUCGUCGAAAAGUCAAAAGCUCAAACUAGUAUUUCCUUACCUUUAUCUAUACUUGUAGAAGGUCCUAUCGAAUUUGGAACUUCAACACAAUAAUUCACACAAUAAUUUAUUUGAUAAUCAGCUAAGAACUCACUACAAGCAAUCAAAAACAUAAGUCUAAGCUAUGUUCCCAUGUAACUGAAACUUAUAACAUAGCAAACUUUAAAUUCAAAUAUCUCGAUCUAUACUCAUUCUUUUCGCCUAUAACUAAUUUAGUUCAUCUUAUAAUUCACAUACGACUAAUUCUCAACCUUUAAACUAUACUAAAAUACUCAAUUCAUAGUAUCGACUUUUUUGACAUGUUUUAUGGCUAUUUUCCAAAAAAUUAUUAAAACGUGAGAAAUCUUUAAUGAACUUAAAAGUAAGUUUAGAAAACUUCCAAUCACAUAAAAAUUAAUUGAAAACUCUUUGAAACAUCAUUUUUAUGCAAAAUCUCGAAUUUCACCAUUAAGGACCAAAGUUUCAACUUUUACUUAAAACAUGUGAUUUAAUGGCUAAAAACUUAGUUUUAAAGACUAAAUAACAUUUAAAACUAAUUAGAAGUUGGAUCCUUACCUUAGAUGAUGAAAAAAAGCGUUUGAUAAAAAACCUAAAAGCUUGACAAUUGAGAAAACUAUGGUAUUUUUGGAUGUUUCUCUUAACUUCUAUGGAGGUUUAUGACUAGGAGGAUGAUAGAAAUCAAUGGAAUAGAGUUUAGGAAUCAAAAUCGAUUGUAAUGGGCCUAGAGAAGCAAGGACAACAACAACAAUAAAAGGUGAAAAAGACUAACGUGAAAUUUAUAGGUGGGGGAUGAUAUUAGGGUGUUUUUUAAAUUUUAGUUUAAUUGCCUUUUAAAAAUUCACAAUUUUGACUCUAUUACAAAUCAUUCCAAUUGUCAAAAUUAAAUGUAUUUAAAAAUAAUUUCAAAAAUUGAUUUAAUUUUCUAAAAACCAUAGUAAACAUUCUAAGGCUAAAAUCUCUAAAAUACCCCUAAAACUCCUAGGCCUUAUUUUGGGUGUUAUAGUGACAACUAAAGCAGUGGGAGAUGUACAUCUUUAUUUUGAUAAUUUUAGGAAGAUUAUUUUAAGAGAUAUUUUAUGUGUACCAAGUUUCAAAAGAAACUUAAUUUCUGUUGCAUGUUUUUUUAUAUAAAGCGACUUAACCGAUAAAGAAUCACUAGACUUGUGAAAGACGACAUCUUAAGUUCACUUAAAGAAGUUAAUCUUCCACAAUAUGAAUCUUUCUUGGAAGGUAAGAUGAAUAAGAAAUCUUUUAAUUGAAAAGGAUCGGGGGACGGAAAACCCCUAGAACUUGUGCAGACUGACGUAUGUGACCUUAUAAGUGUUAGUGCAAGAGGUGAUUAUGAGUAUUAUGUAAACUUUAUUCAUGGCUAUUGCAGAUAUAAGUAUCUAUACCUAAUGCACUACAAGAGUGAAACCUUUGUUAAAUUCAAAGAGUUUCGUGUGGAAGUGGAGAAACAAUUAGGUUUACCCAUAAAGGCACAUCGGUCAAAUCGAGUUGGGGAAUAUUUAUCUAAUGAGUUCUUAGGGAACCUCAUAGAGAAUAGGAUUCUAUCCCAAUUAACCACAUCGGGCACUCCACAACAGAAUGGCAUGGAAGAUAGAAGGAAUUGAUUGUUUUUAUACAUGGUACGUUCGAUGUUAAGUUAUUCAAAGCUAUCAAUCUCUUUUUGGGGAUGUUGUACAAACAGCUUGCUCUAUUCUAAAUAAUGUGCCAAUUAAGGCAGCAUCGAAAAACCUAUACGAAUUGUGGCGUGGUAAGAAGUCAGUUCUUAAUCAUUUUAGGAUUUGGGGAUGCCAAACCCACGUAUUAGACAAAGAUGUGAGGAAGCUGGAGUGAUAGACAUAAUCAUGCAUGUUUUUAGGAUAUCCAAAAGGAACAAAGGGUGGUUUGUUUUAUAACCCGAAAGAGCAAACUGUUAUAGUGUCAACUCAUGCUACUUUCCUUGAAGAAAGUUACAUGAAUGACUUUAAACCUCGGAGUAAGGAGAAGGAAAUUUUAGGAAAUAUACAAAACCCUAAUAAAAUGAUUCUAGAACCAACUCUUAAUAGUAGACCUGCAAACGAUCAGAAGUCUAGGGUGCUUCGUCGUAGUGGGAGGGUCUCUCAUAUUCCUAAGUUUUUUCAAUUUGGUGGAAGCUUUUUUAACAAUGAGUUUGUCGAAGAGGAAGAUAAUGAUCAACUCAAAUAUGAUGAAACAAUGCAGAGUGUUGAUUCCAAGCUCUGGUAAAUAGCUAUGAGAGAUUAUAUGGACUCUAUGUAUUCCAACUUAGUGUGGGAACUUAUAGACUUACCGAAGGGAUAAAACUCAUAGGGUGUAAGUGGAUCUACAAGCGGUUCCUAAUUACGUAUGUCCAAUCUGUCCUUCCGCUAGCUUGUUGAAACCAGAAUUGAAUUGCAAGCUUGAAUAGAAAUGAAUAGAAUGAAUAGGAAAAGAAAAAUGAAAAUUAUUUAGGAAUGCUUAUGGUUUUCUCUGAAAUGGAAAAAAUGGAAUCAUUUUGAAAUGAAUGUAGAUAUCCAAAAAUGGGAGUAGAAAUUGAAAUAAUCCAUUUGCAAUUCUAUAUGGAUUACUUAAAAAUGAUCAGAAGAAUGAGUUUAUGUUUUUGAGAUAUUUUGAAGCCUGGAAAUGAAAAUAAAUCAUUCGAUCAUAGUGAACAUAUUGAGUUUUGAAAUAUUAUACACAUUUUCUUGAAAUUUUAUUAAGGAUAAAAUUGUCAAAAUUUUACCGAGGUAAAAGUAAAAUAGGGAUGAGAAAAUUAUUUAAUAUAGAAUAUGAAUGUUUAUCUUGGAAAAUAGAAUAAAAUGCAUUGGGUUGGAUUACAUUAUAAAGUGUUGGGUUAAGGAAACACGAAAAUUUAUGUGUUUUUACAUGCCCUUUUUAACUUAAAAUCAUUCUAUUUCGGUUAAAUUCUUGUCGAAAAAUAAUUAAAUAUUAUAGAAUAAUUAAAUUAUGUUAAAAAUAUGAACAUGAUGAAUUUUUAAUUAAUUUUAUAGUUAAUUUUGAUUAAUUUUGACUAUUUUCGACAGAUUCGCGUAAAGGGCGAAAAUUGGCUCGACAGACAAAGCUCGAAGAAUAAAACCGAGAAGCAAUUUGAAGCAUCGAGGAAAAUUUAUUUCCAGCCUAAUAUGGUCCAAAAAUUUGUGUUAAUUCAUAAUAUAAUUAAUUUUAAUUUAUUCCCAAUUUAAUUUGGGCUAAAUAAAUUAUUAUUAAUUAAUUAUGGAAAAAAGGGUCUAGUUGAACCGCAUUGGUUGAACCGAAUCUAGUGAACCGAACCAGCCACCAAUUGGGCUGCCCAGAACCAUCCAUAUGCUGACCCAAAUCAGCAUUUUAACUGACUAAAUAAGCUUGCAAAGAAGCCCUUGAAGAACUUUGAACUUUGCAUUCAAACCCCUCUAAAAAAUGUGGCUUUAUGGAUUUGCCCCAGGCUAUUUUUAGCAAAGUUGAAUCUCUCAACUUUGCCAUGUGUGUGGCCAGCCAAGGGGGGUCUCUUUGGCUGAUGGAAUUUUCUAUUUAUAGCAGCCACAAUCAUCUAUAAAAGCCACCCCUUGCUGGUCAUUCAACUCAUCCCUCACACUCUCAUUCUCUUCUCCUCUCUCACUUUCUCUCAACUUUCCUUCCCAUUUUCCCUUUUGUUCAAGUGCCAAUUUCUUCUCUUGGGAAAGAUGUCCUCAUCAGCCAUUUUUGAGUAGCAAUUAAAUUAUUCAUAAGCCACCUUUAUAGCCAAGGACAACAAAGAACGAAGAACAGAGAAAUCAGUCAAGCCACGGAGAAACAUCAGAUUUGCUUCUUGUUCCCUAUCUCUUUAAAGUUCGUUGUUGUUUUGAAAAACAUGUUUAUGAAUAUUUAUCUUAUUUAAAUGGUUAUUUUAAUCAAUCUAGCUUGAAUUUAAUCCGUGUUGGGUUGAUUAUAUUUUGCUUGCUUGAAUUAUUGAAAUUGUGUUUCUGCUGUUACAGGCCUCGGUAAGAUGCUUGAUUAAGUAAAAUCAUGCCUAAGUUAUUCUUGCAAUAUUAAUUGUUAGAUAAAUAAUGAAUUAAUUAUUAAAUCAUAUUGAAAUUGUAAUUAAUCGACACAAUACUUAAUCAGUGCAUGUUUAUUCUUCUAAGGUAGCUGAAGUUAAUUUAGCAUUGUAUUUGGUGAUACAUAUGCCUUGCAUAACUUGAAAGAUUAUUGUGAUUAAACUGUUUCAAGGUAGAAAUACUCUGUUACCUCACUUGAUCUUUUAUAUGCUUGUGAAGAUUGAUUAAUCGCUUGGAUUGACAUUAAAAAAUGUUCAAGAGAUUGAUUAAUUUAAUAAGUAUGUAUGAGUAGUAGUUAGCAAAUUACAUAGUUGCCGUGAAUUUGUUCGUAGCAGUAUAAACAUAAGUUUAAUAAUUCUAGGUUAAAGGAAUGUAAUUAAUCCAACACAAUUAUAUCAUCUUGGUUAAAACUUAUUUGAAAUUGUGCAUUAGAAUAUUUUUAUUUUUAAUUUUUUUUACUUAGUUUUUAACCCUUAGUUUUUAAUCAUCUUUAAACCAAAAUAUUUUCCAUCACCAAAGUGUUUUAACAUUAAUUUCAUAAAUAUUCUUUUUUACAGUCCCUGUGGGUUUGAUAACUCGACAUUUACUUGUCACUUUAUUACUUGUUGCGAUUGUGUACACUUGCACGUUUUCGUCAUUCCAGGUUAAAAGUCCAUAAAGCACAUAUAAUUGGGCCCAAUACAAUGAGAGGCCCGAAUCCCUAUCAUAAUACAUAUGAGGGGAAACACACCCUAUUAGCCCCCCUCUCUCUCCUAGUUGGACUAGGAAUUUGUGUUUGUAUUUGAAAUAAACUUCUACAAUUCAAAAAUGAUUCUACAUUAUCUCCUUAUAAAUAGAUGGCACCGGUAGAGCUAUUUACAUAACUUUGAGAGAUUGUUACUCUGUCGAAAAAUAGAGAAAAUUUAUUCUCAACUAUUAAAUAUAUUUCUCUAGAAUAACAAUUCUACCUGUUUCUAUUAAAGAAGAGAGAAUUUUCAUUUUCACCCCAAAUAAAAGAGAAAAAUUUUUCUAGUUCUGUGUUUCAAUUUAAUUGGUUCGAGCCCACACUCAAAGCAUUUUGUGGUACGAUAAUAGCAAAGAUCAUCAUUUUGUUGAAAGUCGAGAACAAUGAACGUGCGCUAAGCUAAAAAAUAGGUAUGAAUUCGUUUAGGGUUUAUUACUGUAAAUAUCACAAACCGGGUCAAUUUUCAAAAUUUUAAUUUUUUAUUGUGAAAGAAAACCAUCUUCAAACCAGAUUUUUCCAACGGUAAUAAUGGGUGGUGUACUACAUGCUAAUGAUACAAAUACAAUUAAUUAUGUGAAAUGCUUGUAAUGCAUAUAAUGUAUGGGGUACAGAGGGAAGUACCAUGAUGGUGGUAGUUGAAGAUAGGAAUACUGGGUGAAAAUGAGGAAUGAGUGGAUUAAAAUGGGGAUUCAAGGGAGAUUGAAUGACAUUACAGAAUGUUAUCGACUGGCUCACUAGAGCGAUAUUGUGACCACGAUCUAUUGAAUCUAUAGAGUGACAUUGUGACGGCGGCUAUCGGCAGGUCCUUCGGGGUGACACCAUGAGAACAAUUUGUAGGUCUUUCAAGGUGACACCUUGGAAGAGGUUUAUUGAUUCUUCGGAAUCGGGAGUCUGCUAGGAAAUUAGAGAUGGGGUAUACUGUAUAAGACCAUAGCUCGGCUAUGGCAACAGGCCAAAUCUGCCAAGUUAAACAUGGGGUAUAUUGUGUAAGACCAUAGCCCGGUUAUGGCAACAUGUGAAGUCUGUCAGGACAUUAAAUAAGGCUAUACUGUGUAAGACCAUAGUUGGGCUAUGGUUUCAGAUAAAUUUUGUCAAGAUGAUGAAUUGAGAAACUAAUAAAGUAAAGAAAUAGGGAUAAUUGUAUGUCUCGUGCAGAAAGUAGUAUAGGUGGAUGAUCACGACGCGUUUGAGAAUGAGGUUAAAUAAGAAGGUAAGAGAAUCCACCAAACAAUAAAGAGGAAAAUAAUUGGUAGAAGUAUCCAAGAAUAUGGAUAAGCUUGCUCUGCCAAAUUUGGUAGAAAGUGGAAUCAGACAAGUUUGUGGUCAUCAAGACCAAAGAAAUAGAAGGGUACCCAUUCCAGUUAAGGGGUACCCAUUAUUAUAAAUCCGCUAGUGGUUAGCGAGUAAUAAAACAUGAAGUAUAAUAAGCAAGUCAACAAGGCAAACUCUAAGCUAAACGAUUGGAGCGGUAAGUCCUCCAAUGAUCUACUGAAAGGGGGAUGAUAGAGUAAGACUAUAUGGGGCUACCGAAGGUUGAGAUUGCCAGGAUUACUUAGGCAGGAAUAGUUCCUUAGGGACAAUCAAUAAAUUGGAGCAUGUAAGAAGGUUGGGCUUAGGAGAAUAAGCACUCUGGGGGUUACAUUCAGGGUAUGAGUCUGCCUAGAAAAAGGGGUGCCAACUCAUUCAACCAACUAACUUAUUGAGUCCAUGGAGAAGAAUGAUAGAAAGAGACCUUAUCUAGAAAAAGGGGGAUUAGGCAUAGGUCAAGUCAAAAGAAGAUUUCUAUUGGAGUAAUGGGAUAAAAUUUUAUGAAGAUCAAGGUCGAUCAAAGGGAUCAAGGAAGAGAUUCACAACUAUAGUGAAAUCUUGAUUAAAAUGCCAGUAAGUUGUCAAACCCGUGAUGGGAUCUACGAGAAUUCCAAGUUGAGGCAUACCUGUAUGAGUUCAAGGGAAGCUUUAAAUAACGACAAACAGGGUUAAGACCCAUAAAAAAAGAAUUUUCGAAGAUUUUUUUGGUGGGUGGAAUGCCCUUUGAUAGUUCAUUUGGAAAGAAUCUAGAAAAUGGCUAUGACAGAGAAAUUGCGGGUCUUCCUACAAGUUUAGGGAGUUUCUCAUCUGUGCUUUAAAUUUUAUAUUCCCUAAUUUCCAAGAAAUCUUGAAUGAAAAAUAAUGUAUAGGAUCUCACUAAGUUCUCCUGAGCUUAAAACAUUUUUUGCUUCCAUGCAAGGUAGGUGGUGUCUUAAAAUUUUAGUGGAGGGACCUAGCCAAACACCACCAGUUUCAAGAGAUGGGUGAGAUAGUUGAUUCAUAUACAUAUAGGGCAUGCCUUAAGGAUUAAAUUGGUUAUAUUCAUAUUGGAGUUUUAAAUUUAAAAUUUAUAAAUAGUUGUUGGAAUCAAAGUUGUAAGAAUUUAACUUUGGUUCUGUACGAUUGUUAAUAUCUUUUGAUCCUUAAUUUAUGUGUUUAAUAAUGUAAUUAGAGUAGAAUCAAAAACAUCGCUAAGAUAUUUAGGUCUUUCUAUCAUCCAGUACCUGGACCUAGCAAACAAAUUGGGUCUAAGGUGUUACAUGAAGUUAUUCCACUAUAGUUUCGUGACUGAGCUCUCCCCAACGACAUACCAUUAUGAAUGCAACUUGAUUAAUGCUUGUCCAAUGACCUUGUCAUAAGUGUGUUACCCUCAUAUGAUAUCCUUAAUCUUAUUUGGAUAAUAUUCAUUCUCCAAAUAUGAUCCUAUUUUAUCUCAUGGUAACAAUUACAUCUUCCUUCAUGAAAAGUCAAUUACUAUCAAAUAGUAGUCAAGUCUUCACCUAAUGUAAUAACAUGUUUAAUUUCCAUCUUCCAUCACGAACAACCUGUGACCAUGUUUAAUUUCCAUCAACCAAGUAAUAACAAUGAGAGGAUAUCAUUUACCCAUUCCUCGAGCUAUGAAUUCCACUAUUGUGAAUGAUGCUACAAACUACAGAAGUCGUACACUCAAUGCACCUGCUUUUGGUUCCUUAUCUAUUCGAACUCAUGCUUUCACUUACAUCAAAGUGUACGAGUCACGCAUACAUAGCCUGUCAUCCACUCAAGAUUUAGGUAUGAAAAUUGCAAUUGAAUAAAGAAUUAAGUGUGGUGUCUACAAGUGUACAUGUCAACUUGUAAUAUAGUUUAUAGUUACAACGUUACACUUUGGACGUAUUUCGAGGAUCUACACAGGGGAGGUUUGUUUAAACUAAAUUAAUAGAAAAAGUCACACAUUAACUAAGUCAAAAUAGCUACUCACGUACUUGUCAUAUUACGUUUAAAAAAAUGAAUCAUUAAACAAAACUAAAUUAUAUAAAAGCUAAACACCAAAAUCACAUUCAAAUUAAGCAGACAGUAGGGUGAAUUACUUCCAUGUUCAUGAUUAACCAAGGUCUAGGGUUUUUACCAAUUAGCUAACAAUCAACCUAAUUUAAUACCUUUUAACUUAUAACUAGAUUAAUUGAUCGAAUUAACUUUCUUAUCUUUCUACCUAAUAAAUUAAACUAGGUUAGAUUAAGUUGGUGCUGAGUAGACUAUCCUUUCGGCCUCAUCUACCUAAGUGACUUCCUAAAGUCGUCAAUUCUAGGGUUUAAUUCACUUAAGGUAAUCCAUCUAACUAGUGUCAAAAUCCUAACCCAAUCCACUCACUCCCACUUUAGCUUGUCAACCUUCCUAGGGUUUGAGUUCAUGGCCAUUCUAGAAGCAACCUCUCCUAACCGAUUAUCAAACAUCCAAACAAAUGUAAAAAUAAAUAAAAAGGGAAAAGAAUGUUAAGAAUCCAAAAAUCUUGAAACAAAACUUCUAUUGUUGAACCCACAAUCGAUGUUGAUAUUUUAUUUGAUGAAGAAGAAAAUAACCAAAAAAUAAUGAAAAGAAAACAAAAAUGAAAUUGCUAUUAAAAUUAACUUAGUGUUUAACAACUAAAAAAUGAAAUUGUAAUCUAUCUAAAACCCUAAUUAAUCCCAUAAAACUAAAUUUAAAAAUAAAAAUCGGCUCUCUAAUCAAGUCUUAUGAGCUAAUAUUUAUAGUGUUUAUGUUAUAUGACCAAAUUAUUUCAAUCACAAGUUGUGUAACAAGUUAAUUAAGAUUAUACGGAUAAAAACACCCAUUACAGUCAUAUUGGCCUCAUUAAACCGGUGUCGGGACAAACUAUAGCUGGUGUUGUGAUUUCGUUGGAAGAAUACUUGGUCUUCAAAACUUGGUGGAAUGUCACGACAUUAGUUUCUUGGGGUCACGAAAUCAUUGGCAGUAUGCUCCCUUUUGGAAUCUGGAUUGAAUGUCGCGACAUCGCCUCGAGUAGCUCACCUCUUGAAAUUGUGUUGGAAUUUCGACUAAGUGUUGAGGCUUGCUUUAAUGUCGCAUAUUCUUUUUGAAUGUUACGACAUCCAGGGUAGUCCAUUGACUUCUUGACCAAAAACAUUGUCCAGCACACUUACUCAACCUGUUAGUUCUUUCUUAGGUCCUAAUUGGCCUAAAAGGUCAUAAAACACCACUAAAAGCUCAAUCAAUUAAACUUAACCUCAAAAUAACUAAUCCUAAAAACAUAAUUAAAAUAUGAAAAAUCACUUGAAUACAAGCUCAUUAAGUGGUGAAAAGAGCCUAAUUUGUGACAGUGAAUUGUGGCAUAUCAUUAACCCUAAGCCCAUUUUAGGCAUGUCUGUAACCACCCAAACCUGACUUAGACGUUAUGGUCAAAUCCUGAAGAUUACAUUGGCCAUUGGAAUGGCAUGGAAAAAUGUUCCUAUUUUAAAUCACUCUUUAAAACAAAUUUCCUUUUUAUUUAAGACUAGUGAUCUCAAUUAUUUGUUUUAUUUCAAGAAAAUCAUAUUAAUUACAAAAUCAUCAAGCAUCUUUAGAGUGUCGCUUGUAAAGAUUAAUCAUUUCGGAAAAAAAACUAAGUUAUAUUUUGUUAAAAACAAACCUUUAAGUAUGGUAGUGAAAAAUUCAAUUAAAAUCAUAUUUCUGUUAAAAAUCGAUUUUUCAUGCAUAGUCAAUAAAACAUUCAGUGAGCAAUUUAAAACUUCAAAUCAUGCAAAAAUAAAGUAGAAAUCCCAAAAUAUAAAGUUCCAUGCCACAAUCUAUAAGAAAAUUAUUACAGUCCCAAAAAUAACCAUAUAAUAAAGUUUAAAGUAUUUAAAAUAAAAACCAUCCGAGAACACCUUCGAUAGCCGUGUCCAAGUCCUAACCUCGGGGAUUAUCUGAAAUCAGAUCAGAAACUAAUGUGUGAACUAAUAAACUUAGUGUGAGUCUUAUUUCAAAUAUACAGUAAUAAUAGUAAAUAUAACACUCAAGUCAAAAAAAUAUAAAGAGUACAAUAAAUAGCGCAAAGCUCACAAUUUGUGUCAUGCAUGAUCAUGUUAAUGUAGAAUUUUUAGAAUAUUCCUACCCAACUCCACUACACAUCAAUAUACGAUUUCUCUAAAACUCAUUCAACCAAUAAGACACCAAUUUGUGGACAAGCCACCAGGAUUGCAGAGAAAUUGUCAAAUUUGUAGACAAGCUACUAGGAAUAUGACCAUGCCACCAAAAUUGCAGGUAAACUACCAGAAUUAUGUGGUUGAACCACCAAAAUUGCAGAUAAACUAUCAAAUCUUCCUUCUUACAUAUUUGUCCCAACUCAAUGCAAAAUUACAUGUUACAACUAAAACAGAGUGCAAAUAAUAGGCAUGAUCAAAAGAGCAUGCAAACAAUGGAAAAAAUAGUAGGCAAGAUUUAAACAUGCAAUCAUAGUAAGAACAGUGGCAUAAAUUCCAUGCAAUGAGUAAAACAGUAUAGUAAACGCAUUUAAUGACACUUUUAGAAUUAUUAGUAUCAAAAUUCACAUUUUUAAUAUGUGACUAAAUUUUAGUUAUAGUGUGCAAGGUUUAUCAUGACAUCAAUCUCAAUAAUAGAUUUGCAACAUGCAUCAAUAGCACAUAUUAUAUGAAUAUCAUCAAGUCAUAAUACAACAGCCAUACAUAUUUAUGACAUCACGGAUUUAACAUAUCAGAGUCACUUACUUGGAAACAAUCCUAUUAAAGGAUUUAUCAAUCACCGUGAAUACUUAGUGUAUUCAAAUAACCAUGUUUCAGAGAAAAUAAUAAAUAUUAAUCAUAAGUAUAUAAUAGUUACUAAAUAAUCAUAUAUAUUUUUAUUUGAUUAAACCCACACCUAAAAAUAUGCCUUGUCACUAAAUCUACACCCACACUCCAAUGAUAACUAAUCUAGACAGUUCUCGCUUGAUCUGAUCAAAUAAUAACGGUAUGAUCCCAAUAGGAAUUCAUUAGUUUCAACCAUAAACCAAAAUAUAAUUCUCUUAUGCAGUCAGAUAAGAAACUUCCUCAAUACCUUUUUUGAAAGGAGAUCCAAACAUUUUUCUUAUGCUCGAGUAAAUUCGAAUGAUCCAGAUUAGAUCCUUCAAGAAACAUGUUACACAAAUAUUGGAACAUAUAUUCAACUCACAUAAGAAAAGAAAUGAUUGUGGUUAGAUUUACUAAUCAUUACUUACGCUAAACCGAUUGGAUUGUGAAGAUUAAUGAUUCACCGAAAGUUUUGAUUUGAUAGAGGAGUAGUGGCUAAGAAAAAACAAAAUAAGGAAUAAAGUGACUAUGUACAUUGUUUAAUAAUUAAAGAAAAAAAGAAGAAGAAUAAGAGAUGUUAAAAUUCAGUUAUGGCCAAGUAGAUGAAAGGAUGAUGAAGAAAGAAGACAAUCAGUGGAAGCUGGCGGUGGUGGUGCAAUGGCGCUACAGCGGCGAUGGCAUAGGAGGUUUGAUAGUGGCAUGAAGAGAGUGGGAGAGGAGGGACAGUGGUGAAGUGGUGGUGUUUAGGUGGUACGAUGGUGGCUAAAGUUGGUGGAGUGGUGGCAAAAUAAAUUUAAAGUAUCGGCUCAAGGUGAUGCAAGAGGAGGAGGAGAGAAAAAGAAAGGGAAGAAAGGAAACAAAGAGAUGAAAUAAAAUGAUUUUGUUUCUCUAGUUGCAAGGGACGGCUAAAGGGUUCAAAGGGGAUGAAAAUAGGAAGGGAGUGAAAAGAGGGGAAGAAAAGGAAAGAAGAGGGAACAUGUAGAGUGGAAAAAGAAGAAAGAAUGGAAAGUAGAGCAAAAUAUGACAGGAAAGAAUGAGAAGGGAAUCAAACUUGGGUUAGUUGGAAAGUUUAGCUUGAUCUUAACCACUAGGCUAGAACUCUCACUUGUUUAAGAAUUAAUGAUAACUUGGGUUACUUGGAAUGUUUAGCUUGCUCUUAACCACUAGGCUAGAACUCUUACUUGUUCAAGAAUUAACGAUAACUAAAUAUAGAUGGGCUUUGACAACUCUACUCUCAUUAAAAAAAUGAAUUCCGUCUUUAAAAUUUACCUGAUUAGAACAUAUUGGGAUAUUGUUCACAAAUCGAGUCCUCUAGCUCCAAAGUAGUUUCCUUAGUUCCAUGAUUUCGCCAUAACAUUUUUACCAGUGGAAUCUAAUUUUUCCUUAACACCUUAACCUCACGAUCCAAGAUCUAAACUGGAUCCUCCUUAGAAGAUAAAUCUAGUCUCAUCUCAAUCUCCUCAACUAGAACCACAUGAGAUGGGUCAAAUCAGUAUCGCCUCAACAUAGAGAUGCGGAACACAUCAUGGAUCCAGUCCAGUUUCGGAGGUAACUCCAACUUAUAAGCCAUUGGUCCAAUACUCUUAAGGAUCCUAUAAGGUCCAAUAAACCUUGGGCUCAGCCUGCCCUUCCGACCAACUCUUAGAACCUUCUUCCAUGACGAUACCUUAAGGAAUACCUGACCCUUGACAUUGAACUCUAUAUCCUUCCUCUUCAAAUCUACAUAGGAUUUUUGUUGAUUGGAUGCCACUCUCAAUCUGUCCUAAAUGAGAUUAACAAUACCCUCAGUCAACUAAAUUCGGGCCCAAUACUUUUUUUUCACCUAACUCGAUCCAUCACAAAGGUGUCUGACACUUUCAACCAUACAGUGCCUCAUAGGGUUCCAUCUGAAUACUUAACUGGAAGCUGUUAUUAUAUGAAAAAUCUACUAUUAGCAAGUGCUCCUCCCAACUACCUCGGAAAUCAAUUACACAAACCCUUAGAUAUCUUCAAGGAUCUAUAUAACCCGCUCAAACUAUGGAUGUAAAGCCAUGCUAAAUGAGAUGUAAAACGAGGAUCUUGAUCAUAAAUAAUCAAUACUGGUACCCCAUACAGUGUCACUAUCUCAGAGAUGUACAACUUCGCCAACUUCUACAGUGAAUAAUCUAUACAGACUGGGAGGAAGUGAGCUGACUUAGUCAAUCUAUCCAUAAUCACCCACACUAAGUCCUUUAUAGUAAGUGUGAAUGGAACCCACAAAAAAAAUCCAUAGUCACUCGCUCCCACUUCCAUUGAGGAAUCUAAAUAGGCUGUAACAAGCCAGAAGGGAAUUGAUGCUUAGCUUUCACUUGCUGGCAUGUUAGACACUUAGCCACAAACUUAGUUACCUCAUGCUUAACACCCGACCAUCAAUACAGUUCUCCAAAAUCCUAGUACAUCUUAUUCCCUUCAAGAUUGAUAGCAUAAGGGCUACUAUGCGCUUCCCAAAGGAUAGACUAUCUCAAAUCUUUGUUGUCUAGUACACAAUAUCUCCCACGAUAACACAAGAUUCCAUCAGAAUUAAACCCAAAGUAUGUAGUCUUACCUUCCUCAAUCUAUUUAAUUAGAGGCACAAGAGACACAUAUAAAGGUUUCUUCAUCUUAAUCUUGUCAACCACAGUAGGCUUUACUUGAAAUUCCGUGAGUAAGCCACCAUCCUCACACAAAUUCGGCUUAGCAAACAUUGGUCUCAAAUCAGUCAUCAACCUCCUACUCAAUGCAUUUGCCAUGAUGUUAGCUUUCUUAGGUGGUACUCAAUGGUACAAUCAUACUAGCAUAGCUCUUUAAGUACCAUGCAGUAAGGAGCAAUGGACACCGGAGUAGUCCUAGGCAGCAAAUCUAUCCCAAAUUCAACCUCUCGCUCUGGAAGUAAUCUAAGUAGCUCUUCCAGAAAGAUGUCGGGAAACUCUCUCAUAGUACGACUACCUUCCACAUUUGAUCCACUAACACUCAUGUCCAGAAUAUAAGUCAGGUAAGCUUCACAUCCCUUAUGAACCAACUUUUCAGCUACUAAAGCUGAGAUCACAUUAGACAAGUAAUCUCUAUGCUCACCAACUAUCAUAAUUUCCUUACCUAUCGAUGUCUUCAAAGUAACCCUCUUCAAAGCGCAAUCCAAACUGACUUGGUGUUCCACCAACCAGUUUAUACCCAAAAUUAGAUCAAAUUCCCCAAAGGGUAGCUUCAUUAAAUUUGCCAAAAAUACCUCUCCCUAAACUCAACGGGCAUCUUCUAUAAAUCUUAUUCAUAGUAACAGAUUGUCCUCUCUGCAUCUAGCCACAUAGACAAGAACAAUUUUCCUGGCAACAGUUCAUUUUGCACCCUAAACUCGUGCUCACUGUCCCUGUCCAACAUUACCUCCUUUGUAUUGACCCUGACCCCUCUAAGGCUAAUGCCCAGCCCUCUGAUUCUGAACCUCAUUCUGUACUAGAUCUUGCAUGUGGUCAUUACGGCAUGGAAAGUCCUUAAUCUUAUGGUCCAUAGACCCACAUCUCAAACAAGUACUCAUCUCUCUCCAACAUUCACCUAGAUGUCGCUUACCAUAGUAAGCACAGUUCUGAGUCUUGCCUCUAGUACCAACUACCACUGUAUUCUGUCGAGGCUUAUCAUCUCUUCUUCGCUUAAUGGGUUGUGAAGCCGUGAUAGUGGGAUAGAAAUCCCACUCAACAGAAGCCUCAUCCUUCUCUUUUCUCUUAUGCUUCACACACUUAUCUUCCUCAACUAUCUUGGUUUUCUCCACCAUAAUUUCGUAAAACCUCUCAUGGUGUAGAGCGACCUGGAUAAUCAAAUCUGACACACUUAUCUUUCUCGACCGCAACCAUCCCUUGAACAUAUCAGCUAAGCCUCAAGAAUCCAACCUCAUACCCAGCCAUCGACAUGUCUCCUUACUUCAACUCAAUAGAUUCUAGCCUUUGGUCCACAACAUAUCUAGUGCCCAUGCAUUUCUUCUAGAAAGCUUGUUGGAAAUAAUCCCAAGUUAAUCUUUCCACCUGCGUAUGUAACAACCUAUUUUUAGUAGUGUUAGAAAUAGUGGUUUUGGGACCACAAUUCUGAUGAGAGAGUCCAUAGAUAUAUUUAAUUAAUAUUUAUGAGUUAAAUAUAAUAUAAUAGUGAAUUUUGAUUUAAUAGAUUUUAUUAAUUGGUUAGUUAGUUAAAGUACAAAUGGUGCGUACCGAAAGUCAAGUGGUUUUGGAAAAUGAGGGAUCGGGACCUCGUUACUGUAAACCAAGCCCAUGAAUAUUUUUAUUAAAUAUUUACGGAGCUUUUAUAUAGGUGAAUUGAAUUUUGGUCCAAAAAUUUUAGUGGUUGGAUGGCUAAUUAAGGUAUAAGGACUAAAUCAUAAAAAACUAUAAAAGUUAAUCACUAUUAAUUUUUAUUAGUUAAAUUUCUUAUCUAGUAAUUUUUUAAGGUUUAAUAUAACAAUUAGGCCAUAUUUAAUUAUAGUGGGAUGUCUUGUAGUUAGUUUUGUUAUAUUUUAUAUGUUAAUUUAAAUUUAAAUUAAUAAUAAUAAAGUUAAAACAUAAAAAUAAUGGUCAUCUUCUUCAUUUUGAGUUUCAUCACCAAAAAGAGAAUCAAAGCUUGAGAAGCUAUCAUUAAAAUUUCCAAGGCUCAGCCAAGUGCAUGUGAGUCUAUUUUUAAACCGUUUUUCAUAAAUUUUAUGUUUUUGAGAUCGUUCCAACUAGGUCCAAAUAACCUGUACCUCUGUUUUCAAAAUUUUCAAAGAUUUAAAAUGUUUCCAAUGAUAUUAUUUGAUUAUUUUGAAUGUUUAUGGUAGAUUUUGAAGCAUAUAAAUGAAAUAGGAUUAAUUUGUUAAGUAAAUUUUGUUAGUUUUGAGUUAGGGACUAAAUUGUGAAUAUAUUAAAAUUGGUAUGAAAUUUUUAUAUAUUUUGAUAAUAUGGGACUGUAUAUGGACAUAAUUAAAGUGGGUUUAAAAUUUGGAGUUCAAAUUUGGAAGAUAUAAUAAGUUCUGUUUUAGGGACUAAAUUGAAUAAAAUGUAAAAGUUUAGGGGCAUUCAAAUAAUAAAAUUAAAAUUAUAUAUACUUAUAAUAGGAUGACAUAAGAUGUUUGGAACUGAUAAAUUGAAUUGACUUAUUGAAUAGAUUAGAAAUUAGACCAAAUUAAAAAAAAGUAGAGGAAAUGACAAAAAAAUUGUUGAUUAGUCCUUAGAGAGUUGUUUAGUUGUUUCCUUAACUAGGUAAGUUCAUAUAUUAUGUUUGUGCUAAAUUUUUAUGCAUUUGGAAUUAUAAUUUUAAUGAUGUUUAAAUGAAAUUUUAAUUGUUUAUGAUUUAGCACAAAAAUGUGAGAUAAAUAAUUAAAUUGAAAUAAUUAUGGAAUUGAACUUAAAUUGGACUGAAAUAGGAUAUGUCAUGUGAUGAGGUAAUGAACUAAGCUGACUUGAUUUGAUUUAGACUAGUUGAUAGUGAUAAGGAAAAAAUUGAAUAUAUAUGAAAAAUGUGUAUGUAUAUAUAUGUGUGUGUAAUUGAAUGCAUAUAGAUAUGAUUGAUGCUGUCAUGAUUAUGGAUGAAUGAUACGUGAAUUGAGAUGUUGAUUGAUAAUAAAUUGAGUAAUGAAUACCUUAUUAACUAUUUGGGUAGAGUCGGUUAUAGUUGACAUACCAUGGGAUAGGAAGAGCUCAGAGUUACUUCGACUACGAGUCGAUGAGGCACUGGGUGCCAAUUUGCUUCUGUUAUAUCGAUGAAACACUGGGUUUCAAACUUAUUGGUAGCAUUGGGCGCAACUAUUUUCUUCGGAUUUAUCUCAUGAGGCACUAGGUGCCAAACUGGUGUGUUGGUUCUAUCUGUGUAUCUGUUCGAGUUCAAGUUGUGUUAAUAAGUAAAUAAAUGAUUGAAAAAAGAAAUAUCACAUAUUUGAAAUGGCAAAUGAUGUGAAAUGGAAUAUGAAAUUGUGAAAUGAGUUGGGAACAAUGAUUAAUUAUGUUCAAUAAAUCCCUGAAUUUGGAAAUUGAGAUGGAAUGUGAUUUGUAAUUCGUAUUAUGAAAUGAAAUAGUAAUUGACAUUAGAUUGGAAAUUGAUAUAUAUAUUUGGUAUAAAGAUGAAUUGAUAUGAAAUAGGAAUGAAGUUUAUACGAUUUAAUAUGAAUUUGAUUGAGAAUUCGAAUUAUGAAAUGAAAAAUAAUGUUUGGCAUUAAUUUGAAAUGGGAUGCAUUAAGGGCAUACUAGAUUGUUUUGAAUAUGGUAUUAUGUUUGAAUUUGAAUUGUUGGAUUGAGGUGUCAAUUGUGGCAUAUUGGUUGUAUGUAUUUAAUGGAUUGAAUGAGUUCUAUAUAGGCUAUUUGUGUACCUAUAUGUAUCUAUGAGCUAAGAUAUAGAUUUGGGCAUGAAAUAAACUUCUAAAUUUGUGAUUUUGACCAUCUAGGUAAAAGUAUCGACACCAAGGACCAAGGUUAAUAUAAGGUAUUAAUACUUGACCAAAUGAACAGUGUUUUGAAAAUGGCAGAAUGUCAAAAUGGUAUCGACACUGAAGUUUGGCAUCGAUAAUUUUGUUAAAAAUAUCAAUACUUGUUCCUUUUGUAUCGAUACCUAGUUCCAAGUUUUGAAAAUUUUCAGAUUGGUCCUUAAUCAUGCUCGAAUCUAUUAAACUAUGUUCUCUGUUUGGUUCAUAACUUUUAUUAUACAUGUAUUUAGAAAAACUUGAUUAUUUAAAUUAAAUUCAAUGUUAUGAUUUGCAUAUGAAUGUUUCGAUAACUAUAGUAGUAGGAUCAACAUGCAAUUUACAUAUUAACAUUUGAUAUCAUAACUUAAAAUCAAUUAACCAUAUCUUUCCUAAUUUCAAAGACCAUGCACAACCAUUAACAAAAGAUAUUAGGGCAUACAAAAGCUUGGCACAACCAAAAGCAUACCAAUUUAACAUACAACCCUAUACAUGUCAUGUAUAACCAUUUCAAUAUAUAUUCAAAGGUUACCAUAAUGGAUCUGGAUAGUGUGACCAUGCUCUGACGUUGGUUCUAACCGUUCGAGCUUCUCGAUGAUCUAUAAAACAAAGAAAACACAUACGUAAGCAAUUAAUGCUUAGUAAGCUUGUAUUAGGAACUUAAAAUUACCGUAUAUAUUAAAUAAAAUAAUUAAAGAUAAUUACAUUUCAUUAUAGGCCAAACAUCCUUUCCUAUACACAAAAAUUCAUAAGGUUAGUUUGUGAAAUAAUGCACUUUUAUGAUCAACCAAGGCGUGACAUAAAACAUAUCAACAUUUUAAUUUCACCAUCCAGCACUGCUACAUAUAUCAUGUAACUUCAUUCUCUUUACAUUAUGCAUAUCAUUAUAAUGUAUUUCAUUAUCUAAAAUCAUGAUUCAUUUCAUAUUUUCAUAUACCCAUUUAAGCUUUAUUUACUCGUUCAUAUCAUGGAAACAAUUUCACUAUAUAAGUCAUUCAUUCACAUAAUUCAAAUGUUACCUUUUCAAUCCAAAUACUUACAUUACAUUUUUCAUUUUGUAUUUUCAAUAACAUAGUUCAUUUAUAUACAUACCUUUUCAUUUUAAUCUUAGUUGUUCAUUGAACCAAAUAGAAUAACAUCGGAUAUUGGAAAUAAUAAUUUUAGUACAAAUUACCUGAUACAAUACAUCGACACGAAGCCUGCUAGGCACAAAGCCUAGUAUAAUACACCUGCACGAAGCCUGAUAAAAUACACCAGCACGAAGCCUGCUAGGCACAAAGCCUGAUAUAAAACAUCGAUAUGAAGCCUGCUAGGCACAAAGCUUGAUAUAAAACAUUGGCAAGAAGCCUGCUAGGCACAAAGCCUAAUAUAAUACACCAGCAUGAAGCCUACUGGACUCAGGGCCCAAUACACUAUCUCCAAUACAACUCAAUUUGAUUAUUAAUUUUCAUCAACCAACAUUAAAUAAUUACAAACAUCACAAUUAUUAGAAUAAAAAAAUAUCAAGGAGUUUAAUUCACAUUACAUAUAAUAAGAACUUACUUGAACUCAUGUAACAGCCCGAUUUUGGGCCUAGUCGGAAUAGUGGUUUCGGGACCACAAAUCCGACGAGGGAAAAUAUGGUUAUUAUUAUAUUUUUAUGGUCUACAAUUUCACGGAAAAUUUUCGUAAAAAUUUCGUUCGAAAAUUUCGACGUUUGGGCACUCAAUUUAGUCAAAAGGACUAAAUUGUAAAUAGUGCAAAAGUUGAGUUCUAUAUGUAGAAGUAUCUAAUUGAUAUGAAAUUUUAAAUUGGAGGUCUUUAUGUGGUAAUUAGACCAUUAGUUAGUUGAUGGACAAAAAUAGACAUAAGAAAUGAGAGAAAUAGAUUUUUUUUAAGUGGGGGCAUAUUAGUCAUUUGGUAAUAAAAAAAAAUAAAAUGGGAAAAAGAUGACAAAAAUCAUCAUCUUCCUCAUUAGUUGCUGCCGAAAUUUGAAGGAAGCCAUAGCUAAGGUUUCUUUGCUUUCUCAAGCUCAUAGUAAGUGCAUCCUAGCCCCAUUUUUAAUGUUCUUCGCAUUUUUGGAAUCCUCGUAACUCGGUUUAGCUUAUUCUAGCAAUAAUUCGUGUUAGGGCUCAUAUUUGGAAAAAUACCCAUAGGUGAAAUGUGUUUAUUUUGCUGUUUUAUGGUGGAAUAUGAAGCUAUAAAUUAUGUUAAACAACUUUUGCUAAGCGAUUUUAAGCGAAAACGGGUAAAUAGGCAUAAUCGGUAAAAAUAAUUAUUGUUCAUAAGUGUAUGUUAGAGUGAGAAUUUGAUGUUGCCAUAGAAGGGAAAAAUGUUCAGCAUGUCAUAAAACCUAAGAAUAAGUGAUGAAGUUUAAUUUCCGAGCUUGGGGACAAAAGUGUAAUUAUGCAAAAGUUUGGGGGCAAAAUUGUAAUUUUCAAAAAGUUGGGUGGUGGAUUAUUUUAAUGAAUGUGAACAUUAAAUGAGUUAAAUUUGCUAUUAUAGAUCAAGAAAGACAUGAAGAUUAUCUCAAACGAGGAAAAGAAAAGAUAGUGGAGUGAAGUGCAAAAUUACGAUAUUUUGCACCGAGUGACUUCCGACAACUCGGAAAUUUGGAACGAAGUCAGACAAUCAUCCACACUAUCCUUCACACUUGGGGUAUUUUGCUACUAUCGUUCCGGAAAAUUAUGGCAUGUAAAGACGACCUAUGAAAUAUGGAAUCAUCAUGUAAAUAUAUGUUAUGGUUUGAUUUAAAAUGUGGUGUUCAUUAAUAGUUAAAUUGUGAGUAUUAUUAUAAAUGAGUUUGGUUGAUAUAUAUAUAUUGGAUUGUGAUUUAAAUUUGCAGGAGGUUUAAGCAAAAUUAAGCAGAAAUGCUGUCGAAAUUUUUUUUAAAAAACUUAGUAAUACCUCAUACUCUGUUCCGAGCCGGAAUACGAGUAAGGGGUGUUACAUUUUAGUGGUAUCAGAGCUACGGUUUAGUCGGUUCUCGGACCAAUAAAAUAUGUGUGAAAGUCAGUCUAUACAUGCCAUCAAUAUAUUGUGAUAGUGUGAUGAUUUCUGACAAUUUAAAAUUUUGUUUUAUAUAGUAAAUGGAUCCUAAUCGAAGUAUGGCAGAUGAUGUUGAAAGUAACACGCCGGUUCCCGCACAAGGGACCGCGCAUGAAGAGAGUAGACAUGAGACACAUGGACAGGAUGAGGCUCGAGAAGCCUUCCUCCGAAUGAUGAGUGAUUGGUAUACAGAAUAUGUCCGUGUAAAUCCGAAUGUUCCACCUCCUCCACCCCCUCCUAUUCCUCCGCCGGUCCCCGUAGCUCCACGAAGUGCUGAAUUGGUGAGAUCAAGUAAACCACCCGUUGAUAGAAUUCGAAAGCAUGGGGCUGAAGAUUUCAGGGCCAAUGUUGAUGAUGAUCCGGAAAAAGCCGAGUUUUGGCUUGAAAAUACUAUCCAGGUAUUUGAUGAAUUAUCUUGUACUCCUGAGGAAUGUUUGAAAUGUGCUGUGUCUUUAUUGAAGGAUUCGGCAUACCGUUGGUGGAAAACAUUAAUAACGGUGGUUCCAAAAGAAAGAGUUACUUGGGACUUCUUUCAGGAAGAAUUCAGAAAGAAAUAUGUAAGCCAACGGUUUAUUGAUCAGAAGCGCAAAGAGUUUCUCGGAUUGAAACAGGGCCGAAUGUCAGUAGCAGAAUAUGAACGGGAGUUUGUCCGGCUUAGUAAAUAUGCCCAGGAAUGUGUGCCUACGGAGGCUAUUAUGUGUAAAAGAUUUGAAGAGGGGCUAAAUGAAGACAUCAGAUUACAUGUUGGAAUUUUAGAGUUAAAAGAAUUUGUGGUACUAGUUGAUCGUGCUUGCAAAGCUGAAGAGCUGAGUAGAGAAAAGAGAAGGGCAGAGAUGGAAGCUCGAGAUGUAAGGAAGAGGUCAAUGGGCAGAACAUUUCAAUCUCACCCGAAGAAGUUUAAAGGGAUGGAUCCACGACCAACCGGUUCAGUUGGGUAUUCACGCAGAGACCGAGGGAGGUCAUAUUCCGGAACUACAACUCGAGCUACCUCAGUGGCAAGUGUGGGUAAUGUAGGAAACACCAGACCUGAAUGUCAACAGUGUGGCAGGCGACAUACUGGUGAGUGUUGGGGAUUUAAACGAGCUUGUUUCAGAUGUGGUUCCCAAGAGCAUUAUGUAAAAGACUGCCCUGAGAGAAUAGAAGAAGAAAGAUUACAAAGAGCUGGAUCGGGUGAUGUUGUCAGUAGAGGCAGACCACCGAGAAAUGUGGGAAGCAAAGCCAGUGGUAAGAGUGUGAUAAAAGAUACAGCUGGAGGAUCAGAAACUAGAGCGCCUGCCAGGACUUAUGCUAUACGCGCUCGAGAGGAUGCCUCAUCUCCCGAUGUGAUUACUGGUACAUUUUCUCUUCAUGAUAUUAAUGUUAUUGCUUUGAUUGAUCCCGGCUCUACUCAUUCAUAUAUAUGCAUGAAUUUGGUGUCUAGUAAGAAAUUGCCUGUUGAAAACACUGAAUUUGUAGUUAAAGUAUCAAAUCCUUUAGGCAAAUAUGUCUUAGUCGAUAAUGUUUGCAAGAAUUGUCCCCUGAUGAUUCAAGGUCACUGUUUCCCGGCUAAUUUGAUGUUGUUACCAUUUGAUGAGUUUGAUGUUAUUUUGGGGAUGGAUUGGUUGAUAUUGCAUGAUGCCAAGGUAAAUUGUAGACAGAAAAUUCUUGAAUUAAAUUGUGAAAACGGUGAAAUUCUCCGGGUUGAAACAAAGGAGCCGAAUAAGUUGCCUAUGGUGAUUUCGCACAUUUCUGCUCAGAAAUACUUGAGAAAGGGAUGUGAAGUUUAUCUUGCUUAUGUGCUGAACACGGAUAUUACCUGGUCAAAGCUUGAAUCAGUGCCGGUAGUUUGUGAAUUUCCAGAUGUAUUUCCAGAGGAAUUGCCUGGGUUACCUCCGAUUAGAGAAGUUGAGUUUUCUAUUGAUCUGUUACCUGGUACUGUACCGAUUUCUAUUGCACCGUAUCGAAUGGCUCCGACUGAGUUGAAGGAAUUAAAAGCUCAGUUACAAGAGUUGACAGAUAAAGGAUUUGUGAGACCGAGUUUUUCUCCUUGGGGUGCUCCUGUGUUAUUUGUGAAAAAAAGGACGGCUCUAUGAGACUUUGUAUUGACUAUCGUCAGCUCAACAAGGUGACUAUAAAGAACAAGUAUCCUUUGCCGAGAAUUGAUGAUUUAUUUGAUCAAUUAAAAGGGGCAACAGUGUUUUCUAAGAUUGAUUUGAGGUCUGGUUACUAUCAGUUAAGAGUUAAAGAGUCUGAUGUGCCGAAAACCGCCUUUAGAACAAGGUAUGGACACUAUGAAUUUCUGGUAAUGCCUUUUGGGUUAACAAAUGCUCCAGCUAUUUUUAUGGACUUGAUGAACCGAAUUUUUCGGCCGUACUUGGAUAAGUUCGUGGUGGUGUUCAUAGAUGAUAUUUUAAUCUAUUCUCGGGAUGAAUCUGAGCAUACAGAAUAUUUAAGAACUGUGUUGCAGAUUCUGAGAGAAAAGAAAUUGUAUGCUAAAUUCAACAAAAGUGAGUUUUGGCUUCGUGAGGUUGGAUUCUUGGGACAUAUAGUUUCAAGUGAAGGUAUUCGUGUUGAUCCAAGCAAAAUUUCAGCAAUUGUUGAUUGGGAGCCACCAAAGAAUGUGACAGAAGUUAGAAGCUUUCUGGGCUUAGCUGGGUAUUACAGACGCUUUGUCAAGGGAUUUUCGAUGAUUGCUUCUCCUAUGACUAAGUUACUGCAGAAGAAUGUCAAGUUUGAAUGGACCAAUAAAUGUCAACAGAGUUUUGAAAAGUUGAAGGCAUUAUUGACUGAGGCGCCAGUGUUGGUGCAACCUGAGUCCGGGAAGGAGUUUGUAAUUUACAGUGAUGCAUCGUUGAAUGGCCUUGGGUGUGUGUUAAUGCAAGAGGGCAAAGUAAUAGCUUAUGCUUCGAGACAAUUGAAACCGCAUGAGAAAAAUUAUCCGACGCAUGAUUUAGAAUUGGCUGCCAUUGUUUUUGCUUUAAAAAUUUGGCGUCAUUAUUUGUAUGGUGAAAAGUGCCGAAUCUUCACUGAUCAUAAGAGUUUGAAGUAUUUGAUGAGCCAAAAAGAUUUGAAUUUGCGGCAACGAAGAUGGCUCGAGCUAAUCAAAGACUAUGAGCUAGUGAUUGAUUAUCACCCCGGGAAAGCUAAUGUGGUUGCUGAUGCCUUGAGCAGAAAAUCUUUAUUUGCUUUGAGAGCUAUGGGUACGAUGUUAACUUUAUCUGAUGAUGGCUCAAUGUUGGUUGAAUUGAGAGCUAGACCAUUAUUUCUUCAGCAAAUUCGGGAAUCUCAAAAGAAUGACAGUAAAUUGCAAGCCAAGAGAGCUCAGUGUGAAGCAGGUGUUGACUCAGAUUUUCAAAUUGGUUCAGAUGAUUGCUUGAUGUUCCGGGAUAGAGUAUGUGUACCAAGAAAUGAUGAGUUAAUUCAGACCAUUUUAUGUGAGGCACAUAGUGGUGACUUGUCAGUUCAUCCGGGUAGUGUGAAAAUGUAUAAUGAUUUGAAGAAGUUGUAUUGGUGGCCAGGCAUGAAAAAGGAUAUCUCGGAAUUUGUAUCAAAGUGUUUAAUCUGUCAACAAGUGAAGGCUGAGCAUCAAGUACCAUCGGGUUUACUUCAACCGAUAACGAUUCCAGAGUGGAAGUGGGAUAGUAUUACGAUGGAUUUUGUGACAGGAUUGCCUUUAACUCCAAAGAAGAAAGAUGCUAUUUGGGUAAUUGUUGAUAGAUUGACAAAGUCGGCUCAUUUUAUUCCGAUACGCAUUGAUUACUCACUUGACAGGUUGGCAGAAUUAUAUGUUGCUGAAAUAGUGAGAUUACAUGGGGUGCCUAAAUCUAUUAUAUCGGAUAGAGAUCCGAGAUUUACUUCGAGGUUUUGGAUAAAGUUGCAGGAAGCCUUGGGUACAAAAUUGAAUUUCAGUACUGCGUUUCAUCCGCAAACUGACGGGCAAUCGGAAAGAGUGAUUCAAAUUCUUGAAGAUAUGCUCCGGUGUUGUAUUUUAGAAUUGAAAGGCAGUUGGGAGAAAUAUCUACCAUUGGUUGAAUUUGCUUAUAACAAUAGCUAUCAGUCAAGUAUACGAAUGGCACCGUAUGAAGCAUUAUAUGGGCGUAAGUGUAGAACUCCUUUAUAUUGGACUGAGCUCGGUGAGAACCGGAUUCAUGGAGUCGACUUGGUGAAAGAAACUGAAGAAAAGGUGAAAAUAAUUCGUGACUGUUUAAAGGCUGCCUCAGAUCGGCAAAAGUCGUAUGCGGAUUUAAAGAGAAAAGAAAUUGAGUUUCAAGUAGGUGAUAAGGUGUUCUUGAAGGUGUCUCCAUGGAAGAAGAUUCUGAGAUUUGGUCGUAAAGGCAAACUAAGUCCACGAUUUAUUGGACCAUAUGAAGUUACCGAGAGAGUUGGCCCUGUAGCAUAUCGGUUAGCUUUACCACCGGAGUUGGAAAAGAUACAUAAUGUGUUUCAUGUGUCGAUGUUGCGACGUUACCGUUCGGAUCCUUCACAUAUAGUUUCCCCUACAGAGAUUGAGGUCAGACCAGAUAUGACUUAUGAGGAAGAACCAAUAAAGAUUUUGGCUCGGGAAGUCAAGCAGUUAAGGAAUAAAAGUGUAUCCUUAGUAAAAGUACUGUGGCAAAAACAUGGGAUGGAGGAAGCUACGUGGGAACCGGAGGAAAUUAUGAGGAAACAGUACCCAAAUCUCUUUUCCGGUAAGAUUUUCGGGGACGAAAAUCCUUAAGGGGGGAGAGUUGUAACAGCCCGAUUUUGGGCCUAGUCGGAAUAGUGGUUUCGGGACCACAAAUCCGACGAGGGAAAAUAUGAUUAUUAUUAUAUUUUUAUGGUCUACAAUUUCACGGAAAAUUUUCGUAAAAAUUUCGUUCGAAAAUUUCGACGUUUGGGCACUCAAUUUAGUCAAAAGGACUAAAUUGUAAAUAGUGCAAAAGUUGAGUUCUAUAUGUAGAAGUAUCUAAUUGAUAUGAAAUUUUAAAUUGGAGGUCUUUAUGUGGUAAUUAGACCAUUAGUUAGUUGAUGGACAAAAAUAGACAUAAGAAAUGAGAGAAAUAGAUUUUUUUUAAGUGGGGGCAUAUUAGUCAUUUGGUAAUAAAAAAAAAUAAAAUGGGAAAAAGAUGACAAAAAUCAUCAUCUUCCUCAUUAGUUGCUGCCGAAAUUUGAAGGAAGCCAUAGCUAAGGUUUCUUUGCUUUCUCAAGCUCAUAGUAAGUGCAUCCUAGCCCCGUUUUUAAUGUUCUUCGCAUUUUUGGAAUCCUCGUAACUCGGUUUAGCUUAUUCUAGCAAUAAUUCGUGUUAGGGCUCAUAUUUGGAAAAAUACCCAUAGGUGAAAUGUGUUUAUUUUGCUGUUUUAUGGUGGAAUAUGAAGCUAUAAAUUAUGUUAAACAACUUUUGCUAAGCGAUUUUAAGCGAAAACGGGUAAAUAGGCAUAAUCGGUAAAAAUAAUUAUUGUUCAUAAGUGUAUGUUAGAGUGAGAAUUUGAUGUUGCCAUAGAAGGGAAAAAUGUUCAGCAUGUCAUAAAACCUAAGAAUAAGUGAUGAAGUUUAAUUUCCGAGCUUGGGGACAAAAGUAUAAUUAUGCAAAAGUUUGGGGGCAAAAUUGUAAUUUUCAAAAAGUUGGGUGGUGGAUUAUUUUAAUGAAUGUGAACAUUAAAUGAGUUAAAUUUGCUAUUAUAGAUCAAGAAAGACAUGAGGAUUAUCUCAAACGAGGAAAAGAAAAGAUAGUGGAGUGAAGUGCAAAAUUACGAUAUUUUGCACCGAGUGACUUCCGACAACUCGGAAAUUUGGAACGAAGUCAGACAAUCAUCCACACUAUCCUUCACACUUGGGGUAUUUUGCUACUAUCGUUCCGGAAAAUUAUGGCAUGUAAAGACGACCUAUGAAAUAUGGAAUCAUCAUGUAAAUAUAUGUUAUGGUUUGAUUUAAAAUGUGGUGUUCAUUAAUAGUUAAAUUGUGAGUAUUAUUAUAAAUGAGUUUGGUUGAUAUAUAUAUAUUGGAUUGUGAUUUAAAUUUGCAGGAGGUUUAAGCAAAAUUAAGCAGAAAUGCUGUCGAAAUUUUUUUUAAAAAACUUAGUAAUACCUCAUACUCUGUUCCGAGCCGGAAUACGAGUAAGGGGUGUUACAACUCAUAAACGACUUCUAACACGAAUCGACCACUAUUCCGCUACUUUGACUUUUCUGCGAUUUGUGUCCAUUCAAGUUGUUUCUUGAUCUAAAUAAAUAUUUUUAUUCAAUUAAUCUCAUUCCAAAAUUUCAAAUAAUUAAUUUAAACCUAUAACCCUUAUUCAUGUUAAUUUAUUAAAAUUACCCCCAAUGGUUUUUUUUAUACAAUUUAGUCCCUAAACCCGAAACUUACAAAUCUAACACUUUUAGCUAAAAUUCAUGCUAGCAAAAUUUUACCUAAUCUUAUGACAUCCCAUAUUUAUCAUCAAUUUAUAGUAUUUUUCUUGAAUUUUACCGUUUUCAUAAAUAAGUCCUUAAACCUUAAAAUCAUCAAAAAAUACUUAACAAAAUAUGUCUAUGUAACAACCAAGCUUAACAAUCUAUCAUAAAAAUUAAAAAAUAUAUCAAUUUCAUCCAUGGCAUAAUCUAUAACAUUUAACAAUUUUACAAAUUGACCCCCGAGUUAGCUAGAUUAAGCUAAUACGAGCUCGAAACCAUAAAAAUUACUAAAAAAGGGAUAAAAUUACACACCAUGCAUGAAGAAUUGAGCAUGGUCGAAUGCUUUGGUUUCUUUUUCAUGGAGAAUUAGGCUACUCAUUCCUUUUGGGGAAGAUGACAUUGUUUUCAUCAUUGUUUAAACUUAAUUUAUUAUUUAAUUACCAUUUUACCCUUAUAAUAUUAACUUAUAAAAUGACUAAAGCAUGCCCAUAUUUUUCCACUAUCCAUAUACAUGAUAUAAUUACCCACUAAGUCCUUUAAUGUAAGAUUUCAUAGCAAUUUGACCCCUUUAGCAUAUAAAAUUCAACUUUUGCAUGUUUUACAGUGUAGCCCUUUUCACUUAAUUAACUAUUUAAACGUUAAAACUUCUUAGCCAAAUUUUAAUAUAACCCUAAUAACACUCUGUAAAUAUUUAUGGUCUCAUUUUAUAGAAAUGAUGUCCCAAAACCUUAUUUUCCAAAACCACUUAAUUUUAACGAUUUACCACUUGAACUUAAUUAUUUGUUCAAAUAACAUAAAUUAUCAAAUCAAAAUUUAUUAAUAUACUAUAUUUGACUCGUAAAUAUUAAAUAAUAAUAUUUAAGAAUUCUGUUGUAGUUUUUGGGGCCCCGAAACUACUGUUUCUGAAACCACUAAGUAACGAUAUGUUACAAGUAAGCUCGUCUUUCAACAAUGAUACUAUACCUUGAACUCCUACUCGAUGGUACAAUCCAUGCCAUCUAGAAUUCUUUUCGUAGCCUCCAUCCAAUAUUCAGGUAUGGUAGGGGUAGCCCAAACAACACCCUUAAACAGCUUAGCUCUAUUGGGUCAAAGCCUCUCAACUAUGGUCCCUCGACUAUCGGUUCUAGUUUGGGCUCUAGCUACCCACUAUAACACUUUAAACAUGGCCUGUGAUACAACACCAUCAGCAGGCUCCUGAUGACUACCCUCAACGGCAGGUGUAUUCUCAAUGUGCUCGGCCACAGGCUCAAGAGUACGCACUUGAGAUGCAAAAGAUUCAAUUUGGGCAUUGUGGCCUUGUGCUCCUCGGGCUCGCAUGCCACGAUUUCGUACACCUCAAGUGUUCAUUUCGUUAUCAAGAGUCUAAGUUUUAUGAAAUUAUCUACAGUUCAAAAAUAAGUUCUUAUUAUUAACCUGAAGUGUUUUCAAUCUAAUAGUUUAACUAAAGUUCACAAUCUAUAGUUUUUCUAUAGUUUUAGUAAUAAAAGUACUUAUCUAGGAUUGACUUCAGAGUCUCAUAUUUUUGUUUUGAAAAACAUACUUCAUAAAAUUUAUCUAUGGCAUGGUUCCUACAAUACCCUUUUAAAAUAUGCAUACAAAUUUUGAGUUUUGAAUCGGGCUCUGAUACUACUAAAUGUAACCUCCCAAACUCGGCCUCAACAUUAUGGUUGAAUCCUGAAAAUUACAUUGUUCAUUGGAAUGGCAUGGAAAAACGUUCAUAUUUUAAAUUACUCUUUAAAACCAAUUGUCUUUUUAUUUAAGACUAGUGAUCUUGAUUAUUUCUCUUGUUUCAAGAAAAUCAUAUUAAUUUUAAAAUCAUCAAACAUCUUUAAAGUUUCAAUUGUAAAGAUUAAUUAUUUAGGAAAAACUAAGUUAUAUUUUGUUAAAAAAAAACCUUUAAGUAUUGUAGUGGAAAAUUGUAUAAAAAUCAUAUUUUUGUUAAAAAUCAAAUUUUCAUGCAUAUUUAAUAAAACAUCAGAGACUUAAAACUUCAAAUCAUGCAAAAAUGAAGUAAAAAUCCUCAAAUGUAAAGCCCCAUGCCACAGUCCAUAAGAAAAUUAUUACAAUCCCAAAAAUAAUCAUAUAAUAAAGUUUAAAGUAUUUAAAAUAAAAACCAUUCAAGAACUCUUCCGACAGCCUCAUCCAAGUCCUAACCUCGUGGAUCAUCUAAAAUCAUAUUAGAAACUAAGGGGUGAGGUAAUAAGCUCAGUGUGAGUCUUAUUUCAAAUAUAUAGUAAUAAUAAAUAUGACAGUCAAGCCAAAAAAUAUACAGAGUACUAUAAACAGUGCAAAUUUCACAAUGUGUACCAUGAAUAAUCAUGUCAAUGCAGAAUUUUCAGAAUUUUCCUACCCAGCUCAGCUACACACCAAUAUAAGAUUUCCCCAAAACUCAUCCAACCAACCAAAUUAUGGACAAGCCAUUAGAAUUACAGAUAAACUACCAGAUUUGCAGAUAAGCUACUAGAAAUAUGGUUAUGCCACCAGAAUUGUAGGUAAACUACCAAAAUUAUGUGGUUGAACCACCAUAAUUGCAAAUAAACUAUCAGAUCUUCCUCCUUACAUAUUUGUAACAUCCUUAACCCGUAUCCAUCACUAGAAUAGGGUUAUAGAGUAUUACCGUAAAAUCGUAACAUAAAAACAUACAUUUCCAAAUGUUAAUAUAAACAUAACAUAAUCCCUACAUAUACAUGCAUAUCAUCCCUUAAUCGAGCCAUCGAGGCCUUAAAAAUACUUUAGAAAUGAUUUGUAACUAAAUCGAGAUUGAGAAAAUAGUUAGAAAAAUUGAACUGUAGGGGUCACACGGUCGUGUGACUACAUAGGUUAGACACACACUCGUGUCUCAAGCCCUGUAACAAUCGAAAUAGGGACACACGGUCGUGUCCCUGCCCGUGUCCAUGCCCGUGUAACUCUUUGAGUUGGGUCACAUGGCCAAGCCACACGUCUGUGUGCUAGGUCAUGUAACACUUGAAAUAGCCUCACAGGCCUGUGUGCCAGGCCGUGUGCUAGGCCGUGUAAUUGCCUGACUUGUAACCUUUAAAACCUACAGGGGGCACACAGCUGUGUCGCAUGGUUUUGUGUCACACAUGGUUGAGACACACGCCCGUGUCUUAGGCCGUAUGAACAAGAAAUUAGCCAAAAUCAAGCCAUUUCUUUCACCCAUUCCAACAAGUACCUACAAGCCAUAUACACAUAUGAUCAAGGCACCAAAAAUCCUACCAAAACAUGCUUAAUUUAACCAAUUCAAAUUAUCUAAAAUCCAUUUAACCAAUAUGGCUUACAAGGCACGCCAAUCAAAAUCAAACAAACUUACCAAAACAUAUGCAUAAUUAACCUUACUUCCAACAUACAUUUCUAGUUCCAUAUCAUCUUAAAACAUACGAUAAUUAAGACCAUUUCUAGCAUAGCAACUUAAUUCACCAACAAGCCAAAACAAACCACAAGUGUAUACUUUUAUAUCUUUCUAAUUGUACCAAAAAGAUACCUAUUUACAAUCUUAGUAAAAUACUUAACAACUUAGUUUAGUAUUUUGUCAAAAAUGUACCAUAACAACCUCUAUAGCCAUAUAUACAUGCCACAACCCUAAGGAGCACAAGAACUACCAACAUCGGUGGAUAGUGUGAGCCGAAGAUUCGAUCUAUACAAAAGUCAACAAUAACAAUUUACAAAAAAAUACACGAAAACGUAUAAGCUUAUAGAGCUUAAUAAGAACAUAGUAAAUCUUUUAACUUUAACAAAAAUUGAAUGCAACUCAUAUUUUACUUGAUUUGAAGUUAUCAAAAUGUAAGCAAGGGCACGUAUGUGAAAUUUAAGGGUAUCAAAGUACAAACAGGGGGCACGCAUGUGCAAUUUAUGGGCACCGAUGUAACACCCCAAACCCAGCCUGGACAUGGUAGUGUGUUUGAAAACCGAAGCUCGUGUUGAAAACAAACUAUAACUUUGCUUAAAAAAUUUUCCAUUUAGAGCUCGUUGUUAUCUUUUGUUAAUCCUAAAAAAGUGUUUUUUAUUCAAUCGUUAGUUUGCAAAUCAUUAUACGUUGCGGAAGCUUUUUAAAAUAGUUUGUGUCAUUGUGGGUAUUUUGCUAAAACACAUGCAUUUCUUUUUAAAAACCCGUGUUUUAUCUACCUCUAGCAGAUGUAAAACAUAAAGCUGUGUUAAAUCCAAAUUUAAAACAAAAAUCUAUAGCAGCCAUUAUUACAGAUAAAAAAACCCCAAAUAAAUCUUUAAAAAUAAAUAUAAUUAGGUACGAAAUAGUAAAAAGGAGUCGUGUGGCCACCGCUGAGUCCUCCACCGCACCGAUCUACUUAUGACUGGGGAUUACCUGUACAGAUUAACAGAAGGGGGUGAGUUUUCAAAACUCAAUGUGUAACCCCUCUAUAAACAAGCAGACAGAAAGCAAUCAUAAUAUAGGCCUAAGCCCAUUUCAACAACAGUUUCAGUUUCAGUUAGGGCCUUAGCCCAUUACAAUACAGUAGCAGUCAUGUGUUUGGGCCUCGGCCCAUUACAAUAUCCAUAUUCAAUACAGUAAUAGAUAUGCAAUAUCAAAUCCUACCCAAUCAGCCUCUAUAUUCCAACUUCGUCCAACCCUACACUCCAUGUGGGGAUAUAAUCAACUCACCCAUCCCUACACUCCAAAAAGUAUCGAAUGUGGCACUAGACAGUGGUUUGCAGCUGAACUGCCAGUAAAUUAAGCUUGAGGCCUUUCAGUGCACUUCCUUCGAACAAUAUAAACUCCCACCCCAAUGCAAUGCAAUAUAUAUGACAUGCUAAAACAUAAUAUCAUGCAUAAAGUCGUGGCAUACAGUACCAAACCAGUGGGACAUCAUCAUGCUUAUUAACAUGCAUAAUCGUAUCUGUCAUACAGUCAUUUCAAUCAAUUAGGGGUCUAGGUAAGCUUACUAACCCUACGGUAGGUCCACAGUUGACUCGGGCGACCCAUGCAACCUUAGCCAUCAAACAGUGAAAAUAGGCCCACAAGCCCAUGACAUUUGCCCGUGUGGGCCCACACACCCAUGUGGCCCACACAACCCAAAAAAGGCCUUGGCCGUGUGGAUCACACAGCCUAGCCCAAUAAUCUCACACGCCCAUGUGGUUCACCCGUGUGGGCCUACACGCUUGUGUGGCCCACACAGCCCAAUUCGGUCCAACUCGUGUAUCGCACACGACCAACCUCGUCGAUCACAUGCCUGUGUUUAGUCACACGGCCUAUCGCAUGGGCGACCACACGCCCGUGUGGUGUCGACAGUCCCACUUUUUGGCUUUUCGCCAAUUACUGAUUUUCAAUGUUGUGUUUACACACCUUUUUUCAUUUGAAGUUAACCCGCACUCCGAGUACUCCAAAACCUAGAUUCAAUCAAAACAUCAUUCAAUCAACUACUUAACUCGUUAUUCAAUCAAGGCCUAACGAAGUUAAAAAUCGAUCAACAAUCGAAACCCCCUUACCGAAGUCAACCAGAAUUGCACCCUCAAUUCCUUAAAGAUACACCAACCAACCCUUGGUCUCCACCUAAAACGAGAGUCACAAACCUUCUCGUUAAGCCUUUAAUCGAAUUACACUACAAAAUUCAAUUACAUUAUACUUACCGAUCAUACACAACCCUUCAUUCAGUAUCUUAUAAAACGAGACAAUAAAACACCUAAAUCACUUACCCAACUGACGAAAGAACAUAGUGCAAUUUGGCAACGCAAGAGAGAACGAAUCGAAAAGGGGAAUCCAAGACUGAAAAGAGGAAAAAUAGAGGGGGUGACAGUAAGAGGAGGAAAAGGAAAACGAUGAGAAGGGGAGUGCAAAGCCGAAAGGGGACAGAAGGCAAAGCAGAACUCACCUAGCAAUAUUCGGCCAAGAAGAGGAGCAAGAUGACGCACGGUCGGCUUGAGGGGAAGGGAAACUAGGUCAAAAAUUUGGGAACAGAAAAGGGGAACCGAAUUUUUUUAAAAAAAAGGGCAGCAAGUGGGGAUAUUUCGGCUAAAAACAAAAAAUAGGUAGAAAAGAUGGAGAGUAGAAAAUCGACAGAACACAAAAAGAAAGGAGGAAGAAAACUGUUCAGCCAAAAAUUUUAUUCUGGCCGAAAUUCCUCAAGAUAAUGCCCAUAUCCCCCAAAACAAAAUCCCUAAAAUCUCCCCCCCCCAAACCGUCCGCCACUUCCCUACUACACCUCAAAUUCUCAGCAUUUGACUACAAUCCAAACUCCUUCACGACACAAAUAACAAAAAUAAUACUCAUGCCCAGACUUGAACACAAGACCUUUAGCACACUAACUCACCACUUAACCCCCAAACCAGCAGACCCAUUCUGUCAUAUUUUACCAACAUUUAUUUAUAAGCCAACUAGUUAGAGAUAAAGGUUUAUUCAUUUAAAAACCAAAAAUUUGCCCAAGCUAAAGCUUGAACUUAAGACCUCACACACACACCCAGAACACUUAACCACUGAAGUAGACAGAUAUUUGUAUCACAAACAUACAAAAAUAAAUAUACAAGGGAUUGUUGGGGUGUUACAACCAAAGUACAAAUAAGGGAACGUAUGUGUAAUUCAGGGGUACCAAAGUACAAACAGGGGCACGUAUGUGUAAUUUUGGGGUACCGAAGUACAAAUAGGGGAACAUAUGUGCAAUUCAGGGGUACCGAAGUACAAAGGGGCAUGUAUGUGAAAUUCAGGAAAUAAUUAAGUAUAAGCAAUUAAUUACAUAACUAUAUUGAAAACAUACAAGUAGAAAUUCAAGUACGUAUACAAAUACUAUGGCCUUCCAUUGACAACUAGAGCGUAAAAGUACGGUCAAGCUAAUUCGUGAUUUUUAUCUUUCCUCGGUUUAGAUCCUGUUGAGAUUUAUCUUGAUCUAAAUAAAUAAUUAUAUUCAAUUAAGUGUUUCAAUCAAUCUCAAACAUUCAAUUCAAUCCAUAAUCCAUAUUCAUAAAUAAUUACAAUUUUGCCCCUAACAUUUUAACUUUUUUACAAUUUAGUCCUUAAACUCAUAAAUUGAAAUCUAAGUAUUCUCAUCCCUAACUCAUGCUAAAAGAAUUUAUUAUGAACCCAUAUCAACUCAUACAAAUCAUCAUUUCACAAUUUAACCAUGAUAUUUUACUACUUUUACAAAUAAGUCUCUAAAUGAUUUUUUUUUAUCAAAAAUCACUUUACCAAACUUGUUUAUUUAUCUACAAGGACUCAUAAUAUUUUUUUAAACUUUAAGAAUCAUACAAAAAAUUCAUGGAAAACCCUAAAUCUUUAACAAUUUUGUAAAUUAGUCCUCGGGCUAACUAGAUUAAGCUACAACGAUCCCAAAAACAUAAAAACCAUUAAAAACGGGGCUUGAACACUCACCACGCACACAACCCUAGCUCAACCGAAAGUUCCCUCUUCUCCAAUUGCCAAAAUCAGUUUUGGUUCAUCAAAUAAAGAAGAUGGACAUUUUGUUUUAAUUAAUUUAACCUUUAUUUACUAAUUUACCUUUUUACCCUUUAAAAACUUUAAUAAUUUCAAUAAAACCAUGUUAUGGAUGUCCAACAUUUAAACCCACUCACAUUUAAAUUUCGUAGCAAUUAAACUCCUUUAACUUAUAGAACUCUAUUUUUGUACCUUUUACGAUUUAGUCCUUUUUACUAAAUUAAGCAUGCAAAUGUCCAAAUUUCUUAACGAAUUUUUUAUACAACACUACUAACAUACUGUAGACAUUAAAAUAAUAAUAAGAUAAAAAUUCUCUCAUCAAAUUUGUGGUUCUAAAACCACUAUUUUUAUUUUACUAAAAACGGGUUGUUACAAUAUUCAUCCCAACCCAAUGCAAAAUGACAUGUUAUAAUUAAAAAAUAGCAGAAACAAGGCAUGAUCAGAGCAUGAAAACAGUGGCAAAAAUAGUAGGCAUGAUUUAAACAUGCGAUCAGAGUAAGAACAAUGGCAUAAAUUCCACGCAAUCGGUAAAAUAGUAUAGCAAGCGUAUUUGAUGACACUUUUAGAAUUAUCAGUAUUAGAAUUCACAUUUUUAAUAUGACUAAAUUUUAGUUAUAGUGUGCAAGGUUUAUCAUGACAUCAAUCUCAAUAAUAUAUUUGCAACAUGGUUCAAACACAUAUUAUACGAAUAUCAUCAAAUCAUAAUACAACACCCAUACAUAUUUAUGACAUCAUGGAUUUAACAGGUUAGAGUCAUUUACUUAAAAACAAUCCUAUUGAAGGAUUUUAUCAAUCACCAUGAAUACUUAGCGUAUUCAAAUAACCACGUUUUGAAGUAGAUAAUAAAUAUUAAUCAUAAUUAAACAAUGAUUAAGAAAUAAUCAUAUAUAUUUUUAUUUUAUUAAAUCCACGCCUAAAAAUAAGCCUUGUCACUAAAUCUACACCUCAAACUCCAACGAUAACGAAUCUAAACAGAUCUCGUUUGAUCUGAUCAAGUAAUAAUAGUAUGAUACCAAUAGGACAUUCGUUAGUUUUAGCCAUAAACCAAAAUAUAAUUCUCUUAUGAAUUCAAAUAAGAAACUCACCCCAAUAUCUUUUUGAAAAGAGAUCCAAACGUUUUUCAGAUCCAAACGUUUUUCUUACGCUAAAGUAAAUCUAAAUGAUCUGGAUUAGACUUGUGAAGAAACGUGUAACACAAAUAUUAGACCAUAUAUUCAGAUCACAUAAGAAAAGAAAGGAUUUAGAUUAGAUUUACUAAUCGUUAAGCUAAACUGAUCAAAUUGAGAAGAUUAACGAUUCACUAGAAUUUUUGGUUUGAUAGAGGAGUAGUGGCUAAGGAAAAACAAAAAAAUGAAUAAAGUGAGUAUGCAUAUUAUUUAAUAAUUUAAGAAAAAGAAGAAGAAGAGAUGCUAAAAUUCAGUUAUGACCAAAUAGAUGAAAAGAGAAUAAAUAAGAAGAAAAUUGGUGGGCGUCGGUGGCGCGUUAGCAAAGACAGUGGAAUAGGUCCGACGGUGGCAAGAAGAGAGUGGGAGAAGAGGGAUGAUGGUGCAGUGGUGGUGUUUAGGUUGUGUGAUGUUGGCUAAAGGUGGUGAGUGGUGGCAAAAUCAAAUGUAAGUGGCGACUCAAUGUUGUGCAAGAGAAGGAGGAUGAGAGAAAAAGAAAGGGUAGAAAGGAAACAAAGAAAUGAAACAAAAUUAUUUUGUUUCUCUAGUUGCAAAGGACGAAUAAAGGGUUUGAAGGGGAGAAAAAUAGGAAGAAGGUGAAAAGAGGGGAAGAAAAAGAAAGAAGAAGGAACAUGUGGAGUGCAAAAGGAGAAAGAAGAGAAAUAAGAGUAAAAUAUGGGAGGAAAGAAUCCCGCUUGCAAAGAAACUAGAACGAAGGACAAUAGGGAGGUUUGAACAAAAAUUUAAAUGCAAAUUUUUUUUUAAAAAAAUAAGAAGAAGGAGAGGGAAAUUGAACUUAGAUCACCUGAAAAAUUUAGCUUGCUCUUAACCACUAGGCUAGAACUCUCACUUGUUUAAGAAUUAACGAUAACUUAAUUUAGAUGAGGUGUGACAUAACCUUUUUUAAUAUUUAUAUUAUAGAAAUAUUAUAUUACUAUAGAUUUAAUUUUUUUGUGCUACAAAUUACAUAAUAUAUAAAAAAAUAACAUAACAUAAAAUAUUACGAACUUAAAAGCGAGUCAGACUGGGCUGAUUCGAGCCUUGAAUGUUCAAGCCCAAGCCCGACCAAUAUUUUAAACAGGCCUAAUUUUUUUGUCAAAACCCAUUUUUCGGGCUUACUAUUUUUGUUCAAAUCCUCUCAAAUUUUAAGCCAGCCUUCAGGCUUGGGCAGAUAGCCUGUCCCAUUAACAAAUCUAGAGCUUUGAAAUUUAAGCAUACUUAGGGCUCGUGCAUUUACGUGUGGUUAGUAUCAAAACAGUACUGACGAUGAGAUUAGAUUCUAUAAUGAUGCUAUAACGUGAGACAAGACAGAAAAAACUAAACGUAUCGCACGAGAACUAAACGUCCAUCCAAAGGGAAAACUGAGUGUGGGUUUGGAUGGACGGUGCGGUGCGUUUAGCUUACUAUUUUUCUCACGCUAUAAUAUCUAAUUUCACCACCAAUGCUAUUUUUACACUAAGCGCAAAGUAAAUGCACCGUCCAUCCUAAUUAUCCCCUAAUUAAAAUUCCCUCCUGAUUUUCACCUAAAAACAAUUUUUGAAAUUGCGAUUCUCUUCCCUUUGGCAUCCCAAAAUCUAAACUCUAACCUUUUCCAACAUCCUCCAUCAGUACUUCCUUGAUGCUCUCCAGUUUUCGCUUCUCAAAUCCUUCAAAACCCACCAAGAAACCUAGCACCUCCAUGCAUUUUCCCUCAAAAUUGGCAUUUUCUCUCACCCCUACCCUCUUCUUGUCUCCUUUCUCUCUAUGCCGACCACAACAUUAGCAACCUCCACUAUGCUUGCUCCGCUUUCGAUCGAAUCCAAUACCCCUUGUUGAUUCUCUAGAAUAUCAUCCUCAAAUGCUACAUACAAAGGGUUAACAAGGGUUAUAAUGUAGGGGUGUAAGGUAGGCUGAAACAAAAGUAAAGAUCAGUUUAAAUGUGGCAUUUUAAGGAUGGGUAAAUAGGAAUAGUAUGAAACUCACUUGAUCGAGACUUACAAAGAAAGAGUAACAAGUAUUUCAACACUUCACUUUUUUUUAUACUCGAUUUUUUUUUUACUUCAUAUACUUUUUUUAAUUCAAAUACAAUUGAACAAUACAAAAGAACUUUGAAUACAACUUAUUUUUUUUAAUUCGAAAUUUUUUUUACAAACCUAUUUCGAGAUGAAUACGAACGUCGGUGCUCCUCAUUUUAAUAGCUCUGAUACCAAAUGAUAUGAACUGACUCAAUAAUGUUGAUUUGAAUCACUUUAAUUGCCUGACCAUCUACGAGAAGAGUCGUUUGUUUUGUAAAAUGAUGGAUUUUGGUUAACUUAUAAACGAAAGUUGGCAAAGGGGUUCAAAUGAUAGGCUAGGUUUGAUAUUUGAUAGGCUCGGUUUAACAAAGAAAUAAAGUAAAUAGUUGAUAGAUAUGAUGGAAUGGAUAAGUGAACUCAAGCUUCAAGAUCGAUUUAAUACUAUAAUGAGUAUUGCCCCGGAACUUAUAUCGCUUAAGGUGGGUUAAUGAAAGAUAGAAGAUGGACCUUGAACCGUUACCUAAAGAGGUAGGAACCAAAGGUAUAAUUUGAUGCAUGAGCACCACACCAAGGUUGGUGAUAAGUUCAAAGAGUUCGGGUUGACGCCACUAGCAAGCUAGAUAAGUCCAUUCGAGACUCAAACGAAAUAGAGAGGAAGAAACCUCACAGGAACAAAUGUUAAUUCAAUAAUUUGGCAAAAAGUUCCUUCAAAUGUUUACAAGAAAGCUAUUUAUAGACACAAAGAUAACUACUCAAAUUCAGAAUCUAUGUGUUCACACAAUAAUAAAAAUGUUCACACUAAAGCAUUAAAAUUCGAUUCAUGCUUGAAGAGGGUGCAUGAAUUGGCCGAACCAUCAUGUUGCUUCACUUGAUGCAUUCAUGCAUACUUAGCCUUGAAGAAUAGAAAUAAUUCGAUGAAUAUGCAGCCCUUUAAUGCUUCUACAUCUCCCAUGGCUGAGUGAAGCUUUAAUGUGCCUUGAAUACUUGAUGAUCAUCUUAAAUAUGCAUGAAACAUGCAUGAAAACUUCCCAAUGCAUGUUCCUCCAUAAAUAUGGUCCAUGAAUCUUCAAAUGGAUGAACAUUCAGCAGCUCCCUUGUAACACCCCCGAACCCGAGACCGUCGCCGGAGUCGAACAUGAGGUGUUAACAGACUUCAAACCACUUAUUAAAAUUUUUCCAGACAAGCUGCCAAUCUGCGUACUAGUCACUUUAAAAAUCAUAUCUUGAGCUCUGGAACUCGAAAUCCAGUUCCGUGAAUUUUCCCUGAAACUAGACUCAUAUGCCCUUCUACAUAUUAUUUUUCUAGAAUUUUUGGUCGGGCAAAUUAGUACAGUUUAUUAGUAAAAGUCUCCCAUGUUACUGGGGUCGACUACACUGACCUUUGCGCAUUACGACCUGGAUAUCUCCCUGUACAGAGCUUCAAUACUGAUGCCGUUUGUUUCUAUAGAAACUAGACUCAGAGAGGAAUCCAUAUAUAUAUGGAUUGACUCCUAAUUGUCUCUGGUUAAUUUGUAAUGAAUUUCCAAAAUCGGAACAGGAAAUCCAGAAACCGUUCUGGCCCUGUCUCACGAGAACCUGAAUAUCUCUUAAUAUACUGUUCAUAUGAUUGUUUCGUUACUUUCAUAUGAAAAUAGAUUCAUCAAGGUUCGAUUACAUAAUUUAUUCACUAUUUAAUUCCAUUCCUACAAAUUUUUGUGAUUUUUCAAAUCCACACCACUGCUGCUAUCAGCAUCUGUUUUCAAGGUAAACUUUACCUAUUUCGUGGUUACCACGGACCAACUAGGGUUUUGUCAUACAUAGGUCCGCAUAUGAUCAUAUUUAGCCAUUCCAAUGGCUGAUCAUUUGCUCAACACUUCCAUUCCAAACCAUAGUCACAUCAUGAAACCAUAUAUACAUACAUAAACACAAAUGGUCUAAUGCCAUACUCCACUUCUACAAGCCAUUUUCGCAUGGCUGUACACACAUACAUCACAAAAAGUACUUGAACAACAACAAUGGGUAGUCCUAUACAUGCCAUAUCCAGAGUUCAACUAAAAGAGUACCAAAAGGGCUUUGAUAGUGUGGAUGACUUCGACUUCGAUGAUCCCGAAUCCGAUAUCUAACGAACAAAAUCUAUAAAACAGAGAGCCAAAGCAACGGGGUAAGCAUUUUAAAGCUUAGUAAGUUUCAAGUAAUGAAAUCAGCUUUGACUAAAGUAUUACAUUCACAUAGCUAAAUGAACCACUUUAUUAAUACACAUUCUCAUAAUCAUGCUUACUUCACACUUCAUCAACAUAUAUACACACACAAGGUAUCAACCCAUCUAAAAGCCCAAAAGUUCGUUAGUCGAUUGAAUGAAUACUAUUUAAAACGAAUCGACUUUCCGAAGCACAUGCAAACAUACCUUAUCGUUUGGGUUUGUCGAGCGUAUUAAUUGAAUUUAUUACAGCACAAAACGCUCACAUUCAUACCCAAGUUUCUUCGGAAUUUAGCCGGGUAUUACCACAAGCACAAUUGCCUUCGGGUCUUAACCCGGGCAUAGCAACUCGCACGAAUGCCUUCGUGUCUUAGCCCGGAUAUAUCAACUCGCACAAAUGCCUUCGGGUCUUAGCCCGGAUCAAAUCACUAGCACAAAUGCCUUCGGGACUUAGCCCGGAUCAAAUCACUAGCACAAAUGCCUUCGGGACUUAGCCCGGAUCUCAUUCAAAUGCUCAUGCACACAUAAAUCAACAGUCUUGGCACAUCCAUAUUUCAUUUUCGUUACUAAGGCUCAAACACAAAACAUUUAUUAAACCUUUCCAAUUUCGGCUCAAUAGCCACACACAAAGAGCAUGAUUUCAAUUGGCUUUAUAACAUAGUCUCUAUGCACAUUCGGCUAUCCGUCAUAGUAUGACUAAUCAUUUCAAUAUAAUUCAAGUAGGGUCAUUACUCGAAGACUUACCUCGGAUAUUUUAAAUAGUUGUGGAUAGACUACUCGAUCGCUUUUUCUUUUCCUUUAUCAGAUUUUGACCCUCUUGGCUCUUGAGCUUGAUUCAAUAAAUAGAUUUUAUUAAAUAACUUAUCAAUUUAGCGAUUCGAUUUAAUACAUGUAUACCAUACAAUUAAGUACAAAUGAUGUUAUUAACUAGAUAUUAAACAUCAUACAUAUGCUCUACUCAAGUACUAAAGAACAUAAUACUAGCUUAAUACCAUGCAUAAUCGAAUUUAUUUAGCAUCAUUUAGUUUUAUAAAAAUACACAUAUCAUCCCAACUCGACACAAGAGUCAAAUUCAUCACUCAAACAUUCACACCAAUUUAUUUUAAUAUUUUGGCCGAAACCCUCAAUUGGCUAACAUAGCCUUAAUAUUUCAAUAUAAACACGUAUACAUCAAAGGCAAUUUAAAACACUUAACCCUUAUACUCAAUAAUGAAACCAAACCGUAUACCUAAUUUUUAAACACAUCACCUCCAAAUGCAUGUAUUAACUAACAUAUAUCCAAUCCACAUGCCAAGUUACCAUGAAUAAAUUAAACUUAUAUAUAUAUAACAUAGCUAAAUAUUCCUUAACAUAAAGGCAUUUAGUGACAUUUAAAAAAAAUAUAAUAACCAUUUCCAUAAGUAUAUUUUCAUGCAAAGACCGUACCUAAAUCACCAACAUUUUAACUCCCAACUACUUAGACUUAACCUUUCAUACCCUUAUAUCUAAUGUCAUAAGAAUAGCCGAAUGUCCAAAUUAACCAAGCUUAAAGAUUUAACCUUCAACACUUUAAUAUUCCACAACCUAUUCUUCAAGGCUUCAAAUAUAAAGUAAUUAACAUUUAUACUCUUAUGCCGAAUUAGCUAACACUUAUAAUCCAUAGCCGAAUGUCAUUAAACCUAAACCACCAUGAAAAUUUUACUUAUCACCUCAUACCUUAUUAUCAAAUUGAACUAAUUAUGCUUAUAAAAAUAAUAUCAAAACCGAAACCUUUUAAUAAUUAAGCCUCUAAUUAUUUAUUUCAAUUACCCAAACGAAAUUUUCUCACAUUUAACACUUAUAUACCCAUCAAUUGUUGAAGACAAACAAAAUCUCAUUUCCUCCCUUGACAACCACAACCGAAAGCUCAAACCAACAUCUAAAAUUCCAAGUUUUCAAAUGGGCUAAUAUGGAACUAGCUAAUUGACUUAAACUAAGCUUAAAAUUUCAAAAAACUAGCAAAAUUUUUACUAACCUUCUCAAGCUUCAAGUGACCGAAUGUUUUUGCCCCAAUUCUUUCUUUCAAUUCGGCCAAGAAGACAAAGAUGAAGCUUUGUCUUCAUUACUUUUCUUUUUAUUCUUUCUUUAAUUUAUUUCCUUUCUUUUGCAUAAAAUAAUGGCCAUUUAAUUAAGAUUUAGUACAUAUUAUAUAUAUAUGACCAUCAUGGCCGGCCGCCACUUAAAAUAAAAGGGGUAUUUGACAUGCAAGUACAAUUAUUUGCAACAUGCAUAAAUGGGCCAUUUUACAUUAGCCUAGCACAUUUCUAAAUUUUCUCACAUAAGUCCUAUUUAAUAAAAUUCACUUACAAUUUACAAAAUUCAACCAUGAAAUUUUCACACAUGCAUAUAUACAUAUAAUAAACAUCAAAUAUGACGGUCAAUUAUUUUUGUGACUCGGUUUAGUGGUCCCGAAACCACUUUCCGACUAGGGUCAAUUUAGGGCUGUCACAUCCCUCUUGCAUGAAUGUCCCAAAUACAUGUGCUCUUUUAAAUGUCAUCCAUUGAACCUCAAUUAUGCAUGCACCCUUCCAUACUUUGCACUAGGCCCUACAUGAAUCUUGUAUUAAAUACAUCUUCACAUUCGGCUGAACCUAGUUCAUAUCAAGACAAAUUAAUUAAAAUACUAAGAUAAAUUAAAAAUAAUUAAUUAUGGACUAGCUAGUAUAUUAAGUUCGGCUAGCUCAAACAUGUGAAAAUAAUUAAUGAACUCAUUUGAGCUAGGGAAUUCAGUCAUGAGCUGUAUCAAAUUAAAUAAAAUAAAACUAAUACUUCGCUUAUAAAAGAAAAGAGCUGAAACUAAGCUAGGUUGAGCUCAAAUGAGCUUAAAUGAGCUCAAGUGAACUGAUUCAAGCUGAAUGGAGCUUGGGGAGCUGAAGAUGAGCUAACAUCAGCUUGCACUAUGGUGCAAGGAGUCUUUAAGGUGCUAGCCCGACCUUCUCCAUUGACAUCGAGCUUGUUCUCUUCCCAAAAUUGAGUGAUUAAAGCUGAAACAGCUUCUUGGAAUUGCCUAGCUCGAGCUCGAGUCAUUGGGCCUUUAGGGACCUCAAUAGGUGCUUGGCUCAAAGUCCUCGAGCUCCCAACCGUGCUUACAUCAUCAUGCAUAACUUAUACCUUGUCAUUAGAACUUAUCAUUUGAACCAUAAUUUUCAUGCAUCCCAAAUAUACAUAUAUCUAACUUAUACAUACUUGACUAUAACUUAUCCAUAUAUAUAAUUUAAUUUCAUACCAAGUUAUACCACAAUUGACCACAUGCCAAAAUCACAUUCAAACAUACCAAUUUGGUUAUUCAAAACACAACUUCAAAUGACCAUUUCCACUCCAACCAUCAAGGACAUCUAAAUGACACAAAUCUAACCAUAUUUAGAUGGUUCCAACAAUCAACAUGUAUACAAACCAUAUUUCAAUCAUGCACAUCUAUUCAAAAAGCCUUACCAAAGCAUACUAUAUCUUGGCCAUGUUGAGGUUAAUUCAUCAUAUAUCACUUUGGUCAUUCAAACAUGCUUUAACACAUAUCAAUAAGGCACCAAAUGUACCAAGGCUUCAUCACCCAAAAUGACCUAUACAUGCCAAACUCAUCAACUAACAUUCGACUAAUCAUCAACCACAAGUUCACCUAUACAUGCCAUUAUAACCUUAACCAAGACAUCAAAAUCUACCGAUAUAAUCGAUGGAUAGUGUGAUGGAUCUCCGACUAGUUUCCAACCCGAUCGAGCUUUUGAUAAUUUGAAAAGUAAAGGAAAAACAACUACAUAAGCAAUGAAUGCUUAGUACGCUCGUAUAACUUUAAUCAUAUCAAUCCAUUUCAAAUAUGAAAUUUAUACAUAUCAAGAAUAAUCCUAUACCAAUACCACAAGAUUUAUGAAACCAUAAUCAACAACUCACACAGUGAAUAAAACCACAACAUCACAUAUACAUAUCAUCCCUAGCAUAGUAGGAUUUUUUAAAACUUUAAACCCUUUCAAAUUUUAUUAUUUUCAUUUACAUUUCAUUACUUUCCAUUACAUUUACUUUCUUUAGCUUAAACAACAACAUUAGUUUAACUCAUCAAUCCAUUUUUCAUCAUUUUACACUUCAAGUAUGAACUUACUUUUUCAUUACCUUUCCACACCCGUUUCAUAUGCAUAGCACACAAGACAUAAGCAUAUCAUCAACCAUAGCCACAAGCUAGUGCAUUUAAACAUAGCUCUUUUGGAAUUAACCACAUGAUAAACCAUUUCAUAAGAAAUUACAUAAUUUAAACCUUACCACUCUUUCAUGAACACAAGCAUAUUUCUAUUUGGGCACUUACAAUUUCAAUGCAUAACUUCUAAGUAAACAUAAUAAAAUCCAACCAAUAGCUUGACACAUGCCUAAGCAUCAAACAACAACACAUGUUAGCAUACUUGAACAUAUUUCACAUAAAUUCAACAUGGAUAACCAUUAUACUUGAAUACGAUUCAAUUUGGAUAUAACAUCCUUCAAAACAUAACAUGUUUUCCAUAUAUCUCAUCAUUUCAAUGUAUUUCAUGUAUACCUGUAUUUUCUCAUAUUGAACAUUUACAGUUCCCUGUCCAAUUCGUGUCCGUUGAACCGAAUAGAAUAUCAUUGGAUACUCGGGAUAGCUUACACAAAGUGGGCUAACUCAUAUAAUCGUAAUGCGUCAAUUCAUGUACAUAUAUGCUCACAUGAGCUGUGAAUAAGUAUGCUCACAUGAGCUAAGAAAAUAGGCCUACUCACACGAGCUGUGGGUCGGAACGUAGCUAUACGAUGCUACUCAUACGAGCUGUGGAGUAUGCGCAACACAUGCCAGACCUGAACCAACAGUAGGACAUUCAAGACCAGCACCUGAAUCAUGUAAACCCUAAUGACAUGUCAUUUGUAUCCUACGAAUUCCUAAGGUUUAAAUGGGGCUCAGUAGUCGUCGUACGCCGUUGAAUUUCUAUCGUUUCAUGACAUAAUAAUUUGCAUAAUAUCAUCUAUAUAUAUUAAUUCAUGUACAAUACAUUAAACAGUUAAUUUAACUCACAUUUAAGUGUUUAUAUUUCAUACGAACUUACCUGGCUAAAUUGCAGAAAUGUCAAAGUAUAAGGGCAUUUUGGUAAUUUUUUAUUCUCCUCUUAAUUUUCCACUUGAUCUUGAUCCAAAUUAAUAAUUUCAUUCAAUCUAUCAAUUUAGAUAGUAAAACAAUGUAUUUUAUGCACUUUAUUCAUUUUUUACAUUUUUACAAAAUUACCCCUAAAGUUUUACUUUUAUUCAAUUUAGUCCCUGAGCCUAAAACAUGCAAAUUAACCAUUUUUACCCAAAAUUUAGCCUAUCAAAAUUCUUAUGGCAUCCAAACAGCUCAUUCAUGCAACAAUUUCACAUCAAAUCCUUGUACUUCUACUAUUUUAACAAUUUAGUCCCUAAUAAAAAAAUUCAUCAAAAAUCACUUAAUAAAAUACUUUUAAAUAACAACUAAUAUUUCAAAUUCAUCAUUUAACGUCUAAAAUCACUAGGUUCAUCAAUGGAAACAUUCAAAAUCUUUAACAAUUUCAAAAUCGAAGGUACGGGCUAGCUGGACCUAGUUGCAAUGAUUUCAAAAACAUAAAAAUUAAAAGAAAUGGGGCUAAAACGGACUUACAUGCAUCAUCCAAAGCAAGACCGAAGCUUGAAGCUUCUCCCAUUCUUUUUCCAUGGAAACCUUCGGUGGUGAAAAACAAAUGGGGAAGAAAACAUUUUGUUUUCUUUAUUUUAGUAACAUUUAAUUUUAUUCUAUUAAAUAAAUAACAUAUAAAACAUUAUAAUUAAAAGAAAUUAAGCAUCCAAACUCCCUACCAUAUUUAGGAUGGCUAUUUUACUCAAUAAGGCCUUCCAAUUAUAAUUCUUUCAGCAAUUAACACCUUUAAACUAAUAGCAAUUGACUUUUUCAACUUUUACAAUUUAGCCCUUUUUGUUUAAUUAACUAUCGAAACGUUAAAAUUUUUUAACGAAACCUUAAUAGCACCUUAAUGACACUCUGUAAAUAUUUAUAAAAAUAUUUAUGACUCGGUUUAUAGAAACAAGGUCCCGAUACAUUAUUUUCUAAAACCAUUUGACCCUAAGGUCUUACCACUUGAACUUAAUAAAUCGCUUAAAUAACAUAAAUUAUCAAAUCAAAAACCUUUUUAAAAAUCACAUUUGACUCGUAAAUAUUAAAAAAUAACAUUUACGAACUUACUCGCCAGAUUUGGUGGCCCCGAAACCACUGUUUCUGACACCACUGAAAAACGGGUUGUUAUAGUACCCUAUAGGCGACACCGACCUGUUGUUUCUGCCCUCCUCUACUUCUCCGUGCACAAUGGGAUGAGACCUUUAAGGGUCUUGUGAAAAAUAUUUUUCAGGGACCUUAUAAUGGUCCCCUAAUGUGAAAAAAAAACAAAAUAGAAGAAGAAGAAGAUUUAGAGAAGAGAAUGGGAAGGGAAAAAAUAAAGAAAAAUGAGAGUAGAAGAAUAGAUAAGAGAAGAGAAUAAGAAGGGGAAAAAAGAAUAAAAGAGAAGGAAAGAAGAGAAUGAGAAGGGAAAAAAAAGAGAAAAGGAGAAAAGGAAGGAAGAAAGGGAAAGACAUUUGGGCUUUAAGGAGUUAAGUUUAGGGUUUGAAAAAAAAAGACUAGUGGGUUUUGUUUAAAGUUUGGAAAAAAGGAUUAAAGGGUUUUGUUUGGGGUUAUAUGGGUUUAUGAUUAAAAAGAAUUCAAAAGAGGUAUUUUUUUUAGUAUCUAUACAUUAUUUGUUAGUUUAGUAAUUUUUUUUUAUUUAUAGGUUAUAAAUGUUAAAUUUUUUUUGUUUAACCAUGUUAUUUUAGAAAUGUUUUUGAUUAAUUUAGAUUCUGAUUAAUUUUUUUAUUUUUGUAAGGUAUUAUUUCGGUAAGAAAUAAAGGUUUUUUAUAGGUAUUAUUUUGGUAAGGUAUGUUUCUAUUUUAUUUUUUGAUUUGUAUGGUUUUUUUAUGCUUUGUAUUAGAUUCAAAUAACAACAUUAAUCCCAUUAGGUUUAUUAUGUUGAGAUCAUUUCUACUGUUUCAACAUAAAUUUUUUGUUGUUUUAUAUAGGUAAAAGAUGAUACCAUUGAGUUGAAAUUUAUGAGAUAUUUUUUCUGUUCUUUAUUAACUUAAGUAGUAUAAAAAUGUUUAUUAUAUACUGAAAUAAUAUGGCAAAAAAUGUGAUGUGCACCAAACUCUUUAGCAUUUUUGUAAUUAUAUUAUUAGUGUACUAUAUUUAUUGUAUAAUAUUAAUGUGUUUUGAUAAUUAUUUAAGAUGUGAUAAUUAUUUUUUGUUAGGGUGUCUUAUUUCUGUAUUUUAAUAUUUCUUCUCCUAUUAUUGGGAUAAAAAGGCUCAAAUAGAAACUAAUUACCUACCGAAAUGUGUUUUUAACAAAAAACUAAUUACACUCUUUUUUUUAGGUUGCAAAUAUCAAAAUGGGUUCUUUGAUUAAAGAUGAUAAUCGCAUUUCAAAAAUGGUUAAUAUGAUGGUAAUAAAAUUGUUUUUUCUUACCUUAUAAAAUGUUCCACGUCAUUUACGAAUUUAAACUAGGUUAUAUUAACUAUUUCUGUAAUUUAAUAGUGUUAGGGCCUAUACCGCACAUUGAGGGGUCGUACGAAUGAUUUAGGAUAUCUGCUGGAUGAACGUGUAAUUCCAUACUUGGAGUUAGCCAGAUUCGGAUCAACAACAUUGAUCCGAACAUUUGAUUUACGGUACAACUUAAUAUCCGCUUUGGUCGAGCGAUGGCGUCUAGGGACCCACACUUUUCAUUUGCUGUGUGGGGAGUGCGCCAUCACUUUAGAGGAUAUUACACUGCAACUCGAGUUCCCAAACGAUGGGAAAGCGGUAACGGGCAUAAGUGCGAUCCUAGAGCCGUCCACCCUUUGCUAUAACCUACUGGGAGUCUCGCCCGGUGAUGUUAGGUCGAAAUUUUUGGGUUUGAGGUUUUCAUGGCUGAAGGCCAAUUUUGAGAAUAUACCGAUUAAUUCCACUGAUCGGGAGGUAAUGUGCGUCACUUGAGCGUACAUUAUGCACAUUAUAGGGGGUGUACUCAUGCCGGAUGCAGAUAGCAAUAAGGUCCAUUUGAUGUACUUGCCCCUGUUAAUUGGUUUGCAUAACGUCACUUCAGAUGGAUCUUUCUUUCGAUUUGCAGCCCUUGUUACAAUACAUACAGUGGUACUCCGAGAAGGGGAAAUCGUAUUUAUUUGGUGGGAAAUCAAUUCUAGUUCUUCUACACAUACCAUAACUUGGGCAACCCGCCCAUCCCCUUUCACAUCCGACUCCUGCACUCGAGCUAGAGCCCUAGUCUAAACCUGAGCCUACGCCCAAACCCGAGCGGUCUCAUACAUAGCCUGGAGAUAGUUCUUUUCAUUCGGACCUAGGGUUCGAUGACUAUUCCUCGGGCUCAUCAGGCCACGAUAUCAUUCAGGGUUUCUCGGAUCCAAUUCUGAUAUACCUAAUUCGAUAUCAUCAAUGACGUUUGAUAUCUUCAACCCUUACCACCGUAAUACCCUGCUCCUCCCAGAUAAACAUUUGGGGCAUACGCCCCUAGGUUUCAGUGAGGACCACAUUGAUAACCGCGAGCACCCUCAAUGUGAACACCAACCACCACAACAAUUUACCCCUAGGACCACACCAUCAAACCAUCAAUUUUUGGGGUUUCUAUCAUUUCAAUGAUCAUGUUUGUAUGUAUAUAAUUGUUGUAAAAUUUGUAGUAAAAUUUAGGCAUUUAAACUCAAUUUUUACUUAACCUUUAAGUUUUUGGUACUAAAUUUAAAUGAGAUGGUGCCUAAGGUAUAAACUAUCGAUUUAUAUACAUGCAAAAAUAUAAAUGCAAAAAUAUAUAUUUGGUAAUAUAAAUGAAAAAUACAAACUUUAUAAUAUAAAUGCAAAAUUACAAACUUUGUAAUAUAAAUUAGAUGCAUUGGAGUACAUUUGUAACACCCUUUAGCCGUAUUCGACACCAGAAUAGGGUACGAGGCAUUACCAGAACACAUACACUUGUAAAUGUAUUUAACCGAGUUAUAAAACUUCAUCUAAAUUAAAACUUUCAAAUUUUAUAAUUCUUCAUAAUAUAUCCUCAAAAUAUUAUAUUCAUAAUAAAUAGGACCUAUGAGACCCGAUACAUAUUCAUGCAAUUCACAAGUCUUAAUAAUUCAAUGCUUCAUUUCCAUUUCAUUCAAUUCUCAAAUUUCUCAUGUUGACAAUUCAAAUCAUUAAUUUCAAUACUAAUACGUAUUUAUCAUUUAACUCAACGUUCAUUGAUUAUACCAUUCAUUAACACAUUUAUGAAAUUCUAAAUUUUUGCAAUGAAAAUAUCACUUAUCUUAUAAAAAACAUCAAUUCAACUCAUCAUCCUAGUAUAAAUUCACUACCACUUAUCCAUUUACUAUAAUUCUUUUGGGUUCAUUUGUCACUUACCAUUCUGAAUCAAAUUAGGGAACGGUUACGGAAAAUUGAGUACUUCACUUCCACCUUGCCAUAGUAUAACUAUGAUCUUACGUAUGAUCACUUAUCACUUGUCCCUGAUCAGAUAAGUGUAGCUAAGCUACCACUUAUCACUUGCCACUUGUCACUGAUCAGAUAGGUGUAGCUAAAGCUACCACUUAUCACUUGUCACUUGUCACUGAUCAGAUAAGUGUAGCUAAAGCUAACACUUAUCACUUGUCACUUGUCACUGAUCAGAUAAGUGUAGCUGAAGCUAUCACUUAUCACUUGCCACUUGUCACUGAUCAGAUAAGUGUAGCUGAAGCUACUACUUAUCACUUGUCACUGAUCAGAAGUACUCAAAUCCGACGUUCCGCUCAAUUUGAUCAUUUAUUCAGUUUUCGUAUUGUUAUUUUAUUCUCAAUUCAUUAAAAAAUAUAUCUCAUCAUACAUUAUAUAAUUCAUGAAAUUAACAUGUAAUCAUUAAAUUUCAGCCAUAUGAACUUACUAUUUCAUUAACUUUCCACACUCGUUUCCUAUGCACAUCACACAAGGUAUAAGCAUAUCAUUCAACCAUAGUUGCAAGCAAGUGUAUUUAAACAUAACUCUUUUUGGAACUAACCACAUGAUAAACCAUUUCACUAGAGAUUACAUGAUCACAACUAAAUAUGUUACCAUUUCGACCACUACUUGGCCAAAGCCUAAGCAUGUACGCCAAAUAUGUUAGUCAAAUACACAUAUAGCAUAAACAUUAUAAGCAUGGAUGAGCACAACAUUUAUUCAUGUAUCACACUUACCAACAUGUGUUAAUUCAUAAAUCAUUCAUGACAUUACUUCAUGUCAAAUCAUAUACCGAAUAUACCAUACACACAUUCUAUGAAACUUUAUUUUCACACAUGAGCUUAGACCAUGACCAAUAAUGUACAAAUAUAAGCAUCAUUUCUAUUUCAUCGUUUAUCAAUUAUAAUCAAGCAUAUGACCAAUUAUACACAAAUCAUUCAUAUAUUUCCCAAUUUUCCUCCUCCUCCUCUCCAUUCCACAUCCUUAAUGUGUAUAACAAAUUUAAACAACAUUAUCCAUACUAUCACUAUUUUUCCUGUAUGUAAAUUCAAGUUAUCUGUCUAAGUUAGAGUCACUAAUUUAUUUAUAUCUCGAGAUAAAGAGCUCCAAAUUAAGAUCAGUUAAUUUUCCAUAAAACUAGACUCAUAUAUCUUCAAAGCAUAAAAUUUUAAAAAUUUUUGGUUCAGCCAAUAAGUACAGUUUAUUCUUUAAAGUUUUCCCUGUUUCACUAUUUGAUAGUUCUGACCCCUCUUCACUAAAAAUUAAUUAUCUCUUUAUAUAGAAUUUAGACGAUGUCCUCGUUUGUUUCUAUUGAAAAUAGACUCAUUAAGGAUUUUAAAUAUAUAAAUUAUAACCCAUAAUUAUUUUUAUACAAUUUUUAAUGAUUUUUCCAAAUCAGAAUAGGGGAACCAAAUUCAUUCUGACCUUAUCUAACAAAAUUCAUUAUAUCUCAUGAUUUAGAAUUCCAUUACUUACACCGUUUCUUCUAUGAGAAACUAUACUAAAUAAGAUUUAAUUUCAUAUUUUUUUCAUCCUCUAAUUCAAUUUCCAUGAUUUAUGAUGAUUUUUCAAAGUUAACCUACUGCUGCUAUCCAAAACUAUUUUAGUGCAAGAUGUUGAUAAUCAAAUUUAUAACACCAUCCUUUCCUUUCUCUACAAUAUUUUUAUCAAUUCCUCUUGUUUCCCUUCACUAACAUAUCAAGAACAUAGAACCUUAUAUAAUAAAGAACCUUAUAUAAUAAAACCCUACAUUAACAUCAAUUUCAUACUUUUUCAAUAAUAUCAAACUUAAAAAUAUAUUGAAACCUUGAUGUUCUUACCUUGCUCUAUUGAUUUCAAUCUUUAACUUGAUUUUCUCUCUCCUCCAGCUUCUAUUUCUCGAAUCUAACUUGAUAUUAUAGCUUCCCAUAGUCUCUUUAACAUUUUUCUCUCUUGGUAGCUAUGGAAAUUCUUUUAAUUUCUAGGUGAAAAUGGUAAAUUUUUGGUGAAAUGACCAAUUUGUAAAGAAAGCAAAACUUUCUUUCUUCCCUUCUCUUAUAACGUGAAAUGCAUGGGAAAGGAAGAUGAUUCUUCAUCUUUUCUUCCACAUAUAUAUAUACUAAAUAAAAUAAUAAUAAAAUGAUAAAAUGUCAUUUAAAAAUCAAAUUAAAAUAUUAAUAAACUAAUAUUUAUUUAUUUAUUUAUUUAAUCUAAAAUAUCUCUAACAUCAUCAUUAUUUUCUAGAUUUCUCUUUCUUCUAAUUGACCAUUUUGCCCUUUAGAUCUUUUAAAAUCCCAUCCUUAAGUCAUCACUUAAUUUGGUAAAAUUAUGAUUUAGCCCCUCAUAAUUCUUCAUCUAUUCAAUUUGGUCCCAAUUUAUCCAUUUUCCUUAGUUUCUAGAUUAUUCCACCCUUAAAAUAUUUACACUAUUGGUCCUUCAACUUUUUCAUAUUUACACUUUAACCCUUCAAAUUUUGAGUAUUUACUCUUGGAUAACAAAACUUUUCUCACUUUUGCAAUUUAAUCAUUUCUUUAAUUAAUAUGUCAGAAUAUACUUCCCAAUGUUGUCAUAACUUAAAAUUUUCCUUUUUGUCACUUUACUUCCUUACUAUAUCAAAGAUAAUAUCUUACUGUAAAAAUUUUCGGGGUAUUACAACAUUGGCUCAAUUUCCACUUGAUUGCGAUGAUUGACCAAUAUGGUAGGUUCGUUGCAGGCAUGUACUCCGAUUAUGCCCAGCUAAUCUACACACACCAAAAAGCUUCCUAUCAGUUUUCUCCCUAAUGUCCAUUUCAUUAUGAAUUCUAGUUGAUUGCGGACGACCUUUUGGAUUCCUACGUAACCUCUUGUCCAAGACAAGCUCAAAAGUCCUCGUAGGCACCUCAUAUAUAGACAGAUCAGGCAAGAUGGGGAGCUCAUUUUCCUAAACACACAACAUGUUCUUAAGAGUAUACACCUCAGUGAUAAACUGUUCAACAUUGAGCGAGGUGCGAGCACAUACUGUCACGACAUGCACAUAGGGAUAAUAUAGUGUUUGGAACCUUCCGUAAUCACACUGUCAGCUUCAGAGAUCAACUUCGUAGGACCUGGAUGGGAUAUCGGGCUGACGACCGAUGCUUUCUGUAACUCAAAAUGUUUCAAACUGUUGUGAAUAUAUUUCCACAUUCAUCGACCUCGCCUUACAACGGUUCACAUCCAUUGCAUCCCUGGCAUCUUCGACAAACACGUGUCCCGCAUUAAUCUGGUUGACUUGUUUUAGCCCCAUUCUUGGCAUCAAGGUGGCCAACCUAUAGAACGUACUCGAGAACACAGAUAAAAUCAAAAGAUGUCGUGUGUUCUUCAAUAUGGAGUUAACUGCCUCUGCCAGGUUGGUGGUCAAAUGACCAUAUCGAAACCCGUCAUUGAAACUUUGAGCCCAUUGCUACGGCUUCAUGGUACCCAACCACUAUCGGAAAAGAGUGUUCGUUUCACCUUGCAUGUCACCCUCAAGUGUCACCAUCCUUUACCGAAAAAGGUGUGGUUCUGGAUCGUACGCUGUGUAUGUAUUAAGAAAAGACAAGUUACAGUCUCGAAUUGUUCUAGUAUUGAUAAUAUUAAAACAUAUAUUGAAACUAUAUUUUACCUAUUUUCACAACUUGUCUCCGCAAGUUUGCAUUCUUGUACUACUGGUGAAAGUUAGCUGCUAUGUGCUGCAUACAAUAAACUGAUCUCCAUGGUACUCCAGAACACCUAAUGGCGACAAUUAUUCCCUUCCCUCUAUGAAAAAUUAUGCAAAUAUUAUUGUCACUAAUAACAUACCUUAGUAGGUUCGUAAGGAAGAAUUCUCAUGAUUCCAUGUUCUCUUUGUCUACAAUGGAAAAUGCUAUCAAGUGCACAUUUUUGUUCCCAUCUUAAGCAAUCGCAAUAAGUAGGAUCUGCGUAUAUUUACCAUAUGGUUAGGCCUUAUCUACCUGCACAAGCAGUUUGCAGUAGGGAAAUGAUCGCACGCAUGGAUCAAACAUCCAAAACAUCCGAUGGAAAAUUCUUCUUCUCGGUUGUAGUUGGUCAUUUGGAUCAUAAUAAGGUCAUGUCUCCAACUCAAUGACAGUCCCCGGACGUACUCUCGUAUAGCGGCUACCCACCCCCGUAGCUCAUUUUACGACGCAUCCCAGUCUCCGUACAACUACUCUAUUUCCAUUUGUUUAGCUAUCCAUGCUUUCCAAUAUGAUACUCGAUACUGGAAUCGUGCUUGCAUUUUUCCAAUCAAUACCGAAACUUUAAUGGUUGGCAUGUCCUUCACCAUUGGCAUGAUGCGUGUGCAAAUAGUUUUGGAAUCAAGUUUUCGAUGGUCUUUUGUCAUACAUGUUGAAAGGCAUGUGUGAUGCCAAACAAAUUUUAAUAUUUCUUCUCCUAUUAUUGGGAUAAAAACUCCCAAAUAGAAAUUAAUUACUUAUCGACACGUGUUUUUUGCAACAAACUAAUUGAACUCAAUUUUUUUUAGGUUAUUUGAUUAAAAAUGAUAAUCACAUAUCAAAAACGGUUAAUAUGAUGAUAAUAAAAUUGUUAUUUCUUACCUUAUAAAAAGUUACACAUCAUUUACGGAUUUAAACUAGGUUAUAUUAACCAUUUUUGUAAUUUAAUAUUGCCAGGGCCCAUACUGUGCAUUGAGGGGUCGUGUGAAUGGUUUAGGAUAUCCGCUGGAUGAACGACUAAUUCCAUACUUUGAGUUAGCCAGAUUCAGAUUAGCGGUAUUAAUCCAAAGUUUGAUUUUUCGUACGACUUAAUAUUCGCUUUGGUCAAGAAAUGGCGCCCGGAAACCCACAUUUUACAUUUGCUGUGUGAGGAGUGCACCAUCACUCUGGAGGAUGUUGUACUACAACUCGGGCUCUCAUUCAAUGGGAGUGCAAUAACGAGCAUAAGUGCGAUCUCUGAGCCGGUCACCCUUUGUUGUAACCUACUGGGAGUCUCGCUCGAUGACGUUGAGUUGAAAUUUUUGGGUUUGAAGUUUUCAUCGCUAAAGGCCAAUUUUAAACAUUUACCGAUUAAUGCCACUGAGCGGGAGGUGAUGUGUGCCGCUUAAGCGUACAUUAAGCACAUUAUAGGGGGUGUACUCCUGCCAGAUGCAAACAACAACAGGGUCCAUUUGAUGUACUUGCCUUGUUAAUUGAUUUGCAUAACGCCUAUUCGUAUAGUUGGGGUUUCACGGUACUAGCUAUGUUAUAUCGCGAGCUUUCUUGAACGAAAAAUCCUUUUGAUGUGGACAUAAAUGGAUGCCUCAUAUUUCUGCAGUCUUAGGCCCUUUACCGGCUGUCAUUCUUGGCAUCGGUUAGUCAUGAAUCAUAUGUCUUUCCACGUGUGAAUAGGUGACAAAAAUUUGACCCAUUAUAGCAAUUAUUUGACAUUUCAUUUUUAAUGAUAUUAUUCUAACAAGUUUUUGUUUUCGUAGAUGGAGUACUAAUUAAGGUAUCGAGAGGUUAUGUACGGUUCUGAUAAACCAUCUGAUGAUUGAAACACAUGCUGGGGAAGGGUUAAGCUAUUCCAAUAUUUAAGACAUGUAAUUACUUUAUCUGUCUUAUUCGAACCGUGUUAAUAUAGCCAUGUUAUUAAUUAUGCAGUUCAUCUAGAUGCACUAUUCCUUCCAUCAAAUUGCGACUAUGAUUCCCUUGUCUACCCACAUCCACUCACACCUGUGGUGCAUUAACGCACCCAUUAUCAAUGUCCAGACAGUGGAGUCGUAUAACAAGGAUUGAGUACUCUGAUAGUUUGGAUGCAUACAAUAUAUCCCGGCACCACUAGUGCAAUUGGAGAAGAUCCACGGGAGUAACAGGAGGGGAAAACAAGGAAAUAAUUGGACAAUAGUGCAUAAACAAUAUAUUGCAAUGUGGAACAACCGGAUGGGGUGGAGACCUCAGAUGGAUCUUUCUUUCGAUUUGCAGCCCUCGUUAUAGUACAAACAGUGGUACUCCGAGAAGGGGAAACUAUAUUUUUUUGUGGGCAAUCGAUUGUAGUCCCCUCGUACAUGCCAUGACUUGGGUAACCCGCCCAUCCCCUUCCAUAUCCGCCUCCUGCACUCGAGCCAGAGCCCUUACUCAAACCUGAGCUGACGCCCGAACCCGAGUAGUCUCAUACACAGUUUGGGGAUAGUUCUUAUCAUCCGAACUUGGGGUCAAUGACUAUUUCUCAGGCUCGUUAGGCCACAGAUAUCAUUCAGAGUUUCCUAGAUCUAGUUUUGAUAUACUUGAUUCGAUAUCAUCGAUGAUGUUUGAUAUCUUCAGCCCAUUACCACCGCAGUACUCUACUCCUCUCAGGCAAACAUUUGGGGCAUACAAUUUUUCCACUAUGUUUAGCACACCACCAGGUUCGAGUGAGGACCACGUUGAUCACUGUAAGCACCCGCAAUGUAAACGCUAACCACUACAACAAUUUACCCCUAGGACCACACCAUCAAACCAUCAAUUUUAGGGGUUUUUUUCAUUUCAAUGGUCAAGUUUGUAUGUAUUUAAUUGUAGUAAAAUUUGAGCAUUUAAACUCAUUUUUUACUUAACUUUCAGGUUUUCUGGUACUAAAUUUAAAUGAAAUGGUGUUUAAGGUAUUAAUUAUCGACUUAUAAACAUGAAAAAAAUACAAACUUUGUAAUAUAAAUGCAAUUGAAAUAUAAAUGCAAAAAUAAAAAUGUUGUAAUAUAAAUUAGAUUCAUUAUAGUACAUUGGCUCAAUUUCCACAUGAUCGCGACGAUUGACCAAUAUGGUAGGUUCGUUACGGGCAUUACUCUGAUUAUGCCCAACUAAUCUGCACACGCCACAAAGCUUCCCAUCGGUUUUCUCCCUAAUGUCCAUUUCAUUAUGGAUUCUAGUUGAUUACGAAGUCAUACGCAACUUUUUAUUUGGGACAAGCUCAAAAGUCGUCGUAGACACCUCCCAUGUAAACAGAUCAGGUAGGACGAGGAACUCAUUUUCCCAAACACGCAACAUGUAAUAACCCAAAAUUCAUGGGCAUCGGAAAAGCAUAAUAUUGGGCCUCCGUCUUAGUAAAUUGAGUUUGAAAAUAAUUAUUAGAAAUAUUUACGAGGCUAGUUGUGUGUUUAAUUAGAUUUUUAUUUAGUGAAUAUAGCUUAAUUAGGAGUAAUUAGCAAAAAGGAUUAAAUUGCAAUAGAAGUGAAAGUUUAAUUAUAGAUUAAAAGAAAAUAAUAGGGACUAAAUAGGAAAUUAUGCCAAUUGCCAAAUUUGAGGCGGCAUAAGCAUAAUAUCUAAUAUUUUUAUGUGUUAAAAUAUGUUAUUAAAUUAUUUUUAUUAUAUUAUAAAACAAAUAAGAUAGUGACAAAUGUAUGGUAAUAAUUUACACAUGUGUCAUGAUAAUGAUUGUAUAAAUACACUUGUAUUAAAAUUUUGUAAUUACUUAUUAUAUAAGAAAAUAUUAUUAUAUUAUAUUAUUAAAAUAUUACAUUUAUUAAAUAAUAAACAAAAAAUAAAACAAAAUAAAGUAAAAGAAAGAAACAGAAUAGCAUUCGAAAAUAGAACAGAGAAAGAAGAAAAAGAAAGAAAAAGGGAAAAUAGGGUUUUUAAAGCUUGGAAUUUAAUUUGGUAAGUCAAAUAAGCCAUGUUACUUAAUUUUGAUGUUUUAGAAGUUUUAAAACAAGGUUUGAUGGAAUUAAGUUGAUAUUUUGUAAGUUCAUAGGUUUUCAAGUACAGUUUAUGUUGAACAAAAGAGAUGAAUUAGGGAUUUAAUUGAAUGAAUUUCAAGUUAGAAUUGAUAAAAGGAUUAAAUUGUGAAAGAAAUUAUAAUUUUUAUGUUGUAGGGAUUAAAUUGAGAGAAAUUCAAAAUUAGGGAAAUAUGCUAAAAUUUUAAUAGUUAAAUUUGAGUUAGGAUGGAAUUUGAAUAAAAAUAAAGUGUGAAUUGAAUUAGAAAAGUAAGAAAACUUAGUUAGGAUUAAAUUGAGAACAAGGUAGGAAUUGAUUAGAAAUUUAAUUAAUUAUUAUAAUUAGUGCUGUAAUUAAUAGUAUAAAUUAUUAUUAUUUUCGUAGCUAACAAAGAACCCGAGCCAUCAGCAUCAAAAGGAAAGGAGAAAGCUAUCGAGGACUAAAACGUGAGAUUUACGGUUUGUAUUACUAUAAUUCAAGUUAUUUGUUAUUAAUUGUUAAAUUUAAAUUUAUGUGUUUGGUAAAUGAAAUGUGAGGUAAGUAUUAUUAUUAUUAUUAUUAUUAUUGUUAUUAUUAUUAUUAUUAUUAAGAUGAGUGGGAAUUAAAUUGAAUAGUUGAUAUGAAUUAAUAUUUGAAUUGUUUGUUGAUUGAAAGCGAGAAGUGAAUUUGAAUCGAAUUGUGACUGAUAUUAAAUUGAAUGAAAAUGUAUUGAGUUGUGAAAAUGUGUGAAUUUUUGGAUUAAUUAUUGAUUGAAAGGUGGAAAAAUGAUUGAACUGAAAAUGUGAGAAAUUGUGAUUGAAUUGGGGUUAUAUGUGAUUUAAAUACCCUAUUAACUAGUCGGGCUGAGUCAGAUAUAGUUGGCAUGCCAUAGGAUUGGAAGAGUUCAGGGAUACUUCGACCUCGAGUCGAUGAGACACUUGGUGUCACUAUAUUUCUUUGGAUAGAUUCGAUGAGGUACUGGGUACCAACUUUCUUCGGCUUUGCCGAUGAGACACUGGGUGUCAACUAUUGCUUCGAACUAUCCGAUGAGGCACUGGGUGCCAUAAUGGAGUGUUUGGUUGGAUCCGUGUAUCCGCCAAAGUCCGAGUUUUGUUAAUAGGGUAAAUAAUGAAAAGAUAAACUGAAUGAGUGGAUCAAUCGAGCUAUUGAAAUGAAAUGAAAAGUUGAAUGGUGAAUUGAAAUGUGAUAUGAGAUUUAAAAAUGAACCUAAGGUUCAUGAUAUGUCCAAAUUCAAAUUGUGGAUAUAUGAUAUUGAUUGAUGGAUUGCUAUUGUUGAGAUAAUGAAUUAAAAUUUGUAUAUACGAUUUAUGUAUUAUAUGUUUAUUAUUGUUAUAAUUUGAAUUAUGGUAAUAUCACUGAGUAUGAAAUACUCAGCGUACGGUUGCUUCCAUGCACAGGUUGAUAGAAGUAAAAAAAUUUCGGUUCAGCAUCUAGAUCAAUCCCGACUUCAGCAUAACUUUGGUGAUGUAUACUUUCUUUUAGUAAUGUGGCAUGUUGGAUAUGUAUAAAGGUUAUUAUGUUUUAAUAUAAAUGGUUAAAAAUAUUAGUAUUAAAAGUUUAUGAAUUAUAAUGAAAGAAGUUUAUCUAUUUUUAUUUAAUUAGUACAUUGUUAAAUUUAAAUUGAUAUUAUAUUAAUUGAGUUUGAUUAGAAGGAAUUUAGAAUAGAAAAUGAGAAUGUGACAUGAAUUGGUUGAUUUGAUUAUAUUUGAAAAUGAUAUGAUUUUAAAUUGCAGGGGGUUUUAUGUAAAAAUAAGUAGAAAUGCUGCCGAAAUUUAUAAAAAAAUGAUGUCAAUUGGUAAACAAACAUAUAAAUUUAUGAUUUAUUUUAAUAUGUUGGUUAAUUAUUUAAGAACUAUUUGUAAAUCGUUUGAAAUGUCCGGUAAUGCCUCGUAACCCUGUUUCGGCGACGGUUUGGGGUUAGGGGGUGUUACACAACAUGUGCUCAAGAGUAUACACAUCAGUGAUAAAUAGUUCAACAUUGAGCGAGGCGUGAGCACAGACUGUCACGACAUGCACACAGGGAUAAUGAAGUGUUUGGAACCUUUCGCAAUUGCAUUGUCUGUUUCAGAUAUCAACUCCGUAGGACCUAGAUGGGAUACCAGGUCCAUGACCGAUGGUCUCUGUAACUCAAAGUGUUUCAAACUGUUAUGAAUAUAUUUCUACAUUCAUCGACCUCGCCCUCCAAUUGUUCGCAUCCAUUUCAUCCCUGACAUCUUCGACAAACACGUGUCCCGCAUUAAUCUGGUUGACUUGUUUUAGCCCCAUUCUUGGCAUCAAGGUAGUCAACCUGUAGAACGUAGCCAAGAACAUAGAUAAAAUCGGAAGAUGUUGUGUGUUCUUUAACACAGAGUUAACCGCCUCUACCAGGUUGGUGUUCAUAUGACUAUAUUGAAAUCCGUCAUUGAAAAUUUAAGCUCAUUGCCACAGUUUCAUGGUACUCAACCACUAUCGGAAAGGAGUGUUUGUUUCACUUUACAUGUCACCCUCAAGUCUGGCCAUCCUUUAUAAAAAAAUGUGUGGUUCUAACUCGUACGUUGUGUAUGUAUUAAGAAAAGACAAGUUACAGUCUCGAAUUAAUUUUUUCUAGUAUUGAUAAUAUUAAAACAUAUAUUGAAACUAAAUUUAUCCAUUUUCACAACUUGUCUCCGCAAGUUUGCAUUCUUGUACUCUUGGUGAAAGUUAGCCGCAAUGUGCCGUAUACAAUAAACUGAUCUCCAUAGUACACCAGAAUGCUUAAUGGUGACAAUUAUUCCCUUCCCUCUAUCAGAAAUGAUACAAAUGUUAUUGUCACUAAUAACAUACCUUAGCAGGUUUGUGAGGAAGGAUUAUCAUGAUUCCAUGUUCUCUUUGUCCACAAUGACAAAUGUUAUCGGGUGUACGUUCUUGUUCCCGUCUUGAGCAAUUGCAAUAAGUAGGAUUUGCGUAUAUUUCUCGUAUGGUUAGGUCCCAUCUACCUACACAAGCAGUUUGCAGUGGGGAAACGACCGCACGUAUGGAUCAAACGUCCAAAACAUCCGAUGGAAAAUUCUUCUUUCCGGUUGUAGUUGGUCAUCCAGGCUGUAAUAAGGUCAUGUCUCCAACUCCCCGGCACAUACUCCUACAUAGCGGCUACCCACCCCUAUUACUCAUUGUACGACGCAUCACAAUCUCUAUACAACUGCUCCAUUGCCAUUUAUUUAGCUAUUCAUGCUUUCCAGUAUGAUACUCGAUACUAAAAUCAUGCUUGUAUUUUGCCAAUCAGUACCGAAACUUUAAUGGUUAGCAUGUCCUUCACCAUUGGCAUGAUGCAUAUGCAAAUAGUUUUGGAAUAAAUUUUUCAAUGGUCUUUUGUCAUAAAUGUUGAAAUACGUGUGUGAGGCCCAACAAAUUUUAGCAUCUCCCACAUCUGCGAGUUCUUGGUAAAUGUGGCUCAUACCCACUAAUUGCAGCCUUCUGUCGACCUCCAAUAGUUUCAAUAUACAAUGUCGGUUUAGACAUGACGACUUUGUAGUCUAUUCAUAUAUUCAUGCUAUACCGCUUAAUGGCAAAUACGCACUCUUCCUUGGUUUCAAAUUUUUGACCCAUGAAAAAUCCUUAGGUUCGGAAUCUACGACCAACCGAUGAGCAGGUAGUAUAUCAGGAUACUCCAAAAACUUGACUAGAUGCGUAGCAUCGAGGUCUAUUAGCGACAUGUGUGCCCCAGGAUCAUUGCAUAUCACAAUGUGUCGAACCAGGUUUUUGACUGAAGACUCAUUAACAUUUCCAUCAUCAUUCGCGCCUUCGUCGUGGAUAUCAUCUGAGACCUCGUACACAUCGAGAUCACUAUCACCAUCGACCUCAUGAUCAGAAGGAUCACUACUAUUAGUUCCAUCAUCAGCAUCAGUCUCAAGUGCAACAUUAAGAUCGAUGUCGAACCCGCGUACAAUCGAUUGACAAUCAACAUAGGAUAUCGAAACCACCAUACACAGAUCUUGAACUCUAUGUUCGUCACAUAAUGGAGUGGGAUCUUCAGCUUGCUCCACAUCAGCUAACUCAGCAAAUAACUGAAUCAGUGCAUUUUGGUGGCUCUAAUUCCCACAAUAAAGAGGGACCAUUGCCUCCACGUCUUCAUCGUUUACAAGUUCCAUCUCGGUGAAUUUGAUGGGAUCUGUCAAAACUAGAAACUUUUAGAGAAGUUUCGAAAUCUUUCUCCCAUAACGUCUAACAAUUUUUGCACUAAUCAUUUCAUUCAUAUCAUAAACCAAGACAUUUCUAUUAAAUCUCAUUGCUAUUUGUUAGUGACAUUCAAAUAUACGUCCAACUGUUGUUGUCAAAAUUACUCCAUCAAAAUAAACACAUACAAAAAAUUGAUUAUCUAUCUUCAAUAUUAGAUCUGUUAAAAAAGAAAUAAAAAUUCUCAAUACAAUUUCAAGCAAAAUAAUUACUGUAAUAUAAAAUAUGAAUUUCAUAUCUACUAACCUAGUGAAUUCUUCUUUGUUUGUUUACUAUUCUUCUACAAAUUUUUUAUUGCUGUUAUUUGAAUUCUCAAAACUUUUUUCCCAAACACUGCUUAAAUAAUGGUUGAGAACAGGUGAUACCCACAAGAUUGGCACCACUGGUGCCACCUAUAACAUUGGAACCAAUAUUUUGGUGUCACCUUUCCCAUGGGCACCACCACCAAAACUUGUCCCAAGCCCGUAGUUAACAAUGUAUUGGAACCGUAUGGGAAAAAUACUUUGGUGUCGUCUAUCAACAAGGCUACACCAUUAAAAAUUUAUUUUUUUUAGCUGAAAGUGAUGGGUGUCAAAAUAUAGGGGUGGUGCUGCCUAUGCACCACCCUCCAGCACCCCUGGUAUACCAUUUCCGUAAAUAAUUUAGAUGGUAUACCAUUUUGGAACUUUUAAUUUUUUUUAUAUUAUUUAAGAAAAAAACCCAUUUUUGAGCAUAAUCAAUGCAAUAUCUUUCUAUGGUCGCCUAGAAGUACACAACCCUCAUGAUUUGUCUAGCCAUCAUAUGUUCAUUUGCGGGUGCAUCAUAUACCCUAUCAUGUACUUCUUCUAAUAUUCUUUAAGCUUCCUUAAAAUCUACACAUCUCAAUAGGAUAUGAUCUCGAUUUUUUUUUAUAUAACACCUCACCAUCUAAGAAGAAACUGAUAGAUAGUCUUUUGAUAAUUUGCUUAUCAUUUUCAUAAGCAUGUUUAGGGAAUUUCUGAAAUUUCAAGUAUUUCACAAUAUAAUAAUACUAUGGUCGUUCAUCUACUUCUUCUUCAAUGUCAAGGCAAUGAUCAAACAUUCUUUUAAUUUCCAAUUUGGAUGGUCACAGCUUUACUUCAUAGUUCAAUUUAUGUGCUCUUUCUUACUUAUCUCAUUUUGCUGUCGUGCACCGCAUCGCAUUAAUCUCCCGAACACCAAUAAUUAUAAGAUCAAGACCUUCCUCACUUAGAAAGGAUUAAAAUUGGUGGCUUAGAUAAGUAUUUGUUAACUUUCUUCGGCCCACUCACCACUAUCAUCCUUUCCAAGUAAUUUAAAUAAUGGAUCACAUUUCAACGUUAAGUGUGGAUGAAAUGAGAGAUAUAAUUUAAAAGUUAAAAAAAAAAAAAAAACCCUGCUCAUUAACAAAAUAAAAUUUUAAAAUCUUACUGUAGUACUAUGGGGUACCUAUUUAAGCAUAUUUAGUUGAACCCUCCGCCAGCCAAAAUUCCCUCCAAAAUUUCACCUAGAAUGAAUUUGUGAAAUUGCGAUUCUCUUCCCUUGGCAUCCCAGAAUGCAAACUCUAACCCUUUCCAAUAUCCUCCACCAGCACUUCCCUGAUGCUCUCCAUUUUUCGCUUCUCAAAUCCUCCAAAACCCACCAAGAAACCCAACAGCUCCACGCAUUUUCCCUCAAAACCGGCGUUUUCUCUCACCCCUCACUCUCUUCUCGUCUCCUUUCUCUCUAUGCCGACCCCAACAUCAACAACCUCCGCUACGCUCGCUCCGUUUUCGAUCGAAUCCAACACCCCUCGUUGGUUCUCUGGAAUAUCAUCCUCAAAUGCUACAUACAAAACCAACAAUCCCAUGAAGCUAUCUCCCUGUUCGUCCUUUGCUUGGUCAUUUUCCGCCUGAUGAAUUCACGUUUCCUUGCGUGAUUAAGGCAUGUGCUAAGUUAACUGCUUUGAAAGAAGGCAAACAAAUACAUGGGUUGGUUUUGAAGCUUGGCUUCGGAUUAGAUAAAUUUGUGCAGGCUAGUUUGGUUUAUUUGUAUUCCAAGUGCGGCAAGAUUGGUUCUGGUUACGCAGUGUUUGAUCAAAUGGAUGAGAAAGAUUUGGUUUCAUGGAAUUCUUUGCUUGAUGGGUAUGCAAGGUGUGGAGAAGUUAAGGCUGCCAUGAAGGUGUUUGAUGAAAUGCCUGAAAAGGAUUGUUUUUCAUGGACGGUUUUGAUUUAUGGGUUGGCGAAAUGUGGGGAGGUUGAGACUGCUAGAAAGAUAUUCGAGAACAUGCCAAAUAGGAAUUAGUUUCGUGGAAUACUAUGAUUAAUGGGUAUAUGAAAGCUGGAGAUACUAAUUCCGCUUGUAAAUUGUUUGAUCAAAUGCCCACAAGAAAUUUGAUCACGUGGAAUUCAAUGAUAGGGGGAUUCAAAUUGAACUUGCGCUUUUUGGAAGCUUUGGAAAUGUUUGAGAGAAUGUUGGAGGAGGAAUUUAGGCCCACUCACGCUACGUUAGUUAGUGUGAUUUCUGCUGUCUCUGGAUUAGCUAGUCUUGGCACGGGAAGAUUGAUACAUUCGUAUAUUGUUAAAAAUGGAAUCGAAUUAGAUGGGGUGGUUGGGACAGUGAUGAUCGAAAUGUAUUCCAAGUGCGGAGGCAUUGAUAGUGCGGUAACUGUUUUUCGGACAAUAAGCCACAAAAAGUUGGGGCAUUGGACUGCUAUAAUUGUAGGCUUGAGUAUUCAUGGCAUGGCUGACCAUGCUCUGAAGCUAUUUCUUGAAAUGCGAAGAAUUGGUGUGAAGCCUAAUGCUAUAACUUUUGUUGGUGUGCUUAAUGCUUGUAGUCAUGUUGGAUUGAUUAACGAUGGUCACAAAUAUUUUAAUAUGAUGAUAAAUGAAUAUGGAAUUAAACCUGCUAUAGAACAUUAUGGUUGUUUGGUGGACAUAUUAUGCUGAGCUGGUUGUCUUGAAGAAGCAAAAGAUAUCAUUGAAGAAAUGCCCAUGAGACCAAACAAAGUAAUCUGGAUGACAUUGCUUAGUGGUGCUAGGAACCAUAGAAACACAAAAAUAGGUGAAUAUGCUGCUCAACAUUUGAUUGAAUUGGCUCCAGAGACUACUGGUGGUUAUGUUGUCCUUUCCAAUAUGUAUGCUGUAGCAGGUGAGUGGGAGAAAGUUUCUGAGGUAAGAGAAAUGAUGAAGAAGAGAGGAUUAAGAAAAGAUUCCGGCUGCAGUUCAAUAGAGCAUAAAGGUGUGGUUCAUAACUUUAUUGUGGGAGAUAAAUCACAUCCGCAAACAAAAGAAAUUUAUUCCAAAUUGGCUGAGAUGAGAGAGAAAUUGAAAUUGGCAGGACAUGUUCCUGACACAAGCCAAGUGUUGUUGUAUAUCGAAGAGGAGGAAGAGAAAGAAGCAGAAUUGGAAAACCAUAGUGAGAGGUUGGCUAUUGCCUUUGGUCUCAUCAAUACUGAAGCUGGAUGUCCCAUUCGCAUCAUGAAGAACCUUCGUGUUUGUAGUGAUUGCCAUUCUGUCACUAAACUGCUUUCUAAAAUCUACAGACGUGAGAUUAUUGUGAGAGAUAAUAGCCGGUUUCAUCAUUUUAAAGAUGGAUUGUGUUCUUGCAAAGAUUUUUGGUGAUUACCUCAGAUGUUGGCUGGUAUUAUUGCCAUCUUUCAACAGGACUGAAAGGGAAGAUCCGCAUAAUAACUUUAAGGUCUUCAGGUUGUGUUUUGUCAUCACUUUUGAGGGUUUAUAGAAAUGGCUAGAUAUAUUUCUUGCGCUUUAUUUAUAUCAACUAACUGAACCAGCCACUUACUACAAAAUAAAACAUUUGCUUUAUGAUCUCAUCUCAUUUCAAGAAAGGUGCUAUUUCAGGGAAAAAGGAUAUGGAUUUAAUGAUACAACAGCUCAAAAGACUAGCAGUGAAUUACAUCAGUACACAGCAACAGAUGCUACAUAGCAAUUAAUGUUACAGCUUUCAGAGACAUAUCUAUAAUCUAAGUUCAUUUUCCGGGGACAAAGUUAGUGGCAUAAGCCCAUGCGUUGUUGGCCACCGGAUCGGCAAGGUGGUCAAAGAGGUUCUCAAUGGGACCCUUUCCUGUGACAAUAGCCUGGACAAAGAAUCCAAACAUGGAGAACAUUGCAAGGCGGCCAUUCUUGAUCUCCUUAACCUUCAAUUCUGCGAACGCGUCAGGAUCAUCAGCCAGUCCAAGUGGGUCGAAAGCACCACCUGGGUAAAUUGGGUCCAGUCCUUCACCGAGUGGUCCCCCACCAACUCUGUAUCCUUCAACAAAUCCCAUGAGCACAACUUGGCAAGCCCAGAUUGCAAGAAUGCUCUGAGCAUGGAUAAGGUUUGGGUUGCCAAGAUAGUCAAGGCCGCCCUCGGAGAAUAUUUGAGAUCCAGCUUUGAACCAAACUGCCUCUCCGAACUUAACUCCAUUCUUUGAAAGAAUUUCAGGGAAGACACAACCAAGGGCACCAAGCAUUGCCCAUCUGCAGUGGAUCACUUCAAGCUCACGGUUCUUAGCAAAUGUCUCUGGGUCAGCUGAUAACCCAGCAGUGUCCCACCCAUAGUCACCAGGGAAUUCACCUGUCAGGUAUGAUGGGAUUUGGUCUGAGAAUGGACCCAAGUACUUUGGGCGGUCAGGGCCGUACCUGUUUUUAAAACCAAACCGUAGGUAAUCAGAUCAAGAAGCAGAAAUAUAGUUCCGUUGCAUGAUUUCGCUUGUACAUGUUAUUUCUCUUUAAAUGUAUGGCUUAAAAUAAGGCAGAUUGCUGCUAGAUUGUACUGUACAAAUUGAAAUUUUUAGUCUGUUGUUUCACAAUAUUUGGGUUAACCAUCAAUGAUUAGACUAAAAAGAUCCUUAUAACAAAAUGCUACUAGUUAGUACUAGGAAGUAGUAACAAAAGUAUACCAGAUGCUGGUAGGGGCACUUUUCACAGUUCUGCGCAUGGUAACACGACCACCAUCGAAAGCUCCGACUUUGCGUAAGAGCUCAUUGGACUGCUUCAAAGCGGUCUGGCCAACGAAAGCAGAUUGUUGGAUAGCAGAGGUUGCCAUGGUGCCUAAGGCUUUAGGUUGACUUGGUUUGUUUGCCGAUGGUUAUUGUAGUCUAUUUUGGUUUGGAGGAGAGGAAGGGGUUAUAAUGGAAAUGAGAAGAUGUUGUGGAUCAGGAAAUGUACUUGUCAGCAGCAGUCUAUUGGUUGCUGCAUUGGUGUGGAUUUGCAGUUGGAUUUUCUGGAGAGUUGUAUAGGUUGAUUUUAUGCCGCGUGGAUUUGGAAAAAUCUUGUUGAUGUUUUUGGUGGUGAAGCUAAAGCCACAUAUAUAGCCACAAGCAGCUAUUAGUGAAUAAUAAAAAUAUCUUUUAAAAAGUUAAAAUAAAUAAAAUUAUUCAAUAUGGAAGAAUAGAGUUUGGCAUAAUAAUUUUAUUAAUUUAUUUAAAUAUAAAUGAACUAAAUAUACAAAAAAAAAUUAAGUUGGUUAAUUAAGUAAUUAAAUUUUAAACCUUUUAGAUUGAUUUUUUAAAUAAAAUUUACUAAUUUAUAGAUAAAACUAUAAUAAAUUAAUAUAUAAUAGAAAAUUUAUAUAUAACUUUUAAAAGUUGUACACUUAAAAGCAUAAUCAUCUUUCUUUAGGAUACAACUAUUAGUACAUAUUUGAGUUUGAAAUUAUGAUAACUUAAUAGGGUGACUCAUAAUCAUGUCUGCAUUACAUUUUUUUUAAUUAAAAGAUGUUUAUCAAAAUAGAAUUAUAACUAAAAUUUGUAUAAAAUUAAAUUAAAUUAUUGACGACGUAAUAAUAAAUUUCAUAAUUAGACUUAAAUAAAUUAUAUAAUCUAUUAAUAAAAAAAUAAGUAACUUCUAUAUUUACUAAUAUCUUUUUUUUGUAAUAUGAUAUUUUAAUUAUACUUCUAAGUUUUGAAAUUAUUUUAAUUUACAUGUUAAAGCACAAUUCACUUAACGUCCUAAAUAAUCCUUUACGAAAACCCUUAAAUUUGUAAAAUAUUUAUUAAAUAAUUAAUAUAUUAACAAAUAAUUAUAUAGAUUGUAGUGAUAUAUUAAUAAUAUUGUAGUAAAUGAUAGAUACAAUAAUCAUUAACAAUUUCUAACAUAUUAGUAAAUUAUGACAGACAAUACAAUAAUUACAAGAUUCAGUUUUAAAAUUUCCCAAUUUGUAUAAGCUAGUGUUACGAAUAGAUGUUGUUUUAAGGUGUCAAAAAAUUUCUAAUAAGUUAGACAUGGAAAUUAUAGCUAGAGUCUUCACUAAUUAAUUUAAUUUUAGGUUAGGUAUGAUUAGUAAUUGAUGAAUCUACUUAUUUUAGUAUUAGUUUAAGGAAAAUUCUAAAAAAAAUGAACUCGAUCUACUUAGAAGAUUUGGAUUCAAGAGUAUAAUUAUGUGUAAGGAAUGAUUAGCACCCCUAUAACAUUUGUCUUAAAAUAGUACCACCUUAGACUAUGACUUCUUUUUUUUUAGGAUUUUUUUAGCUUUUUAUAACUUAAAUUAUUCUAUUUUUAAUGAUUUCAUUUUUAUAAAUUUAAUACAAUUAUUAACAAUACAUGAAAUACCCUACACUCGGCUUGUAAAGACGACUGAAUAUAUAGCAUCACAUCCAUUGCUGAAGCAACUCAAACAAUCAAACUUAAAGUCAAAAUACAUAUAAAUUUGAGUUAGAAACAUGUUACACAACAAUUUGGAUGAUUACAUAUCAAUAUUAGUGAAAAUCAAGCUCAAAUGGCCUUAAUACAAAGUUCUGGGGCCAAAAUCAAUUAAAUGAGGAGUCAAGUCUCUAUACGCGGGCCAAAGUAUCAAGACAAGUCUUAAUAUUUUGAGAUGCAAUUCUUUGUCUCGAGACUUGUAACUUUUGGAACAAAAUUUUAAGUACUUACUUGUAUGUCUUGAGAUUUAACUUUUCAUAUUUCCAGACAUGCACCUAAAAAUGUACAGUUUAAGUAAUGUUCCACGUCUUGAAACAUGUUUAUCUUGCCUCGAGACUUAAGCUUAGAAAAUAUAAAUAAAAAAAUCAUUUUAAGUCAUACAAUCAUGCCUUUAAAUAUCCUAAACAUGUUACCUAAUACAUACAGCAAGUUAGACGUACUAAAACAUCACCUUAACAUAUAAAUUCAUGCCUAGAAACAUAUCAAAUCAAAUUUUAGUCAUGCUAGAAGACUUGCUAUUUCAAACAUAUCAUUAGAAAUCACAUAAACAUUAGUACCAAAAGUCACUAUAAAGUGUCCGUACAUAUAUCAAUAUGCCAAAAGAUUUUUAAAAAAAAAACUAAAAAUUCCAAUGGACAAGAUUAAAGCCUAAUUAGACAAGUACAUGCCAUAGAUUACUAAAAAGCCAAAAGUCUUUACAAAUUAAGUAGACUCGUUGAGAACUCCUUGGAUUGAUGCUGCACAAAUAUGGAAAUCAACCUCCAAUCUCCUUGUAACCCGCGCAUAGAACAAAAAUCUGCACGUUUAACUUUUUCUCAAAAGCUUAAUUGUGCGCUCGAAAUCCAAAUACACCAUACAUGCUUAAUAAACAACAGACAAUAGGCAUACUAAGAAUUUAUACAUAAAUCCUUUCAAGCAAUUCAAACAUGCUCAAAACAACAAAUAUUUUAACUCAUAUAAACAGUAAUCAUCAAUUCAUAUAUAUCUCAAAGUCACAUUUCGAAUUAAGCUUCCAUCAAACCACACCAGACAUAUAAAAUUUCAUUUGUCACACCACUUUAAAAAUUGCCAUUUAAAUGUUGCCCUAAUUGAUCGAACAUGGAAAAAGAAAUUUGUAUACAUGGAUAACAUUUCAAACACACCAGGUAUUCCUCCAAACUAACCAAGAAUUGCACACUUGAGCCAUAUACGGUAUCAAAAUUCUAAUGCAUGUAAAUGUUGAAAAAUAUUCGGUUCAAAAUAGUUUUCUUGUACAACGAAAAAAUAAAAAUUUAAAAAUCGAGUUGGUUUGUAAUAUUCAGAACAAUAAAUUUUUUCCAAAAAGUACCUGUGCUUUGAGUGAGACAGAUCCUUGACAUUCCCUACUUUCAAUUGAACGACCUUCUCCACUAUUUCUCGUACCACGAAUCGUUUCGAGUGUGGGCUCGAACAAUUAUGAAUCAAACACAGAACUAAAAACAUAUUUUUUUUACUUUUAGUAGAAAAGUAAAUCUCGCUUAUAGAAACUAGGAGAAUUGUUAUUCCCGAAAAAUAGAAUUUAUACUUAGAAAUAAAUCCUGACUAUUUUCGAGCAGAAUAACAAUACCUCAAAGUUUUUAUAACUUGUAUUUUUAUCAUUACCAGUGUCAUCUAUUUAUAGGGAGAGAUAGAAGAACCUUAUUAGUUGAUUUAGUAGAAUACAAAUAAUACUUAUUUAAUAGAAAAAUCAAUCUUCUAGUUGAAUUAGGAGAGAGGGUGACUAGAACUAGUUAAUUAUACUAGGGUUGUCGCCCCUCAUACUUAUUAUAAGGAGUUUUGAGCCUCUCUUAUAUGGAGUCUAAUUAUAUGUGAUUCAUGACUUUUAACCCAACACUUUAUAAUUUAAUCCAACCCAAUACACGUUUUUCUAUUCUCCAAAAUAAGUAUUAUUUAUUAAUUAAUUUUAAUUAAUUAAUUUUCAAUUAAAUAUGUCACACCCAAAAUCUGUCAGACUUGAUUUGAAGGCGUGUAGAUGUGAGGAUACCUGUUGGGCAUAGAGUAGUCCGCCUAUUUGUAGUUUUUUGGCAAAUAAGAAAUUGGCGUAAUGGACACGCCGUGUAAGUAAUUAAAGAUUCUAUCUCAGGUUAUCCUGCUAUUUAAGAAAAGAAUGUGUCAAGGAAAUAGUAAGUUUGGUAAGAGUUACUGCCAAACGUACAAUAUGCCUAGUUUGUUUAAGUAUUGUGCUAGUUGGGUUUUGUAACAUGAUCUGGUUGGGAGCCAGCUGAAUUGACUAGUCAAAUAAUAUUUGUACAUGAUCCUCAUUUAUAUAUCUCUCAGACUUUGUAGGUUAUUUAUCAGGACAAACUCUGGAUACAAUUGACACUUGUCGAGUUCCACUAGGGGAAACUGGAUAUAUAUUGUGAGAAUGAUUAGUCAGGACGAUUUUUCUACUUUCUGCUUCUUCCUUUUAGAAUUUAUAAUUUUCAUCUUUGGAAGCUGCGGAUUUUGAAUUAAUGAGUGGAUGUUCCACCUUUGGGUAAGCCCGAUAGCUCUGCAUGUUAAGUCUUUGAAAGAAUAAGGGUCUCAAGAAACCCUUAUCAAGAAUAAUGGUAAGCCCGAUAGCUUUACAUGUCAAUUCUAGACUAAAAUUGCACCCGGAUAGAUUGCGCUCUCGUUGGUCUGGACCUUUCGAAGUUGUUGAAGUAUUUCCUCAUGGUGCAGCCACAAUUAGAAGUUUAAAUGAUGGACACCAAUUCAAAGUGAAUGGUUAACGAUUGAAACAUUAUCUUGGAAAUAUUGAUCAAAAGAAGGCAGAGACCAUUAAAUUGGUCGAACAAUUUUAAUUUGAAUUUUUUUCUCUGCAAUUUAUUACUAGGUGAUUUUAUUUUAUUUUUGCUUCUGUUCAAGAUUAUUUUAUUAUUUUUAUUUAUUGUUUUAUUUUUAUUUUUAUUUUUGCAAAAUAAUUAGGUACCAUUGUCGAUGUACUUGGACUCUAUUGUCAACGCAGUUUGUACUAUAGUACUGUCGCUUCUGACUCAGCAAGAAUGAGGACAACUAAGGAAAUUCAGAUCCCAUCAUUUGAUCAAAAGUCACCUAGCCGCCUAAUUUGUCUAAGUAGACGAAAUUCUCAUUGGACAUAAUUAUUCCCGCCAGCUUUAUUUCCCUUUAGAAAAUCACGUCUUUCCAUCUUCUUCUUUCACUUACUACAAACCCCUCUUCACUGUACCGACUGUGAAACACCUAAGAAGCAAUUUUUAUUCACUUUAUCUUCUUCAAGUUCGUACCUUUACACCUUUAAACCAUAUUCACUCCAUAAAAAAUCAAAAAAUGGCAAGAAUGAGAGGAUCAGUCAAGAAAGCCACCAUGCCUAUUGAAGAACACUCAUCCUUUGCAACUGUAGUUCGUGAGUUGGAAUCCUCCAUGCCAACAGAGAAAAAGGGGUCGGUGGUAUUUUCAACAAAAAGGUCCAAAUACCAAAUUCAAAACAUCUUAAAGUAAAACUUCCACCCAGAACAGGGCAUUCUCCUUUUGCAACAACAAGAUUUGGGCAAACAAGUCUCUAGAACCAUCUCUAAGUUGAAGUGGGCAACUUUUUGCACGCAUCCUGGAAGCUAUUCUCCUUAAUUGGUACGUGAGUUUUACGCUAACCUUUAUGACCAUGAGUUGGAGUUUAUCUUUGUUUGAGAAGGUUUAAUCCCAUGGGAUGUUACAAAAAGCAAUGAGUUGUAAAACACUAAGAUGGAUGUUGAUGAACACUCCAAGUUUAUUAAAUAUAUCACAGACGAAAAAAAGGACCUGCUGGUGAAAGAUUUAUGUGUCGAAUGAGCAUUGUGGACUGGUUCACAUCAAAAGAAUUAUACGAUGCACCGCCAAUUCCUGACAGUGCAAAGAAAAAUCUAGUUUCAUUUUGUCAACUACAGGCUAUUGCCCUCAACCCAUAGCAACACAGUCAACCUUGAUAGAAUGUGUAUGAUACAUUCAAUUGUUAAGGGCAGAAAGAUUGAUGUCAGUGUAAUACUUCACCAGGAAAUUACAGACUACGCCGCAAGCCAAAAUGGAAUUUUGGUUUUCCCGUCGUUGGUGGUGCUACUGUGCCAGCAGAAAGGGAUUGUGCCCCAUAAUGAUGACGAGAUCUUGGAAAAUAAGGGCCCGAUCAAUGAAGCGUCUAUUAAAAAAAUGACUCGUGGCAAAGAUACACUGACAAUGAAGGAGGUAGAGACCAGCAAGACAAGGAAGGAAAAAACCAAAGCAGAAAACGAGGGAAUAAACUUGAUUGCAGAGACAUCAUUGCUGUGCAAAAUGAAUGAUAUCGAGAAGUUGGUCAAUUCUAUUAGCAAUAAGCAGAUCAUGCUUAUUGUUAUAAUAGAAGAUAUAGACAGAUCACAAAAUCUGUUUUAAGCUUAUACCAGAGCCUACAACAUCUCUAUUGUAGCCACAUUACGUAAGUUAAGCCUGACCCCACUCCCAGAAUUUCCAUUAUUCCCACCAAUUAUCCGAGAAUAUGAACCCUCCUUUGAGGAAGAUGACUUAGGGGACAGAGACAAAUCAGUGGAAUCUCCUCCCAUUGUGCGUGUCUCUGGUGUUGAGAAAGAAGAGGAAUCAAGGGACAUUGGGGAGUGCAUACGAAAGAUUGAUAGCCUGAUCGAGGGUGACGUCAUUGCUGGUCAAGAAGUGUCUGCUGUUGAGGAGGAAGUAGUUGUGGAAGAGGAAAAGUUCCAUGUUGAAGUUGUAAACGAGAAGCUCGAGGAAGAAAAUACUGAGACAGAACCUAUUGAGAGAAAAUUUGUUGAGGACAUUGUCAAUGCAUCCGAGUUUUUGGAUACAAAUAAUGAUAAUCUGGAGCAAGAUUGAGCUAGACAAGCAGAAUCUGCAGUGGUAACAAGUGAGGAGCACCACAAUUCAUUGGCUAUAGUGAUCUAUACUGGACCACUCAAGGUGACACCUCCUACAUAAAAAGUAGCCGAUGAUGCCGGGACAGAGCUAAAAACUGAGGAGCAAUCCGAGGACCAUGCAAAGCCCAAAGAAAAGAAGAGAAAGCGCUCCAAAGAUAAAAAGUGCAAGAAGGAGGAAAAAAAAAAGGAGGAAGAAGAAACAUCGUGCAGCCACAUUGAUCGCCGAGGAAAGCUGAGUUAGUUUAUUUUAAGUUUUAGUUGUAGUAUUCAUGCAUUGCAUGUAGUUAUAAUUUUCAUUUUGUUAGUGAAAAUUGUCAUUGCAUUGUUAUUUUCAUCGCAUGUUAAUUUUAGUGCAUUGGGGACAAUGCAAACUUUAAGUUUUGGGGAAUGCAUAUGGGGAUUGGAAAUACACCCACAUUUCAAAAAAAAAUAAUCAAGCAUGCAAGGUUUAUUUGUGGUUAAUGCAAAUAUGUUAAAAAUAUUUUUUUUGUUACAUUCGAUGCUUAAUUCUUAAGUCAUGUGAACUAUCACUAAAUGAGUUGGAUAAAUCUGACUGAAUGUUGUACCUUCAAUUCUUUGAUGAAUGAUUUAGGCUGCAUUAGUAAUGGAUGACUAGCAGUAUUCCUUGAAUUUUGAAUGAAUCUUCUUUUUAUAGCUACUCAUAUGUAUAUAUAGUUAUGAAUAAGUGACACUCGAAAGUGGGUGCAUUGUGAAAUGUUAAAAAGGGAACACUCCAAUGCAAGCGUUAGAAAAAUGAAUCUAGUCAAAUGCUGUCGUGGCAUUAGUGUGUGUCGGUGUAAUUCUGUGCUUCCUGAGGGUUUGUUGCACUCCAUCGUUACUUUUCAGGAACAAGGGUAAAGUAAUUCAACGAUAUCCCUUAUUCAUAAAAAAAUACAAUAAAUGUUGUAUUGGUAGAUAGAAUUUAAAAUUUGAAGCAUGAUGCUAGUUUUGAUGAAGAUGCAAUCUUAGUCAUUCAAACUUAUGUAUUGUCGAUGCAAUAUUUUGUCAUCUGAAUGUGAAUCAUUCAUUGGGAUUUUAGGUGAUUCAAGUUGAUAGAAUGAUUAUUUACCUUAGUGAAUUCUUGUGUAGCCUUGCCAGUUUCUGUUUUACUUAAGGACAAGUAAAAACUCAAGUUUGGGGGUGUGCUAGUAGUACAAAGAACAUAUGUUUUCUCCCUACUUAUUGGUUAAUUUGUUCCCAUUUAGUUAUCUUUAGCACAUAUUUUAGUUUUUUAAGUUCAGUAAUUUACAUUUUAUGACUCAGUGGAUGUUUGUUUAUCUACCCUUAAUUUUAUCAUAUUUUGGUACUGAUGUCGCUGCAUGAGUAAUUUCAAAUUAUGCCCAGAAUUGUCACCGCACCUGACAGCUGUCCUGAUAGAAACAAAAAUGCGUGAGCUAUCCAGUCUGGUACAACUAACUUGUACGUACAGAGGUAGCAUGAUUCUGAUGAAAGGACAUCUGGGCUAUUUGGGAAAAAAUAUAAAUAUUCACAUAAAAAGAAAAAAGGGAGCUUUUGAAUUAUCACCUUUUUCAACUUAUUCUUUGGAGCUUGCGGCUAUGACGGUUUAAGCUCCAAUGGGUGAAUCAACAUAAAAAGGAUGCAAACCAGCUUCUGACAAGGAGCCCUGAGUGCGACACAAGAGGGAAUUGAGAGAUUCAAGCCGAGUUUUUUAGGAAUAGUAUUCUCCACUUGUUUCUUUUAUUUUUUUUCUAAACACUAGUGAUUUCUUUCUAUUUCAUGUUAGUGCAGAAGUACCCAUGAUUUAUGAGUUAAAUGUUAUUUUAUUCAAUAUUGUUUCUACUAUUUAAUCUUUGGGUUUGAAUGUUUUUUAGCACGGAAGUAUUAUUGCAGACACUGACACUGGAAGGUGCGGUGACAGUUCAAGUUAACAAGCAUGACAACAGAAGUUGCUUAAGGAUUAGAGGAAUUUAAUCCACUUGUUCUUAAUAGUGUUCCAUUGCCAGCAUCGGAAUGUGGGGUUAAUGUACAUGUUUAAUUCUUAGAUUAAAUAUAGAAGUUAAGCUUGGUAAGAUAUUCAUUGCAAUCUAAUGCCUCGACAAUCACCUAUCCUUUUAUACCUUGUGAGCACUUAGCAUUUUGUUGAAUAUUUACGUUGGGGAUCUCAGUUUAUCAUUAUCAUAUUUUAUCUUGUUGUUUUCAAGUUAUUGCUUUGACACCUACUCUCACAAUUUAUCUCGUUUCCAUCCAUUUAUUGCACUGACAAUGAUAAAUAAAAGACAAUCAUCCUCCUGGGAUCGAUAUCCGACAAACUCAUAUCUGUCUACUAUACUUGCAUCGACAAUGUAGGGUUGCACAUUAUUUCUGUGACAUUAAACAGUCGAUCAGAAACCAAAUUAGUUUCUUUGCUUUUGGAUUAAUUUAACAUAUUGAUUUUGUGCACUUCAUUUGAACGUGCAAAAUAAGGUGUGCGUCCUAAUCGAUAGUGUUUGUGUGAUUUAUUUGAAAUGGAAGAUUAUAUUCCCAUGUUUUAUCAAUUCGACCAAAUGUGAAAAGUGUUUCUAUGAUUGAUCGAUUGGACUUAUGAUUCAAAUGAUGACCACACAUGAUCAUGUUUCCUUAAUAUGACCGAACGUUCAAAUAAUAUGUUAUCCUUAUCAAUACUCUAAAGCCAAUGUUGAAACCAUUUUUUAUAAGUUUGAAAAACACGGAUCGACUUUGAAAAAAUGAAAAUUGGAGUGGCCACCGAUCUUUUAUUAAGGUGUGAUCGGUUCACCAUUAAAAAUAAAUUUUAGGUCUGCGAGAUUUGAGAAAAUAGGUCCGGGAGUCGGUUACGUACGAGGAAGGGUUAGCACCCUCGUAACGCCCAAAAUUGGUACCGAAUCGAUUGUUUAAUGUCUUAGGGUUGAAAUUUUGAAAAGAUUUUAAAAUACGAUCUUUUGAAAAGAAAAUUUGAGUAAAACGAAUUGGACGAUGAGAUUCACUUAUUUUAAAGAAAGAAAUCGUCACACUUAGUAAGUUAGAGUGCAACAUUUUAAAAUCCUCAAAAUUAAGUUUAUCUCUUGACCUUUAAAACUUAUGCAUUUUGAGAAGGGUAUUUGAUUAUUUGGGUUGAACGAGGAAAUCAAAACCCAGUAAGUUAGGGUUCGAUUUCACAAAAUUCCUAAAUAUCAAACAUUGCCUUUAUUUUUAAAAUCCUCGUCUCGAGAAAAUAACAUGUCAUAUCCAAUGCGUUAGGACACAACGUGUCGAAUUCCUGAGAAUGGGUUUUUAUUUGAAAUUUGUAUGUUUGAAAAAUUUAGAUUAUUUAGAUUUGACGAGGAAAUUGGAACCCAAUACGUUAGGGCUCAAUUCUUUCGAUGAUUCCAAAUGUCGAGUAUUCGCUUUAUUUUGAAAGAUUUUUAUAUAAAAUGAUUUUGGUCUUUAAACGAUGUGCAACUUUUAAAUGAAAUAAAAGGCGAGUGAAUGAUGACGUACAACAUAAAGGAUGGUUUCUAAAUAACAUCAAUUAAUUAAUAGAUAAAUACCAACGAGCAUAGCAACAAUAAUCUCGAUCAUACAUUGUACCAAUGCUAUGAAAAUUAAGGUACAUAAUAAUAUACGUAUGUUAAAAAAAUGCUUUUAUUCGAAAUAAAAAAAUAUAAUGAGUGAAAUUAAAGAAAAACAUAUUAUAUAAUAAAAUAUCAAAGAAUGUAUAUAUGAUAUAACGAAUUUUCAUGAAAAUGAUUAAUCUAAGUGAUAAUGAAUAUAUAAUAAUACAUAAUACAAAAUAAAUUUUAAAAUAAUAGUAUAUAAUAUAUUUUAAAGUAAAUGCACAAUAAAUUUAAAAUGGUUAUUUACAAUAUCAAUAAAAAAUAAUGAAAGAGUAUACUAAUAUAUGAUAAUAUAAAACUUAAUAUUAAUACAUGACAAGAAAAAAAAUAUAAAGAAGUAAAUAAAUAUAUGUAGAUUAGUAUAAUGAUAUUAUCGACAAUCGUAAUGAUAGUAAUAUUAAAAACAAUAAUUGUAAUAAUAAUAAGUAUAUUUGGUUGAUAAUAAAUAAACAUAUAUAUAAAGCUAACUUGAAAUUAAAUCAUAAAGUCAUGGAGUAAAUACACAAUAAAAUAGAAUGAAAGAGACCACAUUGAAAUCCACUUAAAAAUCACAGGGACUAAUAAAGAAAUUAAACGCACAAACUCAUAAUCAAAUCAGAUAACAGGAAACGACACCGUUCUAGCAUGGUCAGUGCAGAAGGUCUAUGGACCAAAUCGCAAGAAAAAUGGAUAUCUGGGGCAAAAUUAAAACAAAUGACAAAAAGGGAAUAGGACCCAAUUGUAAACAGCCUCAAACGCAGGAGAACUGAGGGCACAAAUAACCCCACUGGUCCAAAAUCGUGCGGAUCCUAGGCGGGUCGGGUCAAGCACGCAGGUAUGGCCUUAUACGGCACAGUUUUGAGGUCACUGUAACAGGCACUAAACGACGCCGUUUCAUGCCUGCUAUAAAAUUAAAAUUUUUCUAAAAGGCUCCAUUUUCUGCCCUCUUUUUUAGAAAAAGAAAAGAACCCUCUGCUAGGGUUUACAUUUUUCUCUGCCGCCGCAGCCAAAAAGGGCGUCUCACGGCCCGUCGUUGCCCCGGUCUCCGAUUGCGACGGAGAGGGGAAAAAGACGACCACGUUAGGUAAACCCUUCUCUUCUUCCCUCUUCCCCUUUCUCGUUUUUGUUUUAAGAGAUUCGUAUAAAAAAAUAAACAAGCAAACAUAAAGAAACGAACAAGAACGCGAAGAGAAAAAAAUGUUUAAAUCAACCUUUUUUUUUAAUUUCUGUUUUUGGCUUUUUUUUCAAUAAUCUCUGGGUUCGUGUGUGUGUGAGGGUAACCACUUUACAAUAUUCCUAAUGGCUCUUCUAUAGCUAGAUUCAUAGAAGAAAAUAGAAAUAAAAAUCGACCCCUCUAAAAAAAACAAUCCGUUUCUCCUCUUUUUCUAUUUUCCUGCUCUUGUUUGCCCUUUGUUUGUGUCUGUCUUUUGUUGCUUUGUGUAUUGCAGGCGUACGGAGGCCGUACGGUGAUGCGUGUGAGGAGUGGCUCGGGGCGUGGUUCGUGGCGCGCAUGCGAAUGGAGAGCGGCGGCGGCUGUUAGUUUGCUGCCUAGGGUUGCUGGGUGCUGCUUGGUGUUGGGCCAUCGGGCAUUAGGCUUAGUGGGUUGUGCGGGUAUUCAGGCUAUUCGGGUUUGGGCCAUUGGAUUUAGAAUUAGGUUUAUGUUAGAUCUGGGCUUUGUAAUACUAAACAUUUAAAAAAGGACUGUUAUAUUAUUUUAUUUUAUUUAUUUGUGUAUGUGUUUUUGGGCCCGGGCAAAUUGGGCUUAUUACAGCCAAGAUUACACAUGCCUAAUAUUUCAGUUACAUUGAACGCGUGGUUUAUGCUAAUAUUGUUACCGUAUUGAUUUUAAUAUUGUUACCAUACUGAUUUUGAUACUGAAAAGCAUGAAAUGACUUUAUGCAUUGCAUGGGGAUUUCGUAUGAUUGAAGGAGGAAGAUUUGGUAGUUUAUCUGUAAUUAUUGGUGGCUUGUCCACAAACUGAUGUUAUAGGAUGAAACGAGUUCUACAAAACUUUCAUGGUUUGUAGUAGAGUAUGGGUAGAAUGUUUUCCUUAAAUGCAUAAAUACAAUGUUUUCUAAAAAUCAUAAGCAUACAUUUGAGAUUUAUAAAUAAAUUUUUAUGACACUAUUGACUUUGACUCACACUGAGCUUUAUAGUUCACUGCCUUUAGUUUUUUGAUUUUACAGAUAACUCCAAGGUUAAGACUUUGUCACGGCUGUCAGAGGAUCCUCUCGAAUGAUUUUAAGUUUAAAUAUUUUUAAUCUUUAUUAUAUAAUUAUUUUUGGGACUGUAAUAAUUUUCUUUAUGGACUGUGGCAUGGACUUUAUAUUUGGGGACUUCUAAUUUAAUUUUGCAUGAUUUGAAGUUUUAAAUUGCUUAUUCAAUAUUUUAAUGAGUAUGCAUGAAAAACCAAUUUUUAACGAAAAUAUGAUUUUAGCACUAAAUUUCGCUACUAUAUUAAAAAUAAGUUUUUAAUAAUAAUACGACUUGGCUUUCCAAAAUAUGUGGUCUUUACAAAUGAAUUUCUAAAGGCGCGUAAUUUUUAAAUAAACAAGUUUUUCCCAAAACGAAGGAAAAUAAUCAAGCUCACAAGUUUUGAAUAAAAAAGGCAAAUAGUUUUAAAGUAUGAUUUAAAAUACGAAAGUUUUUUGCGCCGGAAUGUAGUUUUCAAAAUUCGAUCAUAACGUUUAAGUCAGGUUUGGGAGGUUACAAUGGCAUACCCAACAUCAGUCUUUAUAGCACAACCUAUUAUGGUAGACGUUUGACUGUAUCAAAAUAUACGACUCACGAUGUUGGGACAAUGAUAAUCUUAAGUCUGAGGAUCGUAUACAUAUUUAUCAUUAUGAGUAAUGUUGUGAAUUUUACAUAAUAAUCCAAGAAAUAUACUCAUAAUGGGUCAGUCCAAUAUGUUGUUCUCUAACAUGUACUCAGAUAUUAAUUUUGACAUCCCUAUGUUACUGACAAGACUUUGUCAUCAACCAACUACACAUUAGUCUCAAUGCAUUAUUAUUGUCCAACCCCACAAUAAUACUUGACUAAGAACAUUUUAAGAAUAAUCAUAUUAUUCUCAAGACAUUAUUAUUAAUUAGUUUAUUUACAUACACAGAAAAAGAAACUGAAAUAACAAUGGCAACGUCUUAUAUUAACAAAUAAGGUAAAACGAGUAUGUGAUUACAAUCAUCUCAUGAUUGGUCUUUGGGGCAUACUCUAACAAUCUCCCACUAGAACUGAGACCAAUCAAUCAUAUAUCUAAUACCAAGUGACUUACUGUGAUGAUCAUGCUUCUGUUGUGUCAAAGCCUUCGUCAGUGGAUCAAAAAAUUUUGUCAUCUAUUCAUACUUUGCAUAUUUCCACAUCUCAUUGAUCAGUGAUUUCUUGAAUGAGAUGAAAGUGCCUAAGUAUAUGUUUGGAUCACUGGGGAGAUCUGGGUUCCUUUGCCUGUGUAAUGGCUCCAUUGUUGUCACAACGAAGUUCUCUAGCAUUUGAUUUUCUAGGCACAACCCCUAGUUUAGAUAUGAAUUUCUUACUCCCAAUAGCCUCUUUUGCAGCACCAUUGGUUGCAAUAUACUCGACCUUAGUUGUAGAAUAAACUAUUGUAUCUUGCUUUUAACAUUUCCAACUAAUCUGUCAUAAUUCAGUGUAACAGAUUAAACAAGUUUUCACACAUAAGGAGCCUGAAUACAAGCAUUUUUGUUAUAUUUUAGUUAAGUUUCUUUAGUUUUACCUAUAUCUAAUAAAAUGUGCAAAAUGAGUCUUUUAUUGACCUUAAGGUCUGAAUGAGGCCUAAUGGAGAGCUAACGUACUUCGUCAGUGUGUAGGAGAUCAUUAGAAGGCAUUUUAGGUAGAUACUAGAUGGUAUGUCGCAACACGAGAGGUCUGAUGUCGCAACAUGGAGAGCAAAAUGGAGAAAGUACAAAACUGCCUUCGAUGCCGCGACACUGACUAAGGUUAUCAUGACAUACCCUUGAAGACAUCCCAAGCAGGAGCAUACUGACUUCAAUGUCGAGACACAUGUCCUAAUGUGUCGAAACAUCGACUCUAGGAUGAAAAUUAAACACGAAGUAAGGGCAUUUUGGUCCACACAAUCAAACUUAAAGCUCGAGAAUGUCAGCUGACCUAGGGUUAAGGAUGAUGGCCACUUGAAGGCUAUAAAUAGGGUCCUUUGGCACAUGUUAUGGACAUCAAUCCAUUAACCUAGGUUCUCUUUUUAAGCUUUAUUUUUGUUUUCUUCUUUUCUUAGAUUUUCAGACUUUAGUUUAUUUGUUUGUGGCUUUCUUUCAAGAGAUCUGAUUUGUAAAGACGACCAACUUCCAGGGAUUCAUGUUAUUAUUUAUAUAAAUCAGGUUUUUCUUAAACUCUACACUUCGAUUCAUUCACCAUACUUUAUUCUUUCAUAUAUUCCAUAUUUUUUUAUGAAAGUCAUGAGGAACUGAUCCUUCUAUGAAGGAUUAGUGAGUGGAGGCAUGAUCUAUUAACUAUUUUGUAGGGUUACUCAAUGGAUUAGUUGUUUUGGAAAGGAAGAGCGUAAAACAAAUCCUAAGCCUGACAACCCUGGGAAGUCAUCAAGGUGGGAAUCAACAUAAAAUUGGCAUUGCCCAUUUGUGAACACCUUCAGCCCAAACCAGUUUGGACUGUGAGGUCAGAAGACUGUAGUUCUUGCUGACUCGUUAAGAUUGUGGAAGAUCGGAAGAUCCUACUAAGGUAAUGACUAGUUGGUUGACGAGGAACCCGAAACGAAAGUUGAUUAGGACUGCCAAAGAAAACUAAUCACCCAUCAUCAUAUUUGAUUACUUCUACUUUUUCCAUCUCUUUAAACUUAGUUCUCUUUUAUGUUAUUUUGUUUUAUUAUUAGUACUAUAAAAAUCCACACGAAUAUCUUAUUUACAUUUUUUUACUAUAACUUAAUUAAAGUAUUAAUUAGAUCUUUUAGUGUAGGUUAAAAUUGAUCGAGUCUUCACCUCAUUUGGGUACGAUCCUCGGAGUACUCACCCACUCUGUUGUAAAACUAUUGUACAACUAGACCCAUAUAAUUGAGAAUACCACCUCGUAAUUCUAUAUUUUAAUUCAAUAUUCACACUCUAGACGUUAGUACGUCCGGAGGUGGUCAAGUUGUUGGCACCGUUGCCGGGGAGGCAACGUCACUAGGUUAAUUUUAAUUCUUUCACGUAAAAGAAUAAUUAAGAAAUAUUUAACUUAUAGUUAUGGUUUUCAAUUUAUUAAUUAACACGUCUAACAUUUGUUUUUAUUCAGGAAUCUAUACAUCGUCAACCAAUUAAUCAGUCAGUACAAAGUCAUGGAUGAUUUUUAUUAUAUGUGGUCCGAGGAAGACUUUGAUUAUGAUGAAGAUAUUUAUGAAGAAGGAGUCUAUGAAGAUUGGGAGAUACAGGAGAAUCAAUGAUUACUAAUGCUUGAAUUAAUUAAGUCAACUUCGAGGAGAAACCCUAGUUUUUCCCUAAGAUGAUAAUGACCACGACGAGAUGCCAUCAGAAAGGUACCAAGAGGUGCUAAGUCCGAAAUUUAGCAGAGAGGAGAAAGUCAUUAUAGACGCUUACGAAGAAGGGGAACUCUUAGACCAUUAUCCACAUUAGCAGAUAGGAAAAUAUUCAGACGAAUUAAACAAAACUUCGAACAGUGAAUAUAUAAAGCUGGUGAAGAAAAUGGACAGUGAGUCGAAGACUCGAAGUAGCAUGGAACUCAUUGUCUCCAAAAUUUUAAGUUCUGCUAGUACAGUUGGAACACAAGAGCAGUAUAACAUAGACAAACCAAUGGGGAAAAUGGUAUGAAUGGCUGAUCUCAUGGAAGAGUGUCUGUCGAUUCAAGAAUUUCCAAAGUAGAAUGAAGAGAUACUAGUAGUCGCAGAUGAAAAUCCUGAAUUGGCUAUCAUUUGCAUGACCUUAGUCCUAAACCAGGUACCCCAAAGGUUUGAUGGCCUAGGAAUUUUCUGGAUGCUAAAUAGGAUUGGAAACAUAUAUAUAGACAGGACCCCUAAUAAUACAACAAAGAUCAAUCCAGCGGGGCAACUAAUGCGCAUAGGCUUUGAAUUACAGGCAUUACAAGAGCCAUGCAAUGAAGUCAUUUGUAAAUACAUGGAGAGACCGCAAUUGAAAAAAUUAAAAGGUCUGCAGAGCUGGAAGCUAAGAGACUUAGUGCAAAAAUCCCUUGCUAAGCCCCUUGCUACCCUUUAUGCCAAUCAUUGAGUUGAGUACACUUGAAAAAUUAUUCUGGAGCAACGAGAUGAGUGGAGACAUAAUAAGCGUCAAGUAUAAACCAUAUUUUUCAACUCCCUUACGAAGCAAGUAUGCCAAGCAAAGACUAAAGUGGUUGCAUGGUUAUGUGGCUUUGUAAAUAGUUAAUAAUUAUGACAUGAAAAAAGAGUUGUCGGUUGUUAAAAUAGGCCAUAAAGGUAAAUUUAGAGAACGAGACAACCGUAGACGAGUAGAGUGGCACGACGGGAGUUGGACCAAUACAGAAAUACGGAGGGAGCCCAUCUGUGCAUACUGACUAAGCUGAUAGAUGACUUUAGCAGCAAGACCUAAAAUUUUUCUAUUGUUUGGUUAUUACUAAUUGUACUAACCACUCCACUAAAUAAGUUGUUAAUGUACUAUAGGUAGGUUAAAAACAGGUUUAACAAAGCACUCGAAGCAUUCCAAAGAUGGGAAAUUUGGGAAACAAGGUCAACAUCACGACAUAGAAAAUUCUGUGUUGCAACGUCAUAGGCAGUAAUGAAGAAGUUCAAAAUAAUCGAGGAUUCUAUGAUCCAAGUUGUCGAGAAUCCUUGACAAUUGGCCAAUAAAUUUCUUGAUUUCGCGUUCUUUUGUCAAGCGCUGGGUCAUGGGUUUAGUGGUACUAUAUGAUGCCACUAAAUAUGCUUAUUUUGGUCAUUGAGUUCAUUGGCUUUUUAUCACCCUUGAUUUAAGGGAGAUAAAAAGGUUAAGAGAUGGGUAUAAUAUGAUUCCUGGGUUGAGUCUUUAAGAGGUCACUCUAUGGUAGUGAAAAAAUUUUAUAGAUAGUAUGGUAGUUAAUAGAGGGAAUAGUAGGAUAGAGAAAUACCCCUUCCAGGGCGAGGGCCUCUUCUCCCUCUAAUUCACCUCACAAUGGUAUGAGAAUGUCAAAUUUCUCUUUUAAGCUUUUUUCGAUUCCCAACCAUAUUUAUUGUGGUAUGGAGCCAUCGCCAGUCAAGUUUGGCAUGUGUCCUUUUAGGACAUGUCACUAUAGACACAAGGAGUCUAACCUCCCCCACCUUAUGAGCUUUUAAGGUGAUACAUAAGGCUCUCGAGCUAUAAUGCAACCAAUGUUUUCUCGUCAAAUAGUGAGUUCUUUUUAUCAUCACCUACACUCGGGAAUGAAUCUAUAAGACGUGUAGAUCUACUUCAUGGCUAGAAGUAGUACUACACCUACAAAAUGGUAUCCUAAAUUAUAGUUCCUGAGUGCACAAAGUAGAUAGCAUAGCUGGGCAAGGCUAUGCUAUCAUUCCUAUAGGUGUUUCAUUGGUCAUUUAUGAUAUUUUUGGUGUUUCCUCCCUUUGGGGGCAGAGGGUAAGGGAAAUGGACUCUAGCUUUUAAGAGAGUUCUUUUUAGUCUUUAAUAUAUAUGUUAUCAGUAUUAGAGUGAGCACAUUAGAUCUGUUGUUAGUUCUUAGUGUGUAUUGCCCUCCCGAGUGUUCCCGAAAGUUAGGGAGGGAGGGCGAUAGACACACAAAGAGUUUAGGGUAGAGUGAGUGGGCUAUUGGCUAUAGCCCACGAGCGAUACUUCCUUGUUCUAUAGUAAAGUUAAUUGUAUUGUGAACUACUGGGUUAGGAGCGUUACGCCUCCCCGAGAGGGGUGUGGGGGGUAACGUUCCUUAUGUUAAGCCUCCUCGAGGGAGGUAUCUUUUAUAUCCUAUAUUCUAAAAUAGUUUACCACUAACAGCUCUAAUAAUUUUGCAGCUCAAUCACCAAGUCAGUAUGGUGCAAUUUCCUGCGUACACUGUGAGGAUAGCCAUUCUUUUAAGAAUUACCCAUCAAACCCCAAAUUUGUGUAUUAUGUAAGUAAUCAGUAUCCAAAUAGAAGUGGACAAGGACCGUAGUCCAACUUCUACAAUCCUUUGUGGCAUCAUCUUCCAAAAUUUUUCUAUAGUAACCUAGGAAACAGACUGAACACUCAUAUGCAGUAUAGACCCAACCAAUCUCAAGGGUUUAGUCAACAAGCCCUAAAACCACCUCAAGCUGAAUCAUCAAAAAGUUUGAAGGACUUGUUGAAGGUGUACAUGGUGAAAAUUGUAACACCCCGAACCCGAGACCGUCACCGGAGUCGAACACGAGGUGUUAACAGACUUUAAACCACUUAUAAAAAAAAUUUCCCAGACACUGCCAAUCUGCAUACUAGUCUCUUUAAAAAUCAUAUCUUGAGUUCAGAAACUCAGAAUCCAGGUCUGUAAAUUUUCCCUGAAACUAGACUCAUAUACCCAUCUACAUAUUUUUUUCUAGAAUUUUUGGUUGGGCCAAUUAGUACAGUUUAUUAGUCAAAGUCUCUCAUGUUACAGGGAUCGACUACACUGACCUUUGCGCAUUACGACUUGGAUAUAUCCCUGUACAGGGCUUUAAUACUGAUGCCGUUUAUUUCUAUAGAAACUAGACUCAUAUAGGAAUCUAUACAUAUAUGGCAUGACUCCUAAUUGUCUCUGGUUAAUUUAUAAUGAAUUUCCAAAGUCGGAAUAGGAAAUCCAGAAACAUUUCUGGCCCUGUCUCACGAGAACCUGAAUAUCUCCUAACAUACUGUCCAUAUGAUUGUUUCGUUACUUUCCUAUGAAAAUAGAUUCAUCAAGGUUCGUUUACAUAAUUUAUUCACUAUUUAAUUCCAUUCCUACUAUUUUUAGUAAUUUUCCAAAUCUACAUCACUGCUGCUGUCAGCAUCUGCCUUUAAGGUAGACUUUACCUAUUUCAUAGUUUUCAUGAUUCAACUAGCCCUUUUAGCAUAAAUAGCACAAAUUAUGAUAGUGAUUAACCAUUCCCAUGGCCAAUCCUUGUUAAGCAUAUCCACACCUCUCAAUAACCAUAUCCAUACCAAAUGAUUAUAACAUUAUACUCAAACAUAUAUAAGCCAUUUUCGCAUGGCUAUCCAAAAUUAUACAAGUCCAAAGGGUCCAUGACCCCCAACAAAAAGGGUAGUCCUAUACAUGCCAUUUCGAAGUUCAACCAAAAUUGUACCAAAAAGGGGGGGGCUUUGAUAGUGUGGGCGACUUCGACUUCAAAAUCCCGAGUCCGAUAGCUGGAGAACCAAAAUCUAUAAAACAGAGAAUCAAGGAGACGGAGUAAGCAAUUUAUGCUUAGUAAGUUUUGAGCAAGGGAUUCCAGCACAACAAAAGUAUAGCAUUCAUGUAGCUAAACAGAUAAUUUCAUAUGCACAAUUUUUCAAUAUCAUACUUACUUCACAUUACCAACCCUUUUAUUCAUACACAAAGAUCAACUUAGCCAAAGGCCGGUAGCUCAUUUAUCAACUGAGCGAAUACUUAUUUGUAAGGGCUCAACUAAUUCAAAGCACAUACGAAACAUACCUUAAUGUUGGGAUGUUUCAAGCGUAUUAACUGAAAUUUUACAGCAAGAUCAUUCAUUCCCAAAUCACGUACCUUCGGAAUUUAACCGGAUAUAGCUACUCGUUCAAAUGCCUUCGGGACAUAGCCCGGUUAUAGUAACUCGCACAAAUGCCUUCGGGACUUAACCCGGAUUUAGUAACUCGCACAAAUGCCUUCGGGCUUAGCCCGGAAUUAGUAUCUCGCACAAAUGCCUUCGGGCUUAGCCCAGAAUUAGUAUCUCGCACAAAUGCCUUCGGAUCUUAGUCCGGAUAUGGUCACUUAGCACAAAGCCUUCGGGACUUAGCCCGGACAUCAUUCAAAUAACCAUGCACAUUUAACAAUAAAUCAUGGCACAUUCGUAUUUCAUUUUCGUUAGCAAAACUCAAACACAAGACACUUAUCAUUCUUGCAAUUUCGGCUCAAUAGCCACACACAAAGAGCAUGAUUUUAAUUUGCUUAAAACAUGAUCUAAUCAAAUCAUAAUUUAAGCUCUUUUACUCAAGAACUUACCUCGGAUGUUGUCGAACGAUUCCGAUAGCUAUUCGACCACUUUUUCCUUCCCUUUAUCGGAUUUAGUUCCCCUUUGCUCUUGAGCUUAAUUAAACAAAUAAAUUGAUUUAAUCAUUUGAGCAUCGAAAAGAGGAACACAAGGCACUUAGCCCAUAUUUAUACAUUAGACAUUAAAGUCACAUAUGUACGGAAUCAUGAAUCAAACUCAACAUUUUAGCUAAUUUUCCCCCUUGGCCGAAUUUGCUAAGCCAAGACAAAAGCAUCAAUAUGCUUGCCUCUAACCGAAUACAUGCAACAUCAAAUCUUCUUCCUAUGGCCGAAUAUGAAUGUCUAUGUUGGGGCCGAUUAUAUGCUUAAUACUUCCUACAAGUAUGGUUACUUGUAUUGAUUAUAAAUAUCAUCUUGUUUCAAGUUCAAAACUCGGCUAAUACGCAUAUAUACACUAGUAAUCAAAUACUAACAUUUUGCACUUCACCUUACUACCAUUUCACAUCUAUUUUCUACCAUGGCCGAAUGCAUCAAGACACCAUACCAUUCAAUUUUGGUCAUGGGUUACACAAAGAACUUGAUGUCUAACUCAAAAAUGCCAAAAAAGAAAAUCCAAGAGUCAUCAAUCACCAUCGCAUGUAUCAUUACAAAGCUUUACACUUAGCAUGCAAAUGACAUCAACACAAAUCCACCUUAGCCGAAACUUAACUCAUCUUCAUGCCUCAUCACCACAACAUCAAACAUCAACCAAGAAUAAUGCAUCCAUGGCCGAGUGUCAUUUCCAUCACAUAGCAAGAUUUAGACCAUGGGCUAGGUAGAACUCAAGCUAACAACUAAAACAUGCAUGCAUCUCAUGGAACAUCAUCAAACAUACCUUAGCCUAGUUACAUGCAUGGCCGAACCUCUUCAACCUUUCUUCUUCCUUCCUCCUUAAAAUUUUUGGCCAAGGAUGAACCAAAGGAUGAACACCUUUUUUUUUUGUUUUUCUUUCUAGUUUCGGCAAAAUGGGGGGGGGAGACAACCACACACUUUUUUUUUGUUUUCAUCAUGUUCCCUUUCAUUAUUUAAUUUCCAUGCUCAUUAUUUUAUUUUUUUCCACCCAUGAUGCACCAACACAACAUGUCUAUGACAUGUCUUGCCCAUCACACUUGGUCUACCAUGCUUGUCAUGGCCGGCCACUACUAAUAGGGGGGAAAAUUGACAUGCAAGUCCCCCCUUUUUCAACAUGCACGAAUAGGCCCUUAUGCUUUGACCUAUCACAUUUCAAAAUUUUCUCACAUAAGUCCUAUUUGAUAAAAUUCACUUACAAUUAACAAAAUUCAAACACGACAUUUUCACACAUGCACAUGUACAUAUAGUGAGCAUCUAUUAUGACAGUUAAUUAUUUUUAUGACUCGGUUUAGUGGUCCCGAAACCACUUCCCGACUAGGGUCAAUUUUGGGCUGUCACAACUCUCCCCCACUUAAGAAAUUUUCGUCCCCAAAAAUCUUACCGGUAAAUAAGUUUGGGUAUCGUUCUUUCAUCGAGCUCUCGGUUUCCCAAGUAGCUUCCUCGAUCCCGUGUUUGAGCCAUAACACCUUAACUAACGGAACCCUUUUGUUUCGCAACUCUUUCACUUCACGAGCUAGGAUACGAAUCGGUUCUUCUUCAUAACUCAAGUCAGAUUGAAUUUCAACUUCUGAGGGAUUAAUCACAUGUGACGGAUCGGAUCUAUAACGUCGAAGCAUCGAAACAUGAAAGACAUCGUGAAUCUUUUCAAGUUCAGGGGGCAAAAUCAAUCUAUACGCAACCGGACCAACUCGUUCGGAGAUUUCGUACGGCCCAAUGAAUCUCGGGCUCAACGUGCCCUUACGGCCAAAUCUGAGUACCUUUUUCCAAGGCGAAACUUUAAGAAACACUUUAUCUCCCACCUGAUAUUCAAUGUCUUUUCGUUUCAAAUCCGCAUACGAUUUUUGACGAUCUGUGGCUGCCUUCAGACUUUCACGGAUUACCUUUACUUUCUGUUCGGCAUCUUUAAUCAAAUCAACUCCGAAAAUUUUACUUUCACCGAGCUCGGUCCAAAACAAUGGUGUACGGCAUUUACGAUCGUACAAAGCCUCGUAAGGUGCCAUCUUAAUACUUGAUUGAAAACUAUUGUUGUAAGCGAAUUCAAUCAAAGGUAAAUACCGUUCCCAUGAACUACUGAACUCGAGGAUGCAACAUCUCAACAUAUCCUCAAGUAUCUGAAUUAUCCGCUCAGAUUGACCAUCGGUUUGGGGGUGAAAAGCAGUGCUAAAAUGCAGCUUGGUUCCCAAAGCUUCUUGCAAUUUCCUCUAAAAUCGUAAGGUGAAUCUCGGAUCUCUAUCCGAUACGAUAGAAAUAGGUACCCCGUGUAAUCUCACAAUCUGAGAAACGUACAAUUCAGCUAGUUUAUCCAAUGAAAAAUCCGUACGCACGGGGAUAAAGUGAGCCGACUUAGUCAGUCUAUCGACAACAACCCAAAUCGCAUCUUUCUUACUUGCUGACAAUGGCAGUCCGGACACAAAGUCCAUUGUGACUCGAUCCCAUUUCCACUCAGGUAUCAUGAUCGGCUGAAGUAAUCCUGAAGGCACUUGAUGUUCCGCUUUCACUUGUUGACAUAUUAAACAUCUCGAAACAAAGUCGAAGAUGUCUCGUUUCAUACCAUGCCACCAAAACCAACGUUUCAAAUCGUUGUACAUUUUCGUACUCCCCGGGUGAAUUGACAUUCGUCUACAAUGGGCUUCGUUCAGAAUCAUCGAAAUGAGUUCCGAAUUCCUUGGAACACACAAACGACUUCUGAACCUCAAACAAUCAUCAUCAUCAAUUUGAAACUCCGAUUCCUUGUUCGGAACACAUUCAGUCCGUUUUGCAACCAAUUCAUCAUCAACUUUCUGGGCUUCACGAAUUUGAUGAAUCAAUAAUGGUUUGGCUUUUAAUUCAGCUACUAACACAUUGUCGGGUAGAACAGACAAGUGCACAUUCAUCGCUCGUAAAGCAAACAAUGAUUUCCGGCUUAAGGCGUCCGCAACCACAUUAGCCUUUCCCGGGUGGUAAUCAAUGACAAGCUCGUAAUCUUUCAACAACUCAAGCCAACGUCUUUGUCGCAGAUUUAAGUCUCUUUGAGUCAUCAAAUAUUUGAGACUUUUGUGAUCCGAAAAUACAUGGCACUUUUCACCAAAUACGUAAUGUCGCCCUAUUUUUAAAGCAAAUACGAUGGCAGCUAGUUCAAGAUCAUGGGUCGGAUAAUUUUUCUCAUGUGGCUUUAAUUGUCUCGACGCAUAGGCCACCACUCGACCUUCUUGCAUCAAUACGCAACCCAACCCAAGUAGGGAUGCGUCACUAUAAAUGACAAACUCUUUGCCUGAUUCGGGUUGCACUAAAAUUGGAGCUUCAGUCAAAUAAGUUUUCAGUUGAUCGAAACUUUUCUGACAUUUCUCCGUCCAUUCGAACUUAGCAUCCUUUUGAAGUAGCUUCGUCAUUGGUGUGGCUAUCAUCGAGAAACCUUUUACAAAUCGUCGGUAAUAACCGGCGAGCCCCAGGAAGCUCCGAACUUCGGUAAUAUUUCUUGGAGGCUUCCAGUUAAGUAUGGCUGAAAUUUUGCUCGGGUCAACUCGAAUACCCGAUGCGGAUACCACGUGACCCAAGAAGCUAACAUCUCUUAACCAGAACUCACACUUACUGAACUUAGCAUAUAACUGCUUAUCCCGCAAAAUUUGCAACACUAAUCUCAGGUGCUCAGCAUGUUCGGUCUCAUCUCUUGAAUAGAUCAAGAUGUCAUCAAUGAACACAACUACGAACCGAUCCAAAUAUGGUCUGAAGAUCCGAUUCAUCAAAUCCAUAAAUACCGCAAGGGCAUUAGUGAGUCCAAACGGCAUCACUAAGAAUUCGUAGUGACCAUAUCUCGUUCUGAAGGUAGUUUUGGGUAUGUCCGAAUCUCGAAUUCGCAACUGAUAAUAGCCCGAUCUCAAAUAUAUUUUUGAGAACACUGAGGCUCCUUUUAGUUGAUCAAACAAAUCAUCAAUACGCGGUAACGGAUAUUUAUUCUUUAUCGUCACUUUAUUCAGUUGACGAUAGUCAAUGCACAACCUCAUGGUUCCGUCCUUCUUUUUCACGAACAAUACUGGUGCACCCCAAGGUGAGAAACUUGGUCGAGCGAAACCUCUAUCCGUCAAUUCUUGCAACUGAGCUUUCAACUCUUUUAACUCGGUUGGUGCAAUACGAUACGGAGCUAUCGAAAUCGGCGUAGUCCCAGGUACAAGCUCAAUACCAAACUCUAUCUCCCGAACAGGUGGUAAACCCGGUAAUUCUUCAGGAAAAACAUCCGGGUAUUCACAAACCACCGGCACAGAUUCGGGUUUCUUUUCUAAUUCUUUGUCAUCAAGUACAUACGCAAGGUAUGCUUCGCACCCUUUUCUUACAUAUUUCUGGGCCAACAUUGAGGAUAUUACAGCUGGCAACCCCUUUAAGUCCGUAGACUCAACUCGGAUUAUCUCGUUAUUUGUGCACCUCAAAUCAAUAGUCUUGCUUUUGCAAUUCACAACUGCAUCAUGCGCGGUCAGCCAAUCCAAACCAAGAAUAACAUCAAAUUCAUCAAACGGCAAAAGCAUCAAGUCCGCCGGAAAACAGGAACCUCGAAUUACUAGGGGACAUUUCUUACACACUUUGUCGACAAGCACGUAACGACCCAAGGGAUUUGACACCCGAAUUACGAGCUCAGUAGACUCAAUAGGUAAAGUCUUACUGGAUGCUAAGGUUUCACAUAUGUAAGAAUGAGUAGAACCGGGGUCAAUCAAAGCAAUUACAUUAGUAUCAAAGAGAGUAAAAGUACCAGUAAUAACAUCAGGCGAAGAAGCAUCCUCGCGGGCACGUAUAGCAUAAGCUCUAGCAGGCGCACGAGCCUCAGAUCUGGUCGUAGCAUCUCUAGAUCCUCUCUGACCACCACUAGCAUUGCCCGUAUUUCCAGAUGGUCUACCUCGAGCAGUGGUAGCACCCGGUUUCCCACUCUGAUUUUCAUUCUGUUCAAACAACCUCGGGCAAUCUUUAAUGAAGUGGUCAACUGAUCCGCACUUGUAACAGGAGCGGUCAGGGAAUCUACAACUCCACGAAUGCCAUUUACUGCAAUAUCGACAUUUCGUUCUGUCUCGACGUUCAUUCCCAACACUGGCGACCGAAGUGCCUCGUGUACCCGCAGGGGGUCGAUCACGAUCUCGUCUAAAAAGGCCCGAAGUGCCUCUAGACCGGCCUACAUCAUCUCGAAAUUUCUUCGAUGCCUGUUGAAGAGACUUUCCCGAAGAUCUUUUACGAAACUCUCCAGUUCCCACAUCAACUUUUUGUUUUUCUUUUCUAAGCUCUUCGGCUUUACAAGCUCGCUCGACAAGUACUACGAACUCUCGUAUUUCAAGAAUGCCAAUGAACAUUUUUAUAUCUUCAUUCAGCCCAUCCUCGAAGCGUUUACACAUGAUAGCCUCGGACGAAACACAUUCCCGAGCGUAUCUACUAAGUCUAACAAAUUUUUGCUCGUAAUCAGUAACCGACAUAGAACCUUGCUUAAGCUCUAGAAAUUCCUUCCGUUUUUGAUCAACAAAUCUCUGACUGAUAUACUUUUUCCGAAACUCAGUUUGGAAAAACUCCCAAGUUACUUGCUCUCGGGGCACAACAGAAGUCAGAGUACUCCACCAAUAGUAGGCAGAAUCGCGUAGCAAGGAGAUAGUACACUUUAGGCAUUCAUCGGGUGUACAAGAUAGCUCAUCGAGUACCCGGAUAGUGUUGUCCAACCAAAAUUCAGCUUGCUCGGCAUCGUCGCUAUCCGUAGCUUUAAAUUUAGUAGCCCCAUGUUUUCGGAUUCUGUCAACUGGGGGCUUAUUUGACCUUAUUUGGUCAGUUACCGGAGGUAUUGUAGGUGCGGGGGUGGUAUUUGUCGGGAAUGGAGGUUGUGGAACAGCCGUAUUAGUUCGAAUGUAUUGGUUGAACCAAUCAUUCAUCACGCUAUAGAAAGCUUGUCUAGCUUCAUCAUUCGGGUUACUAGCAUUAGGUUGAGAGUCUGCCGGCGCUGUCCCUUGUGCGGGAGCAGACGCUACACUCUCAAGAUCAUCAGCUACCGCUCGGUCGGGAUCGGGAUCCAUUACUAUAAAUAAACACAUUUACAAUUUUCAGAAAUCACCACACUAUCAAAUAAUCACAUAAAAUGGCAUGUAUAGCUAGACCCAACGCAUUACGGUAGUCCUAGAAUCGACUAAACCGUAGCUCUGAUACCAAUCAAAUGUAACACCCCGAACCCGAGACCGUCACCAGAGUCGAACACGAGGUGUUAACAGACUUUAAACCACUUAUAAAAAAAAUUUCCCAGACACUUCCAAUCUGCGUACUAGUCUCUUUAAAAAUCAUAUCUUGAGUUCAGAAACUCGGAAUCCAGUUCCGUAAAUUUUCCCUGAAACUAGACUCAUAUGCCCAUCUACAUAUUUUUUUCUAUAAUUUUUGGUUGGCCAAUUAGUACAGUUUAUUAGUCAAAGUCUCCCAUGUUACAGGGAUUGACUACACUGACCUUUGCGCAUUAUGACUUGGAUAUCUCCAUGUACAGGGCUUCAAUACUGAUGCCGUUUGUUUCUAUAGAAACUAUACUCAGAGAGGAAUCUAUACAUAUAUGACAUGACUCCUAAUUGUCUCUGGUUAAUUUAUAAUGAAUUUCCAAAGUCGGAAUAGGAAAUCCAGAAACCGUUCUGGACCUGUCUCACGAGAACCUGAAUAUCUCUUAACAUACUGUCCAUAUGAUUGUUUCGUUACUUUCCUAUGAAAAUAGAUUCAUCAAGGUUCGUUUACAUAAUUUAUUCACUAUUUAAUUCCAUUCCUACUAUUUUUAGUGAUUUUCCAAAUCUACAUCACUGCUGCUGUCAGCAUCUGUCUUUAAGGUAGACUUUACCUAUUUCAUAGUUUCCAUGAUUCAACUAGCCCUUUUAGCAUAAAUAGCACAAAUUAUGAUAGUGAUUAACCAUUCCCAUGGCCAAUCCUUGUUAAGCAUAUCCACACCUCUCAAUAACCAUAUCCAUACCAAAUGGUUAUAACAUUAUACUCAAACAUAUAUAAGCCAUUUUCGCAUGGCUAUCCAAAAUUAUACAAGUCCAAAGGGUCCAUGACCCCCAACAAAAAGGGUAGUCCUAUACAUGCCAUUUCGAAGUUCAACCAAAAUUGUACCAAAAAGGGGGGGGCUUUGAUAGUGUGGGUGACUUCGACUUCAAAAUCCCGAGUCUGAUAGCUGGAGAACCAAAAUCUAUAAAACAGAGAAUCAAGGAGACGGAGUAAGCAAUUUAUGCUUAGUAAGUUUUGAGCAAGGGAUUCCAGCACAACAAAAGUAUAGCAUUCAUGUAGCUAAACGGAUAAUUUCAUAUGCACAAUUUUUCAAUAUCAUACUUACUUCACAUUACCAACCCUUUAAUUCAUACACAAAGAUCAACUUAGCCAAAGGCCGGUAGCUCAUUUAUCAACUGAACGAAUACUUAUUUGUAAGGGCUCAACUAAUUCAAAGCACAUACGAAACAUACCUUAAUGUUGGGAUGUUUCAAGCGUAUUAACUGAAAUUUUACAGCAAGAUCAUUCAUUCCCAAAUCACGUACCUUCGGAAUUUAACCGGAUAUAGCUACUCGUUCAAAUGCCUUCGGGACAUAGCCCGGUUAUAGUAACUCGCACAAAUGCCUUCGGGACUUAACUCGGAUUUAGUAACUCGCACAAAUGCCUUCGGGCUUAGCCCGGAAUUAGUAUCUCGCACAAAUGCCUUCGGGCUUAGCCCGGAAUUAGUAUCUCGCACAAAUGCCUUCGGAUCUUAGUCCGGAUAUGGUCACUUAGCACAAAGCCUUCGGGACUUAGCCCGGACAUCAUUCAAAUAACCAUGCACAUUUAACAAUAAAUCAUGGCACAUUCGUAUUUCAUUUUCGUUAGCAAAACUCAAACACAAGACACUUAUCAUUCUUGCAAUUUCGGCUCAAUAGCCACACACAAAGAGCAUGAUUUUAAUUUGCUUAAAACAUGAUCUAAUCAAAUCAUAAUUUAAGCUCUUUUACUCAAGAACUUACCUCGGAUGUUGUCGAACGAUUCCGAUAGCUAUUCGACCACUUUUUCCUUCCCUUUAUCGGAUUUAGUUCCCCUUUGCUCUUGAGCUUAAUUAAACAAAUAAAUUGAUUUAAUCAUUUGAGCAUCGAAAAGAGGAACACAAGGCACUUAGCCCAUAUUUAUACAUUAGACAUUAAAGUCACAUAUGUACGGAAUCAUGAAUCAAACUCAACAUUUUAGCUAAUUUUCCCCCUUGGCCGAAUUUGCUAAGCCAAGACAAAAGCAUCAAUAUGCUUGCCUCUAACCGAAUACAUGCAACAUCAAAUCUUCUUCCUAUGGCCGAAUAUGAAUGUCUAUGUUGGGGCCGAUUAUAUGCUUAAUACUUCCUACAAGUAUGGUUACUUGUAUUGAUUAUAAAUAUCAUCUUGUUUCAAGUUCAAAACUCGGCUAAUACGCAUAUAUACACUAGUAAUCAAAUACUAACAUUUUGCACUUCACCUUACUACCAUUUCACAUCUAUUUUCUACCAUGGCCGAAUGCAUCAAGACACCAUACCAUUCAAUUUUGGUCAUGGGUUACACAAAGAACUUGAUGUCUAACUCAAAAAUGCCAAAAAAGAAAAUCCAAGAGUCAUCAAUCACCAUCGCAUGUAUCAUUACAAAGCUUUACACUUAGCAUGCAAAUGACAUCAACACAAAUCCACCUUAGCCGAAACUUAACUCAUCUUCAUGCCUCAUCACCACAACAUCAAACAUCAACCAAGAAUGAUGCAUCCAUGGCCGAGUGUCAUUUCCAUCACAUAGCAAGAUUUAGACCAUGGGCUAGGUAGAACUCAAGCUAACAACUAAAACAUGCAUGCAUCUCAUGGAACAUCAUCAAACAUACCUUAGCCUAGUUACAUGCAUGGCCGAACCUCUUCAACCUUUCUUCUUCCUUCCUCCUUAAAAUUUUUGGCCAAGGAUGAACCAAAGGAUGAACACCUUUUUUUUUUCUUUCUAGUUUCGGCAAAAUGGGGGGGGAGACAACCACACACUUUUUUUUUUGUUUUCAUCAUGUUCCCUUUCAUUAUUUAAUUUCCAUGCUCAUUAUUUUAUUUUUUUCCACCCAUGAUGCACCAACACAACAUGUCUAUGACAUGUCUUGCCCAUCACACUUGGUCUACCAUGCUUGUCAUGGCCGGCCACUACUAAUAGGGGGGAAAAUUGACAUGCAAGUCCCCCCUUUUUCAACAUGCACUAAUAGGCCCUUAUGCUUUGACCUAUCACAUUUCAAAAUUUUCUCACAUAAGUCCUAUUUGAUAAAAUUCACUUACAAUUAACAAAAUUCAAACACGAAAUUUUCACACAUGCACAUGUACAUAUAGUGAGUAUCAAUUAUGACAGUUAAUUAUUUUUAUGACUCGGUUUAGUGGUCCCGAAACCACUUUCCGACUAGGGUCAAUUUUGGGCUGUCACAAAAAUGACACUUUGAUACAAAUUCAAGCAGCAGCACUGAAAAAUCUAGAGAACCAGAUGGGUCAAUUAUCUACAGAACUCCGUAGUAGACUGCAAGGAGCCUUUCCAAGAAACAUAAAAAAUCCAAGGAAUUUUGGUAAGGAAAAUUUCAAGGUGGUUGCAUUACGAAGUGGUAAGAUUUUGGAACCCAAGGAGGUUAUGGUUGAAGAUGAGCCUAUUGAAAGGGAGGAAAGUCAACCAACAGUAGAAGCUACACCAGAAAAGCUAGAUGCAGAAAAGCCAGAAAAUCCUACACUAAUGAAUUUUGAAAAGCUAACACCUUCUUUUGUAGAUUUUUAUCCUAAAAAAAUUUUUCCAUCUCAACCUAAAGUUCCCUAUCCUCAAAGACUUCAGCAGCAUAAGUAGAAAUAGGAGGUACAAUUCAAGAAGUUCUUAGAUGUUCUAAAGUAACUGCACAUUAACAUCUCGUUGGUGGAGGUUUAGAGCAAAUGCCCAACUACGUAAAGUUUGUGAAGGAUAUUUUGUCCAAAAAGAAAAGACUUAGUGCGUAUGAGGUUGUUGCUUUAACGAAGGAGUGCAGUGCGUUCUUAUUAAACAAGCUACCUCCAAAAUUAAAAGACCCUUGAAACUUUAUAAUACCUUGUAACAUUAGAGAAUAUUACUACAGUAAAGCUUUGUGUGACUUAGGAGCAAGCAUCAACUUGAUGUCCAAAACUAUUUUCAUUCUAUUGGGAAUAGGUGAAGUAAGACCUACUACUAUGACACUUCAACUUGUAGAUUGAUCUUUAGCAUAUCCCAAAGGAAAGAUUGAGGAUGUUUUGGAAAGAGUUGAUAAGUUUAUUGUUCUUGCUGACUUCAUUGUGUUAGUUUUUGAAGCAAAUAAGGAAGUUUUGAUCAUCCUUGGAAGACCUUUCCUAGCUACAGGAAGAAUGCUGAUAGAUGUGCAAAAAGGAGAACUCAUAAUGAGAGUUCUAGAUGAUCAGGUAACAUUUAGUGUUUUGAAGGUAAUGAAAUUUCCCGAUCCAAUGAAAAAAUGUUCAGUAAUGGAGGAAUUAGAAACCUUAGUUUCUAUGGAAUGAGAGAGCAAUUUUGAAGAAGACCCAUUGGAGAACACUUUCGGGUCUAAAACUCUGGAAGAUGAAAAAGGUAAUGAAAACAUGGCUUUUAUGGAAGCCAAUCCGAGGAGUUAUGUUCAACCACUACGGUUCGAACCGCUAGAGUUGGAAGUUUGAGAAUUUACACACCCCAAGUUGUCAAUUGAGGAACCGCCUAAACUUGAACUAAAGGUACUUUCAUCCCAUUUAAAAUACAUUUAUUUAGGUAACAGUUCUACUUUUUCUGUGAUUGUUUCAGUAGAACUAACAGAACACCAAGAGGAGCAACUGAUUAUUAUUUUAGAGAUAUUUAAAAAUGUUAUAGGUUUUACCAUAGCUUAUAUACGAGGUAUAAUCCCUCCUUCUAUAUGCAUAAGGUUAUUUUAGAGGAAGGUGAGGUAGGUAGAAUCAAUGGGCAAAGGAGACUUAACCCUAUCAUGAAAGAGGUAGUACGAAAGAAAGUGAUCAAAUAGUAGGAAACGGGAAUUAUCUACCCUAUCUUAGAUAGUUCUUAGGUAUGUCUGGUACAAUGUGUACCAAAUAAAGGUGGAAUCAUGAUUUUUGAGAAUGAACGUAAUGAGUUAAUCCCGACAAGAACUGUCACAGGUUGGAGAAUCUAUAUUGACUAUAGAAAAUUGAGCAAAGCCACUCGUAAGGAUUAUUUUUCGUUACCUUUUAUGGAUCAAAUGUUAGACCGACUGGUAAGUAACAAAUUUUACUACUUUUUAGAUGGAUAUUCGAGAUACAACCAGAUAGUUGUAGCUGUAGAAGACCAGCAUAAAACUACUUUUACUUGCUCGUACGGUACAUUUUUUUUAGGCGAAUGCCUUUUGGCUUAUGUAAUGCACCUGCAACAUUUCAACGAUGUGUGAUGGAAAUUUUCACUGGCAUGGUUGAAAGCUUUGUUGAGGUUUUCAUGGAUGAUUUUUCUGUUUUUGGUAACACUUAUGAUGUUUGUUUGAGUAAUUUGGCUAAGGUACUAAAAAGAUGUGAGGAGACGAAUCUUGUCCUUAACUGGGAAAAAUGUCAUCUUAUGGUUAAAGAGGGAAUUGUCUUAGGACAUAAAUUUUACAAAACAAGAUUGAAGUGGAUAAAGAAAAAGUGGACGUAAUUAAGAGAUUACCACCUUCAGUUAGUGUGAAAGGAGUUAAAAGUUUCUUAGGCCAUGCUAGUUUUUAUCGUAGGUUUAUUAAAGAUUUUUCAAAAAUUUCUAAACCUUUGUGUGUGCUUUUAGAAAAAGAUAUUGUUUUUUAUUUUAACAAAGCAUGUCUAGAAGCUUUUGAAAAAUUAAAAAGCCAAUUAAUCUCAGCCCCAAUAAUUGCUACACCUAACUGGAACUCACCUUUUGAGUUGAUAUGUAUGCAAGUGUUUUCGCUGUUGGAGCUGUGAUAGGUUAAAGAAGAAACAAAGUGUUUCAUCCUAUCUACUAUAGAAGCAGAACUUUGACAGGAGCCCAACUCAGUUAUACGAUAACUGAACAAGAACUCUUUGGUAUAGUUUUUGCUUUUGACAAGUUCCCUUCAUAUCUUAUAGGUACCAAAGUUACAGUGUUUACCAAUCAUGCGACCAUUGAGUAUUUACUCAUGAAGAAAGAUGCUAAAUCGAGGCUAAUUCGUUGGAUACUUUUACUCCAAGAAUUUAACCUUGAGAUCCAAGAUAGAAAGGGUGUUGAAAAUCAAGUAGUUGAUCAUAUGUCGAGGCUAGAACAAAAUGAGGUAACUUCUUCACUUGUUCCAGUUAAUGAGAAUUUUCCUGAUGAGCAUAUCUUCGAGGUAAGUCGAAUUCAUGAAACACCUUGGUUUGUUGAUUUUGCCAAGUAUUUAGCAUGUGGAAUAAUUCCUCGAGAAAUGACAUACCAAUAAAGGAAAAAAUUCCUUCAUGGUAGUUGGUAUUAUUUCUAGGAGGAUUAGUUUUUGUUUAAACAAUGUGCAAAUAACAUAAUCAGGAAGUGCGUAGCUGGAAGUGAGAUUGAUGAGAUUUUGUACCACUACCAUUCAUCUCCGAGUGGGGGACACUUUAGUGGUUCUCACACUGCAUCAAAUAUUUUACAAGUAGGAUUCUUUUGGCCUACAGUGUUUAAGGAUGUGUAUGCAUAUGUGAAAAACUAUGAUAGAUGCCAAAAAACUGGAAACAUAUCAAGGAGGAACGAGAUGCCCUUGACAAAUAUUUCAGAAGUAAAACUUUUUGACUUAUGGGGCAUUGAUUUUCUAGGCCAGUUUCCCUCUUCUUAUGGGAACAAGUAUAUUUUAGUAGCUUUGGAUUAUGUACCCAAGUAGGUUGAAGCUGAGGCAUACCUAAAAAAUGAUGCUAAGGUAGUCAUGCGAUUCCUACAUAAGCAUGUAUUUACACAGUUUGGCUCUUAGAGCUAUAAUUAGUAAUGAAGGAUCUCAAUUUAUGAAUAAAUGGCUUAAGUGGUUGCUUGACAAGUACGAUGUGAAACAUAAAAUUGCUACUAUCUAUCACCCACAGACAAAUGGACAAGUUGAAAGGGUGAAUCAUGAAAUAAAAGGUAUUCUUGAAAGGAUAGUGCCCCCUAGCAGAAAAGAUUAGUCUCGAAGGCUCGAUGAUGCUCUAUGGGCCUAUCGAACUGGUUUUAAGAAACUAUUAGGAAUAACUCCCUAUCAAUUAUUUUUUGGAAAGACAUGUCAUUUGCCACUUGAAUUGGAAAAUAAAGCUCAAUAGGCCUUGAAACAAUUAAAUUUGGAUAUUAAGCAAGUCGGUGAGGGAAGGAUGCUACAGCUUGAUGAGUUGGAAGAGUUGAGGUUAUUUUUAUACGAGAAUACCAAGAUGUGAAAAGAAAAAUUUAAGAUAUUGCAUGAUAGUUGUAUACAACCUCGUGAAUUCAAAUAAGGUCAGAAUGUGUUGUUGUUUAAUUUGAGGCUAAGGUUAUUCCCUGGGAAGCUCAAGUCCCGAUGGAGAGGACCUUAUACCAUCUACAACGUUUAUCUAUAUGAAUCUAUAGAAUUGUAUGACAACCAUGGAGGUACGUUUAAAGUUAAUGGUCAACGUCUCAAACACUAUUGGGAUGGUUAAGUUGAGCGAGUUAAAACCUUGUUCAAAUUAGUAGACCAUUAAUUUUUCAUAGUCUUACUUUUUAAUAAAUAGUUAGAAAUUAUUUUUCUUAAAUUAGUAUAUUUAAUAAAUUCUAUCUAAGGAGAUUGGAACUUCAACGGGACCCCUUGUGACCCCUCUAACCUUUCCUGGGAAUUAAUUUAAUAUAAUAUUUUGAGAAGAAAUUCUCUAAUUAACUUCAAAAUUUUUAUUUUCAUUUUAAUUUCUAUGUUUAAUGUUAAUUUUAUAUAAGGGGGUCAAAUUGACCCAAAUACUAAUCAAUUUAUUUUAUUUUAAGCAGUCUAGUUUGUAAAUACAGUUUGGGUUCAAUGCCUGAAACAGCAAAGAGGAAAAAUUAACCCCACAUUGUCAUCCAAAGGGUUCCCAAAACCCUAAUUUUUUCCACCAACUUAUGCUUCCAUCUUUACAUUGCCACCCAACUCACCUUUAUAGCUAAAUUUUUGCUACAAGUUUACCCUAAUUCAUCGCUAUAUAAACCCCUCUCUACAAUCAUAUUUUUCACAACCAUUUAAGCAAUUAGCUUACACCCUAGCCACUUAUUCUUUUUCCUCUUAGCCAUCGGCUUAAGUCCUAAAGAAUCUCUCCAAUUUCUUUCCCUUGUCGCAAAACCUUCCUUAUUAUCGCUACGAGUCUUUUGCCACUGCAAGUCCAUCACCGUCGCAAGUCCAUCACUACCACAAGUCCAUCUCUAUCACAAGCUUACAGACACCGCAAUCCCAUUGCUCUCGCAAGCUAUCACUGUCGCAAACUCCUUGCUCCCAUCCAUUGAUGAUUCUUUUCCUUUAUUUUGCCAAAACACUGCCUAUUUUUCGGGAAAAAUCACCAUGUCUGGCAAAAGAACUAGAUCCUCCAAGACCUUUUCCGAAAAUCUAAUUGUGAUUCAAGAUGAGGAAGAAAAAGAAAGGUUUAAUUCCAUCUUUAGAAAUCAACCCAUGAUACCAGAAAAAGGUUUCAAUUUGGAGAGGAAUGACAAGAUGGUUUUGCCUUAGCCAAUAAGAAAGACAAUUGAUUCCCUCAAUUGGAACUAUUUUUACGAUGCACGACCAUUACUCGAAGAUGAGUUAGUUCGAGAGUUCUACGCCAAUUUAACUAUGCCAGAUGCUACUGAAGUUCUUGUUCGCAAGAAGAAGGUACCCCUAACUUCUAAAUCCAUUAGUGAUUUGUUUAACCUACCUAAUUUUGAAGAAGAUGAGUACUUUUCCAUGAUGACAAAUAUAAAUUGGGAUUUUCUUCAAUAAAUGCUUAAUUUUGUGAAAAUUUGAGACCCCAAUAGAUUAUAAACAAGUAUGGUAGUCAUUACUGUCGAAGGGAAUAUCUAAAACUAGUGGCUAAGAUAUGGUUCUACUUUGUUCGAUAUAGUUUCAUGCUUAUCUCACAUAGUCCCACCAUCUUGAUAGAGUGAAUACUUUUCUUGUAUGUAAUUAUGACAGAAAGGUCUACCAAUUUUGGGAAGAUUAUUCUCAAGAAGAUCCAUGAUUGUGCUAGAAAGAAUACAAGAAGUGCCUAUUUUCCCUCAUUAAUAACUUCGCUUUGCUUAAAGGCCCAAGUUAAAACAAAAGCAAACCUGAAGGGUCUGUAUGUUCAAGGUUGCAACACAACCCAUGAUCUUGGAAGGUUAGUGGAGAAUGUCCAUGAGCUAAACCCAAUUGAACUAAGUGAACCAAUUGAAUCAGAAACUGAUAAGUCAUCGAACAAAUCUAAACUAGAAGCUGAGUCAAUUGAUGAGACAGAAAAAAUAGAAUCCGAAGAAGAACCAAAUAACCCAUAAUCGAUGAAGGAACCAAAAGUUUUUGAACCAAGAGAGAAGCUGAAUGCUGAUGAGCCCGUUGAACAAAGUGUUGAUCCUGAGUUGACCAUUCCUAUGCCCACGUAUUCAAAUACUACGAAACCAAAAUUUUCAAUUAUGAUGGAUAUGAUGAAAUUUAUGCAUAACCAACAAUAAACUUAUUGGGAAUAUGCGAAGAUUAACGAUGAUUCUGUAAGAAAUACUUUCAAAAAUAUCUCUAACAAUUUUGUUCCUAAGUUCCCAGAUUAUAUCUUCGAGUCAUAGAAGGAAGAGGAUGAGAAUGAAAGUGAUGAUGAAGCAUCAAAGGAGGAAGACGAGGGGGAUAAGUCAAAUAAAUAAAAGGGGAGAAUUUCUUGCCUUUAGUAUUUAUUUAUUUUUAGGUGUUUAUUUUUAUUUCCUAGCUAGCAUUUUGCUUUCGCAUAAUAAAUAGGAUAUCACAAGCAUGAAUAAAAUAAGCUCUAUGCCUCUUCAUUAGAAACAGCAAAGUGAAGUGGUAAUGUGAAUGAACAUGUUUAGGAUUAGAUUGUUAAGAAAGACUUGGUACUUAAGCAGUCUUUAUGGCUCACCUCUCUUUCUUACAACCCUACCUGGUGUUCAAUUUUCAUUUAUUAUUUUGAUUUCACAAUGAGGAUAUUGCUUCUUUUUAAAGGGGGUAAGGCAGUAUUUUGCAUGAAUUUUUAAAUUUUGCAAGUAUGUUUUAAUCUUUUCACCUAAGUAUGUUGGAAUAAAUAAAUGUUCAAAGAGAAUUUUUGUUCAUAAGGAAAGCAUGAUUUCUGAUUUCUUCUAAGUUAUUUUAAUGUUGUCUUAAGUGAUGCAAUGCUUGUAUGUUCUUGAGUGUUAUGUACUAUUUUCCAUGAAAAUUUAAUUUCUUUAGAAGUAGACAUACAUGAAGGUUUAAGUCUUUAAAAUUAACUUGUUAACUUUAUUGAGGCGAAAUCCUAGGAGGUUUAAGAAGCUAAACUUGAUAUAAGCACUCUUCUUUGGAUCGUUUGACCCUUUCAAGCCAACCUUAUUAAAUUAACCCUUAAAACUUUAGUUUUGAGCUUAAUGGCAUGUUUAUUGCAAAUUACCUACAUCAUGAGCCAUAUUAUUAUCUUUUUAAUUUUAUCCUAUUUCUUGUACACCUAUCUUAACUAAAUUUGUCUUGGUGACCAAAGUUUGAGGAAAAAUACAAAAGAUGUACAUGCUCUUCACAUGUUCAAAAAAAAAACAAAAAAAGAUGAAAGAACAAAGGAAAGUUUCUUCAAAAGAAUAAAGAGCAAAGAAAAGUUUGCUCAAAUUUUUAAAAAUAAAGGUUAAGCAUGAGUUCAAAAUAAGUUUGGGGAGGGUUCCAAAGACCCAUUUGUAUAAAGGUUAUGGCGCAAAAGAAUCCAAGACAAAGUUAGGGUUAAGAUGAUUGAACCUAAAAAUUCACUUCUCUUUAUCCCUACCUUUAGCCUAGCCAUGUUACAACGUAAUAAAAGACCUAUUGAUUUGAUGAUUAUACCGACUACAUUCGUGGAGAGGAAUUGUUAAGUUCAACAUAUGAAGACCACUAAUUAAACCUUGUGACUGUUAUAUUUAUAUUGAUAGAGGAAAGCUUACUGAUUGGUGAAUGUUAUAUAUGACUUUGAAAUGUAUGCAUACUGUGACUCAUGUUCACAAUAUUUUGUACUCAGUAUAAGUUUGGAAAUAAUAUUUACAUUCGAUCUACUUAUCAAUAAAAAUAAUUUGUGAGCAUGAUUUUAUGGAUGCAUGAUUAUGUGCAAAGACUAAUGAUGCUUAACCAUAUUGCAAGACUUGUCUUAGCAAAAGUUUGUUGUGCCUAAAUAUUACUCGUGACGAGUAAUAGUUUAAGUUUGAGGGUGUGUAAACUUAAAAUUAUAUAUGAUUUUUCUAGUAAUUUUUACCACCUUUUGACUUAAUAAUUAUAUUAAUCUUGAGUAAUUGUUAAUAAAUUAAGUGGAUUUUUUUAAAUGUUAAUAUUGGACAUUAAUCUAUAAAGUAUGCGAAAUUAUGCUUUAUUACAUGAUAUUUGUGCAUAAAUUAUAUUAUUUCAUGUUAAUUAUUAAUAUAUUAAUUUUUAUUAUGCAGUGGGUCCAUGGAAGAUGAGAUUAUCAUAAUGUUGCAUAGAGAUGAACGCAUCCACCUUACUUGGACGGCAAAACCAUAAAAAAUCAAGAUGUAUUUCAUUCAUAUGUGAUUGGAUGCAUUCAGAUUAGCUAAGUGAUCCUAACUAGAUGACGGCUAGCAGAGAUAAUAAUUGAAACGAGCAUGUUUAAUUCAGAUCAUUAAACCCAACUAAAUUGAAGGUUCAUAACUUUAAUUAGCUCUAUUAUCUAGCAUAGUUUUUAGGUUUAUGUGAUUCAACUAUUUCAAACUUAAUUUGUCCCUAUUACCUCACAUAAAUACUUAGAAACCAUUAGUUUAAUAUGAUCAGUAAAAUGCAUAUUUCACUAAGGAAAAUAUUCUGAAAGGACUUAAUUUGGUUUCCAAACUCAUAAAAGAUCUAGUUGUCAUGGAAUGUUUUUCGAACACUAUUAAGCAUGAUAGAAAUGAAUUGAUUUGAUUAAUGUAAUUAUCCUAGCAUAUACAUGUUAUUGAUUGUUGAAGUUGUGUUUCUAUUGCUAAAAUUCAUUCAUACAUUUAGUUAAUUUUGCAUACUUAGCUUAAAAUAGCAUUAGGGAUCAAUCUUACAUUUAGUUCAAUUAAUCUAGUUUAAUCAUCAUCAUUCAAAUUAUUGUGUUUUUAUCACCAAAUUGUUAACUUAUAAUUUUAUAGAUAAUUGAUUAACAUACACAGUUCCUGUGGAGAUGAUAACUCAUUUUACAUACUUAUUACUUGAACGACUGUAUACACUUGCACAAAAAUCUCAUUACACGAAUACCGCCUCGUAAUUCUAUAUUUUAAAGUAGUAUUCACACUUUGAACGUUAGUACGUCUGGAGGUAGUCCCCAGCUCACAAAGUCACCAUUAAUGCAACACACAAAACCUGAUUAUGAUCGUGAAUCAUCCUUGUUGGUUUGGAAGCUAGCAUCAGUGUAACCUUUUACACUCAGCUCUUCCUCACAUCCAAGCUCGAGAAUCUUGCUUCAAUCCAUAAAUGGAUAUUUGAAGCUUGCAUAUCUUUCCAGCAUCUUUCAGAUCAAAAAAACCUUCAAAUUGUGUCAUGUACACACCCUCUUUCAGUUUCCCAUUAAGGAAAAUUGUUUUGACGUCCAUCUGCCAGAUUUUAUAAUCCCAAAAUGCAACUAUUACAAGUAAGAUCCGAAUGGAUUUAAACAUAGCAACAGGAGAAAAAUUUUCGUCAUAGUCGACACCAUGAACUUGGCAAAAAAAUUUAGUGACUAAUCUCCCUUUGUAUGUUUGUACAUUACCAUCCAUGUCAGUUUUCUUUUUGAAAACCCACUUGGACCCUAUGGGUUUAACCCCUUCAGGUGGAUUAACCAAGAUUCAUGCCUGGUUUUCUAACAUUGAAUCCAUCUCAAACCUCAUGAACUCAAGCCAUUUCUCAAAAUCUAGUCUCACCACCGCUUUUUGAUAAGUCCUAGGAUCCUCUUGAUCCAUAAGUAGAACACCACCAUGUGUCGUAAUGAGAAAUUCCUAUCUCUUAGGUACAUGUUGUAAUGAGAAAUUCCUAUCACCAUGAGUACCAGGAAGUGUAAGUUGUGUGACAAUCCCACAUUCCUUCAAAAGCUCAUCAAACUCUAAGCCUAAUGAUUCUCCUCCUCAAUUUGAUCCAAGUGCCUUAAUACUUUUGACUAAUUGGUUUUGUACUUCAUUCUUAAAUUCCUUGAACUUUUCAAGGGCUUUAUAUUUAUAGCACAUAAGAUAAAAUAUCUACUGAAGUCAUCAACGAAAAUAAUAAAGUAUUAAAAACCUUCCCUAACGUGUGUAGUCAUUGGUCCAAAUACACCACUAUGUAUUACGCUGAACAAAUCACUAGCUCGCUCACUUUUACUAUUAAAAGAGGCUUUAUACAUUUUACCCAACAAGCAAGAAUCACAUUUAUCAAAUUGUUCAAAAAUAAAAGAAUCCAAAAAUCGAUCUUUAUGGAGCUUUGUUAUGUGCUUUUCAAUUAUAAAGCCCAAGCGAUAAUGCCAAAAAUAAGUUUGAUUAGAGUUAUUUUUUUAUAUUUUAGUAUUUAUGUUAUAAAUGGACAUAUCUUGAUCUAAAAUGUAAAGGUCCGGGUAUUAGAUGCUACACUAACUCGAAUAUUUUCACACAAAUUUUGUUUUUGCUUUAAGUAUAUACGUGUAUAACUUGAAUUUAAAAAUCUAAUUAGAAGUACAACUAGUAUUAAACAAGAGAUAAAUUUUCAAGACUUAUGUUCUAACGGAUAUUUAAAAAAUUUAAACACAGACCCAAUAUCGUAUAUAAAAACAUAAACCCUAAUGUGAGGCCUAUACGGGUGCCCCUCAUACACACAAACAACUACCAUGUUUCACCUAGUUCCUAGUCAAGUCUAGCUUGGUCCCUCUUGGUUCCCGAACUCAUUAAUUAGCAUGCAUUCCAUUAUAAAUUUUCUAACUUUGGAAGAACUUGGUGAGAUUUGCAUGUGGAAUAUAAGGAAUUUUGGAGGUUUCUAGCUCAAAAUUUAACUCUCUAGAUUUCAUAAGGAAUUCAUGAACUCGAUUGACAAGGUCUGUGCCUUAUGUUCUCUAAGUCAUUUACUAAUAUAUUUAAACACUAACGCUCAUGUUCACUAUUUCUGACUGGAGUAAAUUUGUAACAUCCCACUCAAUGAGACCCUAGUGUUCAAAUAAUGUCUAUGGAAGUAAGGCAUAAAGAGUAAGUUUUGACUGCGUGUAAAGUGUUUAAAGAAAGAAAUCAAGUCAUUUCCAUUUUUUUCUAUAUAUGUGUUUUGGUUGCUUGAGGACAAGAAACAAGUUUAGUGUGAGGGAGUGAUUAGCUAUGAAUUACAUUAUUAUUUACAUCCUUUUUACACAUAACUUUAGCUUCUUUAAUAGUUAAAUCAAAGCAUAUUAGUAUAUAUUUAGGUUUUCAUGCUUAAAGUAGUAAAUUAUGCUUUUUAGUAUUUUUUAUUACAUUCUAUAUAUCUAAAUAAGGUUUACAUGGUCUUGUACGAAAAAUUGGGAGCUAAAGAUGCAUAUUCGGGCCGAAAUUGAGGCCUAUGUCGUGACACCAAAACACUGAUGUCUCAACUUCGAAGAAAGAAGCCAACAAAAAGCCAUGGAGAAAAACUAACUUUGAUGUCAUGGCACACUCAAUGCUAUGUCACAACACACCCUCUCUGUUGCUACACCGCCCCUGCACAACCCAAAAAUUCCUACAUGUGAUAAUUACGUUUUAGAGGGAAAUUAGGU
rnacentral:lncRNA from 1 species